UUCCGCUAGGUAAGUUGGGAAGUCCAACAUAAGGCAGGUCAAUUACAUCGAACCUCAAUUCCAUCAAGCCUUGCUCGAGGAACGCCUAUGGUUGAUAGUGAACAGCAGAUAUGCUACAUCCAGCACUCACUUUCUGUCUAUUGGCCUUAGAACACUCCUUCCUAUGUUGUUUUCAAUGAAGGGGAAGUGAUUCCUGAGUUCCUUCGCACAGGGUUUGAAUUGAAUUCAGUCAGUUUUGUCUACAUCUUCUCUGCAAUUACACCAGGAAAGAAAGCAGAUACUGAUGCUGAAUGCACUUAACAAAUCCCAUGUCUGAAUGCCUUAAACUUCGAUUCAAAAGAAAGCAGAACUAGACUGCCAACGAUCUGAUCUGACGAUAGAGAGUCUUCACCUUGUGGACCUGCUUUCGCCUAAUGGUAAUCUUUGUAUUUCCUUCUGUCUUUCGGGGAUGUGAUUGGGAAAAGAGCCAUUGGAAGGUGACUAAAAGACCAGAAACAGGGGCUACCCGAGCUAAUGAUGAGGCAAGAACACUUUCCGGCCAGGCCUGACUAUAACCAACCUUACAGAUCCCACUCAACCUUUUACACCGAUGUAUCGUACUCUCUCGACCAGGUCAUCAUAAGAAAAUACUGCUAAAUCUUUCCAAAGUUAUAGAAGGAGGGAAGGCGCGCUACAACUAAAUAACAGCCAGCUGAAAAAUGCUAGCUAGUUAGGCUAGCACGCAAUGGCUUUCUCUGCUCUGAUAGGGGCUUGCUUCUUCAAGCUCUGCCCAACCUAUACAAGGUGCUGCUCGCUUUCUCUCAGCCACUAGUGGCUUAUGUGGUGGUCGACAUUCUACGCGCUCCUCCUUGCCCCCUACUUCAGAAUCCAAAGGUCAACUUUGGAUGUUGUCGUGACGCUUUGGUUACGAAGGUUACCGGGGUCUAGGUUUAUGGAUGGAGUCAGUCAGCGAAAGUCCUCAAUCAAUAUCAACAAGAUGUCGUGACCGCUUAGACUUGGUGGAUUUUGUCAGAAAAGAAUGUUGGUUUCGGGGGUUCAUUGAUUAGUACACCUCUGGUGCUGGUAAGGUCGGAACCGUGGUCGUCCGUCUCCGGUUUGCCGGCCGAUAAGAUCUCUGAGAUUGAUCAGCCAGCUGGGUUGGUUUGGUUAUUCCUUUCUAUUGGAAAGGAGUCAGCUGUCUGCGCGAGUCACCUUCUUUUAGGCUCCGCUGAACGACACGGCAUUCUCGUUCAAAUAUAGGCCGGCCGUACUUGUGAUGGUUCCCAAGGAUCCAAUAUGACCACUUAGGUCUACGUUGCCGCGAUAUUUUUCUAUGGAAGCGGGCGGGCUGUUAGAAGUUCGGCCCGGGUUUUUUGGUGUCGUAGGGGAGGGAUUGACCUUUCUAACGUAUAUUCAGUCGUACCGGCAUGGCCCCACUGAUUUGUUUUCGAUCGGAGCAUCAAGCAGCGCAACCCGGUUCUACUUGACUAAGCCCCGUGCUUGUCCAAGGAGGGAGUUUGCUUUACCCAACUUCCUUUUUGAUAACAAGGCAGAAACCUCCGACCCGACAUUCAAAAGUUUCGAAUGAAGAAUGAAGAGUGUCCUGCCCCAGCAAGCACCUACAAAAUUCUAAAUAAAAAAGCGUGACUUUACUAAAUAAGCAAGAAAAGCCCUUUCACACUUCUUAGUAAAGCCUAAGCGCCCUUGUUGCUAAAGGUAAGGUCGGCUUUCUUCGCAUGCUUGAGCGCAUUACGCAUUAAUAUAAUACAUAUAUAUCAACCUUUCCUUGAGUUUUCAAUAAGGGGCAUCUAUAGUAAAGGGCCUUUUCAAUAAGACUCGCGCUAGGCGAUCACGUUUUUUGUCUUCCCAAAAAUCGAAUAUUUUUGAGUUGGUAAAGACCCAGCCCUAGUUUCAGUCAGAAUGAGUCCCCGGGACCCCGGGACAUUGGCUUCCGCCAACAGUAGACUAUUAAGGACCGCAUCCCACGCAUAUUCUACAUUAUAGCCUGCAACUGAUUCAGCUUCCGCUUCUGGGAGAUCACACGGAGCUCGAUUAGUUUCUGCUAGACGAGAAAUAAGGAACAUAACCAAUACAGGGAACAGGGGAAUACCAGACCAUAUCUGCUUUUGCGCUAUGACAAUCUCACUCGAAUUACGGGGACCUACACAUAUUAGUACAGUAUACCGGGUGUCCCCGGCCAGAACCACACGUGCAAGUUUCCCUGCAUGUGGCUCGUCCGUGCUUUUCGAGGCGCUGUCUGUGACUCAGCAUGAGAGAAGGGGGCGGAACUGCACACUCUCGUGUUCAGAGCAUUGUCCGAGUGAGUAGGCAGCGCCUACCAAGCAAAGCUUUGUUGAAGAGGCUGGGCUGCUUCCUUUUCGGCGCCCGCCUUUAUUCAUCUAUACUAAAGCCACACACGACCCAAUAGGAACGAUUUCAGCGCCCCUCUCUAGACAAGUGCUCGAGUCAUGCUUACGCCCUCUCCUUUCAGUCGAGUGACUUCGCCCCUCUCUAGAUAAGAAGCAAAACGCGCCAUCACCUACAGCCCUUUCCUCUGAAAUGAAAACGGGCGGCAUCAUUGUAUGCUCGACAUUUGUUGCCCUGGUUUAUAUCCCGGAGUACUCCUAUGGCCGAUCUGUCACCCAACCUACUUAAACAACCUAAAGGAGGAACCUAGCUUUUUCAGCGAAGCUGGAGGAACCCCUGUCCUGCUUUUAGAAUGACCCUUAUGGCACAGCUUAGUCAGUUAUUCUCGCAGUUCAGAUAAGAUUCGGACCGCCACUUCUCUGAAAGCAUGGUGCUUGCCUCCUCCCUCCUUGGCGCUCAUCCAUUCGUUGGGUGAUCCCUUGCUCUCACGUUCGAGUGUUUUCUCGUCGUUUAGGCCGGUGAGUGAGAUUUCUGCUCAUUGCAGUCACCUCCGGGGUUCUUUGCACCUGGGAUAGUACCAGGACCCUUGUGCCCCGGCUCUUGAUCAGAUAAAGCUGCCCGCCCGAAGCCCGACCUAUGACCCACAACUCAAAAUGAGCCUUACGACGAGACGCGGACAUUACCCAUGCUGCGGUUCCCUCCGGUCCGUUCCCGGGUUGGGUUAGGGGAACAUCAUAAGAGACCAAUAGAGACUUCAUAAUAAGAAUAAGACCAAUAGAGACUUCAUAAGAGACGCACAAUAAGAAUAAGACCAAUAGAGACUUCAUAAGAGACCAUCCUAGAAAGGCAUAUUUCGAAUAUAGAGGAGUUCAAGUUACCAACAAUCAACGAGUUGAUCAUACCCUUCUAUGAACCGUACAAGCACGUCCUCUCUCACACCCCACCGUGCUUACGGCUCUAUACCCCAACCCUACUGGCUGUGGACCUCCCCCUCGGUCCUCCCUUUCUAUUCCUCGGUAAGCAGGCCGUGGGAGCAUGGCGGGGGGCGCUAUCCCCUUUUGACUGAUAGAAAGCAUCUCUCUUUUGUCUCUCCUGACCGAACCCGCCAAAAAAAUCACAAUAGAAUAAGUUGUUCUUGCCGGGAGAGUAGCGUCUGAGACAUCUUUAUCUGAGGCGUUCCUCGGCGCGGAAGUUACCGUUUAUAGAAUGCAAGCAAGGUAGCUUGCCUGCCAAGCCGAUAGGCGAAAGGGCGAACUGAUCGACUUGCAUGUGUUAAGCAUAUAGCUAGCGUUCCUUAGUCUCAAUCACAGACCUUUUUUCCAUUUUAGGUGAACGAAGGUUACCGGCUCUACGACCUUGCAAGGCACUACAGUAGAGCUCGAGGAACGCCUGCCACUUUCUCAAUCGAAAAUGUCAACUGUGAAGAUUCUCACGUUUCUUUAUGUAAGUUCAGGAUUUCUUUUCGUUGAUCGGAUCGAGCACAUAGUAAGAAACCCUAAGUCAAUUCAUUCUCUUUGGCUGAUGUCAAUCUUCAUCAAGACAGCUGACCGAGUCGAAACCUACUGCUCAAGUCUGAUGAAUGCCCCGUUCAUGAGCUGGUAAAGUCGAGAUCAAUCAAGGGGAUCGGAGACUGGACGUCUAUUUCACUAUCCCGCUUUUGUCUAAGAAAGUCAGAUGCCUAUGCGGGAUCAUUAUGAACAGGUUACAAGGCGUUCCUCGUAGCUAUCAGAGGCAAAGGUGGUGACCCACCAUAUUUUUGACAGCUGUCUCGGUUGUUUGAGUUUUUAGAUUGUGGAACAGGGCCCACAUUUACAUAUUUUAGGUGACCUAGCCCUACAGUUGGCACUACGAAGUCGAGAGCUGCAGAUCGACCUCUGCCCGCUGCCCUUACCUACUCAAAUCCCAAAACGAAAAGAAUAGGCUUAAGCAUCUGGCUUACCGGUAAUCUCCCAUUCCCAACAUCGAGAGACUUUAAUAACUAUAGCAUGCUAGAAAAGGGGAGUUUAGGUGCUUAGACCUAUAGCCCGAAAUCUUCAACUUCUUAUAAGCCGACAUAACAUAUUCAACCACGGAUUAAGUCGACAUAACAUCUUCACGUUCAGUCAGGGUUUUCCAAUUGGAUUACCUUGCCGGAAUUGGAUAGAAAUAGGGCUAGACGCGCCGGAGGAACCCCUUCUGCUCGAGCUCGCCGUAGGAAACUUUCCCCAAGGUUUCAAGAUCCAUCUUUCAGGUUCCUUUCAAGCUGUAAGGCUCGCUCUGUUCUCAAGGCUUGGUAGCUCUUCACAAAGUCCUCCUUUUUCCACGAGUUGGAACCGUGCCGACACAUUUUCAUAUCGUCCCCCAGUAAUAGAGUGGUAGGUUUCUUCCCUUUCUAUUCUGUAUGACGCCUGAAUCCUUCAGCUACAUCUAAAGAAUCCCAACCAUUACACUAGAAGAAGAUAGGCAACUACCUUGACCAACCAAAACAAAUGAAGAAAGGAAGGGACGAAAGUGACUCGAGCAAAGCGAGAGGGAUGAAAUGAAUAAAGGGUUAUCUUGGAUUCCGACUUGGAAGCUUGAAUAGUGAUAGAUAAGACAACGCAACUAGAUUUCACGUCUUUUCUUGAGAGUGCCUUUCCAUCGCAAGUAACUGAGCUAUCUAGGGUUCAAAACCUGGGGAAGUCACUUCAACAGAAGCCUUACCAAAGUCAAGAGAUUGGGCUCUUAUAGCUAUAGUUGGAGCUUUUACAAACAGGUUUAGAGUAGGCAAUUCCUAGUUCAAGUUUCAGCUUCAUAGCUAUAUAUUUCCUUUCUUAACUGGGUUUUUGAACUUCACAUAUAGCCCAUCAGCUUGUGACUUCGCACUCUCAGUUUUGAGAUUGGGAAUCAACAGAACUGCCCUUUCUUAACUUAAUUAUAAAGGGUAGCUUAGCUGGUUAGAUUUACUGAAGGUAAUUCAAUCGCUGAACGUUGAUAAUAGCUUUCGAGAAGAGAUCCUGACUCUCCAGCUAGUUCAAACUUCCCCGAUUAGUAAUGCUCUCACCCUGGGGACAUAUCUCACCUUUGUCAGCAAAACAGUAGAACCAUCUUCAUUUCUCAGUCUCACACUUCCUAUUCCCUUCACUGUUGACAUGGUGUCAUUUGCCAUCUUUACUUUUCCACUACCAGCAUCUGAUAAACUCACAAACCAUUCUCUUCUUCCGAAAGAACAACCUGUGUCAAGUAUCCAGACUUCCCUUUGUUAGGAAUCCCUAAUUGAAAGUGAGAAGGGACCUACACUAGUAUAUAAAGCUUUCACCCUCUCCACUCAUUGCCAAUUGGUUUUGAGUUGGAAGCCCAUGAACACUCGCAUGGUAUCAAGAGCCAUGGAGGGUUCUCUUGAGUCUUAUCCUUUUCCUUCCAAUAUCAAUAUUACUAGUUGAGUCUCCAUUAAACUCAACGAUCGGAACUAUCUUCUAUACGACGAAGGAAGGGUGCGAUUGAGUCCGCUGAACUUGGGCGAGAGAUGUGACUUUGAGGAACGCCAAAGCUCUGGUGUCUACGAGAAGCUUCAUGAGUCAAACAAUUGAGGAAGCCGAUGCUUAUACUUGGGUAGAGAAUCUCGCACAAAGCAAUGGGAGUCAUGGCUCGGAUUAUGAUCGGACUACAAGGAAAAAUAAUGAUGAAUCUCAUCAUGCCAUCCAAGAGCUGAAUGCAAAAAUGGAUAAGAUAUUGAAGCGUGACCAAAAUAAAAGAUGACGGUAAACUCUUGUGAAGAGUAUGGUGGAUAUCAAGGGUACCAAGACUUUUGUGUUGAAGGGUAUGAGGAGCCACAAGAAGAGUAGACGUGGCAGGCAUUGAUCGGUUCAUUGGGACCGGGCUAGCAAAGGUGCGAAUCCUUUUACGCCACACCAUGUCACAUCUGCCUUCAUAGCUCAACGGAUAGAGCGCUCACCCGCUAAGUUAGGGGUUCUUGGGAAUAAGUCUGCCUUUGUUUUUUACACGUCAACAUCCCCUGAUUGAUAAAGGGAGUGAGCACUUCACUGAAGUAUGUGGAAGUGGUGGGAUAUCGCGAAUCGAGAUGUAGAUGAAGUCGUCUUUGAGUCAUGUAGAAUGCGAUACUUUAACGACACGAGACCCUGAAAAGGGAUUCAGUAGGCGUGGAGUUCGAGAUUGCCAUAAUGGAUGAGCUUUUUGGCUCAUUGUGCUUGCGAGACGAUCCUCGGAUUGGUUCUUUUCAAAGUCUGUUGGGAAGACGUAAACGCCAAUCUUCCCUGCCCGAUCAAUCUCAACACUGUUUUGGCCCCCCCUAAUACCUAAUACAAAGUCAGAGAUGGGGAAUCCUUUAGUUUAGAGACAAGUCUCAAAAUCGACUUGCAGGAAGGAUAGCCUACACCCUCUUUUCUGGACCUUCUUGUGAAAGUUUUCGGUAAGCUUUCACAGAGCAGAUGUUGUUCUCGACUGAAUCAACAAUGUUUUCCUUUUCCGCUAUAAUUCAAAGGCGUUCAUCUCCUUUUAGUCGACUAACUGGCGUUCCUCAAUUCAGAGACUGAGCCGGCUACCGUACUUCAUGCUUGCAGGAACAGCAGCACUACUAGGCAAUUAAUUAGCUGCCCCAUUCAUGCGCCCUCUAAACAACGAAAGCUACAACAUCAACGAAGGGAAUAGGCUUGCUUCUUCCUAGCGAUCGGGCGUUCCUCCCUCUUCCUGUUCACCGCCGGUUCGCCCACUGCUGCUUUCAUAGAUGUCGUGCGACGGGGUUCCUCCGCUAAUGGAUGCCUAUUCCGUUCUCCUGCUCCUGCUCCAGCUCAAGAGUUCAAACGGACAGAAGAGAGUCCUGCUACCGAAAAAAAAAGUGCAUAAUAUUGGAUUCAAACAAAGGGGAUUUAUUCACGAAUACGAUUUCUAUUGAUUGAAAGCUUUCCUAUUACUGAUGGCAGGCGGGCGAGACGGAGACCGCCGAAGAAGUGCCUUGACGCGCCGCAGCCACUACUUUGACUCCUUUUAUGCAAUUAUGUUAUGAACUCCACGGAACUUUCUCGAUUCCAACGCAACUUAUCCUUUUGGAGCUGACGUAAUAAACUAGGCGAGCCUCCCAACGAAGCCAACAUAAAUCCUAUCCGAAUAAAAAAAAUAAAAGGCAGUUUCAUUAUGGUGGUAUACCAACCUCCUGUUCUGGAACUUCCAGUUCCAAUCGAAGCAUAUAGAUCCGUAAAUAGAUUUGUAUGUAUAGCCACUUCAGCCGUGCUCGUCUUUUCUCGAAAGUAUUUUUUUCUGGGAACAUGGUUAACCAAAAAUGAUUAUGUUUGCGAUUCUUCAUCCACCAAUGCAUAAAAUGCUCAAGUUUUCCAUUCUUAUAUGAGGCCGGAAAGUUUAUUAGCAAGAGGUCGGCAUGAAGUGAUUCAUCAUGCUCAAACAUGAGCCGAUCGUUCGUUAGGGACGGUUUACAGAUCAUCAAAUUCCCACAAAUGGAAUGAGAAGUGGGUCCAUGUAAAUGAUCGAGACCUCGCAAACAACAACGCUCCUUCCCCAUAUGGAGUUCGGAACCCAAAGGCAAUUGUUGAGUGAACUGUAUCUUCUUUGUGUUAGUUGACCUCAGCCGCACCAUUACUGCUGGGGUGGGGCUCGGCCUCCAAACCGUACGUGGGACGAGUUUCUGCCUCAUACAGCUCGGGUCGAAGACCGGGGGAAGUUUAGGAGAGAUGAGGAGACCCAGCAGCUGCCGGUCGGGGCGGGGGUAAGCUUGUGAAGAAGCGAGCUUAUCCCCCCAAAAAAACCAAUCCUAUAGCGCUAGCGCUUCGCGUUCUUUCUAUUUUAUCUCAUUUCAUUCCGGGAUAGGCUAAUAAUACUAAUCUAAUAAGUGAAGUAGUCGUCGUCUGACCAAUUGACUCGGACACCAGACCGCUCGUGCCCGCCCAUUCUGUCUCGCCCUAAAUGGAAUGGCUUUCUUAGUUACGCUGCACCCCGCGACCCGAGUCCCCACGUCCGCUCUUCUCCGCCCGCAACCUAAAAAGUUGGCUUUGCCAACACAACAUUAGGGCUGUCCCCUUCAUUCUAUGCCGACCCCGGCCCGGAGCUGGCUUUUUGGGAAGCCCAUUCCCACCGCGCUCAUGGCCCGGCUGGCCUGCCAGAGGUAGUGGGAAUUAUCCCGUUCCCUGGUCAAAGACUUGGUUGGAUGCGGGAUCUACUCCACGAGGAGCGGUACGGACGUAGAUGAUAUCAUCACGACCUCUCUUUUCGUACCGCUAGGGAUGCUUAACGCCACUUCGCCAACUAGCGUUACCCGCGCUUUCGUAUCUCUCAGUGUGGUCAGCACUGGGUGUUUCCGAGCAGCGAAGCUUACACUCAUUCGCAUUAGUUCAUCCAAAGUUCCUUACCCUUAUGCACGAAUUUUUGAAUAAGCCAUCUUCCUAUCAAGGUUAAGGAGUCAACUGAGCAUCUCAGCGGCGGGAUUGAAUACCCGGAUCGAAUCAGAGUUCACGCCGCCCGCCCUGAACAAAUAGGAGGCGUGGGCCACAGGUCGCACAUAAGCUGCCGGGUCGCACGACAGAAGAACACCCAACAUACAGAUGCACACUCCUUCAUGUGAAAUAUUCAUCUUCAUUGGAACCUUUUGGUAGUAGUCGUGACCAACAGCCAUAGCCAUCAGCUGUCGGCUCCUUGGUAAGGCGAGAGCUUCAAGCCCGAUUUCUGGUGGCACGCCCCCCACACAAGCACCACCCAACUCAGGCGGGACGGGGAAAGCUAUAGGCCCAAAACCUUCGACCCUUCUUUCUAAAUCUAAAUGGGGGUGCCCGGAGCACCUCAUCUUGUCAUUUCAUCGUUGCUCAUUCCCGUUCGGCCGAAGUGUUUGGCCUUUCCUUCUCCGCGCCCGCUCACGCUUCGCUGACCUAUCGCGUGCUAAAAAGAGGAAAGUACGAAAGAAUAGUAAACAGAGCACACCGCAGAAAGAUUCUAAAUAUGAGAAGUCCCCCUUGGAUUCGAGAAGACGGAAAUGAAGAACGGGAAUGAAAAAAAAAUAAGGCCUUUCUAGCUCUAGUUUCGGAUGAGCUUCUCCCAAUUAUCUCUGGUAAUAGAAUAGGGCGACUUGCUCUGACCAAGACUCCACUUUUUGCUCCGUCCAUAGAGCGUAUGAUUUUCCUGGAAUGUAGAUAGACCAAAAGAGGGAAUGAAGAGAUAGGAAUAGGAAUUAUAGUACCAUUGGAAAAAGGGGCACCCGUGGGAACAUCUCUACUGACGAACCAUUUCAAUAGUACGGGUGCUGCCGUGACACAAGGCACGACCAUAAAAAGAAUCAAAAAGAAAAAGUUAUGUAGUUGGACCAUCUGCUCUAUCCGUUCGAGUUUGGCUUCUCUAAAGAAGAGAAGGCGCUAAAAAUGAAAAUGUUCGCAAGGCAUACCGAAAGGAUACCAAUGAAGCCAACCAUUAAUGACUAGUUCGAACACCAGGAGCGGAAGGAGGGACUUGAACCCUCAACCUUAGCCUUGGCAAGGCUAUGCUCUACCAUUAAGCUAUUUCCGCCAGCUAUGGUAGUGGCGACAGCACUACUGAGCAAUUCACGUAUUACUUGAUACGGACGACUUCCGUUUUUAUGCCGGACCACGCUCUUGACCUCCGAUCGAGCUACGAGCACGAGUAGGUAGGCGGCUAGGGGGGGGGGGCUGGGCUGGGAAGGAAGGUUUUUUUUCCCUCUUUUUGCUUCGCGCCAGAUGAGAUGAUGAUUAGUGGGUAAGGUCCAGUGUGUGCUCUUGAUCACAAUCACUAAAGAGGCGGGCUGGCUGGGCUGCCUUUUCAAUCAAUCUCCAGCCGCUCAGCGCCACUAUUGGAGUUGUAAGGAGUGAAGGUCUCGAGUCGAGCUGGGGCCUCAUUUAAUUCUCGUAACGUGCACCACAAGACCAGACAAGUGACUCCCUCGCCUCGCAGCUAGGCAUCUGUCUUUCUUUUUUUUAAGUUGAGUCAUUUCCUUUCCUAAGACGGCUCCUCUUAUUCUACGAUAAUCCAAGCAAAUGGGAUGAAAUGGUGACUAGGUGAGAAUCCGCGUUACACGCGGGUGUUAAUUUUGUACUUUUCUUUUUAAGUAUUUGGUGUAUAUACUUUUGGAGAUAUAUUUUUUGGGCAUUGAAAAAUAGUGAGUUAAACAUAUUAUACUUAAGAAAUUAUCAUGCCGAAUUUGAAUGACUUAUUCUAUGAUAUUCCAUAUAAUUGUUCUAUUUAAAUGAGAAUUCAAAGAAAUUUAUCCCACACAUUUGUAAGCAAUUUAUACCAGUUAUCCAAGACUCUCAUUCCUUGAUCAACUUCACGGAAAAUGUGGAUUUCCUAGGAGGAUGACUAUAACUUUCAAGAGUUUGCAUCUUGGACUUUCAACGUCUCAGUGAUUAUCAAAGCACCUGCAUUCCACUUGGGGUCAUUUAGAGACAUUAAUAUUUACUCAUUAAGUCUUUCAUCCACCUUCGCAAAUUUUUAGUCUCGACUCUUGGUAUUCUGAAAUCUGAUGAACAUUCUUACUUCUAUCUAUUCAGAAACUGAAUGUAGUAGUAGUACUAUAAGAGUUAGAUUGAAUAACGCUUACAAAUUUUAGGCAUGGUGUACGUAAGUAUGAAAAUCCUCCUUCAAUCUGCAUGAAUAGAGAGCAUUUCUCAGAUUUUGAGGUAGUUAAUUAAGACAUGUUUCCUAAUAAUAGAUCUCAAUGAGAAAGCUCAAUCAAUCACCUGCGCAUCAGUGUCUUUAGAAUUUUUUACUCUCUUAUUUCUUUCAUUGCUUAUCUUGAAUAAUGAUGAUAAAUCACGAUAUUUCAAUAGUCAAGUUUAAGCUAUAGCUUUUACCCAAAAAAAAGGUUAAACCCGAAGCCAUAAGAACAAACACAAGUCAUCAUAACACAAGUCCGGACAAGAGCAUUGGCGUAGUUUAGCUUUCUAGAAGUGCCUCUUUACAGCUACAAACAAUACGAAUGCUAACUCGAAAUGCUUUGCACAGAUAGUACAAUGGAUGAAGUAAUAGCAUUGUACAUUUGAAUCUUCAUACCUUUUCUUGAUUUCAUAUGUAAAUUCAUGUUCUUAUUGAUUUUCUAUAUGAAAUAAACCAAAAGCUAGCUAGCGGAGGAGUGGAAAAUUUUCAAUAACAAGGAAAAGGCAGAAGCGACUAACCUUGAGGGAUGAAGAACGAAUGAUGGUGCAGACUCUUACGUCGGAACCGAAUCAUAGGAAGAUUGGUGUUGUAUGCAGUCUCCAUAUAGGGGUCAAAUUAGCAUGGAAAACCAACACAUAACAUGGUUAAAAAAAGUGAAUUAAAAAGAGAAUCAAAUUGCAGGUUUGAGUUUGCACAUAUAUUGUAAUGAAAGAAUUCAGUUAGCAUAUCUACCUGUUUCGGUAUCUUAGAUUGAAUCAGCUCGGAAAUGAGGAGACAUCCACUUGGAUUUCACAAACUCUGCUCUCCUCCAUGGCGCCACAUGUAGGCUUUUAUUCUGGUAGUUCUUUGCUGCAGGCACAAUCUCUGAUUGUCAUCAUAAUUCAAUGUCUGUCAAUACUAUUUCACCUCUGAUUAUCACAUGUACAUACUAAUAUUCCCUGUUUCAUUUCAUAAAACAGGCACUAUAUUGUUAGGCUUCAUAGCAAUCUAUUCAAAGAGAUAUGGAAAGGACAAUGUGUGCAAACAACCCAUCACACUGUAAGACUCUCUGCCAGAAACGUAAAAGUGGAUUAUAUAAGUCUCUUCUCGUUCUCUCCUUUUGCAUCUCAUAACAUGCAACCAAAACAGAAGCAAGAUUUCGAGUUUAACUAUUAGAGAUUUAUAGUGUACCAGCUGGACAAGAAGUCGAUUUCCCCGAGACAGAUUUGCAUAGAGACACAUCAUAUCAUAUUCGCUAGAAUCCUUUAGAAUCGGCCACAUUAAUAAAGGAUGACUCGUCCUUAAGCUUUCAAGUUCUUAUUUGUUUCCACAAUCUUUGUCGCAACACUCCUACAACGGACCAAAUUCUACAAAUUCAAUUUUCUUAUAUAAGCUAAUCUGUUUUCCCUUGAUCCAACAAACGUAGAGUCAUGAAAAAUUGAUGAAUCAUACCUUUAGGAUUUAAAAAGCUUCGCCAUUGUCAUCGACGAUGAAAUGCAGAACCAUCUUCGCUGAAUUACUUCUUGAAAGUUUUGUAGAAGCUUUCUUACAGGAGAAUUAAAAAGGGAUGACAAAUUCAUCACCCAUAAUUAUUAAUCCAACAGAAGUUGUACAGGCAACAGAAAAACGAAGGUUUCAGAGAAAUUGGAAUUCCGUUUGGAAAUUGCAAAACGCUUAAGAAAUAAAAAAAAAAGGAAGCGCAAGAGUGGAAUUUGGGUGUACACGUGGCAGUCUUUCAUGUGCUGACGUGGCACAAAUCUGGAGAAAGUUACCCAAGUUUUAUAUUAUAGACUAGGAGAGAACCUGCGCGUAUACGCGGUUUUAUUUAAUUUAUAUUUUAAAUUAUACAUUUUAAAAACUUUUAUUAAAUUUUAUUUUUAUUAUAAAUAUUUUUGCCUUUAAAAUAUUUAUAUUUUCUUUGAUUUUUUAUAACAUAUUAUUUGUAAUUAUUAUACACCAGUUGUAAUAAAGAAUUAAAAACCUAAUAUUUAAUUUCUGUAUAAAAAUAUAAUAGUUCACAUAUUUUUAUAAGUUGAAUACUAGAGAGCAAUAUUUAUUUGUUCUUCCAUCUUCAUAUUUUUUUAUUGUUGUAAAUCCUACUAAUAUAAUAUUUGUCAACUUUCUCAAUAUACAAUUUUGAGUUUUUUUGUUAUAUAUAUUUUAUUGAUUCCUGGUUUUUUUGUACAAAAAAAACAAUUUAUGACAUUUUUAUAUAUCCAUUCUUCUUUUUACUAUUAUUUUUUAUAUUUUUUAUCUUUUUAAUCAUUUAUUAAUUUUUAUGUUUUAUAAAUUUAUUAGUUAGAGUUUUACAUAAUAUUAUUUGAAAUUUCUUAAUAUAUUCAGUUUUAUAAUUUUUUUCACUUGCAUUAAAAUUUAAUUAUUUUUUAGUUUAAAAAUGAAAUUUAAAUCAUUUAACAAAAGAAAAUAGAAUGGUGCAUUUAAAAAGUUUUGUAUUAUAUAAUAUUUAUAAGUUGUAUUAUAUUUAAAUUAAAUUUUAAUUAGUUUAUUAUAUAAAUUUAUUUAUAUACAUAUUAUUUAUUUAUAUUCUUUAAUGUGUUUCUUUAAAAUUCAUUAAUUAUUUUUUAAUUAAGAUUGUAAAUGGACAUGUGUCACUCUCUCCAAUGCUGAUGUGGCAUUCAGAUGGAGAAAGUUGAUUGUAUUAUAUAUACUAAGUGAAUAUCCGCACGUUACGUGUAGGUUUUUCUUUUCAAAAUUUUUAAACUUUUUUUUAUAUUUUUAUAAAAAUUAAUAUAAUCAUUACUUGUUACCUAUUACUUGUUAAUAUUUUAUUCUAAAAAAUUAUAAAAUAUUAAUACAUAUUGAAUAUUAUUUAAUAAUUUAAAGUUAUAUUAAGAUUAAAAAAUAUCAUUCAAAAACUUUUAAUUAGUUAUAACAUAAAUUUUUGUUUAACAUUUACAGAAAUAUUAAUUGAUAGUCAAUUAAUUUAAAAAAUAAAAUUUAUAUAAUCAUCAUUUCAUUUGUUACUUGUCAGUAUUUUAUUAUAAAUAAUUUUAAAAAAAUAAUUUAAAAUACAUCUUGAAUAUUAUUAAGUAAUCUAAAUAUUAUUAAGUAAUCUACAAUUAUAUAAAAAUUAAAUACAUAUCUAUCAAUAUUUUUAAUUAGUUAUAACAUAAAUUUUUGUUUAACAUUAAUAUAAAUUUUAAUUAAGAGUCAAUUAAUAAACCAAACUUUUCAUAUUCUUUAAAUGUUUUAAAAUUUAAUAUUAAAAUUUAUUAAUUAAAAUUUAAAGACAGAUGUCAAUCUAUCCUAUGCUGAUAUGUCAAUGAUAUGCUAAAAGUUGAGCAACUUUUUUAUAUAUAAGAUAUUAUGUUGUUUUAGUAUAAUAAAGGGCCAAAAAUAAAAAAUUUGUGUUUCCGGUUUAGCCUCUCUCAACAUGUUGAAUCCAUGAUGGACGGACACCUACCCAAAUCUUUUUACCACUGGCCCAACCCAACGUUGGUAAAUUAAAUAUGAAUGUUUAAUGUUUAAGAAACUUGCAGGCCUUUCAUCUCUUAUAAGUGGAGCAACACCAAUAGCAAUAUAUUUUGUGAAAUUUGUAAAGUGACCGAGUAUAUAAAAAUAUCGACUCCAGGGUGUCUAGUUAUAUUUCUUUUUAGAGAGUUUUUAUCCUCUCUCUCUCUUCUCUCAUCUCCAUCUUUGAGAAGAGAGAGAGUUUUUCUCUCUUUUUUUGAUGUAUAUACUUCCGAUUAAUAUCGGAUCUUCCUUCCGUGUAUAAUGGAUAAUAAUUUCGACUUGAUCGGAUUUGUUUUAUUCCGUUUAUCAGAGUUCUUUUUCUUCUAUGUUUGAUUCCUUCUUCUUAUGUAGUAAAAUCCAACACCAAUCCUUAGUGGAGUGAAGGAUUUUAUCAAAUUAGAGGAAUCUUUGAUCUUCUUGUGUUAAAGUUAAGGUUUUCUGAUUUAUCGGAUGUUUUAUGCCCAUUCUCCUCUACAAUUGGUUCCUCUUGUAUAUGAGGCGGUGGUGAUUGGAUCUGGAGGUAAGAGUUGGAAGUCUUCUUCUUCAAUUACUAGUAUCAUCUUUUCUGGGCUGGGAUUGGAAUCUCCCUAAGUCCCCUAUUUUAAAGCCUUCUUCAAGGUAUGGGUGACAUGUCCUGAGUAUAGAUGAUUGGCGAUGAUUCAAAUGAAGGAUUAGAGUUUCUGCUCAAUUACUCUCUGGAUCUUAUUGAGGAGGAAACAAUAGGUGAAGAAGCAGCAAUUUGAGGAGGAUGAUAGAUCUGAUUGGAGUUAACCUAUGGUUUUGAACUCUUCGGAUUAUCGAUUUUCCGGCGAAGCUCUGUAUCGUCGAUGAGAUCGGCGGCAUCUUCUAACCAUUAAUCGGCGUUCACCCCAAUUAUGCUGCGUGUGUAACACGUGUUCUUUAAUUAUCGAUCCUUAUCUUUUAUUGUGGGCUAUAUAUGGGUUGAUAUUUUGGGCUUUAAUGUGUAAGGAUUGGGGCCUCAAAUCUUGCUGUAAUUUGCUUAUUGUUGGGCUUUCUUUAAUAAAAGAUUGGACGACAAAAAAAAAAGUUAUAUUUCUUUUUUUUAUGGAAAAAUAAAACUACAGACGAUUUUAUUAUGAAAACAGCGAAGUUUACAAGUCAAACACAGAGACAAUAAAAUAUGAAACUUUAUUCCCAUUGUUUGGUCCUAAUAUAUCCUGCCCCUUUAGUAUAUUUAAGGCUCUUAUUUCAUUACAAAUGAUACAGAUGAGACUUCUUUUUCGUUAAGUGUGAGAAUCUCAAGCUGAAACUCAGACAAAACCUACAAAGUCAAUAAAAAUCCGGAGUUUUCUUACCACUACAUAUACGGAUAACCAUCAUAACUGAAAUCGCAGUAGACUCUCACUGGGGGAGCACUCGAAUUAUGACCUAGACCCACACAGCGAAUCCUAACAACCAUUGGAUCAAGAUAAGGUAGUUAUACGGAGAAGACCUACACCCUCCACCGUAUCCUCGGCCGUGUCCGCCGUCUCCUCCGUAGCUCUGUUGAUCAGGGUGCAGUGUCUCCUCACUCUCUGACUUCACUGUGCCUGUCCAUAACAAUACAUUAUUUCAAAGAUCUUGUUUACCACGUGCAAUGGUGCCUUCCGAUUUCAAAACAUUUAUAUACGUUCUACAAAAGCUGCACAAAACAAAAUCAAAAUAAUUUGAGAUGGGAUGAUAAGUAUAAUAGCAGAUCAAUAUCAUACUUAAUUGUCUUGACUUACUCUAGGAUUCAACAUAAUUCUUAAGCGUGUAUUUUUGAAUAGCAUGAAAUAUUGACUGAUACCCUUGUUCCAAAAUAUUAUAUAUAUAUAUAUAUUAACUGAAAUAUAUAUGGAAGUACCCGACUGCCUUUCAGAUUCCCCUGCAACUUCAGAGAUGACAAGAAGAACCGCAAAGAGACUCACCAGAAGCAAAGCCUUGGAAGCCAUUUUUUCAACUUUUUAUAACACUCUUUCUGUAAAGAAACAAGUGACGAAUAAAAAAUGUUGCCCUCUAUUUAAAGAGAACGAGGAGUAGGAAUGAGAAAAGUCAAAGAAUGACUAAUAUGUAGUCCUAUAAAAAGAAGGGAAUAUAUAAUCAAAUGAUUAUUUACAAUUUUAGGAUGAUUUCAUGAAAUAACUAAUAAACUCUCUGCCCACUUCCAUAGACAUUAUUUACGAUAAAAAUCAGAUGGUAAGGACAUAAGUAUCAAAGUAUGUGUACGUCAUUACAUCGGGCCCCUUAUGAUGUUUAUGAUUGCAUUAUUGAAUUCCAUUAUUGGAUCCUCUUUCCAAUAAGGGAGCAGCACGUACUAACUAGUAAGGACAGUAAAGGAUGAAAACAUUUACUGUCCUUUGCCUAUAUAUUCACCGUCAAUACGAAAUUUCAACUUGGAAAAAAAAAACACGAAAAUUCAAAUGGAAUUUUGGUUGGCUAUAGAUCAAAAUAUCUAUCCAAGUCACCUAAUCAUCAAGGGGGCUUGAUGUAUCUCCGUUGAUGAGCUGCUGAGCAUUAUUAUUGAGUGUAGACUUAUAAUUGAUUCAAACGUAUAUUUCCUAACCAUUUUUUGGGUUAAAUUGUUAGUAUUUUAAAGGUUCAAAACUUAUGUAAGACAAGUGACUUGUAGUAUAAAAAGAUAAAAACACAAUACACCAAUGAUAGUAGGUCAAUUAUUAAUUUGGAGUGUAUAUAUCAUCGAAUACCUAUCGGAAUUCUAGUUUUACUCGAACAUAUCACAUAAUAUAGACAUUAAUGAUAUGAACUUAUAAUUAUAAAAUGUCUAAUAUCUUUCAUUUUUUUAAUCUGAAAUUUAUCCUAUUUUAAAUGUGAAAAUUUAUCAGUCACCCAAAAAGAAUUAUGCCAAGUAAUAAUAAAAAUGAGAAAGAUUUUUUUGUCAAAGUAACAAAAAAAAAAACCAGAAAGACAGUUUGAAAGAUGAAAAAUACAAAAGAUUGAGACAGUACAUAAUAAGCUUCUUCCUCUAUUGAACCAACGUCUAAGCAGACUCGACUAUGGAGGUGUGAAAAUUCGAAGUAGCGUAAAGAUGAGACUAUAUUACUCGAUUGCAGAAAACGAAGAAUUUUAAAUCAACAAAAUCAUAAGCAAGAGUUGGGACUUGGACAGAGAGAGCAAACAAGUUGAAAAAUACGUAACAAAAGAAAGACAAUAAUUAAAAUCACAUAUUUCAUUUGUUAAGGCAGAUCCGGAGGUAAUCAGUUUUGUCUAUAUGCUCACUGUAACGACCCCAAGUCUUUACCGGACGGAAAACAAGCAUGUUCUUUGUUGUACACAUAGUUAUGUUUCUCUUAAUUUUUCAAUUUUUAAUAAAUUAAAAUUCUCUUUGGAUGGGGAAAACAAUAAACCACUUUCUGUUUGAGUGCCUUCCAGUUUUAUAAACUUGGGUUAUCUCUCCAAUCCUGUCCCUUCUUGAUAUAUUUUCUACUUCAUGUGUUUUCACAAAUUUUGUUUUUUUUUUGUUUUGGCGAAUACUGCGAUUUCUCUAGAAUUUUUCUUUGACAUGAUAUAUUUGAAAAGUUAGAAAUGAAAUAAGGUCUAUUCUAAUGUGGAUAGAACCCCACAAAAAAUUCUUAAGAUUGUAGAGUCCGAGGCAGCUAUAUGGGACAUGGCACAACAUAUCGAUUCAAAUGGGAUUUCCCAAAUAUAGUUACUACGAUGAUGCAGCCGGUAUUAGAGAGUUUGGUGUUAUAUAGAUGGUUCUUGGAAAGAGAGAGACACCUGAGUAGGAUGGUACUGUGUCAAAGUAGGUAGUGAAGAAACACUUUUAAGAACAAAGAAUCUUCGUAGACUCUAUCCCAAAUACAUGUAGAACUGCAAGCACUCAUAUGGAGAAUCUACUUUAUCGUUGCUUUAUUAAAAACGAUGAUAACUUUCACAACAGACUGUUCCAAAAUGGUGAAGAUGGUGUUUGCACCAAGGAGGUUUUUUUUUUUUUUUUCUCUAUCUCAUUCAUUCUAUGCGCAAAGAAUACAGCGACAGACAAGUUAGAAUGUAAUGCUUGUGUUUAUUCUUCUGAUAUCACAUAAAUAAAGUCGGUACCACCAAUUUGGAUCUAUGAACCGUUCUAGGUAUCUUAUCUGUUUACCAAAAAAUAUUAAAAUUCUUUUUUAUUCUUCUUCCUUUUCCCAAUUGCUGCAUCAUUUGAGAUUACAAAAUUUGAAGGACAAUAAGAUUACAUACUAAUACAAGACUUUUAGAAUAUUUUAUAGACCUCAAUUGAGGUGGUGCAUAUAAAGUAUCUACCUUUGGAUGAAUCGAAACCAAGUGCAGAUGAAGCUUUCAGAAUUUGGGAGUCGAUUAACGUGAGGAAGCGAUUAUAGAUUGAGAAGCGGCUCGAUCUAGACCUGAAAGCUUAGCUCAAUAAGGAGUUGGAUGUCCUUAACUACUACAAGAGCCUACUUUGGGGAGGAGUUAUAGAUCCUUGAAUUCCUCUUCUUCCAAAAUAAAUAAACCACAACUUCGAAAAUGACUUUACAUAUGAUUUUGAGUUUCCAUUUCUAGAACAUUGUCUAACCUAACUAACAAUAUACUCCAAACAAAUAGGUGACAUUUUAUGGUAAGAAAAAAGUGUGAUAAAAGAAGACCAAACCUCUAUAGAAUAAGAUAUAAUAAGAAAAAAUUGUGAUCGACAUUCUGUUCCAACAGCGGAUAGCAAGCAAUCACUAGGAACGUUAAGUCCCCAUAUUCUUUACCUGUCACGCGUUGGAAGUCUAUCCCGAACAACUACCUAAAGCAUAAAAGCAUGUUUUGCAAUCCUCUAUUGAACCAUACACUUUUAACCCAUGUUACAUUUUAUGUUGCGGGAUAAAGGGAAGCCAAGUUUUAGAAGUGGAGAAAAUGUUUAGCAGUUCACUCAUGGUAUGUCUCCGUAAAUAAAAAUCCGGUUUGUUAUCUCAGGUAACAGAGGCACAUGAGGUAGCUACACAGGCCCGGAAAAGAGUUAGAGUCGGAUGUGUUCUCCUUGAUUUCGACAAGAGAUCAUCUUCACAAGCUUGUGAGGCAAAGGCUAUAACUAAAAUUCCUGAUACUCUUGGUUCAUUUGGAUCGAUGAUUUAAAUCAACGAGACUACAUUUGUCUAUUCAUCAUGCCAAAGACACAGCUAAAUUCCCAGACUGAACUUGACAAGAUAAGUAUAGACGAGCUAGAGGAGGUACUUCAUCAAUCGACGCCAAAUCAAAUUCCUUAAACGCUAAAAGUGUGUUGACCAAAAUAAUCUCUCUUAUCACCAUUAUUAGAAUCCAAGCUACAUAAAGACCCUGAUGCUAAAACAAAAGCCAUAAAAGUUUCAAACCGAACACCUAAUUCGAAAUUUGAAGCUUUUUCAGCUUAACUCGCUAGCCCUUCUAAAGAAUAAACUGAAUCUCAAGAGAUUUUUGCAUUUCAAGGUCAAUUUGAAGAUCCACUCCACGAGAAAGUAUUACAAAUAUUUUUUUUAGGAUUUCAAAAUAUCCUUUCAGAAUAGGAAACAACUCUGCCCAGAAAUUGAUAGUACCGAAGAAAACAUUAAGAAUAAGUUGCAAACUCCCCACAAAUGAUAAAUACCUAACUGUCCACGAGGAAGGAAAAAUCAACAUUAUCAUACGCUUUUGUGAUGUCAUUUUGCGAUUAAUUUAGAGGCUAGACGUUUUUAUACAAUAAUCUUCCUUUGACAAAACACACUUCCUACAUGUUCACCGUUCCUGAAGUGAUAAGUUUGAGGCGAGAAACCACUAUGUAAACUAUAUUAUACAGAAAAAUUGGUCUGAACUCAGAAAGACAAGCACCUCUAAUAAUUUUUGGAAUAUAAGCAAUAAUCUUGGAGUUGACUUCUCUUGACAUAGAUGGAUUACAAAAGACAUCUUUCAUUGCCUGAAUCAAGCUAGUAGCCAUCAGUUUCAAGGAAGAAGUGAAAAAAUCUAUGGUAAAACUAUCUGAACCUGGAGCCUUAUUUUGAAGCAAGACAAACGCAGUGGCUUUUACUUCCUCCUUUGAAGAAAUAAGAAAUCUGACCAGAGAGAGAAAGGCACCUAAAAAGGUGAAAAUGUGGAUUUGACAAACCAAAAGUGGCUGAAUCUGAUCAUUUGCCAAUCCUAAAGGUUUGAUUGAUAUAGAAUGAGCAUGCUUUUGAGAACCAACGGGUCAGAGACUUUAUUACUCACAUUUUCUUAGAAAAAAUUAAUAAUAUUCCUUGAAAGGUUUGCUAUGACCGAAUUAUGAAAAAACAGGCGUCAGGAUCAUCUUCUGUCAUCCACCGAUUUUAGAUUUCUGUCUGAAAACAAACCGAUUUUACUAAGCUUCAGGUUCUAAAUUUAUAACCCUUAAAUGUAUGCAAAUGCACAGAUAUGCUAUGCUAGGGUAUCGAUCCAUAGAAACUUAGUUGUUUCAUUACAAAUCCACGCUAAUGCUUAAAUCUAAUGAGAACUAAAUAAUUUGGUUUUGGUUUUGGAUGUCACAAAAUCUAAACUAGAAAACAAGUAAAAAGCAACUGAAACUAAGACUGUAAACUAUUAAAAACAAAACGCUAGGCUUAAAGGUAUUUGCAGAGAUUCAUGGACUAAAUUUAUGAUAAAAAUAAAUAAUAAAGAUAAUCGACUACAAUUUGUUCUAGAAAUCGAGCACGGAUGUAUGACUAUGUCACUUUCAUGAUCAUAACUAACUGACACCCACAACCUUGAUCAGUAGCUUCCGACUCUGGCCCCAGCCACAGAUGUACGCAAUUUUGUACUAGAUUCAUCUACAUUCACAACUCACACAUAGGUAGCUUUCGUCUCCUGUGGUAGAAUUGCUUGUUUCACCCUAUACCUUCCUUUGUCUAUGUAUCAUAUAUGCGUAUGUAUGCAUUUUAUGCUUCUAAUCAUCUGCCUCUUAUUUGCCCAAAAAUCCAUAAAUUACUCAGACCAAGAGCCGCUCUCGGUGUAUUCAGUUCUAUCCCAGAGCCGCUCACCUAUCGCGUCCACCCGGACCGACCAUUCCUAUCCAGAACCAUCACCAGCCAUAUUUUAAUUCCUGACCAGCAAUCUCUUGUGGUUCAUAAACUAAUCCACACGCUUGGCUGGCCAAGUCUAUACUUGGCCGCGCAUGGGGUUCUCCAACGAACCAGAGUCCCAGAUCGGUUCGCUAAGCCUUAGUAAAAACGUACCUUAGCUACAUGGUCGGUCAGUUCCUCCUGCACCUGAAUUCUGCCUUUGGUUUGCCCUCAUGACCCGCACACCGUCGUUCCAGCCUCAUAGCCCUUCUCUCCGGCUUAUUUUACUCUCUCUCUCUUUCACGGUCUUUGGUUCGAUUUUAAUGGCCAAACCUUUCCCUUACUUGUGUGUGCGUAAAAAUGAAGGCAAAUGGGUCUAUUUAUAGAUUCUCCCUUUUGUAACUGCCAGAUUGCAAACAGGUGUGUGUUGCUUGGCUGAACAGGUGCGUUGUUUGGUGGAAUAGGCUUUGCAACCCUUCGGCUAUAACCGCCCAUAACCGCCCAGCCCAGCUAGCUCCACUACCACUCAACUAGACCCAACUACUGAACUCUUAGCCUAGCUGAACUGAGCUUCCCGGCAGCUGGACCAACUAGCUUAACUCGGCUGCCCAGCUCGUUUUAGCUCCGCAUAGCUUAUUGAGCUUCUUCCAUCUAUUUUCCCGGUCUUUUCUUUCUUUUUCCUGGCUAAGUCUUAGACCAAUGAACUUAGCCGAUUACUUUGAAACAUGGAUCGAGUCUUUGCUUAGACUCUCACCCCUUGUUUCCCACUUCUCGACCAUGGUCCGACCCGGCGCCUAUUGCGGAUUGGGGACGCUACAGGGCUAGCGACUGCUUCAACCCACAUAGCAUCCAAAUAAUAUUCCUUCCAUAUCUUCUUCAGCCAUACAUCUUCAAAAUAAACCAUCAGCACAUCUCUUGUAGAGAUAUGGUUCAUCCCAAAAAUAAUGUCUUACGUCUCGCAGAAACUUUUUUUCCUAUAUCCAAAAAAUGGUGGUGGUUUAACGUCUGCUGCUAAAUAAUUGGCUAUAUGCCUAAACCAUGGGGUGUUAAAAGCGUCUGACCGUCGCAUAAGUUUCUGCGGUGGUACUGUAUCAGAGUUUACGCGAACCGUAUCCAUUGCAUAGAUGUUUUCUUCAACCAAACUAUCAUUUAGGGGCAAUUUUUCUUCAACAAGAAUUCGUGAAAGAUGAUCUGCAACUCCAUUAUCUGCUCCUUUCCGAUCUUGAAUUUCGAUAUCGAACUCUUGCAGUAGGAGGAUCCAUCUUAUCAACCUCGGUUUGGCGUCUUUCUUAGACAUUAGGUACUUGAUUGCUGCAUGAUUGAUAUGAACUAUGACCUUAGAUCCUACGAGAUAAGAACAAAAAUUUUCAAAGGCAAAACGACAGCUAGAAGUUCUUUCUCCGUUGUUGCAUAAUUGCAUUGAGAUUCGUCUAGAGUCCUACUUGCAUAAUAAAUUAUGUGCAGCAUCUUAUAUUUUCUUUGGCCAAGAACAGUUCCGACUGCAUAGUUACUUGCAUCGCACAUGAUUUCGAACGAUUGUUCCCAAUCAGGUGGUUGCAUGACUGGAGCAGACACAAGGGCUUCUUUUAUUUUCUGAAAAGCGACUAAGCACUCAUACUUUCUUUUAUAAUAUGGAGCUGACACAAGGGCUUCUUCAACCAUGGUUCUUUCUCUCUGUUUUUAUAUUUCCUCGGGAUCCUUUGUAAAUUCCGGCUCUUUGUAAGCUAAACCGCUCCUAAGUGUGAUGGCUUUCACAUGGUCAGAGGGGUUGGUUUCGCUUGAGCUUUUGAAAGAACAUUUAUUUGGCUCCUUCUUGGAAUCAUCAGUGUUCUUAGACUUAUCUUUGAUCAUUAAACUAAUAAUGGUGGAAAGUUUAUCAUUGAAAUCUUCAUGCAACCUUUCAAUUUUGGAAUUAAGAUCAUUGAUGUCCAUAGUCUUAGAUUCCCAGAAGAGGGAAAACUUGAAUAGGGAAUGGAAUCAGAUUGAAUAGCCAGCAUUGGCAGGGAGGAGGCGCGGUCGUAGAGCUCGCGACCGUGGGUGAAAGAGACUUGGUCGCCGUCAGGAUUGACACGACCACGGUGGAAAUAGGCUUGGUCGUGGUCCACAAGAUUGGACCCGCGGUUGUCAGGGACAAAAGGAAAAUCUUGAAUUUGAUAGACUUCUUCAGUGUUGAUCAACUCCUGGUUGUAAAAACUAAUUUGGUUGUUCCAAUCGUCAAAGUUACCCCUAAUGUGUGCCUUGUUCGGUUGUUGCAAUUGAUGCGUGCUCAUGUCAACUACGUGAGGGAACAAGUUUUACCCUUAACAAAACAAAUGAAAGCCGCAAGUGCACAACUAAUCAGUUGUAGUAUUUAGGGAUCGAAUCCACAGAGAUUUGUGUGCCUGGUAUUCUUCUACGGUUUUUAACUUUAUGUCUAGACUAAAUUGGUUUUAAAGGUUGGUUGUUUUUUUUGCGAAUUAAACUAAAACAAAAGAAAGCAAAUAAAUCUAUCCUAAAAAGCAAGUAAAGAAAAUCGAAUGAAAUGUAAAUGGAAGAAGUAAAAUAUCGAACUAAACAAAAAUAAGGCAAGUAAAAUAUCGCAUGAAAGGUAAAUAAAGCAAGUAAAUAACGAACUAAGGAAAUUGAAAUGCAGGUCUAAGAAAGCAAGUAAAAAUCGAUGGAAUUUUAAACUAUGGCUAAAAACGCUGAGCUUUUGGGAACUCUAAGGGAUCAUAAUCGGUUUUAACACUAAGGUAGAUAGAUUGGGAUUGACGGAUAACAAUAUAUGGGUUCUAGAGCUAGAAUACGGCGGUAUGACUACGUCACUGUCGUGAUCAUAACCAACUGUUUCUUGCAACCCUGACCAGUAGGUUUCCACUCUGGCCCUGGAAGGGAGAGAACGCAAGAGCUCCACAAGACUCGUCAAUACUCACGAUCUCGCCGUAGGUAGGUUUCCACUCCUACGGAAAAAUCGCCUGUUUCAUUCUAGGGCUGAUACUUAAUGAAAAUUUUCGCAACACUAACUAUCUAGAUCAGACACUAGGUGAUCAAUCAAACAUACAUGCAAUAAGAACAAGAAUAAACAGAGAACAGGUCGAAAUCCCAGAUCUAUAAACCUAGAUGUCUUAAUCGAUUAUGAGAGCCCCUUUCGGGAACCCUAAGCCCAACUCGAGAUCUACUCAGACAUGGCUGAGUUCGACAUCAUCAUUGGUUUUAAUAAAAGUAAUGAAAAACAGUAAAGAAAAGAGAUAAAGAAGGCUUCUCUAUUGAAGAACUCGGACUUGAACAAUCUUCUACAAAAAUCUCAUAAAAAUGGCUAAAGGAAAAGGGUUUCUGUAAAGUAUGAAUGGCUCUCUCUAAAAACGACCUAAAUGACAUGUAUUUAUAGUCUCAAAUACUCCAUGGUCUCUAGGGUUCCGGAAUUGAGGCUGGGAAUGACUUUGGGCUUCAGAUAAGUGGGCUUUAAGUCGGAGCUUGAAUGCCGCGGUCGGGAGUGUUGUGACCGCGACAAUUGGCUUGUUGGCCGCGGUCGGGAAGCUUCUAACCGCGGCAAAUAGCUUGUUGGCCGCGGUCGCGUGAGUUGCUGGCCGACUCCGCGUGGCUCCGAGGCUAAUGAAAUAUCUUGAGAUCCAACCGUUGGAAUGUCUCCAAACCAAGUGCAUUUGAAAGCUGGUUGAUUCUUCUAUAAGUUGUCCAAUUUUGAGGGUGAUCAGACGGUGAGAAGGUAUUCGUCUCUCCAUGAGAGUUAUGACGGUCUGCAUUUAUCCAAAAGAGUCUUUUUGUUCUAUUUUGUGCCUCUUUAUCCCAAAUUACCUGAAAAGUCUUUUAAAAUCCGGAAACAUAGAAAUCCUUUGAAAACCUUUGAAAAUGGAGUAAAAACACCUGUAAAAGAUAUUAGAAUGAUCCUUAAAAAUGGCCAAAAUCCGGUGUUAUCAGCAAUCCAAGUUGAUUCAUUAUUUGAUGAGUAUUUUCUACCAAGGCAUCAACCAAAAAAGGCUUGGUUACGUAUACUUCAUGCAAGGUUGUUGACUUAAAUACAAGCAUCUUCUGCUGAUCUAGUGGAGAAGUCUCCAUUACUUGCGGUGUCAAAAGAAUGUUGUAAUUCGUGAUCGAUGUCUUGGUAGAAAAUACUCAUCAUUUAUUAUUCAUCGGAAAAUCCGUGGUGUGGACAAUCUCUUUUGUAUUCUCUAAAUCGAUCCUAAGCUCGUAGAGCAUCUCACCCUUCCUUUGCUCAAAAUUUCUUAUCUUGUUCUUUAGGAGGUUGGAACGAGUACUAGUAUAAAAACGAUUCAAGAAAGCAGCUUUACACUAUUCCAAUGUUUUUAUAGACGCAGCUUGCAAAGCUUGUAGACCCUUUUAUGGCUUUGUCUCUCGAAGAGAAUGGGAAAAGGCUACACUUAUGGUAAUCCCUAUUUGAUGUAAUGGUUGCAUAUAAUUCUUCAAACGACUCAAUGUGAUCCAUUGGGUGUUCGGUUAACCAUAGUAUCGAUUUUGUUGAACUAAAGUGAUGUAGGGUACCUUUAUUUCGGUUUUGCCAUCCUUUGGUAAGCUGGUUAAAUAGCUCUUUGAUCUCCCAUGAACUGUUCGAGUGAGUCAAAACCACCAAUUAGCUCAUCAUCAUCCUCGCUGUGUUUUGUUGGUCCGAUCAGCUCCUCCUCAUCAUUGAUCGGGUUGUUAAGCUCAUCAUCUCUCAGGUCAUCUUCCACGAGAGGUAGUGGAUCGCCAAGAGGCUCGGGAACAUGUUCCCAGUCUCCCAUUGAGGAGUAACCUGAAAAGUACAAAAGAAAAAGUAAAAGUAAACAAGUGUUCUAAUGGAUUUAAGCUGGAUUCGCAGCAAAACAAAUCAAAGUCUCCAGCAACGGCGCCAAAAACUUAAUGCAAUUUAGAACGGGGUUGGUUUUACUAAGCUUCAGGUUCUAAAUUUAUAACUCCUAAAUGUCUGCAAGUGCACAGAUGUGCGGUAUAAUACUUAGUUGUUUCAGUACAAAUCCACACUAAUGCUAAAAUCAGAUUAGAACUAAACGAUUUGGGUUUUAGUUUUCGGUGUCACGAAAUCUAAAUUAGAAAGCAUGAAACUAAGGCUGUAAUCUAUGAAAAAAAAAACGCUGGGUUUAAGGGUAUUCACAGAGAUUCAUGGACUAAAUCUAUGAUAAAAAUAAAUGAUAGAGGUAAUCGACUACGGUUUGUUCUAAAACUCGAGCAUGGAUGUAUGACUAUGUCACUCUCAUGAUCAUAACCAACUGUCACCCACGGUCCUGACUAGUAGUUUCCGACUCUGUCCCCAACCACAGGUGUACGUAAUCUUGCACUAGACUCAUCUACAUUCACAACUCACCCAUAGGUAGCUUUCGUCUCUUAUAGCAGAAUUACUUGUUACUCCUUAGAUCAGAUAGAUAAUGAAAUUUUUUUGCAACAUUAAGUAUCUAGAUCGAAUUCUAAGUGGCCAACAGAAAAACACGCAAUAAGAAUAAGAGUAAACAAAGAACACCUAGAAGAUUAUGAACCAUAAAUCUUACAAUUCAUAGAAAAAGACACAUGAAAUUCCUUUUAAAAAAUUCCUUUAAACCCAACUGGAAAACUACUCAAAGAUAUUAGUAUUUGAAUCUGUAGGAAAUUAAAUAGAACAAGGGAAAAGAACGAAAAACAGAGGUGAAGAUGGAGAAUCAAUGGUGCUCUCCUCGGUGGCUCCUCUUCAAAGAUGGCUUCUCCCUAGGGUUUUUUUUGUUAAAAAAAAAAGAAUCGAGCACACCCUCUUAGAAUGACCAAAAAGAGGUUUUUAUAGCUUCUGGAGUUGUCUUCAACGCUUCGAUUUUCAAAAAUAAUGAUGGGAUCGACCUGGGCUUGAUUUAGGUCUCUUGGGCCAUAGAUGAUGUCCAGCCGCGGUCGUGGUGUACGUACCCAAGGGGAACCAUAGUCUGCCGCGGUCGCGGCUCAUGUUCUGCUUCGAGACCGCAUCGGGAAUAUCUGAAGAUCUAACCGUUGGAUUGUCUCCAAAUCAAUUGCAUUAGAAAACUGGUUGCCUCCUAUGUAAUGUCUCAAAUUUUGGGGAUGAUCGGACGGUGAGAAGAUUUUCAUCGCUUGCCAUACUUCUGACGGUCUGCAUUUAUCUAAAAUUGUUCAUUUGUUCCAAAUUGCACAUCUUUAGUCCAAGUUUUCUGAAAAGUCUUUUGAAACUCUAAAAUAUUAAAAACAUUUUAAAACUAUGGAAAACAGAGUCAAAACAUACAGUAUGUAUAAGACAUCAAAACCAUCCAUAAAAAUGGUCAAAAUCUAGUGUUAUCAGUAAACGAUAAGAACAGCCACAACAUGCAAGGAGAGUGGUAUGAGCUUCUGAGUGCACGAAGUCGCUGCGAUUAGUGGCAGCAUGCUGCGACAAGUAAACAGAUGUUUCUUGUGACAAAUAUAACUAAAGAGGCCUGCUAGAGCGAUUGAGAAUGUAACGGGCCGAAGGCUCUAGCUGGGCCUAGUGGGCUUCAUUGGAUCAAAGGCAGACCCGGAUUCACUUGGGGGGUGUGGGGGGCUUCUUUUAUCGAGUGGGUUUAUCGAGUCGGGUUUUUGAGGGUAUAAAUACAGGCUUUAGGGAUUUUAAUUGAUUAUUCACACAUUCAGUUAAGAAACCCAAACGGGUGUUUACCUCAAUCGCAAUUUUCUUUCUCUUGUUUAUUGCUUUCUUCGGUUUGAUUCACGAAAAGUGGUAUCAUAGCUCAAGGUUUUUCCGCGAAACAUUGUCAUGACAAAGGGAAGUUCUCUUAUGUUUGAUGUUCCUAGGUUAGAUGGAAAAGGGAAUUUUGGUCUGUGGCAAAGUCGAGUCAAGGAUCUGCUGACGCAGCAAGGUGUGAAAUAGGCGCUAUUAGAGAAAAAGCCGAACAAGAUCAAGAAGGAUGAUUGGGACGAUAUGCAGGAUCAAGCUGUUUCGACGAUUCGACUUUGUCUCUCUGACGAUAUUACCAAUCAGGUGAUGAACAUCAUGACUUGCAAGGAGAUAUGGGAUAAGUUAGAGAAGGUCUACAUGUCGAAGUCGUUGUCCAGCAAGCUGUAUCUGAAACAGAUGUUGUAUGGGUUGAAGAUGGCAGAGAGUGGCGAUCUUAUUGCUCAUGUCAACAACUUCAACCAAAUCAUUGGAGAUCUGGAGCGUGUGGAUGUUAAAAUUGAGGACGAGGAUAAAGCCAUGAUCUUGUUGUGUUUUCUUCCUCUUCAGUUCGAGACUUUGGUGACAGCUAUUACAGUCGAAAAUGACUAUAUCGCUGGAAACGGUUUGUACUUCACUGCAAUCCCAUUGGGAAAGGCAACAGAACAUUACCAUGGUGGACAAGUCUUAAGGUGAUGAUUUAUACGUGAGUAUCAACCAGCAACGAGGAAGGCAAGAAAAGAAGCAGGAUGGAAGUAAAAGGGACAAGUCGAAGUCUAAGCCAGGGAAGAAUUCGAUAUGCUUUGGUUGUGGUUAGAAAGACAAUUAUCGAAGGGAUUAUUCUAACAGAAAGCAGAAUAGUGGAUCUGGUUCUGCAAACGUGGUCUAGAAGGAGGAUUCAGAUGACAGUGUAGGCGAUUUGUUGGCUGUGACAUCUGGUGAUCACACAGACUCUUGGAUACUGGAUACGGGUGCAUCAUUCCAGAUGACUCCUCACAGAGAAUGGUUUGAGACGUAUAGGGCUGGGAACAUGGGCUCUAUUCAGUUAGCAAACGACAUGUCAUGUGGUGUUGUUGGUACUGGAGAGGUCAAGUUUUGGAUGCAUGAUGGCAUCAUCAGAACAUUGACUAAUGUUAGGCAUGUUCCAGGGGUGAAGAAGAAUUUGGUCUCUUUGGGUACUCUUCACAAAAACGGAUUCAGACUCAGAGGUGAUGAAGAUGAAGACGUUUUGAAGGUUUGUAAGGGAUUUAUGGUGGUGAUUAAAGGGAAGAUGACAGCUGGGAACGUCUACAGGAUGUUAGUGAGUGUGGUUGUAGGUGGAGCUGCAGCUGCUGUGUCUGAAUCUGAUAGCACAACUCUUUGGCAUAUGCACAUACGACAUAUAGGAGAGCAUGGGUUUCUUGAACUCCAUAAAAUGGGUCUUCUGGAUGGGUUAAAGAACUGUAAAAUGGAUUUAUGCAAAUUCUGUGUGAUGGAAAAGCAGUCCAAAGUUUCGUUCAAGACAAGACAGCACACGAAAAAAGGUCUUUUAGACUAUGUUCAUUUCUGAUGUGUGGGGUCCGACUCGGGAACUGUCAUUGGGAGGGUCUAGGUACUUCAUCAUCUGACUUCUCCAGAAAAGUUUGGGUUUACUUCUUAAAGCAGAAAUCUGAAGUUUUUGUCAACUUCAAGGUUUGGAAGGCUGAAGUCAAAAAUCAGGUGGAGAAGAAGGUUAAGUAUCUAAGAUCAGAUACUGGCAUGGAGUAUACUGACGGGGAGUUUCAGAAGUUCUGUGAGGAACAUGGCAUUGAAAGACACUUCACUGUCAGGAAAACAACACAGCAAAAUGGUGUCAGUGAGAGGAUGAACUGAACUAUUGCAGAAAAGACAAGGUGUUUGACAUUGAAUGCAUGACUUCCUAAACAGUUCUGGGCAGAGGCAGUAAACAUGGCGGUGUAUCUUAUCAAUAGGUCGCCUAGGAGUUCUCUACAAGGGAAGGUGGCUGAAGAGAUUUGGAUUGAAAGAUAUUGAUCUGUCAAACUUGAAAAUAUUUGGAUGCCCAGCUUACAUGCUGGUUCCAAGUGACGAAAGAUCUAAACUGGAUUUGAAUUCCAAGAAGUGCAUAUUUCUGGGUUUUGUCAAAGGUGUGAAAGGCUUUAAGUUAUAUGAUCCUGUUGAUAAGAAGAGGGUAUUCAGUCGAGAUGUGGUCUUUGAUGAGCAGUAUAUGGUGCAGCAGGCGAGAACAGAUCGAGUUCUUGUGAUCAUUUAGACUGAAACAGAUUCCGGCACAUCACAGGAAGAGUCUAGUGAGACUAGACUAGCAACAGGACGUGAUAAGCAACCUGUUGAGGUGAAUCAGGACGUUCAGCAUAGUAAGGCAGAGGAGAGUUUGGCACUUGAAAGACCAAGACGCAUCAUAAAACCGCCUGAAAGAUUCGGGUUUGAAGACAUGGCUAGUUAUUGUCCGAUGGUUGGUUCAGGUGAUCCAGCAAAUUUUCGAGAGGUUAUCUCAAGUUUUGAGAAAGAUUUCUGUUAUUGGAGCUAUGACAGAAGAGAAUGAGAGCCUGGACAUAAAUCAAACAUGGGAUCUAACGCCUUUACCAAAAGGCAAGAGGGCGAUAGGAUGCAAGUGGGUUUUCAAGGUAAAACCUAAGAUAUCUGAGAAGGAACCAGUUAAGUACAAGGAAAAAUUGGUGGCAAAGGGUUACUCACAGAGGAAAGGGGUUGAUUAUGACAAAAUCUUCUCCCUUGUAGUUAGGCACACUUCUAUUAGAGCUGUGCUGGGUUUGGUAGCAAGCUGAGAUUUCUAUCUUGAACAGAUGGAUGUAAGGACAACAUUUCUUCAUGGAGAUCUGGACGAAGAGAUCUAUAUGGAGCAACCAGAGGGAUUUGUGAAACCAGGAGAGGAGAAGCUUGUGUGCAGACUUAAGAAGUUUCUGUAUGGAUUGAAGCAGGCUCCUAGGCAAUGGUACAAACGUUUUGACUCCUACAUGUUGAAGAUUGGCUACACAAGCUGUGAGUAUGACUGCUACAUCUAUGUAAGGUUUCUGGAUGGUCAUUCUCCCUUAUUCCUACUGAUCUAUGUUGAUGAUAUGCUCAUUGCUGCGAGAGAUAUGGAGGAUACUGAUAAGCUGAAAGAGUUAAUGUAGAAAGAGUUUGAUAUGAAGGAUCUUGGUGCUGCAAAGAAGAUCCUUGGGAUGGAAAUUCACAGAGAAAGAAGCUCAAGGAGAUUAUGGCUUUCUCAAAAGAGCUAUAUUCAGAAAAUUGUAGACAGGUUUGACAUGAGAGAUGCAAAAGCAGUGUCUACACCUUUGGCGAUGCACGUCUCAUUUUCAGCGAUGCAGUGUCCUAAGUCUAAUCAAGAGAUCAUAGCUAUGUCGAAAGUUCCUUAUGCAAGUACAGUUGGCUAUUUGAUGUAUACUAUGGUGUGCACUAGACCUGAUUUAGCACAAGCAGUUAGUCAAGUGAGCAAGUACAUGUCCAAUACUGGAAGAGAACACUGGAAAGCCGUCAAAUAGAUUUUCAGAUACUUAAAGGGUACAAGCGAUCUUGGACUUAUGUUUGGUGAUCAAGACUGUGGCUCAGUUGUGGGAUAUAUGGAUUCAGAUUAUGCUGCUGAUCUUGACAACAAAAGGUCUACUAUAGGGUAUAUCUUUACUCUUGCUGGAGGUCCUAUUUGUUGGAGAUCUGUGCUACAGUUUGUUUUGGCAAUGUCUACCACAGAACUGAGUAUAUGGGAAUGGGAGAAGCAGCUAAGGAAUCAAUUUGGGUCAAGGGACUUGUGACAGAACUGAGUGUUGAACAAGGUGGAGUUCAGCUAUACAGCAACAGUCAGAGUGCGUUGUUUCUAGCCAAGAACCCGGUUUAUCAUGCAAGGACGAAGCACAUUCAUGUCAGAUUUCAUAAGAUCAGAGAGUUGUCUGCAUCUGGAGAAGUCUUGUUGGAGAAGGUUCACACGUCAGAGAAUGCAGCUGAUAUGUUGACCAAACUCGUUACUGUGGAGAAGUUCAAGCAUUGCUUGGAUUUGCUCCAUGUCUUCAAGUGCUGAAGAAGGUGAAAUCCCCACCCCCUCCCCAAAGUGAUUGGAGUUUGAAGGUGAUUUUAUGAAGGUUUUUUGUCAGGGUGGAAAUUGUUGUUUCUAGUGACAAAGAUAACUAAAGAGACCUUGCUAGAGCGAGUUGAGGAAUGUAACAGGCCGAAGGCUAUAGUUGGUCUAGUGGACUUCAUUGAGUCAAAGGCGGAUGCGAAUUCACUUGGGAGGAUGUGGUGGGGCUUCGCCCCUCACGGUACGGUUUUCUUAAUAUGCUCAAUAAAAGAUUCACUACAAAAAAGAGAGGCUUUUCCGUCGAAUUAUUUACGAUGAUUUGUAGUCGUCGUAAAUUUACGACGACAUUACGUCGUAUUUACGACGAUCAAAAAUUUCGUCGUAAAUUCGACGUAAAAAAUAACCCUCGUAAAAUCGUCGUAAUGUUACGACGAUUUUACGACGAAUAAAGAACGAAUUUUAUUUCGUCGUAAUCUUAUCGUAAUAUUUACAUUGAUAAUAUGACGAAUUGUCCUCUAUCUAGUAAUUGACGUAAAAUCGAUGUAAAUGUGAUGUAAAUUUUAUUUCGACGUAUAUUUGAUGUAAAUAUGCAAUGGUAAUAUGUUGGUAACCAAACAAAAAAUUCUAUAUAUACCCUUCCUUCUCUCAUUAUUCCAUCAUCCCAAAAAAACAUAUAAAGACACAAAUUUUUUGAGUCUUUGAAUGUUUAAGUAAAAUUUUUGGUAGUUGAAAUUUCUAUCAAAUUUCAGAAACAAAAAGUCAAAUAUUUGUUUUUGAAAUAUCUAUAUACGAUCUACGAAAGUGGAUGUAUACGCCCAAAAAUGGUGAUGGGUCGUUGACUGAAGACUUCAAAAACGGAUUGGAAAUAUUCAUGUACCAAGCCGGCCUUCUGGAAACUGUAAUUGAAAGCGGCAAAGUGUAUUGUCCUUGUGUGAAAUGCAAAAAUAGGAAACAUAUUCUUAUUGACACUGUCUGGCAGCAUUUAUUGAAUAGAGGGUUCAUGCCCCAAUACUUUAUUUGGUAUCAGCAUGGAGAGGGAUAUGGUCAAAGUAGUGGUCAGAUGGCUGCACGGAGUAGUAGUAAUCAUCAAGAACAUGUGGAUUUUGAAGCGUCCAAUGAUUAUCAAAGUAGUCAAGUUCAGGGUGAAGAUCAUGAUAGGAUGCAUGAAAUGAUUACUGAUGCAUUUCAUGAAACACAUGCUGAUACUGUUGAGGAGCCCAAUGCAGAUGCGAAACGCUUUUAUGAUAUGUUAAACGCAGCAAAACAGCCUCUGUACGAGAGAUGUAGGGAAGGUUUAUCAAAAUUAUCAUUGGCAGCUCGGAUGAUGACAAUAAAAACAGAUCACAAUCUAUCUGAAGUUUGCAUGAACGAUUGGGCAGAUCUUAUUAAAGAGUAUUUGCCAGAUGAUAAUUUGGCUGCUGAAACGUAUUAUGAAAUUCAGAAGCUGGUUUUUAGUCUUGGAUUGCCUUCUGAGAUGAUUGAUGUUUGUGUUGAUAAUUGUAUGCUUUUUUGGAGAGAUGAUGAGAAGCUUGAAGAAUGUCGUUUCUGCCAAAAGCCAAGAUAUAGACCGCAAAUUGCUGGGCGUAAGAAGAUUCCUUACCAACGAAUGUGGUAUCUUCCUAUCACUGAUAGGUUAAAAAGACUAUAUCAAUCCGAACGGACAGCUGCGUCGAUGAGAUGGCAUGCGGAACAUUCACAAACAGAUGGCAAAAUGACUCACCCGUCUGACGGGAAAUCUUGGAAACAUUUUAACACCGUACAUCCAGACUUUACUAGGUCUAAGCGAAAUGUUUAUCUUGGUCUUUGCACUGACGGGUUUAGUCCAUUUGGUAUGUCUGGUAGGCAAUAUUCAUUAUGGCCUGUGAUUCUUACGCCAUAUAACCUUCCUCCAGAUAUGUGCAUGGAAAGAGAGUUUUUGUUUCUAAGUAUAUUAGUCCCUGGUCCAAAUCACCCGAAGCGGGCCCUUGAUGUUUUUUUGCAACCACUCAUACAUGAGUUAAACCAGUUGUGGCAUGUUGGAGUACGAACAUAUGACUGUUCGAGUGGUAAAAAUUUUACGAUGCGAGCGGUGCUUAUGUGGACAAUAAGCGAUUUCCCGGCAUACGGAAUGCUAUCAGGUUGGACAACGCAUGGGAGGUUAUCAUGUCCUUAUUGUCUUCAUAGGACUGAUGCAUUUCAGCUUAAACAUGGUAGGAAAACCUGUUGGUUUGAUUGCCACCGUCGGUUUUUACCACCAAACCAUCAAUAUAGAAGAAAUAGGCGUUUGUUUAUAAAGAACAAAUUGGUUCGUCUCCCUCCACCAGUGUACCUAACUGGAGUAGAGCUUGAAGCGCAAAUAGAUCAUUGUGGUGGACUUGAAACGGUCCCCUUGGAGGAAAUUGGCACACUCCUGCGAAUAUGCCUGACGGAUAUGGGGUUCAUCAUAAUUGGCACAAGAAAAGUAUAUUUUGGGAUCUGCCUUACUGGAAAGAUCAUUUGCUUAGACAUAAUCUUGAUGUUAUGCACAUUGAGAAGAAUUUUUCCGAUAACAUCAUGCAUACUGUUUUGAACGUCCAAGGAAGAACCAAAGACAGCGUUAAAUCACGGAUGGACUUACCCGAUAUAUGUAACAGAAUUGAGUUGCAUAUGGUGAGUAAUGGGAAAGCACCUGUUCCUGUAUUUCGGUUGGGUGCUGAACAAAAAACAGCAUUGUUUAAUUGGGUAUCAUCAGCCGUGAAAUUUCCUGAUGGAUAUGUAUCUAAUCUGGCUAAAUCUGUGGAUAAAGGACAAAAGUUUUCAGGGAUGAAAAGUCAUGAUUGUCAUGUGUUUAUGCAACGGUUACUUCCUUUUGCGUUUGCUGAACUCCUACCGGGACAUGUCCAUGAGGCACUAGGAGGCAUUGGAGCUUUUUUCCGUGAUCUAAGUACAAGGACAUUAUCAGAAGAUGUAGUUGCACAACUGUCUACAAAUAUUCCAAUAUUAUUGUGCAAUUUGGAGAAAAUAUUCCCACCUGCUUUCUUCGAUGUUAUGGAACAUUUACCUAUACACCUCCCUCAUGAAGCAGAGUUGGGAGGACCUGUUCAGUUUAGGUGGAUGUAUCCGUUUGAACGAUUUAUGAAGCAUUUGAAGGGUAAGGCCAAAAACUUAGCAAAAGUUGAAGGGUCUAUCGUGGCGGGAAGUCUGACAGAAGAGACUUCUCAUUUCACGUCUUAUUACUUUGCUCCAAAGGUUCGUACACGCAAACGGGCUCCAAGACGUUACGACGAUGGGGGUGUAGGACAAAGUUAUGCAGUAGAAGGUGUGCCUGAUAUAUUCUCACCAAUUGGACGUCUAAGUGGGAAACUAAAAGAAACUUGUUGGUCAAACGAACAAGACUACCACAGCGCACAUACAUAUAUACUUCUGAAUUGCGAGGAAUUGGCACCUUACGAGAGGUACAUAAUUAUAACCAUGUAUGAUUAAAAUUUGAUUGAACAUACGAAAUGUCCUUAACAAUGUUUCAAAAUUUCAGCACUUUCGUCAGUCAAGUCCGAGAAUGCAUUGACGGUGUUUCAGAAGAUGAAAUUAACAAGCGAAAAGACCAACAUUAUGCAUUGUGGUUAAAAGGUCAAGUCGAGCAUGAUGACAUGACAUAUGCAGUAUGGUUUCAUGAGUUGCUCUUAGGUCCUAUUUCGAAGAUAACUACUGCAGCUAUGUAUUUCACACGUGGCUAUGUUUUUCAUACUUAUAGUCAUGGCACUCAACGGGCAACUACAAACUAUGGAGUUUGUGUACGAGGUGAAGUAGACUUUUAUGGGAUCAUCAAAGAGAUAAUUGAAGUGGAAUACCCCGGAUUAGUCAGAAUGAAAACUGUUCUAUUCAAAUGUGGUUGGUUUGAUCCUACGGUAGGUCGUGGAGUGCGAAUUAACACAUUUGGAGUGGUAGAUGUAAACGCAUCUCGGCGAUACAAUAAGUUCGAGCCAUUUAUACUUGCAUCUCAAGCAGAACAAGUCACCUUUGUUCCAUAUCCUCGAGUUCGGAAUACGGGAAUUUCAUGGCUGGCGGUUGUCAAAGUUGCUCCAAGGGGUAUAAUUGAUGGUGUAGAUCUCCCGCCAAUGCAACAAGAUGAUUGUGUCGACAUUACAGAACCGGAUAUUGAAGAAAAUGUUCUUUUAAUUGAUCCACGUAAUCGACAAGUUGAAGAUCUACAUGGGGACGAAACUGAAGAAGGUGCUGAUUUCAAACAAGCAGUGAUGAUGAUGACAAUGAUGAUGACGACACCGAGGAAAAUGUUGAUGAAGACUAAUUAAAUAUUUUGACAUUUAAUUGCAUGCUUUGAACGUUUCAAUGUAACAUUUGUCAAAUUUAAAUUUUUGAAAAAUUAAAGCCAAUUAAUGAAGACUAAUUAAAUGUUGAUGAAAAUUUGUUUAAGUGUUGACUUGGACAUAUGUUGACUAUUACGACGAAUUUACGACGAUUAUUUAGAAAUCGUCGUAAAUUCGUCGUAAUAUGCAAACCCUAAACCCUAUAGGGUUUAGCUUUUCCAACUUACAGAAUGGUUUUUGGGUUCAUUUUCCUAAGUAAACUGAUGUAUUAUAUAAGAGUAUGUAGUAUAAGGUUCAGGAACUUGUAGAAAUGUGGUUUUUAUUACGACGAAUUUACGACGAAUGGGAGUGAUCGUCGUAAAUUCGUCGUAAUAUACCAUCAAAAAUACGACGAAAUGUAACCCCUAAAUCUUAUAAUCAAUCUUUUAUGGGGUUCAGAGGGGAUUUUGAUGAGGAGAAUGAAAUGGCUUACCAUCUCAUAAGGUAAAACAACUUUCUAAACAAAAAAAAAAAAAUUCAAAAUUUGACAUAUAUGUGUUUAUCAAGUAAUCUUAAGAUGUUAUAUACAUUUACACAAGAUGUAUGGAUUUAUCUUACAUCUUACUAAAUUCUUCAUUAAGUUAUGUAAACAUGCUAGAAAGUUAUACAGACCACAUUUAUCAUGAAUAGACAUGCUUGUAUGUCCUUAUGGAUGUUUCAAUUUUUGAAUUUCAUCAGUUUUCGUAUAGUUCGUCGUAAAUUCGUCGUAAUGUUACGACGAAUUUACGACGAUUAGUGGAUACACAGCCGUCUUAAUUUUUUUGAUUUAUACGAGUCGUCGUAAAAUCGUCGUAACAUUACGACGAUUUUACGCGAAUAGCACGGAUCGUCGUAAACUUGUCGCAAAGCCCAGAUACAGCCACGUGUGUUUGUCUUACUCGCUUUGUUGUACGGUGGGAUCUUUGCGACGAAUAUACGACGGAUUCGUCGUAAAUUCGUCAUAAUAUUUACGUCGAAUUUACGACGAAUAUAAAUUCUAUAUAUAGGACCUCACCUCUUCCUCAUUUCGUCGCUUAUCUCUCCUUCCUCUCUCUCUGCUUCCUCCUUCCCACCUCCUCCUUUUGACGAAAAAAAAAGGUAAAUAAUUUUUUUUAAUUACUUAAAAUUAUAAUAAUUUUAAAUAGUUUAGAAAUUCAAACGGUUUAGGUCGGGAAUUAGUUUAGGCUCAGAAUUUGUUAGAUUUAGGAUCGUAAUUAAAAAUUAAUUGUAAUUAAUUUGAAAAAUAAUUUUUUUUCGGUUUUGCAGACGAUGACUCGACGGAGGACGCAUUACAUCAAUUUCAUGACGGACGGACAUUCUUCCCGGGCGUCUGCCUCGGGAAACACCGAGACCGAUGUCCCUUCAUCUUCCGGAGCCUCCCAGGUUCCGAAUACCGCGGAGCCGUCUCCACCACCGCCUCCACCACCACCUCCACCGCCGGCUGUCGAACCGGUACCCGCCCCGGCUGCCGAACCGGUACCCGUCCCUCCUCAUCCGUAUGCCCAGUUUACGGUUGAGGAUUUACUAGCCUUACCGGGACGGGGGGCUUUACGACGUCUGGUUCCCGGAAAAGCGGAACCAGGCUUUUAUUGGUAAGUAAAUUUUUUGUUUUUUAUAGUUUUUAAAUUAACGCUUUAAUUUACUUAAAUAUUAAUGUAAUAAUUUUUUUUUUGGUUUCAUAGGUUUACUUUGGAUAAUUGUGUCGGACGGAGCGUUUCCGACACAAUUAAGAGUCAUUUCGUGGAGCCGCACGUCAAUUGGAGCAAGGUGUCGCAAGAGACGUGCGACACCUGGUACAAGUGCUUCGCGGUACGUAAUAUUUUUAAAAUCUUAUUUAUAUCAUUUUAAAUUGUUUUAAAUUUAAUUAAUCUUACUUUUAUAUUGUCAAUCUAAUUUUUUGUUUUCUUUUGCAGCAACGGUGGAACUGGGACAUCGGGAUCAAUGAGACGGUCCGCGAAGCUUUCGAGGAAAAGGCGAAGAAACGCCUAGUCAACACCGUUUCCGAUUGGAAGCGGAAAUGGGAGACCAACGGCGACGACGCAAAGCCGAGCUCCAUGUCCACUUGGUGUUGGAACGGGUUGAAGGCGUAUUGGGUGGACCCGCAUGCUCAAACCACCGCUGCUAAGUGUUCGGCCGUCCGAAACCGGGUCGAUCCGGUGACUGGUGAGAAGUUAGUGACCCCGCACACUUCUGGCCAAAUAUCUUUUGCAGGAAGACGUCUCAUGAUGGUAAGUAAUUAACUAUAAAUUAUUUCAUUAUUAUUUUAAUUUUAUUUAUUGCUAGAAUUAAUUAAAUAUUUUUGACUAAUAAUGUUUAUUAAUUGGUAGGCCGAGGAGAACGGAAGAGAACUACCUCCAAUGACGAAGCUCUUCGAGACCACUCACCGGAAGAAGGACGGGAGCUUUGUCGACGCUCGAGGAGAUCUACAAUGCCGCUAUGCAGCGGAUCGCCGAGCGGGAGACCCAGGCCACACCUGACGGUACUAUCCAAGUACCGUUGACCGUCGCUGAGCAAGACCAGAUUUUCGAAGAGGUAUGAUAUCUAUUUCAAUUUUUUAAAAAUUUAUUAUAUUUAUAAUUACUUAAUAAAUAAUUAACGUUUUUAUUUUCCAUUUGUAAGUUGCUCCGAAGAAGAAGGGUCGAACCUUAGGGAUGGGCUCUAUUAGAGACUGUCCUGCCGCCACGGCUUCCGGAUUCCGCUCGCAGGAUCCGCAGCUUCGUCAGGAGCUUGCUACGGCCAAUGCUGAGAUCACCAGUCUCAGGCAUGAGCAAGUGGCCCAGAAGCAGGAGCUCACCGAGAUACAUGAUCUCUUCGACAUCAUUGCGGAAGCGGUUCCGCAGUUGACCACUGCAAUCCGAGCGAGGCAACAGCGAGCACGGAGGGUUUUUGAGACCGGUGGUAGUUCCGGUACUGGACCAUCGGACCACCAGACGCAGGGCGGUCAGUCUUCGGCUCCGGUCUCAGCAGCGACAGGCGGUCAGACUUCGGCUCCGGUAGUGCAGACGGGAAAAGUCGGCCUAGCAGCGACGGGCGGCCAAGACGGAGAGCCUCCUCGUGACGUCGAUCUCAACCUCGACGAUUACAACAUCAUUGUAUAGAUUAGGUUUUUUUGUAAAAAACAAUUUGUAUAAUUUUUUUUUUAUUUAUAAAUUAUUUUUGAAUUUAAAUUGAAAUUUAAAUUCAAAUUUUUUCUAUUUUUAAUUUUUUGAUUAUUUUAAAAAUUCAUUAAUUAAAUUAAAAUCGAAUUAAAUAAUUAAUUUAUAAAUCGACGUAAAUUCGUCGUAAAUUUAUGUCGAUUUAACGUCGAAUAUUUAACGACGAAUUUACGACGAAUAAGUUUACGUCGAUUUAACAUCGACAAUUAAAAAUUUAGUUUCCCUUAAUUGAAAUUGUUCGUCUCCUAAACGUUGUAAAAUCGAUGUAAUUUUACAUCGAUUUUACGUCGUUUUUAUGAUGGAAUUUUUUCGUUGUACAUCCGUUGGAAAAUUUACGACGCAUUUUCGACGAAUAGUUCCCGACGAUUUUACGACGAUUUUCCGGAGUUGGUAAUUUUACGACAAUUUUACGACAAUUUCGGUUUUACGACGAUCGUUUUACGACGAUUUUUAAUUCGUCGUUAAUUCGACGUAAAUGCUCUUUUACGUCGAUUUUACGUCGAUAUCUGCCGACGUAAAAGCCAAUCUUUCUUGUAGUGAUUUUCUUUAUGGAGUGAAUUUGAAAGUCGUGUUUUUAGGAUAUAAAUACAAGCUUUAAGGAUUGUAAUUGAUUAUUCACAUAUUUAAUAAAAAAAAACCCUAAACGGAUAUUUAUACCUUAAUUGCAAUUUUCUUUCUUUUAUUAUUGCUUUAUUCGGUUUGAUUCACAACAUAAACAAGUAACAUUUGGUCGCAGCUUCGGUCGCAUUCACUAGCAAUUAUCAAAUGAAGAUGGCCUUUCUCUUAUAUAUUGAUAUAAUAAUGAAUCUGUUACAUAUUCUUCUUACUCAAGAUCACUAGUUAGUGAAGUGUUACGUGUCUGUUUAUAUUUUCUUUCCACAAAUAUAAAUUCCUUGGCAGCCUAUUUAUAACUAGUUUUUUAUUUUCUCCAACCUUAAGAGUGGAAUAAUGAAAUAACACUGUUAAGCAAAUGUCGCAAAACCGAAAGAGAAUAACAUAAUAAACUAAAGACGAUCUUAUUAUGGAAACAACGAAGCGAUUACAACACAGGCCAUUACGAUAUGAAACUUUAUUCCCAUACUUUUCAUUUCUUAAUCCAUCAUGCCCCUUAAGAACACUUGGGGCACUUACACAUACACAUAUAAGUGUAUAUAUAGAUCCAACCAUGCAUUAUAUAGUUUUAGUGACCGGGUUGAGUCUGAACAGCUUCUCCGGCAUAAGAACAACACCUUGAGCAGCCACGGUAACCUCUGUAGCAGCAACCGUGACGGCAAUAACCUCCUCCACGGCCUCCUCCGUUGUAUCCUCCUCCGCGGUGUCCUCCUCCGUUGUAACCUCCUCCUCCGUUGUAUCCUCCUCCGUUGUGUCCUCCUCCAUUGUAUCCUCCUCCUCCGUGGUGUCCUCCUCCGUUGUAACCUCCUCCUCCGUUGUAGCCACCACCAUAUCCAUCGGGUUUCACAUUUUCCUCACUUUCUGACUUCGCUGUAGCUGUCAAAAAUAAUACAUUUCAAAGAUAUUAUUAGCACGUUCAAAUUUGCAUUCCUCACCCAGAAUUUAGAACUAUUUUUCUAUUUGCAAAAAAUAUUAAGAGAUAUAAGUUUGCAUCUCUAGCUAGUUUGUUUCAAAACAUUUACAACAUAAGAUAUACGUUCUAAACAUUUUUGCUCUAAAUGUUUGAGAUGAUCCCGAUACAUAUAAUAAGAAUUCAACAUCAUACUUAAGUGUAUUUUGAUUUUCGUAAGUCUCCAGCCUUAUAACAAACUAAAUAGUUGAAUGAAUCUAUCACCCAAUGGAAGAAGUAGACAGAAACAUAAAAAAUAAUGUUACAUACCCGACUGCCUUUCGGAUGCCGCUGCCCUUUCUGAGACGACGAAAAGAAGUGCAAAGAGACCCAACAGAAUUAAAGCCCUCGAAGCCAUUUUCUUCAACUGUUCAACUCUUUGUUUUAGAACGUGUGAUGAAUAAAAAUGUCACCAUGUAUGCCUCUAUUUAAAGAAAACGAGGAGGAGGGAAUGAGAAGAGUAAAAAAAAACCUAAUCCCUAGUCCAAUAAAAAUAACUCAAAAGAAAAGUUAAGAAAUUUAAUAAUUUAUGACAAUAAAAAUAGUAAGAAGAAGAUAAGUAUCGAUUGCAUAGGGCCCAUUUAUGGUUGGUUGUUGGAAUCAUUGUAAAUAAUUUUGAAACUCCUUAAAUGGCAACUCUCCACUAGUCUUUUAGAUGUUUCUAUAAAACGUCUCAAACACAGCGCAUUCACACGUAUAUAGUCAUAGACAUAUUAAAAAAUAUUAUUGGAUUAUUUCGAGAAUAAUAUUCAUUAUUGGAGAGUUGGAGACUUGGACUAUUGUUUAUGAAUCGUCCUUUACAAUCUCAACCGACAGAUUUUACGCAGAAGGAUAUAGACAAAUCAUAUGGACUUAAAAUCAGUAAGUCAUAUAGGAGCGAUACGUAGUAGUUAAUAAGGACAGACGCAAAAUAUUAAGUCAUAUAGGAGCGUACGUAGUAGUUAAUAAGGGCAGACGCAAAAUAUUGCACGGCUAUAUUGUUGGGAUAUCAAUCCAAGUUUCACAUCUAAAAUUUAAACUAAUGUACUCAAAUAUAUAAGUAAAAUGUUUAAUAGUUUAGUAUAAAAUUUUUUGGAAGAAAUUUAAAAACAAAUCCGUGCAUGCUUUGUCAUUUGAAUCCAAAGUGGACAAUAUCAUACUAAUAGAGAAUUGGACAUGGAUUUGAAAAGUUCAACAAUUGGUAUCAGAACCAGGUUCUGGAAAAAAUGGAUCUGGACAAAUGGGUGUGGACUGUGUGUUCGGUGUGGGAGGGAGAGCCCUCAAAGUAACCUUGCGAUUAGGGUGCUGGUGCUUUGUAUCAAAAGUCUUCCGAUUGGGCUUUUCAAGCUCAUGUCCAACUCCCUAUUAGUAUGAUAUUGUCUGCUUUGGGCCCAAAUGACAAAGCCCGCACAGAUUUAUUUUUGGAUUCGGGUUUGAGUGGUCCUUAGCUAGAGGAGAGGAUUGUUGGGAUAUCAAUCCAAGUCCCACAUCCAAAGUUUAGACCAAUAUGGUCUAGUAUAUAAGCAAGAUGUCCAAUAGUUUAGUAUGAGACCUUUUGAGAAGGAAUCCAAAAACAAAUUCGUGCGGGCUUUGCCAUUUAGGCCAAAACGGACAAUAUCAUACUAAUAAGGAGUUGGACUGGGCUUGAAAAACCCAAUAUGAAGACUUUCGAUACAAGGCACCAGCACCCCAAUCGCAAGGUUACCUUGAGGGCUCUCCCUCCCACACCGAACACACAGUCCACACCCACUUCUCUAGUCUACCUUUUCCAGAACCUGACUCUGAUACCAAUUGUUAGAUUUUCAAGUCCUUGUCCAACUCUCUAUUAGUAUGAUAUUGUCUGCUUUGAGUCCAAGUAGAAAAGCCCGCACGUAUUUGUUUUUGAAUUCCUUUCCAAAAGGCCUCAUACUAAACUAUUGGAUAUCUUUAUGUACUAGACCAUGUUGGUCUUUACUUCGGAUGUGAGACUUGGAUUGAUAUCCCAACACUUUUUAACAGUUGCGAAAAGGUUAGGAGAAGAGUUUCGUUGGUGCGUACGGUGAUACAAGAUGGGUGCCAAGUUUCGCAGGAGGUUGGGAGGCCACGGGUUUGUGUGAUCCUUGGCUUAAGGGGAGAAUUAUUGGGAUAUCAAUCCAAACCUCAUAUCUGAAAUUUAGAGCAAUAUGGUCUAGAAUAUAAGCAAGAUGUCCAAUAGUUUAGUAUAGGGCAUUGUGGAUAAGAAUCCAAAACAAAUCCAUGCGGGGUUAGCCAUUUAGACUCAAAGCAGAUAAUAUCAUACUAAUAGAAAGUUAGACAUGGGCUUGAAAAGCCCAACAUAUAUUAAUCACAGCUAUUCUAAUGGAAAAUUUUUUUAAUGAAAUUAUCUAUUCAAGUCAUUUAAGCGUAAGGCUUGAUAUUCAGUAAAUGAGUUGAGAAUUAGUUAAUAAUAUUAAUAAAGGUCAUUGAGUGUGGACAUGUUAGUUACUUUCCUGCUACUUGCAUUUGACUUAAGAGUGAAAUUCAUAAGAUUGUACAAACAAAUUGUCUAACACAUGAGACUUGUGAUACCAAGAACAAUACAUGCACACAAUAAGCCAUGGUAGCUCAAUUAUUCGUUUGGAAUGUAAAACAUCACAUACAUGUCUAAUUCAAGUUUUACUUGAUAUAAAAAUUAAACGGAUGAUAUAAAGGAUCUAAGAACACCUCCAUUAGUGAGAUACAUCAAUAUAAUAUUAAUACUGCAUUUAAAAUAUACUUUAACUUUGCAAUUUUAAGUUUUCUAAAAAACAUUCAUGAAAAGAUAUAUGUUACAUUAGUCUCUCAUAUGGUUUACAAAUGAUAAUCCAUUCUCAUUCCCCAUUCUUUCUUUAAUAUGAGAAAUCCAGUGAAAUAUUCUCAAUAGAGAUGUUUUAAAGCCUCUAAUUAAUUAGCAUGAAUAUUUUACUUAUUAAAAAUGUAUAAUUUCAAGCUUGUGACUCAUCAAGGAGAACAUCCAAAACGACUUAAUCAUAAGUACGAGUUGGGAUUAAGCAAGAAUUGGGAACUGGACAGAGAGCAAAAAAUUAGAAAAUACGGAACACAAAUAGUAAUAGUUAAUGGUAAUAGUUAAAGGUAUCAACUUAAUCAUAAGGACGAGGGUGAUCUUUGUCUUACACAUAAUUCUUUUCCCCCUUAUUUCCUCUUAGUUUGGUUGUAAGGAUUAUCUAGAGGGUUGUAGCCUGUAGGAUAUAUGAUCUAGAGAUUGUGAAAGAUCUCUCGAAAAUUCUCAAGAAUUAGUCUACAAAAUAAAUUCCUAAGAAUCCUUCCCCAAUCCAAAGGAUCACGCUAGCAAUCCCCAAACCUCCGCUUUUGUCACUUAUCUUACCCUAGAUGGAUCUUCAAUACAGAUCGUUUUAUCCAUUUGAUCAAUACCAUACAAUUUAGGUGUCUUUGUAUAACAAGGCGUAGUAUAUCCCUUAUUUGGUAUUCACGCAACACAAUGAAACACAUGACUAUAUCUUUGUGUUUUUCCACUCAUUUUCGAAUUCUUUCUCUUUGUGUUAGAUUUAUUUUUGAGAGGCUGUCUCUUUUUUUUGGACAAAAGAAUAGAUACCUACAACUGUUUUAUAACAUAAACAAUAUCUUGCAGUCCGCCGCGUUGAAUGUAUGAAAUAGAGAAAGCUAAAACCUUCCUUACACAUGUUGAAUUCCUCCAUGCGGUAUAAACAUCAUCGUCACCAACUCGAAAUAGUCUGUAACAAAAGAUGUUGUCUUCUGAUAUUCGAUUAUACAGUGCAUGAUCCAAAUGAAUGCUUCUACUUCAACGUGCAAAGGAAAGAUUUUCUUGUAGACUUUUGCUCCCAUUAAUAUCAUUCAAUAUAUUCUUGGAAGCAAUGCCAUCCUAGUCUGGAAAAAUUGUCGGUUUAGUUUUCUUGUAAGAGCAGUCUAUGUAGCAUCAAAUAAUUUAACCAAAUUUCCUUGGGUCAACGAUCUAUUUUUUUAUGGGAAUUAUCUAUAGCAUGAGAUGUCUCCCGACCUAUAUAUGCCUUCUUUCUAUAUCUCCACGAAAUCGGGUUAAGACCUAUUUGAGAGAUUAAUAUUUUUAAGUUUGUUUUUGUGGGGAUAUACACAGAGAAAAUAAUUUAAUGUACGUUAACAUCUGAUGAUGGCUGAUGCUACAGUAAAAAUUCUAUAUAUUAAUAAUGUUGGAACUUUAAAAUUUUAUUAAUUUAGCAAAUUAUUAAUUUAUAAAGAAAUUAAUUUAACCAAAAUUUAAAUUUAAAACCAAAUAAUUAAUUGAGUUUAUUAAUUUAUCAAAUAUUAAUUUAUAGAAUUUCUGUUGUAUAUAUAUGAUAGUUCUCGUGAUUCUUUCUAUCCUUUCUAAGAAAGAGAAGUUAUCAAAUACAUUUAAUGGUGGAUACGUGGAGUCUCGGUCAGGAUUGUUGAUCACCACACGUGAUAGUGAAAUUGUAAUUUGGUAAUAAUAAGGGGAAAUGUUCAGCUAAAAAAAUUAAAUGAAACUCAGACCAUGCAAGUGUUGGAACCUUACUCAAUGAAUUGAUUGCUUGUUUCGAUCCAAAAUUCAAAAAGCAAUAACUAUAGCUGAUGCUGACUAUUGAGAAGAAAGUUCUAAAUUGGCAACUCAAACUAACCACAUGAUAGUAUGAUACAUAAUGACAUUCUUUCAAUUUUAUAGCCUUUUCUAUCAAAUUGAAAAUAUGGAAAACCAAAUUAUAUUUUUAAUAUUUAAAACAAGAUACUAGCUAUUCUAUAACUUUAGUAUACCCAGGUAAAGAAAAUAAGAUUUAGAUUCUAUAUUGAAUAAGAAUCAGUCUAAUUAUGACUCAUAUAGUUAGAUUUCAAUUAAAACUCUUAUUAGUUAUUCAGAAAUUAUGUUUUAUAAUUUGUAAGUAAGAAAAUUUAAAAUUAAUCUAUAUUAAUCAUAAAUAACCCUCUUAAAUAAAUAAGAGGUUAUAAGACAAUAAUUUACAUUUUUCAAUUUGUAGUUUCUAUUUAUUUCUGUAUUUUACUUUUUAUUUUAUUUUAUUAGUUUCUUUUUUUGAACCAAAAAUUAUUUUGUUUUAUAUUUAAUUUUUUAAUAUUUAAAUAUAAAUAACUAAAAUUUAAAAACUUAAAUUAUUAUAUUAACAUAUGUUACAAUCUAAACUAAUAAUGACACAUAUAAUAUCUGUAAAAAGUUAUAAUUAUUCUAUGUGUCAUGCUAACGUAGAUCUUACCAAGUAGGAUUGUAACACUAGAUAGAUUCAACUCUGCAUAAUACGUAAAAAAUAAUAAAAUAUUUAGAUGAUCUGGUCAUCGAUCUAGCAAACCACCACAAGGUGAUCUCAAUGCCCAUAGACGAUCCAACCGAGCCAUCCGAAGCUGAUUGGAGCCUUGUUGAAGCUGUAUCGGUGAAACCAAAUACCAAAUCAACUGAGGGAAGGCAUUUUUACCAACCAACCAACCCCAGUGAAGACUGAUCAAGCAAAAACACUUUUGACUCAAACCAGAACUGAAGAUAACCGAGACAUUCCACCUAAUAGCCAAGGAGCGGUUAUACCAUCACCAUCUUUGACCAAACCGGUGAUUCAUGAUCCAAGAACCAAUAUUCAUCGACCAACCGACCAUAAGGAGUAUUCUGUACGAGAUAUUUCAUGUCUUAACCAAGCUAGAAGUAAAGAUAACCGGAGCCUCACCAACCGGCUUGAUUACAAACCAGAUUUUACCCGAGAAGAGACUUGGGCUGAUUUCUUAGAGAUCAAACUCAAUCACCAAGAACUAAUAUCAAACCUGAUUUGCUCUGUGUUCUUGACCCAUUAAGGAAUCACGGUGAAUUGGAAUCAGUCCAACUUACCCGAUUGGAAAUAUGCACCUUAAUUGAAGCAUUCCGACCAAGCCGGGAGGAAUUAAGCUGCGAAAUGACUUGUUCUGGAAUCUGGGUUCAUCAAGGAAUCCGGGAUAGUUGGAAUCACACCAAGUCCGGUUUUCAUUUGGGAGAUACUCCAUUUCUAAACCGACCGAUGGUUUCCCAGCUUGCCUUAUUUGAAACCCUAUGGGUUUAGGAGACACUAGACGUAUCAGUGGCAUCCAGGAGACUGUGCUAUUUCCAGAAGUUCCCUAAAAUACUCUAGAGUGCACCCGUACGCCUUGGAUCAGGCGGAUCCAUCUGUACCUUCAAUUGAACUAACUAGGGCCGAUUAUAGAAACUACGAAGACCGACCAGUUCAAUUAUGAGCAAACCAAGAUAUCACGACCAGAAGAGAUUCUUAGACAAUUAAGGAGCUUAAAAACACCUUCCCAUGCACCAGAAACCACAGGAUCAGACGGAUCUUCUUGCAAGUCCACUUUCCUUAUGUAGCUGCGUUCACAUUAGGAGCCAUAACUUUCCAACGGCUCUUUGUCUUUAAGUGCUACGAUAUGGACAACUUUUUUGGAGAUAAGAAUGUUCCAGAAAUUCUCACUAAUCCUCUUAAACCUUACGGAUACAAAGGCGUCAUCACAAUUGCCUUAGUUGCCGAGACCCUCCAUUAAGAGCCAACAGCUAGUUUUUGAUAUAUUUUUGAUUUGUUCCUUUACUCUAGAUUUUUAGACCGUUUGUAAUUAAGCUUGUAGGAGCUCUAUACAAGCUCAGCUCAGGUAAUUUUUACAAUUCACCUUUAAAUCCAGAUUAAUACAAAGUAUUCCUUUUUCUUUCAAAGUUGUGUCUUUGCAAAGACUUGUUCUUUUCUUUAGAAUUAAGUGUGAGAUUCACUUAGCUCUAUAGAAGCUGCGAAAUUAGUUUGUUUAUGAGAUUCAAACAAACUAUUUCGUCGACAUAUUGAGAGAGUCAAUCAACCCCCAUCGAUUGAGAGUCAAUCACCCUAUCAUCAUCUUUAUCUCGACUUCAUUCCACCUUCCGCAGAAUAAGUUUGGAAUAUCUUCAUCAUUAAGUGAUCAUAAGUUGGAGUGAUUUCAAUCUUGUAUCAAUUAAUAAUGACACAUGUAAUGAUAUAGAAAGUUAUAAUUAUCCUACGUGUCAUGCUAGCGUAGAUCUUACCAAGUAGGGUUGUAACACUAGAUAGAUUCGGCUCUGCAUAAUAUGCAGAAAAAUAAUAAAAUAUUUAGGUUUUCAAUUUUUAUAAUCUGCAUAAUUAUGACUUGUACAGUUUGAUAUAUACUAUUAUUUGCGAGGUCAAAAAUCUGAUGUGUCAUCAUCACAGUGAUUGUCUUAUGUGUCAUUAAUAAAAAACAAUUAUGUGUUGUUUUAAUUUGUUUUGAUAGGUCAAUCAUUAGUCCUACGUGUACAUAUCCAUGACAUGGUUUUUUUUCUUAAUUAUGGGCCAAAGAUUUUGCUAAUGGGCCACCGAUCUUAAAGUUUGUCCUAGCCACCGAUGUAAAAGUCGGUACUAACCUAAACCCUAGCGUAUCCAUCGUGCUAGAUAUACCCAUUUCGGUUUUCAUAUUUUCUUACAUAUAAUAUCUGUCUACUAAAAAAAAAAUUGUUCACCUCUUUUUUUAAAAAAAAACUAUCAUAGCAUUUAAAAAAAACGUCCACCUCUUUUUUAAAAAAAGGAUCAUAUCAUUUUUUAUAUACUCCAUCUCUUUUUUUUAAACAAUCUCUAUGAUUAUUUAUGCGUAUUUCUAAUGAAAAUAACCUACUAUUUUUUGUAUAAUUGAUAUUUUGAUGGUUCUAUAGUUCAUCUCUCGCCUUACAAUGGAAUCGUCAGGUAAAUAUACAUUUUUGAUUUUAUCUUAGUUCGUGCUUUUAAUGUUUUUUCAGAUUCUAGAAGUUUUUCUUUUGUAAAUCCACGGCGUAAUAGUUAUUUGCUUCAAAACUUUUAUGAAUUUUCUGUAGCGAUUAGCAAUCGUCCCUUUCAUGAUCCUCAGAUUUUCUAUAUCAUCUGCCGCCAUCUCAAAUCGUUUUUCCACGAGAUGAAGAUUCUUCUGCCAGUGUUAACAAUGAUAAAUUUAUCGGUUGGUCGAAGUGUAAUCAGGACUAUCCAGAAUCCAGAUCGUUAUGUAUUCUGAAUUUCUGACACGUUGGAUUUGAGAUUGUUAAAAACAUCAUGGCAUCCCCGUCUCUGCGGAAUCUCCACACCGAGUAUUAUAUCCAAUUGUAACCCCAACACUGGUACUGCUUAAGGGUUUUAUUGCAUGUCGUUUGCAGUCCAUGUUCUUAUAUUGAUAUAAGAACAAAUAAAUGGUGUUGUCCACCCUACUUUCAAAGAUGCAUGUUAUGUUUUAGGUUAAAUUCACGAUGAUACUGAGAAUGUUUAAGCUUUCUAUAAGGCAAGUCAAUGAGGUUCCCGCUUCUCUCUCUUCAAAUGAGGUUCACUACUUUGUUACAUCCAGGUUCUAUGAUGAAUCACUUUUGUGUAUGGAGAUCCAUUCAAUGUUUUUUAGUAUAAGUUUUGUCAAUUUUUUGCAUUGUCUUUGAUUUUCUUUUCUUUCAUUAUAUUAUUUUAACAAUUUCUUAGAUUUUUUAUUCUGUUCUGCCCGGUUUCGGUUGAGAGGUUUACUAUUUGAGAUUUUUGUUGGACGUUGUUAGGUAUUUUUAUUGGACGUUGUUAGGUAUUUUUAUUGGAAGUUGUUAGUCUUGGUGCUCAUGCUUUAUAUAUAGAUGAUAUCCAGUAGCUAAAGAUUUGUGUACUUAGUGGUUCGUUUGUUCGGUUGGUAAUUUUUUGUUUGGGUUUUUGAAUUUGGUUUUGUAUUAUUUUUUCAGUCGGUUAGAUUGAUAUUUGGUGCGUGUUGGUUAUAUAUUUUGUGGUUUAAUGAUUACACUAUUAUAUAUAUAUAUACAUAUAUAUAUAGUUGUAGUGUGGUUUUUAGACAAAAUUCUCUUUUUUCAAUUUUUGCGAUAGUUUAUUUUUCAAGAAUGUCACAUAUUUAUUCAUUGAGCUUUUGUGGUGUUUAUGAUUUCUAAUAUGUCUACGGUUUUGUCAGAUAUGAUUGUAAUUAUUUACCUAAGCUCUUAAAAUUAUUAUUUAUUAUAUAAUCUAUACAUAUAUUGUGAUCAAAGUAAAGAAUGUAUAUCCUAGGGUUAUUUAACUAUGAUCUGAAAUUUAGUAUUUAUUAUAUAUAAUCUAAUAAGGAGAUGAAGACGACCAAUGAAGUCGGAAGGUGAAGAUGAUAAAAAUAUAGAAGACAAAGUAAAAUAAAAAAAUGAAAAAAAAGAAGUAGAAGAAGAGGAGAAAAAAAGAUAAAUCAAAAUAUAAAGAAGAAGCUGUAGUUGAUGAUAAAAACUAAAGAAAAAUAUGAACAUAAAUUUGAAUAAAACCAUAGAGAAAAAGAAGAAGAUGAGAACACAGAAUAGUGAAGAAGAAUAUUGAUAAGAAAAAAGAAAUUUGGCUUUGAAUAAGAAAACCAGAAGAAAUAAAUGAAAGAUGUAGAAACAAAGUAAAGACGAGGAAAUGGGAAAAUGAGUAGGUGUAGAUGAAAAAAAAAAGAUGAAAACACUAGAAGAAGAUAAAUUUGACAAAGACCAAAGAGGAAUAAGAAGUAAAGAAUAAAGAAGGCUAAUAAAAAUCAAAAAAGAAAGAAGAACAAGAAGAAAAAGAAGAAAAAGAAGAGCUGAGAAAUAUAACGAUGAUGAAGAAGAAGUCAAAACGAUGAUGAAGAUGAAAGAAAAUUAUGAAAAAUAAGAAAAUCGAAAGAUAUAUAAGACGAAGAAGAAAGUACAAGUCAAAGAUGAUGAAUAAGAAGGAAAAUAUGAAGAAGAAGAAGACUUUGGGACAGAAAAAAAAAACAAUGUCUUUAAAUUAUAUAUUAGAGAAUGAAGAAGAAAGACAUAUAAAAACCAAAAAAAUAAAAGAAUAAGGAAAAUACAAAGAAAAAAAAAACCAAAAGAUAAAAAGUAGAAAAAAGAGUAGAACAAAAUAGAAGAGCAAGAAGAAGGAGACAAGUCUGAAGUGGGAAUUGAAAUAGAAGUUGAAGACGAUGAAGAAGAGGAAAGAAAACAUAAGAAAUAAGAAAAUUGAAGUCAAUGAUAAAGAAGAAGUAAAAGACGAAGAAGAAGACUGAAAAAAAGAAAAAUAAAAAUCAUAAUAAGAAAAAUUAUGACAAGACGAAAUGUUGACAACUAAAAAUGGGAAGAGGAUGACGAAUUUAGAGAGAGAGAGAGAGAGAGAGAGAGAGAGAGAGAGAGAGAGAGAGAGAGAAAUUGUGGUAAUGCUUUCAGGGACAUGUAGAUGGAGAGAGAGAGACAGUGAGUGAGAGAAAUAGAGAGAGAGAGAGAGUAAGAGAAAUGAGAAAGAGAGAGUUAAACAUUUCAAGUACAUGACAUUAAAUCUAUGUUAGUUCGUCUUUUCUGUGUUUCUAUUUUUUUUUAUAUCUGAGACACUUCUUACUUUAAAUGUAGUUGUCUAAAUCGUAGAUAUAUACAACUUAAGACGAGGGAAGAAGAGAGAGAGAGUGAGAGAGAAAUACUGAAACAGAGGGAGGGUAAGAGAGAGAAUGAUAGGGAGGGACGCAUGGAGGGGGAGAGAAAGUUAAAGUUUUCAGGUAUAUGUAUUUGAUUAAUAUAAAAGACGAAGAAAAACAAGAAGAAUAUGAAGUCAGAGAGAUCAAAGAAGACGAAGGUGAUGAUGAAGAAGAAGAAUUCGAAGUAGAAGAGGAAGAAGUUGCGAAUAAGAUGUGGAAAACAUGAAGAAGAAGAAGACGUGAUUAAAAAAAAAAAACUAAAGAAUAAGAAGUAAGAAAAGACAUAUAGAAUGAAGAAGAAAUAAAAGAAAAUGAAAAGAAAGUAAGAAUAUGCGAGAGUAGAAUGAGAGAUAAAGGUGGAAAACUAUGAAUAAAGAUAAGGAAAAGACAAUAAAGAAGAAAAAUCAAAAGAUAAAUAAGAGGAAAAAAAUGAUGAAAAGCGAUUAUGUGGAGUGAUAACUAUGAGUUUUCAAGACUCUUUGUAGAGGUUAUCAAUCCCUUGUCUUGUAGUACAAGGGGUUUAUCAAUCCAAGAAUGUGGUGAUAGACACUAAGCUAUGUAAUCAGGUUCUUAAUUCAAGCAAACAAGAGUGGUUUGGUUAACUAGAGACAACUACAAACUUAAACAGGAUUAAAGACUAAUGAAAUGAUUAAACAAGAACUAAACAAUGAGAAAUGAUGAGAAUGUAUGAAUGAUGAUGAGAAAAGUCUUAGACAUGAUAGUGGAUUAGGGUGCCUUCAGUGAUAAACUAAUGAGCUAAUGAAUCAUAUGAUCAAGCAAACCAUUCAACAUAAACAUCUUUAAUUAAGUUAAUCCUCUCAUGAAGGUAUUAACUCCUAUGCUAAAACAGUUUCUAACCCAAUCAUCAUCAGUGAAACAUGAGUUAACAAGCAUUAAGAAUCAGUUUAAUCUGUCAUUUAAGCAUAUAGACAAUCAUUCCCAUGAUGAAUAACACUUAAACCUAUAACAACCUUGGUUCAAACAUUUCAUCAAACACUUUUGAUGCAUGAAAUGCCCAGAAUCUAGACCACAUAUGAUUUGUAUGGAUCUAGCAUAGAGAACAAGUUGUAGAGAAUGGAAUAUGCAUGAUCUAACCCCUAAGCUCACUAAUCUACCACUUAAACACCCUAAUCUACAUAUCUAAGACCUUAAUAUGGAGAUUACUCACUAAUCAUGAUCAACACACUAGAUCCUUUGCAAGAUGUGUUGUUAAUCAUGAUUAGAAGUGUAUAGAUGGAGAGAUAGAUGAUAGAUUUUAGAAGAAAGCAGCUUUAAACACAAAGAUCUCUUAAACUCUCUUGAUUAAACACUCAAUAAUCAAUAUUUCUCUUCUUAAUGGAGUCUUUUCACAAAAGAGGCAAGAGACAAAAGGAAUAAAGCUUAGUCUUCUAAAAACCCUACAAAGUAUUUAUAUCUCUCUAAAAAACGAACCGGGUCAGCCCGGAACAAACCGGAUCCUGACCCGGCUUUAAUGGAUAAAGUGGAAAUUCUGCGGGUUGGUCCAGUGUCUCCCAGGUAGCAUGCCCAAGUCGCAGUAGAUGAAGAACUUGUCUUGUGAGACUUAAAUCGCCUUGUCUUAGUCGCACGCCCAAGUAGGAGUGUUUUGCGAGUCUUGCUGCGGCUUAAUCUUCUUCUUCUUCAACUCGCAGGACCAAGGCGGUUUCUGGGGAAUGUACAAACCGUGCGGGUUGGUCUCCAUUACACUCAGGUCGCAGGCUCAAGUCGGAGUAGAUUGAGAGUGAUCGUGCGGCUUGGUUCCAGGCGCGGCCAACUCGCAUGCCUAAGUCGCACGAUUGUGGACUUAGCAAUUUUCUUGCUCGGGAGCCUCAGACCUCAUCCAUUGAUAGCUUACCCGCACUUCUCAACUCGCAGCAUCAAUUUCCAGGCAUUCGUCUUCAGGCCUGCGAGUUAACCAAGUCGCAAGGCUUUCUCGCAGCAUUCAGAGCAGCUUGGACCACUUCGCAUUCCGGAGAGUUUAACUUCUAAGAUACUUGUCCGAAUUGAGUGAUUCCGGUUGAAGAGGACAGAGGACUCAUAUAUCUCCAACUUUGGUGAAGGAAGCUUCGGUGCUUGGGAAGUGGAAGGCUUCCUGGAGAGCUCAUCUUUGCAGUGCAUUUACACGAUCAGAGAGAGGCGUCUAGACAUGUGUCAAUUCCGGAGACCGUAUCUUCCUGCUCAUAGCUCCGAAUUGAAUGAUCUUGGACGUUAUGGAUAGAGGACUCAAAUGUCUCUGAUUCGCAUGAAGGCUCAGGAAACUGAAUCGGCCUGAAAGUGCACUGUCCGUCGCAUUCUUCAGAGCUCAUCGGCUUGGUCCAGAACAGCAGCGAGACAGGGGUUCCUUCCGACGAGCUUAACUUUCUGCUCACGCGUCCGAAUUCCAUGAUUUCACUUGCUAUGGAACCAUGAUCCAAUCGUCUCCAACUUCGAUGAAGCACCCGACAACUGAAUCGGACCGGAAGGUUCCCCGGACAGGCGAUUUCGGAAACGUGUCUGCACCCGGAGAUUUUGGCCGAAAGAUUCAAUAGCCGGUACGCGUUUUGGCCGAUAAAGUCUACCCGCGGUACGCGUUUUGGCCGAGAAAAACCUUUCUGGUGCGCGAGAAUGGCCGAUAACCUCCAAAGACCCAAUUUCACCAUUUUUCAAGCCUUGAUCAUCAUUCCACCUCCUGGAUUCAUCUUUUCAGCUCCAAAUACACCUGAUAAGCACUCAAAACAUGCAAAGACUCAUUGGGACCUAAUGCAUCUCCUAAGUUCUAAAACAAACCCUAAGGACCUAAAAUGCAUGGAAUAAAACAUGAUUUGAAAUGAAUUAUGCAACCUAAAUGAUGCAAAUUAUGAACAUAUCAACUCCCCACACUUGUCCUUUGCUUGUCCUCAAGCAAACAAGAACAAAUGAGAGAGAGAGGUUGAAUGCAUGGGAGUUCACAUUUUCUUUUUGAGAGAAGUGAUCACAAUGAGAAUUCAAAUUCAUGCUCAAUUAUGCAAUGCAAAGCCAUACUCAGAUAUAUAUCAACUCAGCAAGGAAUUUCCACAAGUUCUUCUCUCUCUCAACUCUUACAUUCAUUAAGCUUUUAUCAGGUGAAUCUCAUGAUGCAAUGUUUAAACAAGCUGGCUUGGCUAGGGAGAGGCUAUGAGAUUAAAAUGAUCUCAUUAGUGUUCAAGUGGGUUUAAUGCAGCAAAGGGAUCUCUCUAUGAAUGAUCAAACUUUGGCAGAAUACUAAAGGUAAAAAGCAACCUAUGCAUACAAGGGCAAAGACUCAUCACACCCCACCCUCUACUCAAAGCUUUCUCACUUGCUCACUCUCUCAAGGACCUCACUUUUCACACUUAUUUUCCUCUCACUAGGGGACUUACUUUUCACUUUCACUCUCAAGUCUUGGAGUUCAAACUUUACACAGCUCUUUUUCUUUUGCAACCUCUAGCCUCCUUUUCUUCUUUCUUUUCAAAACAUUUGAGCUCUUUGGCUUCUUUUCUUUUCCUUUUACUUAGAGGCUAGACUCUUUCUUUUCAACACACCAGAGCUCACUUUCUUUAACUCAAAACUCCAAGACUGAUUUCUUUUUCUUUCAUUCCCCUAGCUAUUUCCACUUCCUCUUUUCCACUCAUCUCACCUUUUUCCACUCACCAACAAGUCUUUUCCCCCACACUUAUUCCUCGCCAAAACUCUCAGUUCCUUGAUGUUGGAACACAGCACUCAAUGAGACCUGCCCUUGUCGCUCUAAACCUAACACUUUCUGCUAAGUUUGAUCCAAGGUGGCCUUUCAAUUCACACACAAACAUUGGCUUGAAAGAAAGAUGGGUUCAAGGUGAGGGAACUGAUCCAUGAUGCGGAUUCAGCUACUUGAGCUAAGCAAAAAAGGGGGGGGGGUAAAAACAAUGGUUCUAGCUCAAGUAUGUAUAUCGGUAUCCACAAGCUUUUUCAAACAAUGCAUCACAAGAUAUUUUCAAGUCAAGUUCAAGGUUCCCACUUAAUUAGAGUUGAGUUCAAUUCAAACUUGCUUCUCAGAUUCAGAUCAUUUCAGACUUUGCAAGCACAGAAAAAGAUUCACAAGCAUAUUCAGUUCAAGUUCUCAAAGUGAUGUACUCUCUAGAAAAUCUAUCAUUACUCCCUGCAAGAUGCAACCUACAUGAACAUGCAAUCUAGACUCAAUCCUAAAAAUGAGAAUGCAACUACAUGAUCAUUUUUUUUGUGAAAAUUUUUCAGAUUUUUCAUUUUUUUUGGGUUUUUAUAUGCACUUAGAUGAGACUACAUGAAUAUGCAACUAGAAUGUGACUCAAGACUCAAAGUAUAAAAUAAGAACAGAGAAAACAUGGUUAGUAAAAGAUGAAACUCCUCCCCCACACUUAAAUAACACAGUCCCUUGUGUUAUAAAAGCAUGAGAAAGGAGUGAAAGCAAAGCAAACAAGUAAAAAUGCAAAGAAAAAGAAAAUCUACAUGCAUAUUUACAAGGUUUAGAGUGUUACCUAAGAGCUGUUGAAGUCAGACCCCAAUGAGUAAGAGGGGUUUGAAGUGUGACCGGAUGGUGUCUCCCAAGAAUGAUGGCUUGCUUCAUCAGACCCGUCGUCGAGAUCCACCCAAGUUGUGCCAUAUGUGACCAGGGCUAUGCAGUUCAUGGAACUCUCUCCAACUUCCUCUCUGUUCCUUGGUGAAACUGGUGCUGGAGACCCACCUUUGCAAGGGUUUUCAAGCUUAUUAAUCCUCUUCUUCAUCUCCUUGAUGCACUUGGCCAUCUUGUGGAUGGUUUUGUCUUGGUACUUGCACCAUUGUUGGAGAAUACCAAUCUUUUGUUGAGCUAUGAACCCUGAAGUGCCUGGUUCCUCCCAGUUGUAAUCAUCAAAAUGGUAUCUAUUUCCAACAAAACGUUUUUGAGGUGGAGGCAGAUCAGCAUCUUGAGCACCAGUAGCACUUGUGGUAGCAUCUUCAGCGGUUGCUCUCUUUCCCUUGGAGGCUUCUUCUCUGCAAGCUUGCUUGUAUGUGAGGAUUGGUGGAUCAGUUUGGACAUUGUACAGCUCUUCCUUCAGCAAGAAGAAGUGAAUGUUCCUCUUAACUUGGACUGUGGUGAUGGAGGGAUUGGGCAGGAGAGUUUGUGCUGGCUCACUGAUGAGAGUCUUGAAGUUGUAUACUACCUUGGUACCCACUCUUCCUUGGAGGAAGCCAAUCUUACACAAAUGUGCUUCAUUAAUUAGAUCAAACUUUGCCUUGUUCUCCUUGAAUCUGUACCCCUUGGCUUUCAAAAUCUUUGUUACCACCCAUCCAUGGGCCAGCUUUGCAUCUUGCUUUGUAGAACCCCAAAUGCACUUUUUUUAGAACAUCAAAGACCUUGCUAAUUGAGAGGCAAGGCAAAGUGGGUAUUCAUACUGUUCAUAGGGUUCCCCAUCUUCAUGAGUUGGCAUCAGCUGUUUCAGCCCCACACCAAGAAGCAUCAGAUCGCCUUUGUGAACUCUUCCAUCAUCGAUUUUGAAGUAGAAGCUGUGAGAGAGAAUCUUGUGAACAUAUCUCAGCACUGGAUUCCUUAUCCAAGAGGACUUAGCUGUUCCAGCUAUGUACUUCCCAGAAGCAAUUGAUCUCCAUAGAAGUUGGACCUCAUCUUUUCUGAGAUUGACCUGGUUGGAGAGAAGUUCAUUUCUAGGUGUUAACAACCCAAAAAUCUCAUUCAAUUCUCUGAAUGACACUGAAUAAUCCUUCCCUUUCAUAGUAAACUCCAAAUGUCCAAGCCCAUCUCCUUGAAUAAUUCUUGAAUCCCUUGGGUAGUAAAUGAAAGCUUCAAAAGAAGCCAAGAACUCCUGAGAUUCCUCUUCAUAAGCGAUCUCUCUCAUCUCCAAAAGUGACUCAACACCCAUGUUCCCAAGCAAGGUUUUGACAUCUUCAUAGAUGCCAAUAUUCUUCAAAAAGUCCACAUCAGGGAACCUCCCUUGCUGGAUCUCUAUCUGUUGAAACUUCGCCAGAUAAUCAAGUGUUUCUGGUUCAGUUUUCUUGAACCUUUUUGAUCCCUCUUCAAUGGUGCCUUGUGAACCACCAGCUGAGCUGCUUGAGUCACUUUCAGUCUGUUCACUCUCAGAUACGACAGCCAACUGUUUCCCCUUCUUCUUGGAACCAGAAGCAACCACCAAAGAUUUUCCUUCAUGCCUUGUCCUUUUUGGCGCUGGAUCACACUUCCCUUGCUUUGUGGUAUUCUUUGCUCCUUGACCUUUUUCUCUUGGCUGUGAAGACCCUGAGACCAAACCUUUGCCCUUUGAUGCAGUGCUCUUCUUCUUGGCCAGAGAGUUGGUUCUUUCAGUCAUCUGCCAAGACAUUCUCAAAAACAAUGUUAGUACAAGAACAAGCUUCACAAAAUUCUCCAAAAUUUUGAAAAAAAAAAAUUGUUGCAAGAAUCGAUUUUAAAACCACAUGAACAGGUUUCUCAAGCCAAGCAUCAAUCCAAUAAGUUCAUAGCAAUGCAAAAACAAGAGUGCAAAGCAAGGACUCAGCAAUGAAAAUAGAUCUUUUUAAAAAAAAAAAAAAAAUCGAUUUUUCUCAUGAAUUUCUUACAACAAUUUUCAAAACUCAAGAACAAGGAAUCACCAACAGCUGUUUUCUAAGACUAUCUAGCACCCUAGCAUUUAUAAAAAUAAUCCCAAGGUCUAAAACAAUCUAUCAAAAUCGAUUCCACACCUUGAAGUUCAAAAAUCACCAUUGAAGAACAUGGAAAAAGGUGAAUUUUAACUGAAUGAAAUACCUUGGGAUUAAGAUGCAACGAGCUCGAAAUGCAAUCAAGAUGAUGUUAAAAACUCAAAAACGAGUUCAGAGCACUUUGAAUCAACAAAUUUGGUGGAGAAAUGAGAGAGAUAUGAUGAAAACAAUGGAGAGAAAUGAGAGAAAGAGUUGCAAACUCGGGUUUUUGGUGAGGAAGAGAGAGUGUGGGACAGGUUAAAGACUUUGGACUGGUGGUCAAUAGAUCUAUUUUGACCAGUCAAGGCUUUGACCUGUCCUUUUCUCGUUGACCAGCCUCCUUUCUCUCCUUUGUGCGACCGGGAACCGUCGGGAUCGGGCCGCAUGACGGUCUCGGUGUAGAACCGGAAAUGUUUUUGUGCUACCUGGGAUCUUCUGUGCCUCCCCCGCAUGACCAAGUCGCAGUAAAAGUCCUUCAGCUCGGUUUUAUCUUUCCUCAUUGCUGCUGCCUGGAACCCUUGCUUUCCAGCUAGCACGCCCAACUCGGAGUAAUUUGCGAACAUGUGUGCGGGUUAGACUCCUUUGUUCCCAGGUAGCAUGACUAUCUCGCAGGGUUUGGGACUUAAAAACCUCGGGGUUCCUCUUCUGGUGCGGCCUGGCCUCCAUACUUCCCAGGUAGCACGCCCAACUCGGAGUAAUUUGCGAGUCUUCAUGCGGGUUAGCUUCUUUGUUCCCAGGUAGCAUGACUAGGUCACAGGUUUUUGGACUUAAACAAUUUGGCCUUUCUUUUCCUGCUGCGACCUGGUCUUCAUGCUUCCCAGCUAGCACGCCCAACUUGGAGUAAAAUGCGAUCAUACGUGCGGCCUAGCUUCUUUGUUCCCAGGUAGCAUGACUAGGUCGCAGGUAUUUGGACUUAAGAUGUCUCGGCCAUUCCUCUUUUGCUGCGACCUAGUCUCCUUGCUCCCAGCCAGCACGCCCACCUCGCACACCUUCACACUUAGGCGUUUGGCUCUUCUUGAUUUCGUGCAGCCUGGUCUCUAUGAUUCCCAGCUAGCACGCCCAACCCGGAGUGAUUUGCGAAUGGAUGUGCGGUUUAACUUCUCUUGUUUCCAGGCCGCAGCAACUACUCGCAGGUUUUUGCACUUAAACACCUCGGCCAUCCUUCUUUUGCUGCAACUUGGUCUUCAUUCUUCCCAGGUAGCACACCCAAUUCGGAGUAAAUUGCGAUCAUGUGUGCUACCUAACUCCUUUGUUCCCAGGCCACAGCUCCUACAUCGCAGAUCUUUGGACUAAAGAUACCUUGGACCUUUUCUUUUUGGUGCGGCCUGGUUUCUCUUUUCCCAGCCAGCACGCCUAACCCGGAGUGAUUUGCGAAUGGAUGUGCGGCCUAGCUUCCUCUCUUCUUACCCGCAGCACCAGCUAGCACAACCUCGGACUUAGACGUUUUGGACUUCUUCUUUUUGGUGCGGCCUGGUUUCUCUUUUCCCAGGUAGCACGCCCAGGCCGGAGUAAAUUGCGAGUCCUGCUGCGACCUGGGCUCUUCUUGCACCAAGCCGCACACCUAGGUAGCACUGAGGCGUUCUCCAAGUUUUUCAGGCCCUAAAUACUUCUCUCAGCCCUCUCACAUGCUCCAUUCCAUUCAUCACUGAGCUAUGUUCUCCAAAAAUCACCUAGAACCUGAGACCAACUCACAAAACCCAUCAAAAAGUUCUAAAACAUAAAAGAAAAGAGAAGAAAUCAAAAGAACUAUGUACAAAGAUAAGCUUGGGGUGUCUCCCAAGAGCACUUUGUUUAAAGUCUCUAAGUUUGACUAUGGAAACCUGUUUAGCAGGCUGGAGGUGGGUCAAGAAGGGGAACUGAUGUAGCUUCCUCCUUCCCUUGUGAAACUAAGUAAUGCUUGAUUCUUUGUCCGUUUACCACAAAUUCUUGACCAUUCUUCCCUUCUAAGACAAUAGCACCAUAUGGUCUCACUUCAAGAACUUUAAAAGGUCCAGACCAUCUAGACUUAAGUUUUCCUAGAAACAACUUAAGUCUAGAGUUGAACAGCAACACCAAAUCACCAUCCUUGAACUCCCUUUUCAGAAUCUUUUGGUCAUGCAGAACCUUGGUCUUCUCCUUAUAGAUCUUUGAGCUCUCAAAAGCCCCAAGCCUUAUCUCUUCAAGUUCAUGGAGUUGAAUGACCCUUUUCUCUUGAGCUGUCUUGAUAUCAAAGAUCAGCAACUUCACAGCCCACAAAGCCUUGUACUCUAACUCAACAGGAAGGUGGCAGCUCUUCCCAUAUAGCAGAUUGAAAGGUGAUGUCCCAAUAGGAGUUUUAAAGGCAGUCCUAUAAGCCCACAAUGCAUCAUCUAGCCUUUUGCUCCAAUCUUUUCUGCUUGAGCUCACAGUCCUCUCAAGAAUGGCCUUGAUCUGUCUAUUAGAUACUUCAACCUGGCCACUAGUUUGAGGAUGAUAAGGAGUAGCUACCUUGUGUUUCACUCCAUGCUUUCUCAGUAAACCCUCCAAAGUCUUGUUCACAAAAUGAGAUCCUCCAUCAGAGAUAACAACCCUUGGAACUCCAAAUCUUGGGAAGAUAAUGCUCUUGAACAGCUUCACUACAACCUUGGAAUCAUUGGUAGGGGAAGCAAUGGCCUCAACCCAUUUGGACACAUAGUCCACAUCAACAAGUAUAUACUGAUUCCCAUAGGAUGAAAUGAAAGGCCCCAUAAAGUCAAUCCCCCAGCAAUCAAAGAUCUCAACUUCUAGAAUUGGGUUUUAAGGCAUCUCACUCCUCUUUGAUAUGCUCCCAUGCCUCUGACAAGCAUCACAUGCUGAACCACUAACUGAGCAUCUUUGAACAUUGUGGGCCACCAAAACCCACUCUGAAGAACCUUUGCCACAGUCUUGAAUGCUCCCAUGUGACCCCCAAAAGCUGAACUAUGACACUCUUGCAACACAGGCUGCAUCUCCUCCUCAGCAAGACACCUUCUAUACAGCUGAUCUUUGUUCAGGACAUAGAGGUAGGGCUCAUCCCAAUGGUAUCUUUGAACUUCUCUGAAGAAUUUCUUCCUGUGGUAAGCAUCUAAUUCAGGUGGUUCCACUCCACAAGCAAGAUAGUUCACAAUGUCUGCAAACCAAGGCAUCCUCCUCUCUUGAAUGCUGUCCACUUCUUCAAACUCCAAAUAAGAAUGGAGCACCAUCAGUGAUUCCUCAGGAAGACUGUCAUUAAGAGGCAAUUCAGAGUCUAUUCUCAACCUAGAGAGAUGGUCUGCAGCUCCAUUCUCUAUACCCUUUUUGUCAUGUACUUCCAUAUCAAAAUCCUGAAGUAGAAGAACCCAUCUCAAUAGUCUUGGCUUAGCAUCUUUCUUGGUCAUCAGAUACCUGAGGGCUGCAUGAUCAGUAUAUACAAUUACUUUUGAUCCCACCAGGUAACUUCUGAAUUUAUCGAAGGCAAAGACUAUUGCCAACAUUUCCUUCUCAGUAGUAGCAUACUUCUCUUGUGCAGGGCCAAGUGUUCUACUAGCAUAGUAAAUGACAUGAAGCUUCUUAUCUUUCUUCUGGCCAAAUACAGCUCCAACUGCAAAAUCAGAUGCAUCAGUCAUAACCUCAAAAGGUAGGGACCAGUCUGGGGCUUGGACAAUUGGUGCACUGACUAAUGCAUCCUUGAUCAUCUUGAAGGCCUCUUCACAUUCAGCAUCAAAGAUGAAAUCCACUUCUUUACAAAACAGCCUUGUCAAGGGCCUGGCAAUUCUUGAGAAGUCUUUGAUAAAUCUUCUGUAAAACCCUGCAUGCCCAAGGAAACUCCUUAUCCCUUUAACUGAAGUGGGAGUUUGCAGAUUCACCAUCACUUCCACCUUUGCUCUGUCAACCUCAAUACCCUUCUCAGAUAUCUUGUGCCCAAGAACUAUUCCUUCCCGCACCAUGAAGUAGUAUUUCUCCCAGUUUAACACCAAGUUAUCCUGCUCAAAUCUCUCCAAGACCUGUUACAAAUUAGAGAGAAAAUCCGAGAAGGAGGAGCCAUAGACACUAAAGUCAUCCAUGCACACCUCCACCUUCUCUUCAAUAAUGUCAGAGAAUAUAUGCAUCAUGCAACGUUGAAAUGUGGCAGGGGCAUUACAGAGACCAAAAGGCAUUCGCCUGUAUGCAAAGGUGCCAUAAGGGCAUGUGAAUGUUGUUUUCUCUUGAUCUCGGGGAUCUAUGGGAAUUUGGAAGAACCCCGAGUACCCAUCGAGAAAACAAAAGAAGGGGUGUUUUGCAACGCCUCUCUAACAUCUGAUCAAUGAAAUGUAAGAAACUAUCCUUCCUNNNNNNNNNNNNNNNNNNNNNNNNNNNNNNNNNNNNNNNNNNNNNNNNNNNNNNNNNNNNNNNNNNNNNNNNNNNNNNNNNNNNNNNNNNNNNNNNNNNNNNNNNNNNNNNNNNNNNNNNNNNNNNNNNNNNNNNNNNNNNNNNNNNNNNNNNNNNNNNNNNNNNNNNNNNNNNNNNNNNNNNNNNNNNNNNNNNNNNNNNNNNNNNNNNNNNNUCGUAGUAGUUAAGUGUAUCCUAUGGCUCUCCUGAACUUUCUUAUCUCACUAAGCAAUGCACUCUCUUGAUCCUCUAAUAGGCUAUCAUUGAUGAUUACUGGAUAUGUUGAGUUUAAGCCCAAGAAGGCAUACAUGAGCCCUGUUGGUAGAGGCUUGAGCUCAACAGGGGGUGCAUCAGCCUCAUUCCAAUCCUGGUCCAAGCUGCUUUGGCUGGUGUCUGAUCCUUUGAUAGCAAAAACCUCAGAGCCACUUUGUUCCAGCUCCAAAAACCUUGUCUCAGGACCCAGCUCUCUAGCAUUGUCCAAAUACAACUUGUACCCUUCACUUGCUUCAGCUAAGAGCCCAUUGUCUCCUUGUUCUUGAGUUAGAGCAGCUUGAAGAGGAUCCUCAGUGUUCAGCUCCUCUAGCAACUCAUCAGCCAACUGAUCCAUUGUCUCCACAUAGAAACAUUGACCUUCAAUGGUGGGUUUCUUCAUCAUCUCAUUCACGUCAAACUUGAGCUUUUCAGACCCAAGUUGAAGCUCUAUUAUCCCACCUCUCACAUCAAUUUUGGCUCCUGCAGUUGCUAAGAAUGGCCUGCCCAAGAUAAGAGGAUCUACUGGUUCUUCAUCCAUCUCCAGCACAACAAAAUCAGUUGGAACCUCAAAACCACCUAUCUUGACAGGUAGAUCUUCCAACAUACCAACAGGCAAUCUAACUGAUCUAUCUGCAAGGAUAAGAGAAAUCCUUGCAGGCUUGAAGACUCUAAAGCCCAGCUUCUUUGCUAUGGAGAAUGGCAUCAAGCUGACUGAUGCUCCUAGAUCACAAAGACAUCCAGAGAAUAGAAGAGGUCCAAUGGCACAAGGGAGUGUGAAACUCCCUGGAUCAGUUAACUUUCUUGGUAUGGACUUCUUCUGAAUGAUAGCACUGCAUUCAUGACUUAGUACCACCAUGCCUUGAAGUUUUUUUGUCUUGUUCAGAAUGGCAUCCUUCAGGAACUUGCCCAUCUAUGGCAUCAUUAAGAAUGCAUCAAUAAGAGGCAUAGUGAGUGGUGUCUCAUUGAGUGCCUUCUCAAAUACAGCUUUUGCCUUGUCCACAAGCUGCUUCUUAAAUCUCCCUGGAAAUGGGAGCUUGGGUUGGUAUGGAGGUGGUGGCACAUAUACCUUUUCUGGUUCAGGUUCCUUUGCUACCUUUUUACUCUUUUGGACAGGUUUCUCAGCAACCUGAUCAUCUUUUAAGGCUGCCUCCCCCUCAGUUUGAUCAUUGUCCUCAAUGAUCACAUUGUUGUUCUCAAUACCAGGUAACUCCUUUCCACUCCUCAGUGUAAUGGCCUUAGCAUAUUCCUUGGGGUUGGGUUCUCCGGUCUGAUUCAGUUGUCGGGUGCUUCAUCGCAGUUGGAGAAGAUUGGAUCACGGUUCCAUAGCAAGUUGAAUCAUGGAAUUCCGACGCAUGAGCAGAAAGUUAAGCUCGUCGGAAGGAACCCCUGUCUCGCUGCUGUUCUGGACCAAGCCGAUGAGCUCUGAAGAAUGCGAAGUACGGUGCACUUUCAGGCCGAUUCAGUUUCCGGGGCCUUCAUGAGAAUCAGAGACAUUUGAGUCCGCUUUCCAGAACGUCCAAGAUCAUUCAAUUCGGAGCUAUGAGCAGGAAGAUACGGUCUCCGGAAUGGACACAUGUCUAGACGCCUCUCUCUGAUCGUGUAAAUGCACUGCAAAGAUGAGCCCUCCAGGAAGCCUUCCACUUCCCAAGCACCAAAGCUUCCUUCACCAAAGUUGGAGAUAUAUGAGUCCUCUGUCCUCUGCCCUCUGCUACCGGAAUCACUCAAUUCAGACAAGUAUCUUAGAAGUUACACUCUCCGGAAUGCGAAGUGGUCCAAGCUGCUCUGAAUGCUGCGAGAAAGCCUUGCGACUUGGUUAACUCGCAGGCCUGAAGACGAAUGCCUGGAAAUUGAUGCUCCAAGUUGAGAAGAGCGGGUAAGCUAUCAAUGGAUGAGGUCUGAGGCUCCCGAGAAAGAAAAUUGCUAAGUCCACAAUCGUGCGACUUAGGCAUGCUAGUUGGCCGCGCCUGGAACCAAGCCGCACGAUCACUCGCAAUCUACUCCGACUUGAGCCUGCGACCUGAGUGUAGUGGAGACCAACCCGCACGGUUUGUACAUUCCCCAGAAACCGCCUUGGUCCUGCGAGUUGAAGAAGAAGAAGAUUAAGCCGCAGCAAGACUCGCAAAUGGUGGUUGAAACUGUUGUUGAACAGGCGCUUGCUGUUGGAACUGUGGAGGACCAAACCCUGGUGGUGCCUUUUGCUGCUGUGUACUGAAACUAGGACCUUGAAAAGGUUGUUGUUGCUGACCAAAACCUUGAUUCUGAGCAAACUGAUUCUUUGGUUGAAAAGAUCCUUGAAAGUUGUUCUUGGGAACAAAGUUCUGUGGAGCUUGAGAAUUGGGAUACACCUGGUCUUGUGGGUUAGCUACAUUGGUGUUCCUGUAAGAAAGGUUUGGAUUGGCAUUACCAUACUGAUAUCUCUGGAACCUCUGAUUCCCAAUGUAGUUUAGCUCCUCCUGGGUAAGACCUUCUUCACUUAUGUUCUCAAAGAUUUGAGAAGGUUCCUCAUACUCUCCAACAAAAUGCAUUGGCUUCUGAGUGGUGGAAAGGGUGGGGUUGGUGGUGCACCUGUUGUCUUUGCUGUACAUUGGCCUGAUGCCUCUGUUGAUGAGCUUGAGCUUGUCCCUGGUGGACAUAAGCUUGUUGGUGCACCUGUUCCUGAUGAACAUUACCCUGAUUUAACCCUUGACCAGCUCCAUUACCAGCUCCAUUACCCUGAGCCUGUUGCUCCUGAACCGGUUGUUCUAUAUCCACUACGUGCUCUCUUUGUUCUUCCAUAUCAGCCUGAUCAAUCUGUCUUCCACGUCUGUCCCUUCUCCUCCUUGGUACCAAAAGAUUGAUGUUGUCGUUGAGAGGGAAAGGUGGACCACAGCUUCUUGAUCUAGACCUGGUGUUCAUACCCGGACAGGCGAUUUCAGAAACGUGUCUGCACCCGGAGAUUUUGGCUGAGGGAUUCAAUAGCCGGUACGCGUUUUGGCCGAUAAAGUCUACCCGCGGUACGCGUUUUGGCCGAGAAAAACCUUCCUGGUGCGCGAGAAUGGCCGAUAACCUCCAAAGAACCAAUUUCACCAUUUUUCAAGCCUUGAUCAUCAUUCCACCUCCUGGAUUCAUCUUUUCAGCUCCAAAUACACCUGAUAAGUACUCAAAACAUGCAAAGACUCAUUGGGACCUAAUGAAUCUUCUAAAUUCUAAAACAAACCCUAAGGACCUAAAAUGCAUGGAAUAAAACAUGAUUUGGAAUGAAUUAUGCAACCUAAAUGAUGCAAAUUAUGAACAUGGAGACGAAGAACUCGCUUUUUUCUUAGUUCAAUUGGUUUUGUGAAUUUCAUAAACUUAUUUGGUAAGCAUAUACGUCUUUAAUUUUGGAUAGUAUUUAUUUUUUCGAUUUUAUUUUAUUUUAUUAUGUAUGUCUUAAAUAGUUGUUUUAAGUAAAAAUUACUCAAACUAACCUUUAAGGUGACCUAAAUGACAAACCUAACCUAACAUAUUUUGAGUCUUACUAGAUUAACCUUACAAAGUUGGUCUAAUACCAUUUUAUCCAGAUGUUGAAUAUUAUUACGAAAAUGCCAUAUUGAUUUUUUUUUUUUUAAAAAAUUCGAUUUGUUUUUUAUUUUAUUUUUCUGAAAAAAAUAUUAAAAAAGUAGAUACAAAAAACAAAAAAACAAACCUAAUAUUAAAAAAAAUUAUCUCUCUCAUCUUCUCUCUCAUCUUCUCUCUCGCUUCUCUCUCGUUUCUCUCUAACCUAGAUCUUUUUUUUUCUGCUGCAUUUCUUGAUUCCGGCAGUUAGCGGCGGUGGACCACUCCUUUCUUGCCUCCGUCGAUCACAAGAAUCGUCCGAUGGCACCAGUGCACCUCUCACUUCCCUUUAGAUGGCAAUUUUGUCCUUAUCUUUGAGCAUUGUGCUUCCCUUGAGUCUCUAGAUCCUUCCGCCUUCUACCACUAGACCGAAGACCUUCCUCUAGUUCUCCUCCAUUACUAUGAAGUCGCAGCAAGGCUCAAUCGCUUGGAUCCCUUGACAGUGUCCUUCACCAAGGGUUACAAAUCGAGUGACGACACAGCUGUGAGACCACAACUCUUAAGCGGCAUUCUCGCCGCAUCGCACACAACCGCAGUGGAUAGACGUUGUUUCAGUGGAAUGGUGGUUUUGAGGAGGUUGUCGGCGGCGUAAUUUUUUUUGUAAAACCCGUAACCCUAAUUUUUGUUUUGUUUCAGGUAAGUUUGAUAAAUAUAUUUGAAAAAACGAUAUUGUAUUUUUUAGUUGUAAAGUUCAUAACGUGUGAUGGUAGAUUUAUUUGAAAAACGGUAUGUAGUUUGGUAGAUUAUUAGUUAUUUGAUGGUAGAUAUAUUUACAAAACGAUAUGUAGUUUGGUAUAUCUAUUAGUUAUUUGAUGGUAAAUUUAUUUAAAAAACAAUGUGGUUUGGUAUAUUUAUUAGUCAUCUGACGGUAGACUUAUUUGAAAAACAAUGUGAUUUGGUAGAUUUAUUAGUCAUUUGAUGGUAACUUAUUUGAAAAACGAUAUGUGGUUUGGUAGUUUUAUCAGUUAUUUGAUGGUAGAUUUAUCAGUUAUAUAUAUUUGAAUUUUAUAUUUGAAUGAUGGCAUUUGUUUGUUCUUCUCUGACAGGUUAUGGGAUUUGUGAUGGCGAACGAGUCUCUGAUGGGUUAUGUUCUACUAUGAAUAUUAGAUUUGCAUUUGGUAGAUUUGUUUUGAAAUGAUGGUAGAUUUAUUAUUGAAUUGAUGGUAUAUCUAUAUUUGAAUUUGUACAAAUGAUAAUUAGAUUUUAGAUGAUGAUAUCUUUGUUUUCAAAUUAUAUUUGGCGCAAAAGAUUGACUCAAACAUUUCAUCUUUUUACCACUUUUCUUUACUUUCACUAUGGUUUAUAUCCUAAGUUAAUGAAAUUUUAAACAAAACACAUGAUUAAAGUCAUUUCACAUUGUGAUGUUCAAAAGUUUAUGUAAAUAUAAUUAAAUAUAACAAAAUAUUCACAAAUAAAAAUUAAAAGAUCAUAAGUUAAGAGAUAGUCAUUACAGACAAAAACGAUAAGGACAUAAGAUAAAUGUUUAAGUGAACUAGUAGGACAUAUAUGUUCAAGGUUAAUAUGUGAUAACACCGUAUUUUGACCACUUUUAUGGAUCGUUUUGAAAUACUUUUUCUAUGUUUUUAAUUGCUUUUAAGUACUUUUAUCACGUUUUUCUAGUAUUUUUAGUUCCAAGACUCUUUUCAGGUAACUUAGGGAAAAACUUAACAAAAUGGAUAGAAAACCAGAUUUCAGCUCAAAGUCAAACCGUCAGAAGUUCACCCCUGAUUGAAGGCCUUCUCACCGUCUGUUCCAGCUCAAAUUUGGAGACCUUAAAGAUGGAAGUAUCAACUUUCCAGCACACUUUACAGCUUGACAAUCCAACGGUUCAAUCAAAAGAUACGCGAAGAGCAAGAUGUCCCGUAAACCAGCCAGCAAGCAACUCCACCCGUGGCCAAUAAGCCAUUUCCCGCGGUCAGAAGCAUCCCGACCGCGGCAAACCACUCAUUCCCCGCGGUCACAGCACUCCCAACCGCAGCAAGCCAACUCCGAGCCCAAAAGCCCAUUUUUGAAGCCCACAAUGAUUCCCUCAUUUGGAGAAACCCUAAGUGACGUCCAGAGCACUAUAAAUACAUGUUUUAGGAACCCUAAUCGAAAAAAAAAGAGACCACCGAAUUUUUACUUCAUAGUUUUAUUGUUUUUGCUUUAGCUUUUAGGGAGAGAGAGAUUUGUUCUCUUGAACCCUUGUUCUUUCUUUUUUAAUUUCGGUUUCUAUUCUACUUAUUAAUACUAUGUUUUUGAUUUCGUUCAUUAUGUCUGAGUAGUUUUAUUGUUGGGAUUAAGGGAUUUUAGAUGGGGAUUUAUAUGUUCGAUGAGGAUUCCAUGAGCUUUUGAGCCGAAUCUUAGAACUUAUUCUUCUGAAUUCGUUUUUACUGCAUGAGAGUAGCGUCAUGAACUACAAUCUGAUCCAGAUGCUUUGUGACACGAAAGUGUUCAUCAGGUAUCAGAUCUAGUUUGGGAGAGCAAAACAAACAUAGGAGUGGAAACCUACCUAUGGGCGAUUUGUCAAUGCUGACGAGUCUUAAACAUAAUGCAUCUCUUCUUUUCCAGGGCCAUAGUGGAAACCUACUGGUCAGGGUUGAGAGAGAUAGUUGUCUAUGAUCACGACAGUGGCGUAUUCAUAUGUCCGUGACUCCAGUUCGAAAAGUUUAAGCUAAGAUCUUAGCAAUUUUACUCUCUAGCAAUGUUUUGAAUCGUUCGUACCCCUGAGAAAACUUCCCUGAACCCCAACGCCUUCUUUCCUAUUGAUUUACACCGUUUUUAUUUCAAGCUUUAGUUCAAUAUUGUCUUUCCUUUUUAGUAGAUUUUCAUUUAAGCAAUUAGAAUAUCCGUUUUUCUCAUUUUUAUUCAUUUUCGUUAAGUUUAGUUAUUAGGUCAUUUAAUUCCCGUAUUUUCUUUUAAGAUUUCGUUUUUACAUUUUAAACACACCACCAAACCCCCACAAAACCGUUUUGGUUCUAGACUUCCUUACUUUAUACUUAUUUCAAAGGCUUUUUGCAGGAAAAGAUCCUCUUUCCCCGUGGAUUCGAUCCCAAAGUACUACAAUCGAUCAGCUGUGCACUUGCGGCUAUUGAUUUCAUUUAGGUUAAAACUUGACAACCCUCACGACAACACCACAUCAAGUUUUUGGCGCUGUUGCCGGGGAAAGCACGCGUUUUCUUUUCUGCAACCCCGAGAAAGGUUGGUAAAUCGACUCUAAAACCCCUUUUUCUGCAAUUUUCCAUUUUUCGGUUUUUUUGUUUCCAUUUCAGAAGAUAUGGAUCCUAUAAAUCGAAAUAUACACUAUGAGGAAGGUUUAUAUAACACUCCUCAAGCCACCAGACACAGAACGUUCCAGAAGGAGCCCUGCGCAUCUCCAAUGGCCAACCCUGAACAACCCGCUCGUCGUUUGCCUCACCAAGAUGAAAACGUCCAACUCAUUCACUGAUUGAAAACACUAGAAGUGGCGGUCUUGCACCUACUCGACGUUCAAGCGAGAUCUAGAUCCACAAUCCACGAGAAAAUUGACGACUUGUCAAUGCGCUUUAACAGAAAGCUUGAAGAUCUUUCAGCUCAAGUCAAGACCAUCGAAACUCAACUAAACAAGGGUGCUGAAACCAUUAAGGAGAGGAUAGAAGCAAUCGAAGGACGAGUUGGAGAAAACGAAGUUCGCAUUCGCAAAGCCAGUGGGAACAUCCGCACCUUAGAGAUCAAACUUGAUGAAGCAGAAGAGACUAUUAACGACCAUAACAACCAAACCUAUUCCUACAUGGAAGAGAUUUAGGAUGGAGUACACAAGGUUCAAGACAAAACAGAGGAAAUAGACUCAACCGUGGACAAAGUAGUCUAUGCCCUCGAUGAAAUCGAAGAGAAGGUUGAAAAGCUUAUGCAAGGAUGUGAAACAAACGGUUCGACGCUUCUCAUCGAAGAUCUUACCUUAAAAAAGGAGGAAACGGAGCUAGAAUGUGCAGAAAUCAGUUUAGAUGGCAAAAGAGCAGACGAAACAAAGGAAACAACUCGGAGCCUUCUUCUCGCGGUCAGAACUCUCGUGACCGCGGCCAACAAGCCUCCAGCCGCGGUCGUGAGCCUCCUGACCGCGGCAAAACCCUCCCCACCCGCGGUCGUGAAACCUCUACCCGCUGCAAAUGCUCCGUCAGAUACCUUUCAGCCCUUUUCCACUCCUACAGGUCAAUGCUUAUUUGAUACAUCUGCUAGGAUGGUCAAAGCCCCUCUACAUGAGCAAACGGUGUAUGCUAUCAGCUCCAAAACAUCUCAAGAAGAAAAUGAGGUACUCCCUUGCAACAUAGUUUUAGCAUAUGAGGAUGAAUAUGAAGGGCACUACCUCGAAGAUGAAGACUAUCGUCUGUUCAUAGAAGGAGGGAAUCCAGACAAAAUGGUGGAAUUAGGAGCACCAAUCUCCAGAGAAAGGCUCAUUGAAUUCAACAAGUUUGUGAAAUCGAUCCCUCUUUACACAGGUUUCGAUGAUAUAUGGCAUCUUGGUUGUUUGCAAGUUUUCUUUAGGUACAGCAAGGAGACAAAGGAGGAUAUCAGAACCUAUUUUGGGAGGGCUAGACGUCUGACUUUUCCCAGAACAUCACCUGAUGCUGCAAUCUAUUCAAUUCACCUCAAAAAGCCGGAAGACUGCAGCCACUACACCAACAAAAUCAGCAAGGAAAAGCUCGAUGAAUUCAAUGAUGUGGUUCGAAAUUUGCCUGAAGAAAUCACGUUUGCCAGAGCUUGCAAGGACUUUAUGAUAGGCCACUACUUCUGUGAGAGCAAAGAAUCAAUCCCUGAGAUAGAAGACUUGUUCAAUCAUGCCAGAAGAGGUAAACCUGUUCGAACACUUCAUAAAAUAGAAGGUGUAGGUCAGUUUCUUAUCUCUUGUUCUAUUAGAGGAGAAAUGUUUAAAAACGUGCUAUGUGAUUCUGGAGCUUGUGUUAACAUGAUGUCCAAGGCAAUUGAUUUGAGACUUGGUAUUAAACACCUGCGCAGGACUAGAGCAAAGAUUAGUCUAGCUGAUGAUUCCAAUGCAACACCUCAAGGAAUAGCUCAUGAAAUUCCUUUGAGAAUAGGAGAUUACAUAGUGCCUGUCGACUUCUACAUUGUCGAAACGAGAGAUGCAACAUAUCCAGUGAUUCUCGGAUGGUCUUUUCUAGCAACUUUCGGAGCUAUAAUGGACUGGCCAAACCGGAGGAUUUCAUUUGCUAAUAUCGACAAAGAUGUCUUCACAGAAGCUGUUCCAUACAACAGCAAAGCAGGAAAACGUUCUGCAACAGAAGAGUUUGAAGAAGAACUUUGGAGUGACGAAGAACCUGCUAGGCAAAGCAAGGAGAUGUCGAAAAAGACUUGUCUCAGGACAAGGUCUUCUUCAUUGGAAUAAGUCACGUCCAACACCAAAAGUCGAGCUAAACGACUUAAAACAGAAGCGCUUAAUGGGAGGCAACCCAUUUAGGUAUUGUUUUCUUUAGGAUUUUUCUUUCUUUUUCUUUUGAUCUUUUUCUUUUUCUUAAUUUCAGGUGUUUCUUAUAAAACAAAAAAACCAAAAAAUCAAAAAACCCGAAAAAAACCAAAAAGAAGGAUGGUACCUGACUGCUCGGCCCAGCAGGAACCAAGGAGAAGCAGGAAGAGGCCGCGAAAUAAGCCUCCGCGGUCGCAGACGUUCUGACCGCGGGAAACUACUCAUCGACCGCGGUCGCGUGAUCCUGACCGCGGCCAAACACUUGGUUGCCGCGGUCGCGCGACCCCUGUCCGCGGCACUUGGUCGUUGACAUCAAACCCAACCCCAAACCACCCACUUCACCCCAUUCCACCUCACCAAUCACCCUCCACCUCAUUCAUCACCCUCCACCACCUUCAUCACCCCCUAAUCACCUUCCCAAACCUCUUCGAAUGAAUCCGGUUCAUCUCCACCAGCAUCCCGGAUCCAGGUAAGUUCUCUUUGUCCUUACCAAUUCGAUUAUCUAUGCAUUUUUCUCAUCCAAUCUCGACUUGUUUCACACUGAGGACAGUGUGAUUUAAGUCUGGGGGAGGAUUUCAUCCUUUUCUAACCACUUUUCUUUCAUGAGUCUUGCAUUAUCUACACUUUUUGCAUUUUCCUUAAAGUUUUUCAAAAUCGGUUUUCAAAACAAAAUACGUUUUAAAGGGAAUGGUGAACAUAAAUCAAUGAUAGUUGACUGUGUGCUUUAGACUAUUCCUAGUGACAUGCUCAUUCAUGAUUUAGGACUAGACUAGGCGGUAGCUAAGCACAUUUGAAACGAAGUACCCCAGAGGAAUUUGAAUGAUUUCGAUUUAGAUGAAGGGAUACACUAGCUCUGUUUUAUUUGGACUUAAUUUGGACUCAAUUUUCUCAUUGAAGCUUUAGACCAGGGAAACGAAUCAUACAUUCAGGACUCCUUUAUCCUUUUACCACUCUCAGUUGAUCCUGAAUGGCUAGUUCAUCUUUAGCUAGUUCCCCACCUUAACCAAUCCUCUUUCAAACCACAUGCACUCUUGUUUUCUAUUGUCUUACAUGCAGAUAAGUGCAAAAACGUUGGAGAGAAAGAGGAACGACGCAGUUUUCAGUCACCAAGGAUAGAGACCUGCGAUUUGCCGGAAAAGUUUCCGGAAGGAUCCAACACAAGAGGAAGCUCAGUUUGCCUUAGAAAAAUCUCAAAUUUUGGUACAAUCUCGUCCUCUAGUCUCUCUCUCUUUAAAAGGCAUUUCCUAUUCUAAAAAAAAAAAAAAAAAAAAUCCAAAAAUAAGAAAAGAAAGGAAAUAAAAGCCUUAGAGAGUCUAGAGAGCUCGAAUUUUAAGUCCCAAGGCAACUGGAGUUUGAUUUUAUGGAGUUUUGGAGAUCGUUUUCUGAUUCCUGGAAAGAAUCUAAGUCUGGGGGAACAGCUGUUUACAACAAAGGAGGAAGGAUUAUGCAACAACAUUUGGCAAGAAGAAGUGACUGAAAAACUGUGGUCAUCAACAGGUCCUUAUCUCUCUUGCGGUUUUGCAUAUUAUCUUGCAUCCUCCAGAUCUUCAGGUAACCCGAAACACUUUAACUCCACCACUUAAACAGUCCUUUAAUGCCAAACGCCGUCUACCCUGGAUAAUGUCUUUAAUGAGAAAUCACUAUUGAACUUAAUGAAUGUAGAGAGCUAGUUGACUGGAAUCAAGAUUUAGAUUUUUUAAGUUUUGCAUGACGGAAAAAGUGGACUAGUAUCUUUUGUGUCUUGGUGAGAAUUUUCUAGACUAAGUUGUGGAUUGAUGCACUAUCUUUGGUUCUAGUUUAGGAGUUAAUGUCUCUGAGAAUUGUGAAUUUCCUAUUUUUGUUUUCACCUAACCAGUUUAGACUUUUGCUUUGCUUGAGGACAAACAAAGGUUUAAGUCUGGGGGAGUUGAUAACACCGUAUUUUGACCACUUUUAUGGAUCGUUUUGAAAUACUUUUUCUAUGUUUUUAAUUGCUUUUAAGUACUUUUAUCACGUUUUUCUAGUAUUUUUAGUUCCAAGACUCUUUUCAGGUAACUUAGGGAAAAACUUAACAAAAUGGAAAGAAAACCAGAUUUCAGCUCAGAGUCAAACCGUCAGAAGUUCACCCCUAAUUGAAGGCCUUCUCACCGUCUGAUCCAGCUCAAAUUUGGAGACCUUAAAGAUGGAAGUAUCAGCUUUCCAGCACACUUUACAGCUUAGCAAUCUAACCGUUCAAUCAAAAGAUACGCGAAGAGCAAAAUGUCCUGUAAACCAGCCGGCAAGCAACUCCACCUGCGGCCAACAGGCCAUUUCCCGCGGUCAGAAGCAUCCCGACUGCGGCAAACCACUCAUUCCCCGCGGUCACAGCACUCCCGACCGCGGCAAGCCAACUCCGAGCCCAAAAGCCCAUUUCUGAAGCCCACAAUGAUUUCCUCAUUUGGAGAAACCCUAAGUGACGUCCAGAGCACUAUAAAUACAUGUUUUAGGAACCCUACUCGAAAAAAUAGAGACUACCGAAUUUUUACUUCAUACUUUUAUUGUUUUUGCUUUAGCUUUUGGGAGAGAGAGAUUUGUUCUCUUACCCUUGUUCUUUCUUUUUCAAUUUCGGUUUCUAUUCUACUUAUUAAUACUAUGUUUUUGAUUUCGUUCAUUAUGUAUGAGUAGUUCAAUUGUUAGGAUUAAGGGAUUUUCGAUGGGGAUUUAUAUGUUCGAUGAGGAUUCCAUGAGCUUUUGAGCCGAAUCUUAGAACUUUUUCUUCUGAAUUCGUUUUUACUGCAUGAGAGUAGCGUCAUGAACUACAAUCUGAUCCAGAUGCUUGGUGACACAAAAGUGUUCAUCAGGUAUCAGAUCUAGUUUGGGAGAGCAAAACAAACAUAGGAGUGGAAACCUACCUAUGGGCGAUUUGUCAAUGCUGACGAGUCUUAAACAUAAUGCAUCUCUUCUUUUCCAGGGCCAGAGUGGAAACCUACUGGUCAGGGUUGAGAUAGUUGUCUAUGAUCACGACAGUGGCGUAUUCAUACGUCCGUGACUCCAGUUCGAAAAGUUUAAGCUAAGAUCUUAUCAAUUUUACUCUCUAGCAAUGUUUUGAAUCGUUCGUACCCCUGAGAAAACUUCCCUGAACCCCAACGCCUUCUUUCCUAUUGAUUUACACCGUUUUUAUUUCAAGCUUUAGUUCAAUAUUGUCUUUCCUUUUUAGUAGAUUUUCAUUUAAGCAUUUAGAAUAUCCGUUUUUCUCAUUUUUAUUCAUUUUCGUUAAGUUUAGUUAUUAAUUCAUUUAAUUCCCAUAUUUUCUUUUAAGAUUUCAUUUUUACAUUUUAAACACACCACCAAACCCCCACAAAACCGUUUUGGUUCUAGAUUUCCUUACUUUAUACUUAUUUCAAAGGCUUUUUGCAGGAAAAUAUCCUCCUUCCCUGUGGAUUCGAUCCCUAAGUACUACAAUCGAUCAGCUGUGCACUUGCGGCUAUUGAUUUCAUUUAGGGUAAAACUUGACAACCCUCAAGACAACACCACAUCAAGUUGUGAGAUAACACCGGAUUCUGACCAUUUUUAUGGAUCACUUUUAUAUCUUUUACAGGUGUUUUUACUCCAUUUUCAAAGGUUUUCAAAGGAUUUCUAUGUUUCCGGAUUUUAAAAGACUUUUCAGGUAAUUUGGGAUAAAGAGGCACAAAAUGGAACAAAAAGACUCUUUUGAAUAAAUGCAGAUCGUCAGAACUCUCAUGGAGAGACGAAGACCUUUUCACCGUCUGAUCACCCUCAAAAUUGGACAACUUAUAGGAGAAUCAACCAGCUUUCAAAUGUACUUGGUUUGGAGACAUUCCAACGGUUGGAUCUCAAGAUAUUCUAUUAGCCCCGGAGCCACUUGAAGUCGGCCAGCAAGUCACGCGACCGCGGUGAUCAACCUAUAUCCCGCGGUCAGAAGCUUCCCGACCGCGGCCAACCAGCCAAUCCCCGCGGUCACAACACUCCCGACCGCGGCAAUCAAUCUCCGAAUUAAAGCCCAUGUAUCUGAAGCCCAAAGUCAUUCUCAGCCUCAAUUCCGGAACCCUAGAGACCAUGGAGUAUUGGAGACUAUAAAUACAUGUCAUUUAGGUCGUUUUUAGGGAGAGCCAUUCAUACUUUACAGAAACCCUUUUUCUUUAGCCGUUUAUAUGAGAUUUUUGUAGAAGAUUGUUCAAGUCCGAGUUCUUCAAUAGAGAAGCUUUCUUUAUCUCUUUUCUUUACUGUUUUUCAUUACUUUUAUUAAAACCAAUGAUGAUGUCGACCUCAGCCAUGUCUGAGUAGAUCCCGAGUUGGGCUUAGGGUUCCCGGAAGGGGCUCUCAUAAUCGAUUAAGACAUCUAGGUUUAUAGAUCUGGGAUUUCGACCUGUUCUCUUUUUAUUCUUGUUCUUAUUGCAUGUAUGCUUGAUUGAUCACCUAGUAUCUGAUCUAGAUAGUUAGUGUUGCAAAAGUUUUCAUUAAGUAUCAGCCCUAAAAUGAAACAGGCGAUUUUUCCGUAGGACUGGAAACCUACCUGCGGCGAGAUCGUGAGUAUUGACGAGUCUUGUGCAGCUCUUGCGUUCUCUCCCUUCUAGGGCCAGAGUGGAAACCUACUGGUCAGGGUUGCGAGAAACAGUUGGUUAUGAUCACGACAGUGACGUAGUCAUACUGCCGUACUCUAGCUCUAGAACCCAUAUAUCGAUAUCCGUCAAUCCCAAUCUAUUUACCCUAGUGUUAAAACCGAUUAUGAUCCCUUAGAGUCCCUAAAAGCUCAGCGUUUUUAGCCAUAGUUUACAAUUCCAUCGAUUUUUAUUUGCUUAUUUAGGCCUGCAUUUCAAUUUCCUUAGUUUGUUAUUUACUUACUUUACUAGUAUUUCAUUCGAUAUUUUACUUGCCUUAUUAGUCUUUCAUUCGAUAUUUUACUUGUUCUAUUUGCCUUUCAUUCGAUUUUUUUACUUGCUUUUUAGGAUAGAUUUAUUUGCUUUCUUUUGUUUUAGUUUAAUACAUCAAACCAACCAACCUUUAAAAACCAAUCUAGUCUAGACAUAAAGUUAAAAACCGUAGAAGAAUACCAGGCACACAAAUCUCUGUGGAUUUGAUCCCUAAAUACUAUAACUGAUUAGCUGUGCACUUGCGGCUUUCAUUUGUUUUGUUAAGGGUAAAACUUGUUCCCUCACGCAGUUGACACGACAUCAAGUUUUUGGCGCCGUUGCCGGGGAUUUGUUUCGCUGCCUUUUGCUAUUUUUCUUGUUUUAACUUCUGUUAUAGACACUUGAUCUCUAGUUCUUUCUUAAAGUUUUGCUGAAUUAUCUUUCCCUUCUUUUGUUUUUCUCUGAAUUGCAUGAAUACCAGGCGCAUACCUGUAGAAAACAUUCCAAUUCUAGACGAGAUAGACAGACACGAAAGACAACUUCGAAGACUUAGACGAACACAAAGAAUGGCCAACGACAACCAGCCUGGAGAUCCUAUUAAUCGAACUUUAAAUAUGGACCAAGACGGGUCCGAACAUGGGGAAAAUGAAGAGAAUGAUCACAGUGGAGGUGAUCAUGCUCGACAAGAUGGAGAGGAAGAUGAGUUUCCUCCAAGAAACCACCAGAACCGAGAGAGAGAAGGACGUGAAGACCUUGAUCCACCCAUCAAUGCAGCCGAUGGUGACCACCCAGCAAUGCAGCCAAAUGAACGCAUUCACCGCCCCAUUCCGCCAGCAAAUCAACACCGAAGACAAGCCAGGAACCAUCGCAUAGCUGAUUUUGAUGGACCUACUCAAAAUUUUCAGAAUCGAUCUGCAAUUCAAGUACCAUUUCCAAACCGGAAUGAGUUUGAAGUCAAGCCUCAAAUCAUCUCAUUGGUGAAGCAAAACCAGUUCCAUGGAGUUCCUUCUGAACACCCAAUGGACCAUAUCGAGCUCUUUGAAGAAAUUUGCAGCAUGAUGAGAACAAAUCAAAUUCCACCAGACUAUUUAAAGUGUAAGUUGUUCCUUUUUUCAUUAGCAGAUAAAGCUCACCGUUGGUUGAAAUCUUUGCCUGCAGGAUCGAUUACCAAUUGGGAAGAAUGCAGAAAUGCUUUCCUAAACCACUUCUACACUAAGUCAAGGUCGAAUCAGUUGAGAACAAAGAUCUCAAACUUUCAACAAGGGCCAACUGAAUCUUUCUAUGAAGCCUGGGAGCGUUUUAAGGAGUAUGAACGUGAUUGCCCUCACCAUGGAUUUCAUGGAUCAAGCCUGCUGAGCACAUUUUACCGAGGUUUGCAACCAAAAUAUAAACUUUCACUUGAUACAGCUAGCAAUGGAGAUUUUGGACAAAAGAUGAUAACCCAAGGAAGAGCUCUCAUCGAAAAUUUGGCUCAAGCCAAUAGCAAUGACUGUCCUGAAUAUGAUCGAUCAAUGAAGCAAGCCGGAACAGACAACAAGGAGAUAACCGAGUUGAAGAACAUGGUGAGCCAGCUUCUGAAGAGUAACAAUCGCCCAAUCCAUGCUUGUGAGACCAACAAUGGCGCAGAAGAUGAAGGACCUAGUGAUAUCGAUCACAUUAAUCAAGCCUUUCAAGAGGAAGAUGUGAACUAUGUAGGAGCACUGGUGCCAUAUCAAAAUCGCUCCAAUAAUAGCUUCAACAACAACUUCCGGAAUGCAAAUUACAACAAUCUCUCUUACCGCAAUCCAAAUGUGGAGAAUCCUCAAGACCAGUACUACCCACCUCAGCAAAAAUCCUUUCAAAACAAGUUUCAAGGUGGAAACGUUGGAGGAAUAGUACCAUAUCAACCACGACAGCCAUUUAACUACCAAGGUACGGGUUUUAACAAUCAAUUUGUACGACAGCAGGGAGUCACGACGAACCAGCUAGCUUCACAAAUCGGUAGACUUGAACAGUCAAUCCAACAGCUCGUUAUGACGAACGAAAAAGCAUCUAAAGACGUGAACGUGAAAGUGUACUGCAUGUACAAUGAUCUGAAUGGUAAGUUUGAAUCUUUAUCUUCGCACGUAAAAAAGUUAGAUGUGCAAGUCGCCCAAACAGCCGACUCUAUGAAGAGGCAAAGUGGAGUACUUCCAGGAAGAGUUGAAGAUAACCCUAAGAAGUUUUGCAACGCCAUAACCACAUUGCCCGAAGAAGAGGCCGGAACCAAUGGAAAGAAAGAAGAAACCCCAAUCUUUGUACCACUGUACAAGGAUAUCAAUCCCAAGAAGCCACCGUUUAAGGUACCUGAACGAUCACCGUUUUAAAGGCUUACCAAAGCCGAUGAUCCAGGACGUUUUGUUUUCCAGUGUUUCAUUUCAGGAAUCAAGUUUACAGACUGCUUGUGUGAUUCCGGAGCCAAUGUCAACAUCAUGUCUAAGACGUUUGCCGAAAAAUUGGGCACUAAAACCUUAAAGACAUCGACGGUUAAGGUUAUUUUUGGAGAUUCAUCUCAAAAAGAUACCAAAGGGGCAAUUCAUGAUCUACAAGUUCUAGUGGGAGACAAAAUCGUUCCAGCAGAUUUCCAAGUCCUGGAAAUGGAUAAAGACAAGGAGAGGCCACUCAUUUUCGGGAGACCAUUCCUAGCUACAGUAGGAGCAGUAAUCGAUCACGCAAAACGACAUGUUGUUUUCCUCAAUGUGGAUCGAAAAAAGUACUAUCCGACUAUCUUAGACGAUUUUCCAAGCAAAGGAAACAUACCAAAAGAGAAAGAGAAGGAGAAGCCGAAAGCUUUUGCAAAGAUCAAGAUCAUCAUUCCACCAGAUGCAACAGAAACUAGUGAGGACUAAAUCCAGGAGCUGAUCGAAAACACAAAAAGGGUUUUAAACAAUAUUAAAGUUCGAAAGAAGAGUAAAGGAAAGAAGACGGCUCCUCAAGGAGAAGAAGUAAAACCUCCAGCGACCGGAAGUGAUAAAGGCACAUCAAGUGGAGUGCCAUUCAAAUCAGCCUGAUUCCUCAUGCUUACGUCGAGCUAAACGACUUAAAACAAAAGCGCUUAAUGGGAGGCAACCCAUUUAGGUACUCUUUCUUUUAGUUUUCUUUUCCUUUUUUUUUACAAUUUAUACUUUCUUUUUCUUUUUAAGUUUUAGGUAUUUUAUAAAACAAAAACACAAAAAAAAUCAGAAAAUUAAGAAAACCAAGAAGAAAAAGGUAGGUUUUUAGCUGCUCGGCCCGGCAAAGACGAGAAGGUUGGACAAAGGCCGCAUGAGGAAGAGCCGCGGUCGCGACUGACUGACCUGCGGCCAAGGGAGCAUCGACCGCGGCACCGUGAAUGUGACCGCGGCCGAGCACUCGACCACCGCGGUCGCGCGUCUCCUGACCGCGGCCGUUGGUCGUUGAGGUGAUUCCGCGGAUUUCUGCCGCUUUUCGGUGUUGCCUGGUGUUUGCCUGGUGAUUCCUGGUGUUGCCUGGUGUAUUCUCGGUGUUGCCUGGUGUUUGCCUGGUAAUUCCCGGUGUUGCCUGGUGUUUUCCUGGUGUUGCCUGGUGUUUACCUGGUGUUUACCUGGUGUUACCUGGUGAUUCCCGGUGAUUCCCGGUGAUUCCCGAAAUGUUCCCGGUAAAAUCCGAAAAGCUCCUCCGUAAGUUUUAAACUUUCCUAAUGUGCAAACAAGAAAGGUAAGUUCCCGUAAACUUAAAAAUUUCUAGAAAUUUUCCGUUUUUGCUACAAAAACGCUUUUUAAAGAAAAGAAACAAACUUUUUGGAUCAAAACUCCUUCUUCUCUUCUCUUCCAAAAGAUUUGGAGAUUUAGGAGAUAGAAUACAUUUUUCAAUUCUUAAGCUUUUUAAAAGAUUUUUGGCUCAAACCUCACUCUUUUUCAAAGCUGAUUCCAAUUCUGCAAUCAAAUCUCUCUUUCCAGCAAGGUAUGAACCUCAAACUCGCCAUUUUUAAUUGAUUUCAUAACUUAGGGUUUUUUUAAAAAUCCCAAAUCUCUGUUUAUUGAUGGUAGAAAUAGAUUAAGAAUGAUAGAUUAUCCAUUUAGGUUAUCUAAAAAUUGAUUUUAGCACCUAGCUUAAGAGGAAUUGAGAUUUUUGAAAUUUGGAUUCUACAUGCUUCAUAAAAAUCGAAUUUGGAACAGCAAAAUUGAUGAGUUUGAUUAAGUCUUGUGUGAUUAAUGAUUAGUAUUGUGUGAGCCAAAACUCAAACAACCAGAAAUUUGUUUAAGGAAAACUAAGGGAUCGGAAACUUCUAGGGUUUAUCGCCAAAAACAGUAAGAUCGAAAGAAAGUUUUUCUUGCUGUAAAAGUGUUUAGCUCUUAUUGCUUAGGGUUGCAAAAGUUACAGAAUGAAUUGUAUACAUCGUCUAUUUAUACUAACUCUCUGAACCGCCUAGCCGAGAAUCUCGGGAGAGAUUUUCGGAAUAUUUCCUUAUCGCCUCGUGCGGCUCACCGCCUUUGUAUUUCGCCUAGGAUUUUUAUGGGCUUCGUCUCCCAAGGCCACGGUUUGGCCCAUCAUUCUCCUUUGCCACGGCUCGGCCAUCUAAUUUCUUCACGGCUCGGCCCACUUGCCAUUUCGGUCGAGACAUGAUCUGGUCCACCUCACCGAGGCGCGGCUCGGCCCAAGCAUGUUGGAAUGGGGCUCGGCCCAUUUCUUACGAUACGGCUCUCCCUACUGGUCUAUCGUCACGGCUCUCCCACUUGGUGAUCGCGGCUCUCCCGCUUGUCUUGGUGAGAACGGCUCUCCCACUUGUCUUGGUGAGAACGGCUCUCCCACUUGUCUUGGUGAGAACGGCUCUCCCAUUUGGUGACCACGGCUCUCCCACUUAUCUUUCUUCCAUACUUAGUCAUUUUGAGAUGGUUUUAUCUGCGUGGGGUGAAAACCGACCCCAACAGUUAGCCCCACUGCUCGUCAGUUUCGGAGGCGAGAGUAACGAGGUCCAUUACUCCUGACCGUAGGAUAAACCAUCGAGUCAAGCUGUUAUGACAUAGGCCCAGAUGAGGUGUUUUGGGAAUGAAGACGCCGAGGUGUUUCCAAGGAGUGCCGAGGGUGCCGAGGUGUUUCGAAAGGGUACCGAAGAUGCCGAGGCAAGUUAAGGACGAGGCGACCUCGUUUGGUAAUAAUGGGCCGAUGCGAUUUCGUUUAGUAAUGAUGAGCCGUGACGAGGCGAUUUGAGAAGGUUAUACCGAGCCGAAUAAAUGGCGAGGCGUUUCGAGAGAAAGUUUGUGCCGAGCCGUUUCGUUAAUGACAAGGCGUUUCGAGAGAAAAUUCGUGCCGAGCCGUUUCGUUAACGACGAGGCGUUUUGAGAGAAAGUAAAUGCUGAGCCGUUUCGUUAACGACGAGGCAUUUCGAGAGAAAAUUCGUGCCGAGCCGUUUCGUUAACGACUAGGCGUUUCGAGAGAGAGUAAAUGCCGAGCCGUUUCGUUAACGACGAGGCGUUUCAAGAGAGAGUAAAUGCCGAGCCGUUUCGUUAACGACGAGGCGUUUCGAGAGAGAGUAAAUGCCGAGCCGUUUCGUUAACGACGAGGCGUUUCAAGAGAGAGUAAAUGCCGAGCUGUUUCGUUAACGACGAGGCGUUUACUUUGGUAAGAUAUCGGCUGAAAAAUUGGGCAUCACAACUGUUGGUCUUCCGAGAGAAAAUUCAUGAUCUGUUGGCGCGUGUGACCGACGCAGUUCGGUCUAGCCGUUCCACUGCGGAUCCCACGCGCUGUUUGGACGGUUUCCCGAGGUUUACGCGGAAUUCACGCGCUUCGGUUUUCCUAUAAAUGGGUGAGCUCCUUCAUUCUUCCUCAUUAUCUUCAGACUCACUUUUUUUACUAAAGGUAGCUCUCCCUUCUCUCUUCUUUCUCUCUCUAGUUUAUUUAUUUUCCCGCUAGGGUUUCCGAGGUCUCCGCCGUUCCAGAUCUUUUUCCGGCAGAGGCUCGCCGAGUCGUGCUGUAAUUCUUGUACAAGUCGUAAGUUAUGUCGAGCCACUCCGACGAUUCGUUGGAUUCACUCUUUCACUACGAGCCGAGCCGUGUAGAUGCCGAGGCGAGAGGUACAACAGAAUCCUCCGAGGCAUCCGUUUCGCCGAGCCCUUCCAAUCGUUCAUCUGACGAGGCGUCAAAUCAUGCAAAACCGUCAGAUGUCGACUCUACAGAUGAUGAGCCAUCGGUUUCGACGAGCCGUCCCCAGGAUCCCAUUCCUGAUGAAGGUAUCAACUGCGCCGCAGUCUAACCCGAGGAGGAGGCAUUUCCCUUUGACCUAUUCGAGGCGAAGCGUGAGUUGGAACGUCUCAUAGCGUCUCGAGGCGCUUCCACAUCUGGGCGAGGGCCACGAGUUAAAAGACAAAAGCCUGACCCGCCUGGCUCUACGCUUUGCUCCCUUGAGUCGCUCUAGGCGUUGAGGCAUCGCUUCAGGAUAUCCGAGGCGGUGGAGUUCAUCGUUCCAGAGAAGAGCGACCGAGCCGACAAGCCUCCAGAGAAUCACUUCACUCUGUACGAGGCGUUCUUCGAGCUUUGCUUUCUCUGGUUCCCAAUCCCCGGAGUGAUCCUUGAAUAUCUCUGGAAACACGGGAUCUCGAUUGGGCAAAUCAUGCCGAGGGGAUUACGGCGUAUGAUUGGCAUCUUAGUUCGUAGCUCCGAAUGCGGACUCGAUAUCGAGCUGAAUCACCUGCUGGACUUGCUGGAAAUCAGGAAAGCCCCGAAGGGAAAUAGAUUCUAUAUUUCCAACAAGGCGAAACGACGGAUCAUAGGCGGUUUUCCCAGCAAGGAUCAGUUUUGGACUGAACGCUUUUUCUACGUCUUGGUGAACGAGGCGUCGGUCGGCGAGGAUUACGUUCAAAGAACCAAGACCGCUUGGGGAUCACUUGGUAGCCGACCCGAAGCUCUGCCUCGGCUCGGAACUGCUUUUGGUAUCCUCUUCCUUUUCUGAAUUUUUUUCUUUUUUGCUUUGUUUUGCAGUUCGGUGCUUUCUUCCCCCGAUUCCCGACGACCUUUUUACUGUUCAAGACUCUCUUUCGGCGCGGAAGGUUAAUUGGAGAAAGAACUUCACCCUCGAAAGAGUAGAAAGAGCGCGAGCCAUCCUUGCCGGAGUCCCCGUCAGCUCUUCGUCCUCAAGUUCUUCAAGACAUACCCGGGAGAAGAUAGUAAUAAUCGCUCUCAGAGAAAGGAAGAGGCGCGAGGAAGAGGAGGCCGCUAGAUGAGCUGCCGAGGCGGCUCGCGCGCAUACCGAGGCAGUUCCAGCGCAAGCCGAGGCGGUUUCAGCGCAAGCCGAGACCAUCCCUCAACCCGACCCGCCGAGCCAGGAAGGGGAUGUAAUGGUCCAAGCCGCAGAAGGAGACACUGCCGAGGCGGCUGAUAAAGAUGCAGCGCCCGAGGUGGAACCGGGCGAAAUUAUCCCCGAGGUGUCCGGGGACGGCUCGGCGGCGCGGAGUAAGACUCCUUCGCACACCGCCAUCCUGGCCCUCCCGAAGUCGACGAGGCCACCGACUUCGGUUGUUCAGAAGCAUGACUCUAGCCGAAAACGUUCGGCUACUGACAAGGGGAAGGGCGUCGCCGUUCAGAAGGACGAGCCGUCCAAGAAGAGGCGGAAACCGACGCCCGGGGACCCGCCGCGCAUAAGUUGGUCGUUGACGACCCCAACGCCUCUGCCGUCAUGUUCUCGCGUGUAAAUAACGCGAACACGAGUCUUCCUCCUCUGGAGAAGCUGAGGAGGCCGAGGUCAUACGGCACGAUGGAACAGCACGGUACCAAGGUACGUUCUAUUUUCUUUCCUUUAUUUUUGCAAAUUUUACGAGGUGUUUAACGCACGUCUGUUCUCUGCAGUUUGUCGCGGCCAUUAACGACCUGAUGGCCGAGUAUGAGGCGGACCUGUCUAAGGUCGAAUGUCGUUUGGACGAGGCCCGAAAUGAAACCGUGGCGUCAAAGGUGAAGCUGGAAGAGGCGCAAAACGAAGCCGCGGCCGCGAAGGGGAAACUCACCGAGGCGAUGACCCGAGUGUCGAGGUUGGAAGAGGAGAAGAUAGUUCUCCGCGCUGACGUCGACAAAGUUUCCGCCUUGGUGAUUCGCCUGGAGGAAGCAAGGAGAGCUAAAAGCGCCGAGGUGGCGAUGCAAGAGGCGUAUCGAAGCCAAGGACGCUCUGUUUGAUGCCAAGGUCAAGCGGGCAAAAAAGGAGGCGAGGCGAGAGCUUACGGCUAAGUUUCAGGAACGCCUCGCCAAGGUAGAGGAAGAUUUGGUCAAGCUCGAGAAGGCCAAAAAUGAUGAGAACGAUCUGGGGCAGAUCAAGGGCAAUCUUGCGAUGAUUGCCGACCUGAAGAAGCCGGACACCCCGACGCUUGAUGACGAGGAGGCGAAGCUGAAAAGUUGGGAGAGUGAGUAUGCCAACGACGAGGCGUACGAGCGUAUUGCUUCCGAGAUUCAAGGCGAGCUGUUUUACUCUCCCGUAUCGCUGGACUCGGUAGACACCAGCAUUGGCAACGAGCCGCUUGAAGAGACAGCGGCCAACCUGGGUGUCGUUGAUCCGACCAGAUCGAACGCGGGGACACCAGCCCUCUCGAACCUCCUUGCCGAGCGCGAGACGCAAUCCGUGGCUUGAUACUCUCUGCUUUCCCUCACCCUUUAUUGCACAUGUUCUUCUUUUUGUUUUUGUACUUAAGUUUUUUCAUGAUUCACUUUUCGAACUCGUUAUGUAAUUGGUGCCUGGAUGGCUUUAUCCACUUGACUUUUAUUUUUGCUUUAUGGAUAUAUUUUAUUUUCCUUAGCCAUUUUCGGAUUUACUUGUCUAACAAUCCAUGAAAAUGUUUACGAAAACUGUUGGCUUAGAAAAAUUGUCAAGGAUGAAAACUGUGUGUCGAGAAUGAUUUGAUUGCUUCCUUAGCCGGGCUUUUCGAAAUUGAUAGAAAUACGGGCUAAGGGGUGAAUUGUGUUAAGGAUCUCGUUUGGAUUCUUAAUCCCGAGCUGGGAGUUUAGGUGAUAAUGUCGAGGCAAAUUUCCACUGGCAAUGCCGAGCCGUAUUUAACGACGAGGCGUUUUCGCUGUGUAAGGUGCCGAGCCGUGUAAACGGCGAGGCGUUUUCUCUAAGCGUGGUACCGAGCCGUGUACACGACGAGGCAUUUUUUCUGUGCAUGGUGCCGAGCCAUAAGAACGACGAGGCGUUUUCUCUUUGCGUGGUGCCGAACCGUAAGAACGACGAGGCGUUUCGUUUUUUGUUCAGCCAAGAAUGAUUUGGUAGUCUCAUUGAAUCUUACUAUGGACCGGCGUUUCCGAGAGGAUGAAUAUGUUUGUCCGGGUUUUAAGAGUUUACUUCGGUUUUAGAGAAAGCGAUGUAGUCUCGACUUACAUUCUCGUGUGCGAUAGUAAACCGUGGCGACCUGAUACGUUUUUGGUCUGAUAUUUGUAUAGCGCUUAAUUUUUAUCCGUAGAGGAUGUAACUUGCACCCUCGUCCUAGGAAAGGUGGUAAAGUUCGUUUAGAGAACUUUGUAUUUGUUGCCCCGUUAUGGCCAGCAACGAGACGAGGCGUUCGGAGGCUUAGUUUGCCGAUCUGAAACUGAGGACCGAUUAAGGUCUGAGGUAAUCAAGUCAUGAUAUCGUGCCGAAGUGGUAUGAUUACUCUCCGAAGUGAUGAGUGAUAAAAUUUUAAAAAUCCGAGCUUGUUAAAAUAAGUUGCUGAUUUAGAAAAAAUGAGAAACUAGCCGAAGCGAUAAUGAACGAACUAGAAAUCCAAGGUAAACGUGCAAUAAGUAGAUGAUUAAAAACGAACUGAGAAUGUGCCGAAGUGGCGAUGUUCCUAAGUGAGCAAGUUAAAAUUGUAGAGUUAAAGAAGGUAUGUGUAUAAGUACCCACUCCCCCCCCCUUUUUAGGAAGGGGGACAGCUGAACCCGUCCGAGGACGGGCUGCCUACGUACCCUUUGAAGGGAUCAAGCCGUCCCGUAGUUCAUGCUUGCCAUGCUGUACCUUUAAUGAUAAUACUUUUUUAGAUGCAUUGCGUUCCAUGAUCUUGGAAUCGCUUCGUCAGCUAGUGUCGCGAGUUCGUAGACUCCUGGACGAACCACUUUUGUGACCUUGUAAGGACCUUCCCAAUUUGCUCCGAGCUUUCCUGCGUUCUUCUCGGCAGUGUUUUGGAAGACCUUUCGGAGGACGAGCUCCCCUGCUUUGAAUCUUCGACUACGAACGUUUUUGUUGUAGUAUCGCGCCGUUGCUUGUUGAUAGUUCUGGAUCCGAAUUAAGGCUUGGUCGCGCUUUUCGUUGAUUAGGUCGAGCUCAUCUAGCAUCAUUAAGUGGUUCAAGCCCUCCUGUCCUGGUAGAAGUCUUCGUCGAAUACCUGGGAAAUCCACCUCGGGGGGAAUUACGCACUCCGAUCCGUAGACCAAAGCGAAUGGAGUUUCCCCGGUGGCUCGGCGCGGAGUUGUCCGAUGAGACCAAAGGACUCCUUCGAGUUCGUCUGCCCACCGUCCCUUCUUGGCGUCGAGCCUCUUUUUCAGACAGUCGAGGAUCAUCUUGUUGGCUGCUUCGGCUUGUCCAAUCCCUUGAGGGUAUCUUGGCGUAGAUUUGCUGAGGCGGAUUUUCCACUUCUCGCAGAAGGCUUCGAAGCGUGUUGAGAUGAACUGGGAUCCGUUGUCGGUGACUAUCUCGUAGGGGACCCCGUGUCGGCAGAUGAUAUUUUUCCAGACAAAGUGUUCGACUUGAACAUCCUUUAUGCUUGCGUAGGAAUCGGCUUCGACCCACUUGGAGAAGUAAUCCGUGAGGACGAGCAGAAAACGAUUCUGCUUUGAGCAAUGUAGAGGUCCGACGAUGUCCAUCCACCAUCUCAUGAACGGAUAGGGUGAUGAAAUUGACGCAACUCGGUAGGUUGAUGAAUUGUUGGAGCGUGCCGCUGACACUUCUCGCACUUCGCCUUAAAUUUCUCGUAGUCCUUGACCAUCGUGGGGCAGAAGUAGCCGUGCCGUUUUAUCUUGAUAGCGAGCGACCUUCUGCUGGAAUGGUUCCCGCACGCGCCGCUGUGCACCUUGUGCAUGAUCUUUCUUGCCUCCGGUCCUUCGACGCAUGUCAUGAAAGGCCCUGAAAAUCUCCAUUUAAACACCUCGCCACGACGAGGACAUACCGUGCGACCUGAGCUUUUAGUUUGCGGGCUUCCCAUUUGUCGGUUGGCACCUCUCCAUCGGCGAUAUACACUCGGAUAGCUCCGAGCUAUUCUUUGUCGCAGCCGUACUCCGGCUCGGUCGGUGAGGCGUCUUCAUCCAUAGGAAUGGCUUCGUCGUCCUCUGGUUCUUGUUCAGGAGGAUUUAUCAGCCGAACUCCUUCCACCUCUUUGAUGCUAGGACGUUCGAUGAAUUCGACUGGGAUCGUCCGUCGGAGGUCUGGGUCUGAGGUCGAAGCGAGUGCUGCCAAGGCGUCGGCCGAGGUGUUUUCCCCUCGGGGAAUGCGCGUGAGUUCGUACUCGUCAAACUUUUGCACCAACUCUCGGACCACCUUGAGGUAAGCUCCCAUUCGUCCAUCCUUCGCCUCGUAUUCUCCGUUGAACUGACAUGCUACGAGCUGUGAAUCGCAAAAGGUUCUUAUCUUUCGAACUCCGAUUCCCUACGCUAGUCGUAUGCCGGCGAUCAGUGCUUCGUAUUCCGCUUCGUUGUUCGAGGCGUGGAAGUUUAGGUGAAAAGACUGCUCCAAUAUCUCUCCGGUGGGAGAGGUGAGGCGAAUUCCUAUACCCGAGCCGUGUUUAGACGACGAGCCAUCGACGUGCAGCGUCCACACUUCGUCUAGAGUCGGCUCGUUUGUUUCUUCGGCGGGAAGUUCAAUGAGGAAAUCUGCGAGCACCUGUGACUUUGCAGACGACCUGUUCCGAUACUCGAUGUCGUAUUCGCUUAGCUCUAUGGCCCACUUGGCGAGCCGACCGGAUUGGCUAGGGCUGUGAAGGAUCGAGCGCAGCGGAAGCGUAGCGAGCACAACAAUCGAAUGUUAUUGAAAGUACGGGCGCAGUUUGCGAGCCGAGACUACGAUGGCUAGGGCGACCUUCUCGAUCUGGGGGUAGCGGGUCUCGGCGUCGGUUAGUGUCUAGCUGAUGUAGAAAAUGGGUUUUUGCUCGGAUCGUUCUUCUCUGAUAAGCACUCCGCUUACGGCUGUAGCAGACACUGCGACGUAGAGGAAGAGCGGCUCUCCUUCGACUGGUUUUGCUAAGAUUGGUGGGCUCGCCAGAUAAUUCUUCAGUUCCUGGAAAGCCGUCUCGCAUCGUUCGUCCCACUCAAAUUUCUUGUUUCCUCGGAGGGUGUCGUAGAAGGGCAGGCAUUUGUCUGUAGAACGGGAAAUAAACCUGUUUAGCGCGGCGACUCUACCUGUGAGCCUUUGCACUUCGCGCUUCGUUCUUGGAGAGGGCAUCUCAAUUAACGUCUUGAUCUGCUUGGGGGUUGCUUCUAUGCCUCGGUGAGUUACCAGAUAGCCGAGGAAUUCUCCCGAGGUGACCACAAACCUGCACUUUGCCGGGUUUAGUUUCAUGUUGUGCUUGUUCAAUUGUUCGAAGCAUUCCCAUAGAUGCGCGACGUGGUCUUCCUCCUUGAGUGAUUUGACUAACAUGUCGUCGAUGUAUACUUCCAUGGUUUUUCCGAGCUGAGCCGCGAACAUUUUAUUGACGAGCCGUUGAUACGUUACUCCUGCGUUCUUGAGCCCGAACGGCAUGACUUUGUAGCAGUAUAUCCCUCGAUCAGUUAUGAAUGCCUUUUUUUCUCGAUCAUCAGGAUGCAUCAGGAUCUGAUUGUAGCCGGAGAACGCGUCCAUAAAUGUUAACAGUCUAUUCCCUGCAGUGGCUUCGACGAGCCGGUCGAUGUGUGGCAAGGGAAAGCUGUCUUUUGGGCACGCCUUGUUGAGGUCGGUGAAAUCCACACAUACUCGCCACUUGCCGUUCUUCUUCUUCACGACCACCGGAUUUGCGAGCCAAUCCGGAUAUUUGGCCUCGGCGAUUGAUCCUACUUUGAGUAACCUUUCAACUUCGUCGUUAACUGCUUUAGCUCGUUCGGGGCCGAGCUUCCUUCUUUUCUGCUUGACUGGCUUAAAGGUCGGAUCCACAUUCAGCUCGUGACAGGUUACGUCAAUGCUUAUGCCUGGCAUAUCUUCUGCUGUCCAGGCAAAAGUGUUGAUGUUCUCCUUGAGGAGGGAAAGGAGUUCGCUUCUCAGAGGCUCUUCUAGUUUUAUUCCAAUUUCGAUGCAUCGCUCCGGACGCGCCUCGUCUAUGCACACCGAGUCCACUGCAUCGCAUACCGGCUCGGCGCGUGUUUCGCGGUUCUCCGUGAUCUGUAAUUGCUAUAAGAGUUUCGAGAGCUCGUUUGCGGGCUCUCGGUCUGUCUUCAUCUUUUUGCGGUCUAUAUCUGCUCGUGCGUCAGUGACGGGGUUCCUCAGCUUGUGCUCGGCUAAGCAGCACAUUCUUGACUCCUUCUGAUUCCCCCAUAUCGUUUUGACACCCGAUGGAGUUGGGAAUUUGAGACAGAGAUGAUAGGUGGAUGGUACCGCCCUCAUCCCGUUGAUCCAUGGAGUUCCCAUGAUCACAUUGUAGAUUGCUGGGUGAUCAGUGACGCAGAAUUCGACGAUCUUAGUGACUCCGCCAGCUACCACAGGAAGCCUGAUCGUUCCCAUAGUCAUCGUCGUUUCUCCUGAAAAUCUGGUUAGAGGUUGGGGAUUGCUUCCACCUCGGAGAGGUCGAUUCCCAUUUUUCUGAGUGUUUCUCUGAAGAUGACGUUCACUGAGCUUCUAGUAUCGAUGAGCACCCUUGCCACAUCAUGAUCCAUGAUCGUUAACUCGAUCACCAACGGAUCGUUGUGAGGUCGAUCAAUUCCUGCCGCUUCCUCCUCGGCGAAGGAGAUCACUGUGUUUGGGAUGUCGGUUGGUUUUAUCCAAUUCUCCUUUGCUUCGGCUCGGCGCUGAUAGGCUUUGAUGGAGGACACGGUAUCAUGGUAGUAUUGAGAUCCACCCAUGAUCAUAUUGAUCCUUUGCCUCGGCACGGGUCGCUCUUCGGGUUCACCUCUCCUGUCGCGCUUGGAGUUAUCGCCUCUUCGCGCUGCUCGGCUCGGCUCUCUCUUGUUGUUCGUUAGGGACGAGGUCUUUGAGGUUGACCGCGUUUUGGAGCUCUCCCGCUGCCAUCUUAGGCACGAGUUUUGCUCCUAGAGUUCGGCACUGUGCCGUUGAGUGCCCGUAGGUCUGGUGAUACUCACAGAAAGCCUUCUCGUCGUAGUUGGCGGAUUUCCUCACCCAAGUGUUGUUGCGCGGCUCUCCUCUUCCGCGUCCGGUGCCUACCUGGUAGUUAUGGGCACCUCCGCUUCUAGGUUCAUCCGAGCUCUGCGUUGUUGCGUUGUUUGAUGGGUUGCCCUUCCUCGCGGGGCGCGGCAAAAUUGAGCUUCGGAUUGCUGCUUUCGUCGCUUCGUACCGCUCGUCCAAGUUUUUCAUUUCCUCCUCGUUUACGACGAAGUCUGAUGAUCGGUGCAGAGCGUCUUGAAUUGUUUGCGGCGUGUUGAGAGCCAUCUCCCGUUGGAACUCGGAUUUGUACCACAAAGAUUGUUUCAGAGCCUCGAGCGCAGCCUUGUCGCUUAUCCCUUCUAUUUUGGAUACGAGUGCCUUGAAUCUUGCCAUGUAAUCCCGAAGCGGCUCGUUCAGUCCUUGGGAUAGUGUCCACAGAUCGGCAUCAGAUGUUCCUCUGUCCAUAAACAUCGAGUAUUGUUUCUGGAACAAGGCGGAGAGCUGUUGAAAAUUGCCGAUUGAAUUUCGUUCCUGCCUCGAAAACCACUCGAGUGCGGCUCCCUUGAGAUGCUCCACGAAGAGCAGGCAGUAUCCGGCAUCUACUUUGCGCUCGGUGAGUUUAGCGGCGUUCUUUGUGAAGGCUCGUCCCAUUGCUAUCCGAAACGCUGUGAUGUGUGCUUUCGGGUCGGUUGUUCCUUCGUAGAACGGGAUUCUCACCUUCCCCGGCUCGGGAAUCCUGGCCUCCGUGAUUCUUGCAGUGAAUGGAGUUCUCUGAGUUUCUUCAAGCAUUCGGUCGAUUUCGGGCGCUGCGCUUGUCACGUUGUGCACUUGGGAUUUCAUGGCGCGUAUUUCAGCUACUGUCCGAGCUAUCGAGGCUCGCAGCUCUUUGAGUUCGAGAGUUUGUGUGUGAAUCAUUCCCUUUGAUUGGGGGAGUCGCUCCCGCUCCUCUCUCCUCGGCUCGUCUUCGCGCUCUGCCUGUUCGAUCCAUUGGCGAUUUUCUUCCUCCUCGGUUGGAUUGUCGCUGCGGGUCGGGUCGGAAACUUCGUCAGUUCGGAUGCCGUUUAGUGCCGAGGCGAGGUCUUCUUGACUUAUUCGCCGAGCCGAGCCGGUUUGUUGCGGAUUCGUGGUUCAGUCGUUAUGCUGGGCGUCUACGUCGAUCGCAUGGUUUUCUUCUUCGCCGGCUCGCCGCCUUGAGUUUCGGCGGAGAGGGGGCGGCUCGGUCAUGUUGACUCUGGUUGCUGCGGGGGGUCUUUUCGUCGAGGAGACGAAACAUUGGAGGAGCCGAGGGGUUUCUUGCGCCACUCCCUGAGGCUUCUGCAGGUGUCGAGAAAUCGAAGCGUCUCCGGAUUCCAUCCAUCGGGUCGGGAAUUCCGGCUCUCCAAGUUUGGUGCAGUCGCUCAGCCGCCAUCGCGUCGAGCCUUUCCGUAAUCGCCUCGUUUCUUUUAUCCUGUUCGUCGAUUUUCUUCAUCAACGCAGCCAUCAUGUUUGCAUCUCCUCCUGGGUUUUGAUCGUUGCUGUCGUUGUGCCCGAUGCCGGAGCGUCCUUCUCCGUGCCGUUACCGGUGUUGUUGUUGUUGUUGUCGUCGGGGGUGUUGCUCGCCAUGUUCUUCGGAUCUUAAAGUCUUGUCGAUUUAGAGUAAGAAAGUUUCGAUUCCCCACAGACGGCGCCAAAUUGUGUGAGCCAAAACUCGCACAACCAGAAAUUUGUUUAAGGAAAACUAAGGGAUCGGAAACUUCUAGGGUUUCGCCAAAAACAGUAAGAUCGAAAGAAAGUUUUUCUUGCUGUAAAAGUGUUUAGCUCAUAUUGCUUAGGGUUGCAAAAGUUACAGAAUGAAUUGUAUACAUCGUCUAUUUUUACUAACUCUCUGAACCGCCUAGCCGAGAAUCUCGGGAGAGAUUUUCGGAAUAUUUCCUUAUCGCCUCGUGCGGCUCACCGCCUUUGUAUUUCGCCUAGGGUUUUUAUGGGCUUCGUCUCCCAAGGCCACGGUUCGGCCCAUCAUUCUCCUUUGCCACGGCUCGGCCCAUCUAACUUCUUCACGGCUCGGCCCACUUGCCAUUUCGGUCGAGACAUGAUCUGGUCCACCUCACCGAGGCGCGGCUCGACCCAAGCAUGUUGGAAUGGGGCUCGGCCCAAAUCUUACGAUACGGCUCUCCCUACUGGUCUAUCUUCACGGCUCUCCCACUUGGUGAUCGCGGCUCUCCCGCUUGUCUUGGUGAGAACGGCUCUCCCACUUGUCUUGGUGAGAACGGCUCUCCCACUUGUCUUGGUGAGAACGGCUCUCCCAUUUGGUGACCACGGCUCUCCCACUUAUCUUUCUUCCAUACUUAGUCAUUUUGAGAUGGUUUUAUCUGCAUGGGGUGAAAACCGACCCCAACAAGUAUUGGGUAAUCUUUAGAAUUUACAUGGAAAUUGCUUAUAAAAACCAAUUUUUAGAAGAUUUCUAUGUUGAGAACAUCAAAAAUCCGAAUCUGGUCAUGAACUACUUGAUUUCUCUGAUUUAUUAUCGAUUUUGUUUGCUCAUGGUUUUAAUUAAUCUCUUUAUGCUAGUAUUAGUAUAACAGAUCUUAAUGUGUUAAAAUCAGCAUCCAAAUUCACUCUUUUUCCAAGAACUAUUUCGUUUUGCAGAAAAAUGGACCAAAACAGAUCCCGAAGGAGCCGUCGCACUGGUGGCAGCUCCGAGGACAUUCCCGAUGAUGCUACUCUAGGAGAGUACAUGCUGAACCAAACCAGACCGAGAAGGAGAAACUAUGUGAUGAGAUUGCUCCAUCACUCAAGAGAAACACAAGCAGCUCCCGAGCCACCACAGAUUCUAUACAUUGGGAGGGAGACAAACCCGAGAGUGGACUAUGCAAGACGUUUCAAGAAGCUGAACAUCAAACCCACGCCUUGCAUAGAUUAUCAUACACUCGAGAUGCUUGGAAUCAGAGAAGAUGUGAUCUGGUACAUCAAUGCACUUAAGCUGAGACCCUACAUGGAGCUGAACCUUCCGACUUAUCCUGAGCUAGUCCGUGAAUUCUUAGCGACUAUUACACUACACCACACGAAGAGGAGGAACCCCAGAGCAUCAGAUGGCAUCUUGUCAUUCUCUAUCCGCGGACAGCCUUACUCUCUCACCAUUUCUGAGGUUUGUGAAGCUCUUAAGCUUCCAUACACUGAUGGCAUUUACCUUGAAGAUGAACCUGAUCUUAACCUGUGGAGAGAGAUGGGUCAUGGAGUCUAUGAUAGUGGGAGAUCGAAGUCAGCCCUUCUUACUCAUCCAGCAGUGAGAGUUGUGCACAAGCUAUUAGCACACACGAUCUUCUCUAGAGCAAACAUGGGAGGUGUUUUAAAGACUGAGCUCAUUACACAUCAGAUUCCGUUUAUGGACGACCCACGACUUGCUUGCUUUGCCUGGAUCAUAGCGCAGAAUACGGUAAACGUGAAGCAUGACUUACAUGGUUGCGAGGACGCUACUCCAGCUUUCAGGAGUGCUAUUACAGCGAUACUACAGGCUGUAGGAUUCGAUUUCUCAUCUGAUGAGCCACUUCCCGAUGUCUGGUAUGAUCUACUUUAUCUCUCUCGCGAUCACACUAUCUCUCGUGCCGCUUUCGAUCCAGACAGGUUUGGUUACAAGUAUUGCACUGGCACUGAGGAGCACCGAGUCAGUUUGCCUUCGGUAUCUAUCCCGAGAUUGUGUAACGGAGGACGUCCGCGAUGGACUCCGGAACCUGAUGAUUUUCUGCCUUCUGUACCUCGUCUACCAUUCACCAUUGGCCAAUACAUAGUGGCCAAGGUGAAGCGUGAUGCAGCUGCGGCCCGUGCCCAUUUUCAGCCAUCUGUUUUGACCGGCCACACCUCAUCAUCUACAUCAUCUCACACUCAUUCCGAUCUGGAGCGCAGAGUUGAGAGACAGGGACGACGCUUUGAGCGCGUUGUCACCUUCUUACAGGAGCAGCACCAGUUUGCAGACGACACAUCGGAGGAUGAGUGAUUGAUCAGCACUUCACUACCAUCACGGUUCUAUCAUCAAUUUCUUUUCUUUUAUCUUAUUUUAUUUCUCUUUUAUUCACCAUCUUCUCACCAACUUUUUCACACUGGGGACAGUGUGAUUUAAGUCUGCGGGAGGAUGUCUAUCCGUACUAAUCAUUUUCUUGCUUUUCUUUUUAAAUUCCAAGUACUUUUUAAAUUUUAAUAUGUAACCUAUUCGACAUUAAGUAUUUUUCAGGAAUGUUUGACGCAAAACUAUGAUGAUUUAGACCUGCACGCUUCUACACUAUGCAUGAUUGCUCAUUUGUGGUUAGCACUAGACUAGGCGGUAGCUAGAGUACUUGCACUACGAACUCCCACCAGAGGACUUCUAUUCAUGGAGAUUCUUUCUGACAGGAUAUACUAGCUCAUUUUAUUUGGACUUAAUAUUGAUAUCUAAUUUUUUCAUCAUUGAUUUUAGGCAGGCAUCGACAUACACAUCUAGGACGUCUUCUACCCUCACUUUUACCACUCUUUGUCGUCCUAGAUGACCUGUUUAUCUUUAUCUGGUACCAUACCCUAAACCCAAAACCCUUGUUUUCAAUCCUCAUGCAUUCUUUCUUUAGUUUAUAUCAGCAGAUAUGUGCAAAAACGUCGGAGAGAAGAGGAGCGACACAGUUUUCAGUCACUCACAAAGGAGACUGAAUGGAAUUGGGAAGGAAGAGUAUCAGAAAAAUCAUGAAGCUUUACAAGACAGAUAUUGACUGGUAAUUUCGUGCUCUCUAAGACUCUAUAUCUAAAGGUGUUCCCUUUCUCCCACAAAAAAAAAAAAAAAAAAAAAAAACGUGAAAAAAGAAAGGGAAACAAAAAGCCUAAUGAGUCUUAGAUUGUCAAAAAUUUGUGGAGCAAUAAGCAACCACUAAUCGUUUAAUUUUGAAAGAUUUACAUAAAUCUAAGUCUGGGGGAGUUAGGAGAGAACCUGAGGAAGAAGACCAGGAAUCUAUGGCACGAAGAAAGUGACUGAAAACUGUGGAUACCAACAGCUUAACUCUCUCUUGCGGUUUUGCAUAAUAUCAUGCAUCCUCCAGAUUUUCAAGUAACCCGUAAACACUUUAAACCUUACCCCUAGAAUAACCUUUUUAACACCUAGCCUAGAUUGCCUUGCCUAGACUUUCUUUGAUGAGAACCACCGAGAUUUUUAAUGAAUGUUAAGAGCUAGUUGACUGGAAGUUAGAUCCUAGUGCAUAGAUUUUCGCAUGAUGGAUUAACGGACUAGUUAUGCCUGUAUUGCUAGUGAGUAUUUUCUAGGCUAUUCCCGAUUGAUGCAUACUGAUUGAUAUUGGUCUAGAAGUUUGGUCUCUGAGAUUUUGUUUAGUUCCUGCGUUUUCAAACCUCUCACCGAGAUUUAGCCUUUGUUUUGUUUGAGGACAAACAAAAGACUAAGUCUGGGGGAGUUGAUAACACCGGAUUUUGACCAUUUUUAUGGAUCACUUUCAUAUCUUUUACCGGUGUUUUUACUCCAUUUUCAAAGAUUUUCAAAGGAUUUCUAUGUUUCCGGAUUUGAAAAGACUUUUCAGGUAAUUUGGGAUAAAGAGGCACAAAAUGAAACAAAAACUCUUUUGAAUAAAUGCAGACCGUCAGAACUCUCAUGGAGAGACGACGACCUUCUCACCGUCUGAUCACCUUCAAAACUGGACAACUUAUAGAAGAAUCAACCAGCUUUCAAAUGCACUUGGUUUGGAGACAUUCUAACGGUUGGAUCUCAAGAUAUUCCAUUAGCCCCGGAGCCACUCGAACUCGGCCAGAAAGUCACGCGACCGCGGUGAUCAACCUAUUUCCCGCGGUCAGAAGCUUCCCGACCGCGGCCAACCAGCCAAUCCCCGCGGUCACAACACUCCCGACCACGGCAAUCAAUCUCCGAAUUAAAGCCCAUGUAUCUGAAGCCCAAAGUCAUUCUCAGCCUCAAUUCCGGAACCCUAGAGACCAUGGAGUAUUGGAGACUAUAAAUACAUGUCAUUUAGGUCGUUUUUAGGGAGAGUCAUUCAUACUUUACAGAAACCCUUUUCCUUUAGCCGUUUUUAUGAGAUUUUUGUAGAAGAUUGUUCAAGUCCGAGUUCUUCAAUAGAGAAGCUUUCUUUAUCUCUUUUUUUUACUGUUUUUCAUUACUUUUAUUAAAACCAAUGAUGAUGUCGACCUCCGCCAUGUCUGAGUAGAUCCCGAGUUGGGCUUAGGGUUCCCGAAAGGGGCUCUCAUAAUCGAUUAAGACAUCUAGGUUUAUAGAUCUGGGAUUUCGACAUGUUCUCUGUUUAUUCUUGUUCUUAUUGCAUGUAUGCUUGAUUGAUCACCUAGUAUCUGAUCUAGAUAGUUAGUGUUGCGAAAGUUUUCAUUAAGUAUCAGCCCUAGAAUGAAACAGGCAAUUUUUUCGUAGGAGUGGAAACCUACCUGCGGCGAGAUCGUGAGUAUUGACGAGUCUUGUGCAGCUCUUGCGUUCUCUCCCUUCCAGGGCUAGAGUGGAAACCUACUGGUCUGGGUUGCGAGAAACAGUUGGUUAUGAUCACGACAAUGACGUAGUCAUACCGCCGUACUCUAGCUCUAGAACCCAUAUAUCGAUAUCCGUCAAUCCCAAUCUAUUUACCCUAGUGUUAAAACCGAUUAUGAUCCCUUAGAGUCCCCAAAAGCUCAGCGUUUUUAGCCAUAGUUUACAAUUCCAUCGAUUUUUAUUUGCUUAUUUAGGCCUGCAUUUCAAUUUCCUUAGUUUGUUAUUUACUUACUUUACUAGUAUUUCAUUCGAUAGUUUACUUGCCUUAUUAGUCUUUCAUUCGAUAUUUUACUUGUUCUAUUUGCCUUUCAUUCGAUUUCUUUACUUGCUUUUUAGGAUAGAUUUAUUUGCUUUCUUUUGUUUUAGUUUAAUACAUCAAACCAACCAACCUUUAAAAACCAAUCUAGUGUAGACAUAAAGUUAAAAACCGUAGAAGAAUACUAGGCACACAAAUCUAUGUGGAUUCGAUCCCUAAAUACUACAACUGAUUAGCUGUGCACUUGCGGCUUUCAUUUGUUUUGUUAAGGGUAAAACUUGAGAGAAAAGGUAUAUCAUCGAAAAAAAAUUCAUGCAAGAAAAUUUUGACCAUUAUUUGUGGUGUCUAUACCAUAAAAACCAAUAAUCAUCUAUGAUCGGAUCAGAAUUUACCGGCGUAAUCUCAGCAAACCCAUGCAAAAAAACGUCAAUAGUAACAAAACCAACUCAAAUAUAACCAUGAAACAAGUCUACCAUACAUAUGGAAUCUGUUUAACAUACAACACCCCAAAACAAGUCUACCACACCUUUGGUUUUUUUGUAGAUUGCUGAAUACCUUUAGGACAAAUAAGUAAUUUCAAUUGAAUAAGUCAAAUGUCUACCGAAAACAAUGUAACUAAGUCUACCACAAGCAAUGUAAAUAACUCUACCAUAAGAAAAACUCUACCUUCAAGCAUCAAAUAUGUCUACCAGAUUGAGGUUAUCUGAGUAAACACCAAAGUUAUUUAAUCUACCACAUGAAGCUCAAUAGAAGUCUACCAUACGUGCAAUAACUUUACCAAUUGAUUGAAAAUCUACUACAAUAACAAAAAAAAUCUACCACCAUUUUAUAAGUCUACCUCAUGUAACAAUAAAUUUACUACUCAACGGAAUGAAAUCACCAAAUUUUUACUUGAUUUAAAUCUUCCACAUUACUUAUAAAUCUACCACAAGAGCGAUAAAUCUACUCACAUGAUAUAACUCUACCAAUUUCAUAACUAAUCUACCUCAAUAGGGAUAAAUCUACCACCACGUUAUCUUAAAUUUUGGUGAAUAAAUCUGCCACCAAAAGAAAUAAGUCUACCAAUUCGAGUAUUAAAUCUACCCCCAUUGUCAACAAAUCUACCAACAAAAUCAACUAUGCGAGAGAGUCAACGAAUUCCUUAACAAGUCUACCAACACUUUAACAAGUGUGGCAUACAUGACAACAAAUCUACCGAAACUUAACAAAUCUAUCGUGUCAUUGUCAAAACUCUACCAAAAAAAGUAUAUCAACAUUUUACAAAUCUACCAAUUCUCGAAUAAAUCUACCAUCGUCCUAACAAAUAUGCCAUCUAAAAAAUUGUGUUGACCAACAUCUGAUAAGUCUACCAUCAAAGACCGGUAGGCUUAUCAUUUUUCAAGCGCAUCUUUUUGCCUACAUGGCACAAAAAAGUAAUGGCAUUUUUUUAAUUAGGUUUUUUUCAUCAAAGGCGAAAAUGAUGUUUUCGGUAUGCUAUGUUAUUUUUGUAAUAAAAAUAAAAGUAUGUCAAGCAAACAAUAAACAUACAUUUAAAGGUUUGUAUAGUAAUCCUUCCUUGUUUUAAUUCUUUUGAAAAACAGUUUAUAACAUCAAAAUAUGUUGUACAUUUUUAAAACCCUUAUGUCCGCGCAAAGCGCGGACCAACACCUAGUUAUAAUUUAAAAUCCAGCUAAGUUAUCUACAUACUAUAAUUCAUAAUUCACUAUUAAAAAAAUCAAAAUUCAUCCAUAUUAACCAUAAAUCUUACAAUUUUUAAACACACGAUAACAAAUUGGUAUUUUAUAAUUCUAUAAAUUAAGAAUCUUGUAUAGAUUUUAUUCAUAAUUCAUUUUUUAUAUACUUUUUUUUUGUCAUCAGCCUAAGUACCUAAAACGGUUCGGCUAUCCAAACCGGUGGUACCGAGUUUACAUAAAUGACGUCUUGAGGGUAGACACGAGCACUUCUUGCUAGGUUGUCCGCCUUCGAGUUUUUUGCGCGUGGGAUAUGUGAUAUAAGGAAGAAACUGAACUUGUCCUUCAUUUUCCUAAUCUCCUCCAAAUGUAGAUCAAAAGCUGGCCAUUCUUUGGGUGUAGACACCAUCUUCACCAACUCCAAACAGUCUGUUGCAAAAGCUACUUCCAUCUUCUGGUUUUCGAGCAUACAGUGCAUAGCCCAUAUGAGGGCUUCUAUUUCUGCAUGCAGAGGUGUAAGACUUUGUCUUACAUUUUGUGCUCCCAUUAUUCUUUCCGUAGCAUCUUCUUUAAAGAAGUACCAUCCUAAUCCCGUUAAAAGAUAUGUAUCUUUCCAAGAGCCAUCAGUAUAACACCACCAGCCUUCGUAGGCCAUAGGUGUUUACAAGUUCAGAGAAGUGCAAAGAUCGGUAGGAAUUGAAUCCUGUUCAGACCUUUGAGCCUCUUCCCACAAUGUUGCUUCUUUUUCCGCUAUUUUCAAUGUAAUCUGUGGAUCUAUAUCAUUAUUCGAAUACACUUUCUCAUUCCGUGCCUUCCAAAUAUACCAUGCGAUCCAUGGGAAUUUUGUGUUAUUCAACUCUUUUGGAAGUCGCCAAAAGAGAUGAUCAAAAUUCGAAUAAACCGAUGGUCCUGGGAAAAUCCCAAGAGGUGUUGGUAUCCGGGAUAAUGCCGAAGUUUGCAAAGCAGGAGGACAUUCAAAGAGCACAUGGUUAAUUGUUUUUUCAUCUGCUCCACACCGUGUACAUUGUGUGUCACAUUGUAUUCCACGGGUGCUUAAUCUAGCCGACACUGGAUGGCACCAAGAUAUUGCUUGCCAGAUAAAAUGUCUUAACUUCGACACACUUUUCAAUUUCCAAGCAUAUGCUUGUAAAGCCUUUAUGUCUGGGCCAAAGAUCUCCUCUGUUAUUUCUUUAGAUAAAUAACGCUCAGUUUUGUACCCUGAUUUUACAGUAUAUCGUCCGGAUUCUGUGAAAUGCCAUCCCAUUGGGUCUGGCCUAUAGGUUCUACUAAUGGGAAGUCCACGAAUAAUUUCCACAUCCGCUGGGUCAAUAAUUGCUGUUAUCAAACCCAUGUUUCACGAGUUUGUCACUGGGUCAAUCAGGUGAUUAACCAUAAGAUUCGGAUAAUAAUUGAAACCCUUACAAGUGGCUGAUCUCGGGCGAGUAGAAGGUAUCCACGGAUCAUUCCAGACAGAAAUGGAGCAUCCUGAACCUACCCUUUUAAUUAGCCCUUUAUUAACCAGAGAUCUAGCCGAUAUUAUACUUCGCCAUCCAUAAGACGGUGAGUAGGAUCUCACUGGGUCCAAAGGACUUGGAUUCCGAAAGUAUCGUCCUUUAAAGACCUGCGCAAAUAAGGAAUUUGGUCUAUCAAUCUGCGAAAGUAUCUUCAUUUUUUAUAUACUUUGUAUUUACUAAUCUUUUCUUUUAAUUUUUUCUAUUUUUUGAAUUUACAUUUAAAAAGGUAUAAUUAUUUUUCUAUUCUUAUUUGAAAUAAAUAAUUAAAAUAAGAAAUUUUAUCUCAUUUCAUUGACACAUGAGUCAAUCAUAAAUAACUGUGAUAUAUGACACAAUAUAGUGAGUUAUAAAAAUAUAAUGUCUUAUACAUAUAGAAUUUUAUUUUUGGUUUACUUUUGUUAUUUCUAUUUUGUAGUUUCUAUUUUCAUCUACUUUAGUUUUUUCUAAUUUAGUAAUUUACAUUUAAAAAUGUAGAAUUCCUUUUGUUUAGAAAAAAAAUAUAAUUUAACAUAUAAGAUUUUAUAUUAUUUUAUUGACAUAUGUUACGAUCAUAGUUAAGCGUGAUACAUGACACAAUAUGGUGAAUUAUAAAAAUCCUAUGUGCCAGUGUCACGUUGAGAGCACUGAACUUUCUUUUUUUUUUUUCACUGAAUAUUACGUAUAUUAAUAAUCGAUGAGCUUACAAGCAGACAAUACAAAACAUGAUCAAAAGCAAUCAAACACUCAUAUAGAACAUGAGUAUUACAACAAGGUAAUACUACUUUCAGAAACAAAAAUCUCUUCUAACCACUGAGGAUAGCCCGAGGCUAUAUAUGAUUGUCGACGAUCAUCUUUAGUCACACUUCUAGCAAUGAGGAAAGCACCUUGAUUUGUAACUCUUUCCUCAAGCGUAAGCUUCCAAUCCAAAAAAAUUUCCAAACCAUUCAAGAUCUCAGACGAAUAGAAUUUGAAAGAAGGCCAGGCUGGUGGCCGAUGAACCGCUCCUAUUAAAUCUGAAUCUUCCGAAGCAAAGACCAUUUUGGUGAUACCUAAGCUAUUCAAACUUUCAAUUGCCCAGAUCCAACUUUUGAAACUAGCAUCAAUGUGGCUGGAUACAGAACAGAAAGAUCUUCUACUGUGUAAAAGGACUGAUCCAAAAGAGUUCCUAAGAACCCAUGCAGCACCACCACAUCCUUUCUUUUUAUCCCAGGAAGAACCGAUAUUACAUUUCAACCAAGGUCUAGAGGGAGGAAGCCAAACCUUCGGGGGUUGAAUCACCUCCAUCUUUUUUUUAAUAGCUUCCUUUUCAUCCAACUCUUGAGCGUGAAACCAUUGGUUCACAUCUUCUUUAAUCUUGCCCAUAGUAUCAGAAACUCGGAAGCUCAUUCCUUCAAAAAUGAAGAUGUUGAGAUUCUUCCAGAGUAUCCAUAAGAUCCACGGGAUUGAUCUUCUGAUUUCCAAAGGCACUGAUAACUUUUUACCCACCAUCAAUAAAUGGAACAUGUUCUGAUAGAUGGAGUUUGAUUCAUAUCCAUUUUCAGGACUGGGUACAUUCGAAGAGGCCCAAACCUGUCUAGCAAUUGUACAUUUGAAUAGCACAUGAUUUAUGGAUUCACCUUCAAGCCCACAGAUUUGACAUCUCGAAUCAAUCUUCAUACCUCUCGAUGCAAUUUUGUCUGCAACAGGAAUGGCACCACUAAUUGCUUUCCAAAGAAAGUUUUUGAUUUUAGUGGUUGUAUUGAGCGCCCAGAUUUGGAGUUUGAUUGCAUUCAAAGACGGUUGCAUCAGAGCUUCCUUGAGGGCUUCAGAUGGAUUACUUUGAGAAGCAAACCAAUACCCUGAUUUAACAGAAUAUUCGCCACUUUUGGUAUGUUCCCAGCAGAAAAAAAUCCAAUGAAGAAACCACCGGGUUAGUUCUUAAGAUUAGACCAACGUCUCUUUGGAAGAAAUGCUCAUCGAGUUUAUCCCUAUCCCAGCUUUUGGAUAUCGGAUCAAUGAGGUCAAUAACUCUCAAAUCCAAAUUAAAGAUGAUGUUCUUUAUGAAGGGAGCUCUCAUAACCCCAUCACAAAGCCAUCGAUUAGUCCAUACACUAAGCGAAGCUCCAUUGCCAACCAUCUGUCUAAGACCUUUUUCUAAAAGAGAUCUUCCAUGAAGAAUGCUUCUCCAAGCAAAAGAGGGUCUAACUCCAGUAUCUGCGAGAAGGAAGGAGGAAGAAACAAAGUAUCGGCUCUUUAAGAACAAAGCAAGGAGACAAUCCUUAUCUUGUAGAAUUCUCCAAGCUUGUUUGGCUAAAAGAGCUUGGUUGAAGAUUUGAAUGUCUUUAAAACCGAUCCCUCCUUGAGCUUUAGGAAUGCACAAUUUAUCCCAUCCAAUCCAAUGCAUUUUCCUUUUGUUCUCGACAGUGUCCCACCAGAAAUCAGCCAUCGCAGAAGAUAACUUAUUACAGAUAGUUACUGGCAAUUUAAAACAGGUCAUGGAGAAAACUGGCAUCGCCAUCGCAACAGAGUUGAGUAACACUUCUUUUCCACCUUGAUAUAGAAGCUUUGAAUACCAUCCAGACAUUCUUCCUUUCAUUUUGUCGUGGAUGUAAGACAACAUAUCCACUUUAGAUCCACUAAAACAUUCUGGAAGACCCAAAUAAGUGCCCGCUCCACCUUCAUUGAUAAUACCCAAUUUGGUUUGAAUGAUUUCCUUCAUAUCCAUAUUCACGUUAGCACCAAAAGUGAUGGAGGAUUUAUCAAGGUUGAUGAUCUGACCAGUAACUCUUCCAUAAAGAGAAGAAUGGAUUGGAGGGUUGUGCACUGUUCUUCAUCCGCUUUAAUCAUAAAAAGACUGUCAUCUGCGAAUAACAAAUGGUGAAUGGCUGGACCAUCGGGAGAGAAUUGAAUCCCAUUAAUCAAGCCAGAUCGUUCAGCACAGUUGAGCAGAUAUGUCAAUCCUUCAGUACACAAAACAAAAAGGAAAGGUGAUAAGGGAUCACCUUGCCUUAUUCCUCUCUCAGGAAUGAUCAAACCAAAAGGCUGUCCAUUAAUCAGAACUGUAUAAGAAACCGAGGAGACACAGAACAUAAUCAUCUGGACCCAUUUUUGAUGAAAACCGAGAGCCAAAAGGAGCGCUUGAAGAUAGGACCACUCAACACGGUCGUAAGCUUUUGACAUGUCGGUCUUCACCGCCAUGAACUCCGUCGAAAUCCUAUCAUGAGUUCUCAAACCAUGGAUAGCUUCAUGAGCUAUUAUAAUGUUAUCUGAGAUAAGUCUUUCUUCAACAAAGGCAGAUUGAUUAGGAGAGACAAUCUCAGACAGAAAGGGUUUCAUUCAGGACACCAUGAUUUUGGAAAUCACUUUGUAGAGAACAGAACAGAGACUAAUUGGCCGUAGGUCACUCAUGUGAGGAGAGUUGACCUUUUUUUGGGAUAAGACAAAGAUUAGUGAAGUUCCAUUCUUUAGGGAAAACACCCGAUUCAAAGAACUUGAGAACUUCCAUCGUGACAAGAUCACCAACAAUAUCCCAAUAGUUCUGAAAGAAAAGACCAGUCAUACCGUCUGGGCCAGGAGCACUAGAGGCUUUGAUCGAGAAAACAGCUCUUUUCACUUCUUCUUUAGAAACCAUACUGAUAAGACUGUCGUUCAUUCUAGAGUUGACUCUCGGCAUGAAAUCGGAGAAGAAUUCUAUCUGAUUUGAAGGAGCAGAUGAUGAGAAAAGAGUCUGGAAAUAGCUAGUCGCCACUUCACCCUUUGAAGCUUCAGAUCGAUGCAUGAUUCCAUUUAUAUCCAUAAGCUUAUCAAUACAAUUCCUUGACCUAUCAGACUUGACAGAAGCAUGGAAAAACUUGGAGUUUUUGUCACCAAGAUUCAGCCAUUUAUCUCUACUUUUCUGUUGCCAAAAACUUUCUUCUUCCUUGUAAGCCUCCACCAGACUUUUUUGAGAUUGAAGAGACGACAUGAAGAAGGAGAUGACGAGGAUUGUUCAAACUCCAGAUCAUCUUCAAUAGUUUUUAUUUUGAUCUGAGAAUUAGCAUCGUUGACUUUCUUCCAUUGACUGAGAGCUUUCCUGCAACUUCUUAAUCUCGAAGAGACACUAAGAUUAUGAGAGGAUGAGGGACCAAACCAAGCCGACUUUAUGGCUUCUUUGACAAAAGGUUUGUGGAGUAAUCUUUUUUCAAAUCUAAACGAACCCCGAUAAGACUCUUGAGAAGAGAAGAGAUGAACCAGGACCGGACGAUGAUCGGAUCCUCUUUUAGCCAAAAAAGCUUGAUUAGAAGCAGGGAAGAAAGAAGACCAGACUUUGUUGCCGAAACAUCUGUCAAGCUUACACUGAAUCCACAAGGUGCGUCUUCUGCCACCCCAGGUAAAGCUAUUCCCUGUACUUGGAAGUUCUCUCAUAUCACAAUCUUUCAACAUGUUGGAAAAAGUAAGGAAAGAAGAAUCACUCCUUCUUGGACCACCAUUUUUUUCCUCAUUGUUGAGAAUUUCAUUAAAGUCUCCAAGCAUACACCAUCCAGUUUUUCUUUGAAUCCCAAUACGAGUCAGCCUUUCCCACACUAGGUGUCUCAAACUCGCAUUUGGGUUUCCAUACACACACGUAACAAAGAAACUGCUUGAACCAAACUGUACAUACAUGUCCAGCACAUUCUUAUCUACAUACUUGAGAUCGAUAUCAACACCUUUUUUCCAGAAAAGAGCCAAACCCACCGGAUCAACCGUAUAUACAUGCUCAUAACCCAACCAAACUUGAAUAUCUACAAUGAUAUUUUUACAGUUUAUCGUUUCCAUAAGGAACAAGAUCUCAGGGAAGUGUUUUUUACGCAUCUCCAUGAGUCUGGGAAUCGUCAGAUCUUGAGGCCGCCCCAAUCCCUGGCAAUUCCAGCUUGAUAUGCUCAUAAAUCAGUGGACAGUUCCUCAUUUGGGACCAUCUCAUGUGUUUUUGACCUUGCGGCUUUGGAAACACUCUCCAGUUCACUAUCAGCUUUCCUUUUCUCCACUGAACCCUCUAAAGAACCCUUCUUUUUCUCCACAUCUUCGGCAAAAGAAUUCUCCAAUUUUCCUUUUAACUUCCUUCGAGAUUUUGGAGGCCUCUUUCUUGGUUUUGGUUUUUUCAUAGCAGUCCCGGAAGGACCAGCAACAGAGUGCCCGAUCCUAUAACCCGUUGAACUGUUGUGAAAAGGGACCGACUCAUCACCAAAAUCUGGGGAAGUAGAAUCGGUUUGAAGAGGAUUGGAGCCAUAAUUUCUCCUAGAGCUAGCAUCCGCUUGAAUUGCAGCAGACAUAAGCUUUUGACCUCGAGGCAUGAUCACUUCAGUUUUUGUAGUCGAGUCCUCAGAAUCAUAGCCAAAGACUGGACCUUUCCCUUUGUUGAGAUCACGAGUGAUAAUUGGAACAGGUUCUAGACGAAGCACCAUUUUCUGCGUGAUUAAAUUCUUUUCUGCCUCACAAACAGAAUUCUUCACACGAUCUUCUCUAACCUUACGAUCAUCACCAUUAGCAAUUAACAAAUAUUGUCUCAUGCCUUCUAGAACCUCAGCUGCAAUUCUUGGACGACCUGUUAAGGGAUUCAAGCCAACCUGGUUCUCACCAAGAACGCCAAAAAGAGGGUCAGAUUCCAACAGGACAGGCUUGGGGAUCUGUUUUUGGGGAGCAUGUCCAAGUCUUCUUUCAGCCGCCAAAGCUUGACGUUUCAUGAUCAAAAUAGGGCACACCUCACGCGCGUGAGUUAACCUUUGACAAGAAUAGCAUCUCUUCUGAAUUCUUUCAUAGAACUAGUGAACUGUGGUUGAGCCUCCCUUAGGCAGAUUGAUCACUUUCGACUGUCUAAGAGGUUUAGACACAUCAAAUUUAACUUUCACUCUCACAAACUCUUUGUUCUGCGCUUUAGUAGGAUCAAAUGCAAUUUCAGUAACAAGACCAACAAGAUCUCCUAAAGCAGUAAUCGCCUCCUCAGUGUAAUGAUUAAUAGGAAUGUUUCUGAUUUGCACCCAGAUCGGAACAAACUGCAGAGAUUCACUUGAAGGCUGCUCUUCCCAACGCUCUGUAGCAAGAGCCCAUUCAUUGAAAGUAUGGACACCUUUGUCCAAGAUUUCAUUUAGGUCAUGUUCAUACUUGAAGAAAAACUGGAAACGCUCUCUUGAUAGAGCCACACCUCUGACUCUAUCAUACUUUUGCCAUUUUCUAGGCAAAUCCAAAAUCAGGUUAGCCAUCUUUUGACAUUCUGGAUUAAGAAGACGACCUAUCAGGCUGAACUCAUUUUUAUCACUUGAACAGUAAGCUGGGGUAUCAGGAAGAUCGAAUGGAACUUCUUCUUCCUCUAGAGACAUGGCCAUCAGCGCCUUAUCCAUAGCAGAAGACAUGGUAACCGAAAAUAACUCUGAACCACAACCACAGGUAGAAAAUCUGAACGGCCCAAAGAAGAUAGACCACCCAAAGCAAGGAAACCACGAGAUGAAAACUUAAGCAGGAGAUGAGACGAAAUUUUUCUAGACCCAGCAAAUGAAGAACACGGAUGAACCCUAUAUUUCUUUAUAGAUCUGAAAAAAAGUGUUUGAAAAGGUGAAAAGCGGGAUGAAUAGUCAAAAGGGAAAGAAGUUUUUCCACACAAAAGCUCUAUUCUCGAAGAGAUGAGAUACUCUUACACAGAAAGAGAGUCCUAAGCCCAAAAAAGGGAAACAGAUAUUUUUUCUACUAUCUUCAUCUUCUAUCUGCACCACUUGAGAGCACUGAACUUUCUAUAAUAAGAUUCUAUUUUAAAAAAACUAUUAAAUGUGUAGAAGAAAACACCACCAAAUGAGAAGUUUUGACGAUGGGACUUGGGAGGUAAGAAAAGCAUAUAAGAGUCUCCAAGUGUCUGGUUAUACUUUUUUUUGCGAUCCAGUUUAUUCUUUUGUCCAACCUCAAGGGUAGAUGUUAAUUUGAUUUAAUUUUGUAUUGGGUCAGUUCAAUUAAUUUGUAUUUAAUAAAAUUCUAACUGAAUUUAAAUGAAGUUAAUUCGUGGUUUUUCUUCAGUUUGAUCUAUUUUUGGUUAAAAAUAAUAAAAAAGUCAAUAUGAAAAUAAGUCAUAACAAAAUAAAAGAGAAAAAAGAAAAAUUUUUUGGCACUUAUUUUAAAUUAUUGCGAUUUAAUAGAUACGACACAUUUAGUUAAGACAUAUAUGUCUAGGACACAAAAGAAAUAUUGAAAUGUUGUAGUGACUUCAUAACACUACUACAAAUAGAUAAAAUACUGGGAUGGUGUAUUGACUUGGCAAUACUGUUACAAAUCUCAGAUAUAUUCUAAAAGAUAUAGUGGAAUGGUGUGGUGACUUCAUAACACUACUACAGAUAAAUAAAAUACUGGGAUGGUGUACUGACUUGAAAACACUGUUACAAAUCUUAGAUAAAUUCUAAAAGAUAUAGUGGGAUGAUAUAUCAAUUUGUGACACUACUGUGUACAUCCUACCCAAGAUCCAGAAAUUCAUUGGGUUGACUCGGUUUAUUCCAGGUUGAUCUAGUUUGCCUCCUUUUCCUAUUUCAGCGUUUUAAACCUAAUUUUUUAAGUUAAGUUUAGUACUAACUUUGUCUCUCUUUCUUUUUUAAGGUUUUACUUAAAAGUUUGAUGCUAUCAUAACUUAAACACAGAGAGAUUAUAUACACACUUUAUUCUCAUAGUUUCACUUCUUUUUAUCAUUCCCCUUUAAUACAGUAAAGGCACUUAAAUCAAUAUAAAUUAAAGACACUAUUGUACUAUGUAAUCACUCAUUUUAUUUCACUCAUAAAAAGAAUUACAAAAUUAAUACAUCUUAGGAACUGAUGAUGAUCGACCUAUCAAAACCCAAUUGUAAAGAAAAUAUCUAUCUAGCAACUAAUGAGCAGACUAUUAAAUUCAUCAACUAAAUAAGAAAAGUAAAAUAACUAUUAAUCUUCUCUCUUCUAACAGCUUUCUCUGAUUAUGCAGUCUACGUCAGCAGUGAUCACUCCCUGGUAGCAGUUAAUUGGUCUUCAUCUUCCAGCUCAUGAUCUUCUUCUUAGGCACAUAGCUCUUGAGGUAUUAUAAAUACCCACAUCGAAAACAAGAAGCUUUUCUUCAAUCUUAAGUGUGAAAAUUGCUUGAUCAUAGGUGCAGCUCUCUCCCAUGUCCUCUCAUUAUCUAGAAGACCUGUCCAACUAAUUGAUGUUUCCAAAUGAUUAGCAAGAUCAGAGUGAGUAACUAAAACUGAUACCGGUUCAAUAAUGAGUUCAUCAUCAACUGAGAAGGACUGUGGAAGUGCAGAAACAUGAUGAUCUGUUCCUAAGACUUUUUCACUAUCAAGUAGACCGCCGAUGCAAAAGUUAAAUACCAUGAUAUAACCUUUAAAAAUUUUAGUACCACAAUAAUCACUUUUUGUUGAAACCUUACAAUGCAAAAUCAUAAAGUGACAAAUAGGUACUUGAACCUUUUUUUUUUCAUCCAAUACCAAACUUGUUUUUUCAUCAUGAUUCACCUUCUCUAACAUGUACAAAUAAGAAUACAACACCUUAAAACUUUAUUUUUUAGUACAACGCACUUCAUUAACAUCUUUUUUUCCUCUCAAUGUGGUAGAUUAAGAAUGCUGAUCUAGUAACUAAAUAAGAAUGCCCUGUCAACUAAAUCUUGCCAUGCCUGCUUAGUUCGAAAUUUUUGACAUAAUUCUCAUGCAUCACGUGGAAGUUCAACAUAUCCAGGCAUACACAAGAUAACCAGACUGUUAUCUACACCAUUAUCCACACUAUUAUCCACAUUGUCACGUGAUAUAUUUGUAACACAUCUAUCAACAACAUUCUUGAUCAAUUCAUGAUGUUGUUCUGUUGUUUUGUCAUCUUCUUAAAGAGUAACAAAACCAUCAUUAACUCUAGAAUUAUUUCUUCCACCUGAAAACAGAUCGCCAAAAUUCACACCAAAUAAAAUUUCUCAUUCUACUCUUAGAAGUUGCUUGCCCAACUUAAUGUUUUCCAAAUCUUUGGUGACCUCUACAUGCAAAACACUUCUACAUAGUUCCUUAUUCAUGGAGAUAAACAUAAACGUCCUCAUUAUUGAAAAUAUAUUAUUGUCUGUGAGGUUUCACUACCAAUGGAAUUAAAGUCACUUUCAGCUUUGUCUAAGAUAUAUAUAUGAUGUCGUAAAUGAUAUACUAUACAUGUGAUCUUCUAUUGAAAUCCAUCAAUUCUAUGAUCUUUGAAUAAUAUCCUUCAUAAUCAAAUAUAUGUUUGUGAAACUAUAGCUUAUUGUCUUAGGAAGAAUAGAAACUACUUUAGCACGUGUUAUCUUGAAUCAAUAAUAUUAUUUGUACCAAUUAUAACACUUCUCUAAGUAAUAUCAACUGUUACAGUUGUUUUUCUGCAAAUUAGGUGACUUCGGGCCACUGAUAUGUUCAUAAUUUGCAUCAUUUAGGUUGCACAAAUCAUUCCAAAUCAUGUUUUAUUUCAUGUAUUUUAGGUCCCUAGGGUUUGUUUUAGAACUUAGGAGAUGCAUUAGGUCCCAAUGAGUCUUUGCAUGUUUUGAGUGUCUAUCAGGUGAUUAUGGAGCUGAAAAGAUGAAUCCAGGAGGUGGAAUGGUGAGCAGAGCUUGAAAAAGUGGAAAACUUGAGUCUAUGGAGGUUAUCGGCCAUUCUCGCUGGCCAGGAAGGUUUUACCGGCCAUUUUCAUGUACUGCGGGAAGCUUUACCGGCCAUUUUCACGUACCGCGAAUUAAGUAUAUCGGCCAAAAUCUCCGGGUGCGAACGAGUCUCAGAAAUCACCUGUCCGGGGAGCCUUCCGGUCCGAUUCAGAUGGCGGGUCCUUCAUAGAAGUUGGAGAGCAUUGAAGCACGGUCUCAUAGCAAUUGGAAUCGUAGAAUUCGGACGCGUGAGCAGAGAGAUAAGCUCGUCGGAAGAAACCCCUGUCUCGCAGGUAUUCCGGACCGAGCAGAUCAGUUCUGAAGGAUGCGAAGGACGGUGCACUUCCAGGCCGAUUCAGCUUCCGGGUCCUUCAUGAGAAUCAGAGACAUUUGAGUUUUCUUUCCAGAACGUCCAAGAGCAUUCAAUUCGGAUCUAUGAGAAGGAAGAUACGGCCUCCGGAAUGGACACAUGUCUAGACGCCUCUCUCUGGUCGUAUACAUGCACUGCAAAGAUGUGCCCUCCAGGAAGCCUUCCACCUCCCAAGCACUGAAACUUCCUUCACAAAAGUUGGAGAUAAAUGAGUCCUCUGUCUUCUGCAACCGAAAUCAUUCAAUUCGGACAAGUAUCACAGGAGUUACACUCUCCGGAAUGCGAAGUGAUCUAAGCUGCUCUGGAUGCUGCGAGAUGGUCUUGCGACUUGGUUAACCCGCAGGCCUGAAGAUGAACACCUGAAUGCUGAUGCUGCGAGUUGAAAUGUGCGGGUAAACUAUCACUGGAAGAGGUCUGGAGCUCCCGAGCAAGAGAAAUGCUAAGUCCACAAUCGUGCGACUUAGGCAUGCGAGUCAUCCGCGCCUGGAUCUAUGCCGCACGAUCACUCGGAAUUCACUCCGACUCGAGCCUGCGACCUAAGUGCAAUAGAGACCAACCCGCACAGUUUCUACAUCCCCCAGAAACCGGCUCAGCCCUGCGAGUUGGAGAGGAAGGAGACCAUGCCGCAGAAACACUCGCAAUUUACUCCUAGAUAGGCGUGCGGCUCCGACAAGGUGAUUCAAGCCUCACAAGACAAGUCUUCAUCUACUGCGACUUAGGUGUGCGGCCUGGGACAUACUGAACCGACCCGCAGCUUUUCCCACUUUAUCCAUUAAAGCCGGGUCAGGACCCGGUUUGUUCCGGGCUGACCCGGUUCGUUUUUAAGAAGGUAUAAAUACUUUUUAGGGUUUUUUGGGGGAGAACUAAGUUUUAUUCCCUUUGUCUCUUGCCUUUUUGGUGAAAAGACUCCAUUAAGAAGAGAAAUAUCUUUAUUUGAGUGUUUAAUCAAGAGAGUUUAAGGAGAUCUGGGUGUUUAAAGCUGUUUUCUUUUGAAUCUAUCAUCUCCAUCUCCAUUUCUCAUCAUUAAUCAUGCUAAUCUACUCAACUUGCAAAAGUUUAAGAGAGAUUAGUAUGAUUAGUGAGUAGUCACCUUAAUGAGGUUCUAGAUGUGUAGGUUAGGGUGCUAAAGUGUUAGAUUAGGAGUGCUUAGGGCUAGAUUCAUUGAUUCAUCUCUCUAAACAGCUGUUCUCUAUGCUAAAUCCUUGAUAAUCACUUGAGAUCUAGAUUCUGGGAAUUUCAUGCACCAAAAGUGUUUGAUGAAAUUCCUGAAAGAGUUGUGUUAGAGGUUUAAGUAAUUUUUCAUCAUGGGAAUGAUUUGUUAAAUGCUUGAAUGAUCAUUAAGAGCUGUUUGUUAAUGCAUAUUGAUUCAUGUUUCACAAAUGGGAAUUUGGUUUGAAAAUGGAUUAGUAUAGGGGUUAAUACCUUCAUGAGAGGAUUAACCUAGAUUAGAGUUCUUAAUCAUUUGAAUCAUGUCUCAUCAUUGUCAUUAGCAUUUCUAGUUUAACACCAAGGCACCCUAACCAACUAUCAUGUCUAGAAUCUCAUGCCUCCAUCAUAUCAUAUUCACAUCAUUUGUCAUUGUCAUUUGUCUUUAAACCUGUUUAUGUUUAUAGUUGUCUCUAGAUUAAUCAAAACCUAUUCUUGUUUGCUUGAAUUAAGAACUUGAUCAUAUAGCUUAGUGUCUAACACCACAUCUGGAUUGAUAAACCUCUUUGUACUACAUUGACAAGGGGAUUGAUAGCCCUGAGACCCUUAAAAGUCAUAUCUAUCAAUUGGCGCCGUUGCCAAAUUGUGGUUUGAUUAGCAUUAAGCUCUGAUCUGUUCUUGAGAUCAAGUGCUUACUUUCUUGUUUUUACUGAUUCCUUUCAAGUUCUGUUUGUGAUUUCAGGUGUAUGAACACCAGGUCCAGAUCAAGAAGCUGCGGUCCUCCUUUUCCUCUAAACGACAACAUCAACCUUCUGGUACCAAGGAGGAGAAGAGACAGACGUGGUAGACAACUUGAUCAGACUGAGAUGGCCGACCAAGGAGAUCACGGGGUAGAUAUAGAACAACCAGUUCAGGAGCAACAGGCUCAAGGUCAGGGAGCUGGUAUUGGAAUUGGUCAGGGGUUUCACCAAGGCAAUGUUCAGCAGGAACAGGUGCACCACCAACAAGCCUAUGUCCACCAGGGACAAGCUCAGGCUCAUCAACAGAGGCAUCAGGCCAAUGUUCAACAAAGACACCAGGUGCACCACCAACCCCACCCUUUCCAACCACAACAAAGAAGAUAUGAGCAACCCCAAAUAUAUGUUGGCGAGAAUGACAGGGCCAAUGCUCAUCAGUAUGGGGCUGGUAUUCAGGCACCACCUGUGCAGAACAACAACUUUGAAGUGAAAGCAUCAUUGCUGAAUAUGGUCCAGAACUCAAAGUUCCAUGGGUUAGCAAUGGAAGAUCCCUUGGAACACUUGGACCAGUUUGAUAAGGUGUGUGAUCUGACCAAGAUUAAUGGAGUUUCAGAAGACAGCUUUAAGCUAAGACUAUUCCCAUUCAGUCUUGGUGACAAAGCUCAUCAAUGGGAGAAGAAUCUUCCAAGAGGCUCCAUUCAAACCUGGGAGCAAUGCAAGCAAGCCUUCUUAUCUAAGUUCUUCUCCACCUCAAGAACUGCAAAACUGAGAAACCAAAUCUCUAGCUUCACUCAGCACAGCAAUGAAAGUUUUGGUGAAGCAUAUGAGAGAUUCAGGAGCUACACAAACCAAUGCCCACACCAUGGGUUUAGUGAGGCUUCUCUUCUCAGCACACUGUAUAGGGGAGCUCUUCCCAAGAUUAGAAACCAGCUGGAUACUGCUUCCAAUGGGAACUUUCUGGGUAAAGAGAUUCAUGCUGCUUUAGAGCUAGUGGAGAACUUAGCAUUGAGCAAUGAUACUUAUGGUGAAGACUAUGACAGAUCAAAUAGGUAUGAAGGUUCAAGCUCAGAACAGAGGCUCACCAGAGAAGUUAAGGAGUUGAGGAGUGAAUUGGACAAGCUGAAAUUCACCACUCAGAAGCCAAUGCAUUUUGUUGGAGAGUAUGAGGAACCUUCUCAAAUUUUUGAGAACAUAAGUGAAGAAGGUCUUACCCAAGAGGAGCUCAACUACAUUGGGAAUCAGAGGUUCCAAAGAUAUCAGUAUGGUAAUGCCAAUCCAAACCUCUCUUACAGGAACACCAAUGUAGCUAACCCACAAGACCAGGUCUAUCCCAAUUCUCAAGCUCCAAAGAACUUUGUUCCCAAGCACAACUUUCAAGGGUCAUUCCAACCCAAGAAUCAAUUUGGUCAGAAUCAGAGUUUUGGUCAGCAACAGCAACCAUUUCAGGGCACUGGUUACACUUCACAGCAGCCAAAGGCACCACCAGGGUUUGGUCCACCACAGUUCCAACAGCAGGCGCCGGUUCAACAACAGUUUCAGCCACCAAUGGUUCAACAGCAGCCACAGAUGGGUACAGAUAUGGUUGGUAUUCUGCAACAACUACUUCAGGGUCAACAGACUAUGCAGCAGGAAAUCAAGGAACUGAAGCAAAACCAGGCAUCAAGCUCAAGGAACCAAGGUCACCUACCUGGAAAACCAGAACCCAACCCCAAGGAAUAUGCCAAGGCCAUAACACUGAGGAGUGGCAAGGAGUUACCUGGUAUUGAGAACAACAAUGUGAUCAUUGAGGACAAUGAUCAACCUGAGGGGGAGGCAGCCUUAAAGGAUGAUCAAGUUGCUGAGAAACCAAGGUCAGAAAAGGGUAAAGAGGUAGCAAAGGAACCAGAACCAGAGAAGAAGUAUGUGCCACCACCUCCAUACCAACCCAAGCUCCCAUUUCCAGGGAGAUUUAAGAAGCAACUAGUGGACAAGGCAAGAGCUGUAUUUGAGAAGGCACUCAAAGAGACACCACUCACAAUGCCUCUCAUUGAUGCAUUCUUAAUGAUGCCAAAGAUGGGGAAGUUUUUGAAGGAUGCUAUUCUGAACAAGACAAAAGAGCUUCAAGGCAUGGUAGUACUAAGUCAUGAAUGCAGUGCUAUCAUUCAAAGGAAGUCCAUUCCAAGGAAGUUAACUGAUCCAGGGAGCUUCACACUCCCCUGUGCCAUUGGACCUCUUCUAUUCUCUGGAUGUCUUUGUGAUUUAGGAGCAUCAGUCAGCUUGAUGCCAUUCUCCAUAGCACAGAAGCUGGGCUUUAGAGUUUUCAAACCUUCAAAGAUUUCUCUUAUCCUUGCAGAUAGAUCAGUUAGAUUGCCUGUUGGUAUGUUGGAAGAUCUACCUGUCAAGAUAGGUGGUUUUGAGGUUCCAACAGAUUUUGUUGUGCUGGAGAUGGAUGAAGAGCCAGUAGAUCCUCUUAUCUUGGGCAGACCAUUCUUAGCCACUGCAGGAGCUAUUAUUGAUGUGAGAGGUGGGAUAAUAGAGCUUCAACUUGGGUCUGAAAAGCUCAAGUUUGAUGUGAAUGAGAUGAUGAAGAAGCCCACCAUUGAAGGUCAAUGUUUCUAUGUAGAGACAAUGGAUCAGUUGGCUGAUGAGUUGCUUGAGGAGCUGAACACAGAGGAUCCUCUUCAAGCUACUCUGACUCAAGAACAAGGAGACAAUGGGCUCUUGGCUGAAGCAAGUGAAGGGUAUAAGCUGUAUCUGGACAAUGCAAGAGAGCUGGGUCCUGAAACAAGGUUUGUGGAGCUGGAACAGAAUGGCACUGAGGUUUUUGCAAUCCAAGAAUCAGUCACCAGCCAAAGCAGCUUGGACCAGGACUGGAAUGAGGCUGAUGCACCCUCUGUUGAGCUCAAACCUCUACCAACAGGGCUCAGGUAUGCUUUCUUAGGACUAAACUCCACAUAUCCUGUCAUCAUCAAUGAUAGCCUAUUAGAGGACCAAGAGAGUGCAUUGCUGAAUGAAAUAAGAAAGUUCAGGAGAGCCAUAGGGUAUUCUUUGGCUGAUAUUAGAGGGAUCUCUCCUGACAUCUGCACCCAUAGGAUCCACCUAGAGGACCAAUCUAUGUCCUCUAUUGAGCACCAACGUAGACUUAACCCCAACCUUAGGGAAGUGGUUAAGAAGGAGAUACUAAAGCUUCUUGAGGCAGGGAUAAUUUACCCAAUCUCUGACUCAAGAUGGGUAUCUCCUGUUCAUGUUGUGCCCAAGAAAGGUGGGAUCACGGUGGUGAAAAACGAUAAGGAUGAACUCAUAGCUCAAAGAACCAUAACUGGCCACCGCAUGUGCAUUGACUAUAGGAAAUUGAAUUCUGCUUCUAGAAAAGAUCAUUUUCCUUUACCAUUCAUUGAUCAAAUGCUUGAGAGGUUAGCUAAUCAUCCUUAUUUUUGUUUUCUCGAUGGGUACUCUGGAUUUUUCCAAAUUCCCAUAGAUCCAAGAGAUCAAGAGAAAACAACAUUCACAUGCCCUUAUGGCACUUAUGCUUAUAGGAGAAUGCCUUUCGGUUUAUGUAAUGCACCGGCUACUUUUCAAAGGUGUAUGAUGCACAUUUUCUCUGACAUUAUUGAAGAGAAAGUUGAGGUGUUCAUGGAUGACUUUAGUGUCUAUGGCUCCUCCUUCUCGGAUUGUCUCUCUAAUUUGACACAGGUGUUGGAGAGAUGUGAGCAACACAGCUUGGUGCUGAACUGGGAGAAGUGUCAUUUCAUGGUGCAAGAAGGGAUAGUUCUUGGGCACAAGAUCUCUGAAAAGGGCAUUGAGGUUGAUAAGGCAAAGGUGGAGGUUAUGGUGAAUCUGCAAACCCCCACUUCAGUUAAAGGGAUAAGGAGCUUCCUGGGUCAUGCAGGGUUUUAUAGAAGAUUCAUAAAGGACUUCUCAAGGAUUGCCAGGCCCUUAACAAGACUGUUGUGCAAGGAGGUGGAUUUCAUCUUUGAUGUUGAAUGUGAAGAAGCCUUUAAGUUGAUCAAGGAGGCAUUGGUUAGUGCACCAAUAGUUCAGGCACCAGACUGGUCCCUACCUUUUGAGGUCAUGACAGAUGCUUCUGACUUUGCUGUUGGAGCAGUACUUGGACAAAAGAAAGACAAGAAGUUGCAUGUGAUCUACUAUGCCAGUAGAACACUUGACUCUGCCCAAGAGAAGUAUGCUACAACUGAAAAGGAAAUGCUGGCAAUAGUUUUUGCCUUUGAUAAGUUCAGAAGCUACCUGGUGGGAUCAAAGGUCAUUGUGUAUACUGAUCAUGCAGCCCUCAGGUACUUGAUGACCAAGAAAGAUGCCAAACCAAGGCUGUUGAGAUGGGUUCUAUUGCUCCAAGAGUUUGAUAUGGAGGUGCUUGAUAAAAAGGGGAUUGAGAAUGGUGCUGCAGACCAUCUCUCAAGGCUGAGGAUUGAAGAAAAAGUCCCCAUAGAUGAUGCUUUGCCUGAAGAGUCUCUGAUGGUGCUCCAUUCAUACUUGGAGUUUGAGGAAGUAGAGAGCAUUCAAGAAAGGAGGAUGCCUUGGUUUGCAGAUAUAGUGAACUAUCUUGCAUGUGGGGUGGAGCCCCCUGAAUUGGAUGCUUACAAGAGAAAAAAAUUCUUCAGAGAUGUCCAGAGAUACUAUUGGGAUGAGCCCUACCUCUAUGUUCUGAACAAGGAUCAGUUAUACAGAAGAUGUCUUGCUGAAGAGGAGAUGCAACCUGUGUUGCAGGAAUGUCAUGGUUCUGCUUUUGGAGGUCACAUGGGGGCAUUCAAAACUGUAGCAAAGGUUCUUCAAAGUGGGUUCUGGUGGCCUACAAUGUUCAAAGAUGCCCAAUUGGUGGUUUCAGCUUGUGAUGCCUGUCAGAGGCAUGGAAAUAUAUCUAAAAGAAGUGAGAUGCCUCAGAACCCCAUUCUAGAAGUGGAGAUCUUUGAUUGUUGGGGGAUUGACUUUAUGGGACCUUUUAUUUCAUCCUUUGGAAAUCAAUACAUACUUGUUGCUGUGGACUAUGUGUCCAAAUGGGUUGAGGCCAUUGCUUCCCCUACCAAUGACUCCAAGGUUGUAGUCAAGCUGUUUAAGAGCAUCAUAUUUCCAAGGUUUGGAGUUCCAAGGGUUGUCAUUUCUGAUGGAGGAUCCCACUUUUUGAACAAGACUCUGGAAGGUUUAUUGAGAAAGCAUGGAGUUAAACACAAGAUAGCUACUCCAUAUCAUCCCCAAACUAGUGGCCAAGUGGAGGUAUCUAAUAGACAAAUCAAGGCCAUUCUGGAAAGGACUGUCAGCUCAACCAGAAAAGAUUGGAGCAAAAGGCUGGAUGAUGCAUUAUGGGCUUACAGGACUGCCUUUAAAACUCCAAUUGGAACAUCACCAUUCAGUCUGCUAUAUGGGAAGAGCUGCCACCUUCCUGUGGAGUUGGAGUACAAAGCUAUGUGGGCUGUGAAGUUUCUAAACUUUGAUAUCAAAACAGCUCAGGAGAAAAGAAUCAUGCAACUCCAUGAGCUUGAGGAGAUUAGGCUUGAGGCUUUUGAAAGCUCAAAGAUCUAUAAGGAGAAGACCAAAGUCCUGCAUGACCAAAAGAUUUUAAAGAGAGAGUUCAAGUGUGGUGAUUUGGUCUUGCUUUUCAACUCCAGACUUAAGUUGUUUCCAGGAAAGCUUAAGUCUAGGUGGUCUGGACCUUUCAAAGUUCUUGAAGUGAGGCCUUAUGGUGCCAUUGUCUUGGAAGGAAAAAAUGGUCAGGAAUUUGUGGUGAAUGGACAGAGAGUCAAGCAUUACUUAGUUUCACAAGGGAAAGAGGAAGCUACAUCAGUUCCUCUCUGAUCACCAGCUGUUAACCAGUUCUCAAAGUCAAACUUAGAGACUUUAAACAAAGUGCUCUUGGGGAGACACCCCAAGCUUAUCUUUNNNNNNNNNNNNNNNNNNNNNNNNNNNNNNNNNNNNNNNNNNNNNNNNNNNNNNNNNNNNNNNNNNNNNNNNNNNNNNNNNNNNNNNNNNNNNNNNNNNNCGAGUUUGCAACUAUCUCUCACUUUUCUCUCCAUGUUUUCACCAUAUCUCUCUCAUUCUCCACCAAAAUUGUUGAUUCAAAGUGCUCUGAGCUCGUUUUGAGUUGCUAACAUCAUCCUGAUUGCAUUUCGAACUUGUUGCAUCUUAAUCCCAAGGUAUUUCGCCCUGUUGAAACUCAUCUCUUUCCAUGUUCUUCAAUGGUGAUUUUUUUUUUUUUUUUGAACUUUAAAGUGUGGAAUCGAUUUUGAUAGGUUGUUUUAGACCUUGGGAUUAUUUUUAUAAAUGCUAGGGUGCUAGAUAGUCUUGGAAAACAGAGCACUUUGUUUGUAAUUACCUGUUCUUGAAUUUUGAAAAUUGUUGCAACAAUUUUUUUCAAAAUUUUGAGACUUUUGUGAGGUUCAUCCUUGUACUAACAAUAUUUUUGAGAAUCUCUUGGCAGAUGACUGAAAGAACCAACUCUUUGGCCAAGAAGAAGGGCCCUGCAUCAAAAGGCAAAGGUUUGGUCUCAGGAACUUCAAAGCCAAGAAACAAAGGUCAGGGUGCAAAGAAUACUACAAAGCAAGGAAAGUGUGAUCCAGCGCCAAAAAGGACAAGGCCUGAAGGAAGAGCUUUGGUGGUUGCUUCUGGUUCCAAGAAAAAGGGGAAACAGUUGGCUGUGGUAUCUGAGAGUGAACAGACUGAAAGUGACUCCGGCAGCUCAGCUGGUGGUUCCCAAGGCACCAAUGAAGAGGGAUCAAAGAAGUUCAAGAAAACUGAACCAGAAACACCUGAUUAUCUGGCUAAGUUUCAGCAGAUAGAGAUCCAGCAAGGGAGAUUCCCUGAUUUGGACUUUCUGAAGAAGAUUGGCCUCUAUGAAGAUGUCAAGACUUUGCUUGGGAACAUGGGUGUUGAGUCACUUUUGGAGAUGAGAGAAAUCGCUUAUGAGCAAGAGUCCCAAGAGUUCUUGGCCUCCUUUGAAGCUUUCAUUUACUACCCAAGGGAUUCAAGAAUCAUUCAAGGAGAUGGGCUUGGACAUGUGGAGUUUACUGUGAAAGGGAAGGAAUAUUCAGUGUCAUUCAGAGAAUUGAGUAAGAUCUUUGAGUUUUCAACACCUAGAAAUGAAUUUCUCUCCAACUCGGUCAAUCUCAGAAAAGAUGAGAUCCAACUUCUAUGGAGAUCAAUUGCUUCUGGGAAGUACACAGCUGGAACAGCUAAGGCCUCUUGGAUAAGGAAUCCAGUUCUGAGAUAUGUACACAAGGUUCUCUCUCACAGCUUCUACUUCAAGAUUGAUGUUGGAAGAGUUCACAAAGGAGAUCUGCUGCUUCUGGGUGUAGGGCUGAGGCCGCUGAUGCCAACACAUGAAGAUGGGGAACCCUAUGUAGGGUAUGAAUACCCACUUUGCCUUGCAUCUCAAUUAGCAAGGUCUUUGAUGUUCUACAAAAAGUGCAUGUGGGAUUCUACAAACAAAGAUGCAAAGCUGACCCAUGGAUGGGUGGUAACAAAGAUCUUGAAAGCCAUGGGGUAUAGAUUCAAGGAGAACAAGGCAAAGUUUGAUCUGAUUAAUGAAGCACAUUUGUGUAGGAUUGGCUUUCUCCAAGGAAGAGUGGGUACCAAGGCAGUCUACAACUUCAAGACACUCAUCAGUGAGCCAGCCCAAGUUCUCCUACCCAAUCCCUCCAUCACCACAGUCCAAGUUAAAAGGAACAUUCACUUCUUCUUGCUGAAGGAAGAGCUGUACAAUGUCCAAACUGAUCCACCAAUCCUCACAUACAGGCAAGCUUGCAGAGAAGAAGCCUCCAAGGGAAAGAAAGCAACCGCUGAAGAUGCUACCACAAGUGCAGCUGGUGCUCACGAUGCUGAUCUGCCUCCACCUCAAAAACGUUUUGGUGGAAACAGAUAUCACUUUGAUGAUUACAACUGGGAGGAACCAGGCACUUCAGGGUUCAGAGCUCAACAGAAGAUUGGUAUUCUCCAACAAUGGUGCAAGUACCAAGACAAAACCAUCCACAAGAUGGCCAAGUGCAUCAAGGAGAUGAAGAAGAGGAUCAAGAAGCUUGAAAACCCUUGCAAAGGUGGGGCUCCAGCACCAGUUUCACCAAGAAACAGAGAGGAAGUUGGGGAGAGUUCCAUGAACUGCACAGCCUUGGUCGCAUAUGGAACCACUUGGGUAGAUCUUGACGACGGGAGUGAUGAAGCCAGCCACCAUUCUUGGGAAACACCGUCAGGCCACACAUCGAACCCCUCCUACUCAUUGGGGUCUGAUUUCAACAGCCACUAGGUAACACUCAAAACCUUGUAAAUAGCAUGUAGACUUUUUUUUUUCCUUUUGCAUUUUGCUUGUUUGCUUUGGUUUCACUUCUUUCUCAUACUUUUAUAACACAAGGGACUGUGUUAUUUAAGUGUGGGGGAGGAGUUUCAUCCUUUACUAACCAUGUUUUCUAUUUUCUCAUUUUACACUUUGAGUCUUGAGUCACAUUCUAGUUGCAUAGUCAUCUAAGUGCAUAUAAAAACCAAAAAAAAAAAAAUGGAAAAAUCUGAAAAAUUUUCACAAAAAAAUGAUCAUGUAGUUGCAUUCUCAUUUUUAAGAUUGAGUCUAGAUUGCAUUUGCAUAUAGGUUGCAUCUUGCAAGGAGUAAUGAUAGGUUUUCUAGAGAGUACAUCACUUUGAGAACUUGAAUUGAAUAUGCUUGUGAAUCUUUUUCUAUGCUUGCAAAGUCUGAAAUGAUUUGAAUCUGAGAAGCAAGUUUGAAUUGAACUCAACUCUAAUUAAGUGGAAACCUUGAACUUGACCUGAAAAUAUCUUGUGAUGCAUUGUUUGAAAAAGCUUGUGGAUACCAAUAUACAUACUUGAGCUAGAACCACUGUUUUUACCACUCUUUUCCUUAGCUCAAGUAGCUGAAUCCACAUCAUGGAUCAGUUCCCACACCUUGAACCCAUCCUUCUUUUAAGCCAAUGUUUGUGUGUGAAUUGAAAGGCCACCUUGGAUCAAACUUAGCAGAAAGUGUUAGGUUUAGAGCGACAAGGGCAGGUCUCAUUGAGUGCUGUGUUCCAACAUCAAGGAACUGAGAGUUUUGGCGAGGAAUAAGUGUGGGGGAAAAGACUUUUUGGUGAGUGGAAAAAGGUGAGAUGAGUGGAAAGAGAGAGUGAAAAUAACUAGGGGAAUGAAAGAAAAAGAAGUCAGUCUUGGUGUUUUGAGAAAGUGAGCUCUGGUUUGUUGAAAAGAAAAAUCUAGCCUCUAAGUGAAAAAGAAAGAAAAGAAGCCAAAAGCUCAAAUGUUUUGAUAAGAAAGAAAGAAGAGGCUAGAAGUUGUAAAAGAAAAAGAGCUGUGUAAAGUUUGAGUUCCAAGACUUGAGAGUGAAAGUGAAGAACAAAUCCCCUAGUGAGAGAAAAAUGAGUGUGAAAAGUGAGGUCUUUGAGCAAGAGAGGAAGCUUUGAGUAGAGGGUGGGGAGUGAUGAGUCUUUGCCCUUGUAUGCAUAGGUUGCUUUUUACCUUUAGCAUUCUGCCAAAGUUUGAUCAUUCAUAGAGAGAUCCCUUUGCUGCAUUUAACCCACUUGAACACUGAUGAGAUCAUUUUAAUCUCAUAGCCUCUCCCUAGCCAAGCCAGCUUGUUUAAACCUUGCAUCAUGAGAUCCACCUGAUAAAAGCUUAAUGAAUGUGAAAGAGUUGAGAGAGAGAAGAACUUGUGGAGAUUCCUUGCUGAGUUGACAUAUAUCUGAGUAUGGCUUUGCAUUGCAUAAUUGAGCAUGAACUUGAAUUCUCAUUGUGAUCACUUCUCUCAAAAAGAAAAUGUGAACUCCCAUUGCAUACAACCUCUUUCUCUCAUUUGCUCUUUUUGCUUGAGGACAAGCAAAGGACAAGUGUGGGGGAGUUGAUAUGUUCAUAAUUUGCAUCAUUUAGGUUGCAUAAAUCAUUCCAAAUCAUGUUUUAUUUCAUGUAUUUUAGGUCCCUAGGGUUUGUUUUAGAACUUAGGAGAUGCAUUAGGUCCCAAUGAGUCUUUGCAUGUUUUGAGUGUCUAUCAGGUGAUUAUGGAGCUGAAAAGAUGAAUCCAGGAGGUGGAAUGGUGAGCAGAGCUUGAAAAAGUGGAAAACUUGAGUCUAUGGAGGUUAUCGGCCAUUCUCGCUGGCCAGGAAGGUUUUACCGGCCAUUUUCAUGUACUGCGGGAAGCUUUACCGGCCAUUUUCACGUACCGCGAAUUAAGUAUAUCGGCCAAAAUCUCCGGGUGCGAACGAGUCUCAGAAAUCACCUGUCCGGGGAGCCUUCCGGUCCGAUUCAGAUGGCGGGUCCUUCAUAGAAGUUGGAGAGCAUUGAAGCACGGUCUCAUAGCAAUUGGAAUCGUAGAAUUCGGACGCGUGAGCAGAGAGAUAAGCUCGUCGGAAGAAACCCCUGUCUCGCAGGUAUUCCGGACCGAGCAGAUCAGUUCUGAAGGAUGCGAAGGACGGUGCACUUCCAGGCCGAUUCAGCUUCCGGGUCCUUCAUGAGAAUCAGAGACAUUUGAGUUUUCUUUCCAGAACGUCCAAGAGCAUUCAAUUCGGAUCUAUGAGCAGGAAGAUACGGCCUCCGGAAUGGACACAUGUCUAGACGCCUCUCUCUGGUCGUAUACAUGCACUGCAAAGAUGUGCCCUCCAGGAAGCCUUCCACCUCCCAAGCACUGAAACUUCCUUCACAAAAGUUGGAGAUAAAUGAGUCCUCUGUCUUCUGCAACCGAAAUCAUUCAAUUCGGACAAGUAUCACAGGAGUUACACUCUCCGGAAUGCGAAGUGAUCUAAGCUGCUCUGGAUGCUGCGAGAUGGUCUUGCGACUUGGUUAACCCGCAGGCCUGAAGAUGAACACCUGAAUGCUGAUGCUGCGAGUUGAAAUGUGCGGGUAAACUAUCACUGGAAGAGGUCUGGAGCUCCCGAGCAAGAGAAAUGCUAAGUCCACAAUCGUGCGACUUAGGCAUGCGAGUCAUCCGCGCCUGGAUCUAUGCCGCACGAUCACUCGGAAUUCACUCCGACUUGAGCCUGCGACCUAAGUGCAAUAGAGACCAACCCGCACAGUUUCUACAUCCCCCAGAAACCGGCUCAGCCCUGCGAGUUGGAGAGGAAGGAGACCAUGCCGCAGAAACACUCGCAAUUUACUCCUAGAUAGGCGUGCGGCUCCGACAAGGUGAUUCAAGCCUCACAAGACAAGUCUUCAUCUACUGCGACUUAGGUGUGCGGCCUGGGACAUACUGAACCGACCCGCAGCUUUUCCCACUUUAUCCAUUAAAGCCGGGUCAGGACCCGGUUUGUUCCGGGCUGACCCGGUUCGUUUUUAAGAAGGUAUAAAUACUUUUUAGGGUUUUUUGGGGGAGAACUAAGUUUUAUUCCCUUUGUCUCUUGCCUUUUUGGUGAAAAGACUCCAUUAAGAAGAGAAAUAUCUUUAUUUGAGUGUUUAAUCAAGAGAGUUUAAGGAGAUCUGGGUGUUUAAAGCUGUUUUCUUUUGAAUCUAUCAUCUCCAUCUCCAUUUCUCAUCAUUAAUCAUGCUAAUCUACUCAACUUGCAAAAGUUUAAGAGAGAUUAGUAUGAUUAGUGAGUAGUCACCUUAAUGAGGUUCUAGAUGUGUAGGUUAGGGUGCUAAAGUGUUAGAUUAGGAGUGCUUAGGGCUAGAUUCAUUGAUUCAUCUCUCUAAACAGCUGUUCUCUAUGCUAAAUCCUUGAUAAUCACUUGAGAUCUAGAUUCUGGGAAUUUCAUGCACCAAAAGUGUUUGAUGAAAUUCCUGAAAGAGUUGUGUUAGAGGUUUAAGUAAUUUUUCAUCAUGGGAAUGAUUUGUUAAAUGCUUGAAUGAUCAUUAAGAGCUGUUUGUUAAUGCAUAUUGAUUCAUGUUUCACAAAUGGGAAUUUGGUUUGAAAAUGGAUUAGUAUAGGGGUUAAUACCUUCAUGAGAGGAUUAACCUAGAUUAGAGUUCUUAAUCAUUUGAAUCAUGUCUCAUCAUUGUCAUUAGCAUUUCUAGUUUAACACCAAGGCACCCUAACCAACUAUCAUGUCUAGAAUCUCAUGCCUCCAUCAUAUCAUAUUCACAUCAUUUGUCAUUGUCAUUUGUCUUUAAACCUGUUUAUGUUUAUAGUUGUCUCUAGAUUAAUCAAAACCUAUUCUUGUUUGCUUGAAUUAAGAACUUGAUCAUAUAGCUUAGUGUCUAACACCACAUCUGGAUUGAUAAACCUCUUUGUACUACAUUGACAAGGGGAUUGAUAGCCCUGAGACCCUUAAAAGUCUUAUCUAUCAUCCAUCUAACAUUUUACUUUCGUUUUAUGAAUAAGUUCUCUUUCCCUUAGCUGUUUUAGGAUUUGAUGUACUUAAUCGAUCAAGAAAACAUGGUCACCAUUCCAAUGUUCAUUAAUUACCAACAUCAAAAGAAUAAUAUUGCAAAUCUAAUUGAAAUCUUCAAAAUGUGAAUACAAAAUGGUUUCUACAUAAAAAUAUAAGGCCGGAAUAAUAUGAUAUACCUUUACAUAAUCAUUAAAUGGUUUUUUUAAAUUACGUGUUUUCUUUCGAGAUUAUUGCUCCCUUGCCAACAUCAAUGAUGACGUUUAUUCCACGUCAAAUAUGACAUGGCAAAGGCGCUAGCUCUGCACAAUUUCAUUGGAUGCUAAUGCUGAUGUGUAAUUUUUGUCCAAGUUUUUCUGAUUUAAAAAAACAAAAAAAAAGUGAAAAUCAUAAACGGAUAAACAUGCGGAUCUUUAUACCCGAUCUAGCCCAAUUAUCUGUAUUUUAAAAACAUCCUUUGGCCCAAUAAUUCAUACAUUCCCAUUUUUAAAAUUUUUGAAAUUAUGGUUUUUAAAAACUUUCCGCGUAAGAAAAUAGAAAUUUUUCCCAAAAUGGAAGAUUACAUUAACUAUUAGCAAGAUUUACCGGAGUUAAUGUAACAAUAUAUACAGAAAUUUUAAUAUUUCAAAAAGAAACACGAAUUUAUCUUACAUUUUAAUACUAUACGUCAAUUUUGGCAAUUAAAUCAAUUUGAAUAUAUUGAUUCUCAAAUAUUUCCGCAACAAUAUCUACUUCUACGCACAUUCCGAAUAUCCAUAUUCUUCAUUUCAUUCUUUUUUUUCAAAAUAAUUUAAAUCCCGCCUAACAUCAAUUUUAAAAAGUUCUCAUUGACUUCCUCUCCCUAUAUACCUAUCCUAAACCCUAAAACUCUACAAUUCUCAUUCACAAAAAUGGCUUUAGUCCGCAAACGUUCGGCUGCUCUAGUUCCAUUUGCCAAAUUAGGUCAAUCAAGUGAAAUUCAGAAAAUUAGAGCUAUUAUAUUUUUACUUUGGAAAGUCAAGAACAGGCAGUCUGGCUUUGUUAUAUAUAGAAAUGAUAUUGGUUGACAAAGAAGUUUGUAUGCGAUCUUAUGCAUUUUGUUUAUUGUUAUUUUAAUCAAUCUAUAGAUUAUAUAGUAAUACUAUUUGUGUGAUUCACAGGGCACUAGGAUUCACGCUACGUUGAUGAAGAAUUGAUCGCAAAAGAUAAAUGCAUCCUUAUAGAAGGAAAAUCACUUUCUAUUAAUUGCUUCAUCAUUAAAGAAUACUAUAGUGAUUUUAGGACUACUCCAUUACCAUACAAGAUUGCUUUGUGCAGAACAACCCGUGCUAAGGAGAUCAAUGAUUUUCCAUCAGACUUGCCAGAGAAAUAUUUUUCUGAUUUCAAGUCAAUCAAGGAAGACAAACUCGACAAAAACGUCCUAAUCGGUAUGUCAUCAUCGCGAUAUUGAAAAUUAUAUUCUAAUGUACAUAUUUAUCAUUGUAUACAAAUAUUUUGUCUUCAAGAUGUCAUUGGACAAAUUGUCACCAUUGGGAGUAUGGAAGUUAUAAAAACUAAAGUAAAAAGUGGGAUCAGCGAGAAAUUGAUGAUAACACUCCGGGACACCAAGUAAGUAGUUAUGAUAUCAUACCAAAAUAAACAUAACAAUAUUUUAACAAUGGAACGCUAAUAUGUUUAUUGCUGAAGUGAUGUCCAACUGAAAUGUACACUAUGGGGACAAUAUGCAAAAGCAACUGUUGAGUACACUGACAAGCAUAUGGCUGUUAUUGUUGUGUGUGUAAUGCGAUUUUUCUGUAUAAAAGAGUACAAAGGUUAGAUCACUAUAUCCCCUAUUCAUAUAUACACAGUUUUGUAGAGAUUGGUAUUGGAUUAGAUUGUUAAUUAUUCUUAUUUUAUGUUUUUCGAGUAUAGGUGACAAUUCAAUAUCAAACGCUUUCAACUCCACCAAAAUUUUGUUUGAUCCUGACGUCAAGAUCGUGAAAGACUUCAGAGAAAAGUAUGUUAUGUGACAAUUUUAAUAUCAUUUUAACAUUGUUUUAUUUAUAUAGUUAUUGUUUACAGUUUUGUAGGUUGCUAAAAAACAAUCAAAUGAUUGUGCAUGCUGAACAGAGUUAUUCGACUUCUUGGGGUGGUGCUAUUGACUACCGUGAAUAAUUUUUAGGUGUGAAAAAUAGGAGGCGGACGAUAGCUGGAAUUCGUGAUAAAAAAGUGGCAUGAGCUAUAUUUUAUUCAUGGUACAAAUAUAUUUAUAUUUCACUAUAUACAUAUUAAUGGUUUUGUUAUAACCUGGCAAGAUUUUAACAUGCGUAAUGGUCAAAGACGUUGACACUUCAAAGCUGUGGUAUUAUUGGGCAUGCAAACCUUGCAUCAUCAAAGUUUUAGAGCAUGACAUUAUGUCUGAUGAUGAAGAUUACGAUAAGAGGAUUCCUCUUUUCAGUUGCAAAAAUUGUGGAUAUAUCUAUUCAUAUGAUACCAUCGUCGCAAGGUAAUACAAUGAUUUGUCCCAUAAAGUCAAGAAAACAUUACUUAUUUCAUUAAGACUUUCUUUGGUAUGAUAUAUAGCAGAUAUAGCAGAAUUAUUUCAUGUAGACUUUCUCUGAUUGACUGGCUAAAUGUUCGCCUUAUUUUAUUACAUUGAUUUGUCCCAUCAUACAUUUAUUCCAACAUUACAUUACAUGUUUAUUCAUGUAACGUUUAAAUAACUCACUCUUCUGUUUCCUUUCAAACUAUGUAGGUACUAUAUUGUAUUAUUUGUAACUGAUGAUUCAGACGUCGAUGUCCGCUUCCUGAUGUUUGAUGACACUGCUCAAAGAUUGUUGGGUCAUUCAGCUGAGUCUAUAAUGGAACAAAAUGAUGAGGUUAUUCGUUAAAUAAUUGUAUACAUUAUGCAUUAUUUACAUUUUCUGAAAUAAUAUUAAUCCAUUAUAUAUAAUGAUGCGCAGGAUUUACCAAGAGGGCUCCCUGAUGGCUUGACAAAGCUCCUAACCAUGAGGAUGCUUUUCAAAAUAACAGUUUCAGAAGAGCAUACAAAAGGAAGCCAGUCUCCGUAUGUAGUAGAAUGGUCUCAAGAUGUCGAAAUUAUGACUGAGUGGGAUUCUCGAUCAGUGGUAAUAUAUAGGAUAAAUUUUACAAACUUCUCAAGCUCGCUUAUCUGAUCGUUUAGUUAAAUUAAGACGUCAACAAUGUUUUAUAUUUUCAGCAACCGUUGAUGCUUACGAGUUCUGACGAACUUGAGAAUCCAUCGUCUGGAUCUUUACUCAUUCCUUCAUCUAAGAAGCUAAUUAAGAGUCCUGACUAUUUUGAUGAAGGUGAAAGAUCUGUUAACAAAAAGCGACCGAAGCAAGAGAUCCCGAUGAAGUUAUGAAGAAGCAAAAAAUCGUAAUGAACUUAUUGCAGAAAUGCAUUGCUGGUGAUUGAUUAUUGAUUUUGAUCUUUAUAACAAAUUUGUCCAAUGGAUGGAUAACGUUUGAACUCUCUUCGUUAUUUUUUGCGGUAUUUGUGGAAUUUUUUUGGCAUUUUUUAUUUAAUUGUGAAACUUGAAUGUUGCCCUAGAAUUUUUUUUCAUAAUUCAUUUUUUGAAACUUUAAUUUGUGAUUUAAAUUUUUUUGGUUCAACCAACUGUCAUAAAUUUACACGAGAGUUUCAAUUAAGACGACAUUAAAACCAUAACCGUUUUACUCCAUCACAUAGAAAACUAUUCAUUUCGUUAUUCUCUUUCAUCUUCAAUCUUAGCAAAAUAUUAAAACAAAGAAUGUCUCCUAGUGAAAGAGUUUCCGAUCUUCAGAAGAAAAACGGCGGAUAUCGUAUUUGUGUACAUAUACUAAGAGAUUAUUAUGAUUAUACUCUCUUCGAUCGACCUAAUUGGAUGUUAGUUCUUGCGGAUGAAUUUGUAAGUUUUGGAGGUUUGAAAAGAUUUACCAUAUAUAUGUUUUAGGAAUGUAUUUGUUAAUUAUUUAUCUUUGUAAACCGUGUAGGGCAAUCGCAUCCUGUCUACUAUUCAAUAUGAUAUAAUAGACAAAUUUGAGUAUGAAUUGGUUGAAGGAGAUUGGGUGGUUCUUGGUAAUUUUGAAGUUGCUGACAGAGUGAUUUGUCCAAGUAUAUCAUCAAACAACUAUCAUAUACAUUUCCUCGAGGAUACCAUUGUUGAGAAAACUGAUCUGAAGUCUUCCAGAGGAAUAUACUCUUUUUGUGCAUUCAUGAAUAUUUUAUAUAGAUUUAUUCAUAUAGAUAGAUAUCUUGCUAUCUUUCUUACAACUUUUUAUUUUAAAUCGUUUAUCUAAGGAACUUCAACAUGUAUUUAAAGGCAGUCCUUUAUUUUUGCAGUUGUUCUUCUCGGUGUUGUCACAUUUGUUCAGAAACUUCAGUUAUGAUCAGACACACCCACGCAACGUCCACUUAUUCGUUUUAAAAUUCAAGAUUUCAGGUCUGUUAUCCUCAAAACAUCUGUUAUGUGUAUAUUGUUUACAAAUUUUAAAGUAUAUUAAUAAUGUUCUAAAUUAUUUAAAUAUACAGUGGAGAAUCUUUGAAAUGUAUUGCUUGGGAUAACUUGGCAAGGAAAUUUGAAGAACUUUGGAGGAAUCGUGAAAGGUCUUCUAGGCAUAUUAUUGUAUUGUGAUUUUUCUCUUUCACUAGACGGAGAAGUAACUAACUACUUCAUUAUUUGAUAUUUUUAAUUAAUUACAAGUUUUACAUAUAUAUUUUUCCGUAUAUUGAGUAUGUCUAUGUAUUUAGAUGAAUGGAUAGUUGAAUUGGAAAGAUUCAUAUCUGAUAUUCUCGAGGAUCCUCCUAUCCCAGAAGUGGAAAGAGCAGGGUUGAGGUAUGUUUAUUCCAUCUUUGAUAUUGUAUUCUAUAUUUUAAUAUUUAUAAAUAUAUAUAUAUAUAUAUAUAUAUAUGUAUAAUGAUAAAAAAAAUCCUAAUAUUAUUUCAGGCUUGCAACUUCAAUUGAUUUUUCUCCGGUCCACGAUGAAUAUGAAGACCAGUCUAAGUAAAAGAGAUUAUUGUUUCCUAUUUCUUAUUUUUAUAGUGUUAAACUUGAAAAUCUAUAUUAUUCUGAUUGAAAAAAACUUAUCCAAUGACAAUAUAUAUAUAUUUUUUAAAAAACAAUUUAAUUGUGUUAGCAUUUUUUCGUGAAGCGUAUUCUAUUUGAUUUCAACAAAAAAAUAAUUAUGAUAUUCAAAAUUAGGAUGCUCCGUGAUAUGUGUCUGUAUUAAAAAAAUAGAGUAGGUAAAUUCUGGUAUUGUACUCUCAUUAAUUAUUUGUAAUUAAUGAAAUGAAGUAAUUAACUUAAUUAAAGAGAAGUAGUCAGUACAAUAUAUGACAUUUUUCUACCAUCUUUACAUAUUUUUCUACAUAUAAUUAAUCAAUAUAAAAGUCAAAUAUACCUAUGAAUUGAAUGUAACAAAUUUGGUUUGUUCGUAAGUCACUUAGUGCAAUAAAUGUCAAAGGUUGCAAUUUAUUCUAAUUUUACAAAACAACACAACUUUUCAGACCCUAUACUUGCUUUGCUAUACAUAUAAAGGACCAAAGUAAAAAAAUGUCUGGCCAUCUUAACUAAAAAAAACCUAAAGUCCCAGAAAACAACCACUUUCCUCAAACAUGCCUCGCUAUUGUACCCUUGAGUAUCUUUCUCCCACAAAAUCUGACUCCAGAAUUCUUAUAAAAGUUCUACGAGUUUGGGAACACUUCAACUACUGUAAUCAACGCCAGGAAUUGCAUCUUAUCCUCGGUGACGAAAAUGUAAGUUCAUCUUUUUGAAGUUUUUUUAUUCUGUUGCAUGUUAUGAACAUUUAAACACAUGAAUUUAGGGUUACAAAAUAGAGGCAUGGAUAGAUCAGGAUCUUAACUUUUCACUUGGUCCAAAGUUUAAAGAAGGAGAAUGGAAUUAUGUCAAAUUCUUCAACGUUGUCAAUGCGUUCGGAUCUUUCAGAAAUACUAUAAACUACCACAUCAUCAACAGGAACGCCGAUACUAUUGUAAACAAGACCUUUCAAGUCAAUCCUAAGCAUAUGAUGGAUUUUAUGCCAUUUGAUGCCAUUAUCUGAGGGAAUUUCUCUACUGAGUACUCUAUCGGUUAGGCUUCUCACUUUUAUUCAAUUUAAGAAUUGUUAUAAAUAUUGUGUAAUGAAAAUUUUUCUUUGUAGACUUGAUCGGCGUAAUCAUCUAUGUUGAUGAUGAACUAAGUACUGAUAUUGAUGACCCAUACGAGAUGAUUUUUGGACCUUCUCACAAAUUGGACAUUCAAAUAAGAGACAUGAAGUAAGAUGUUUUAUAUUAUCAUCUAUAUAUGUAAAUGCCAAUAAUUUGUCUUAUGUUGUACAUAUGUAUUUUUGUUAAUGUUGUUGUAAUAUAAUUUGAUAUGGACAUCAAACUCAUUGGGAAGACUGCUCUGGAUUUCUAGAAGAAGUGAGAAAACAUAUGUACUUAUGAAACAGUCUUGAUUUUGCGCAUGUUUCGUCUGACCUAUGAUUCUGAAGGUUAGUAAUUAAAUAUUAUAAUCGAGUGGAAACAUUCAUUCCCACUUUGUUAAUAUGAUAAUUUGGCUUCUAACAUGUGUGCCCUUUAUAUUUUAAAAUCAUACAGGAAAAUAUCGCAUAAAGAAUGAUGGACACCAUUCUGAAAUACUUUUCAAUCCUCACAUAAAUGAGGUUUCUGAUUUUCUUGACUGGUAAUUUUUCUAAUUGGUAUUAAUAUAUAUAAUAUGUUUUAAGGUUUAUUUUAAUCUUUUUUACAAUAGUUAACUUGAAAUUAUUUAUGGUCAGGCUUCCUUUUAUUGAUAUCCAAGGAGAUCCGAGCUGGCCAUAAGUUUAAUCCCUCUUAUGUACCUAUAUUUUCUCGUAACUGUUAAACAUUCCCAUUAUGUAAUAUUUUCCCAUAAAACUGGGAUGGAGUUGAACAUAUUUUCGUAUAUUUGUAAUGAAAUAUUUAGUAUUUAUUUAUAGUAAUGUUUAAUUGCCAAUUAAUAUCAUUUUAUUUAUUGUUUAUAUAUAUUACAUGUAUAUAUGUAUAGUUUGGAUAUAGCAUAUACAAUCUAUAUAUAGAAUCCAUUUGAUUUUAGAAAGGUUACUUCCUUUAUAGACAUUUUCUUCCAUCGAAUAUUGUACAUUUCCAUAAUAAUAAGACAUUGUCAAAUUAUACUACUACAAUAUAGUAACGACCAUUUUUCAUAUUAUGCCAAUUUUAGUACCAUAACAAUUUAUGUAAGUAGACUUCGACAUUACAUUUAUUGCGAACCUUUAUAAAUUUCUUUAUUUAUAAUUAUGCCAAACGAUGCAACUAUAACGCUUUUUAGGCAAUUUCAUCUAAUGCUCACUAUUGAUCUUUUUUUUUUUGGUCGAUGCUCACUAUUGAUCUAUUAAAAACUUUACGUGUAAGAGUAAAUUGAAAUUAAUUCUGAUUGACGUUUUCAUUUCAGUGUUGAAAACUGACGUCAAGCUUUUCUCAUAACAUUUAGAGUUGAGUGUCAAAUAUUAUAUAAAUUAUCAAUGUUUUAAUGUUUGUGGAUUAUAAUUAAUGUAGCAGAUGAGCUUAUAAUCUUACGAAUCAAUUCACACAUAUGAGAAAGUGAUUUGGGAAAAUAAUUCAUUUUUAUUUGAAUCAAGAUAAUACAACUUAUUGUAGCAAAAAAGAGAGAUAAUUAAGGUACAAAAAAACAAAAACAAAAAAACAGAGAUAAUUUUAGCUAAACUCCAAAGUUUCUCCUUCCACGUUUAUUCUUAUGUGCCUAUAAGAUUCAAAAACAUAUAAUGUUGUUAACUUCAAACAUAUUAGUUAAACAAAUCAAUGUAUUAAUGGAAUAUUAACAGCUUACCCACUCCGAUGUAUCUAGGUAGCGAAUCUCUCUCUUAACGAAGCCGCAUUCUAUACAUUUCAAACCUAUCUCCAGAUCUAGAUGGAGAUCGUGUUUUCCUUUCUUGCAACGUUCAUUUGGAUCAUCAGUCGAUAUUUCUUCAUCAAGCUGCAGAUAUUACAUAGUGAUAUAAACAUACAAUAAUACAGAAAUCAUCAAUAAAACCGAAUAAUUUAAAGUUUAAAUUAUCUCAGAAAGAACCUCGAUGGCAUUCGCAGUUGAUUUGCUCAGAAAAUCAUUCAUCUCUUCCCACUUAUUAGUUUCCUCCAUCUCUGAUUCAGAAAUUGGAGGAGGUGAUGGUGGUUCUUCCACACCAAAUCUCAUGUUCGAUGGUGGUGGAUUAAUUCUCAGUAAUCCGUUUUCAUCAUAACGUUUUUCUUGGUGAUUCUCCAUUUUUGUCUAAUCUCUUAUCAGGCGUUUAGGGUUGCAGAGAAAAUUUAAGAAGUAUGUUUAUAAUCGAAGCAACUCUUAUUUUAUAUAGGAUAAGGUAGUUAAAAAAUAUUCAAUGUCACCAAAUUUCUAUGUUUUCUUAGGAAUACUGUUUCAACCAACCAGUUUAGCUUUUUAACUUUCGUUUUUGAUAUAUAGACAUAAUAUUUACACAAGUCUUCUGCGUCCAACUCACACAACUUAGCUGAAACAAAAAUAUUGAAAAGUUUGGAUUUUCCUCUUUACAGUUUGAUUUAAACCGCAAUAUAUGGUAACAUAAUAUUGUCUCUGAUAAUUUCGAACUAAUAUUCUUAUGAAGCAAUUAUGUAUAAAUUGAAUUAUCUAACCAUAUAUUCGAGAUUUUUAUAAAUAUUGUAUGAAGGAUAUUUAUAUAUUGUUGUUACUUUAUAAAACCAGAUGCAUAUUUCAAUCUUUAAUGUAUUUGUAUAUUCGUGUAUAUCCUAUUUAAUCCAUCUAUAUAUUCACAUCAUACUUUUGUGAACUGCAACUUCAUUUGUUACACUGAAUAAAAAAUCUCAAUAUUCUCCAUUUCUACUGCUAUGAACAGGAUAGGUAAACCUUAUGCGUCCAACUUUAAUCUAUUAAGAAUCCUUUUGAAUAACUAUAGACAUUUACCCUUUAUAUUUUAUUAUCAGACAUUAUUUGUUUCCUUUUAACUGUUUUAACAAAUUCUUUAUGAUUGUUUUCAGAAAUUAUUUAAUUUCAUCUACCAAGAACAAAUUCUUCCAAGCGAAACAAGGUCGACAAAGUAAUGAAAAAUACAAAAUUUAUUGCUUGGAUGGAGUGUAACAAGAUAUACGCAACUGCCAGAUUCCUACUCUACACUGAAUUAUCUCAUCAAUUUGUAUGGAAUGUCACAUUGCAUGAGUGGAGGUCACGGGUGAAGGGUUCAGGAAAUCCAACUAUUCUUCAACAGUAUUCAAUUUAUGAUGAGUAGAAUUUUUAUUUGGGUGUCUGUUGAAUAUCAUUAGAGGUCCUCGCAGUUAUGAAGAUAUCCGAACAUUUAAUGGUGUUGUAUACGACACCUUCAGAAAAGUUUGCUAUGCAAGGGGCUUAUUCCCGAUCAAUUAGAUUUAUAUAUCUUUCUUAAUUUUAGUUUUAAAACUGCAUGUUGAAUCUUUAUUUCAAUAAGUUACUUUCAUUUUGUUGUUUUUAAUCAUCUUCAUUUUUUACAGUACUUUUUAUGUUGAAUAUAUGAUAUACUAAGGUAAAUCAUCUACUAAAUACUACAUUUGCAACCGUGACAUAUUACAUGAUUAAUACAAGAGUCAACCAAUUAACAUUUUAUAAAAUAUAGCAUAACUUAUAAUUUAUAAUUUAUUGAAUAAACUAUUAUCAUUGUAAGUUUAAAGUAUUGUUGAUGCGGAUUAAUCGUAACUUAAUUGUUAAUAUGAUAAAUUAUACCUCAAAUUUUGGAAAUCUCUGAUAAAAUUAAACAACUUUUUAAAUUUCAAUUUAAACUGAACUACAUAAUAUAGACAAAUGCGAUUUUUUGUUAUUUUAGAUAAUUGCAAAAGAGAAAUAAUAAAUCUAACAAUCCUAGAAAUUAGGAAAAUCGUUGUAGUUCAAAUUAAAAAUUCCCAAUUAAAAGUUUUAUAUUUUUUACACAAUAUUGGAUCUCAUUCGAGGUAAAUAACAAUUUUUUACAUAAUUAGAGUUUUUUUCUUAAAAUUCCAUUCAAUAAUAAAAAAUCUACUAUAGCAAAAACUUAUUGAAAACGGUAUACAUUUCUGUUUACCUACUGAACAAAAUUACUUAUAUCUCACUCUACAAAAAGUACAUUGUCAAUACUCUAUCCACAAUUUGAUAUAAAGUAUUAACAGUAUACUUCAUGUUGAAAGUGAGCAUUCACAAGUAAUAUAAUUACAAUAACUCUGUGGCGACACAAUGAAUAAAAUUACUUCUUCUGAUGUGAUUCAUCACAGAUACACAAGAAAUAUUAUGUAGGAAAACAUGUAUUUUUAUUUCAUGUAAACAUAAUUUUUGUACGUCUGUGAGUGGAUCACAUCAGAAGAAUAAUUAUAGUAUGGGUUGUGUUUGAGUGAGUUAUUGUUUGCUUGGUUAAUUGAUCAAAAUUCUAUUCUGAUGUGUAUUUAUAGAAUUCUUAGAGCACGUCCAGUGGGGGUUCGUCCAUGGGUUCAUAACUCAUUUUAGAAUUAAAAAAAAUGUUUAAUGAGCUAUUUAUGAAGACUCGGUUCAUCCCAAAGAGUCUAAUGAACCUCAUUUGCUGACGUGGCAAUUUUUUAGUGGUUGAACCUUCAUUUUUCUUUUUCCACCUCUUCUCUUUCUUAAAAAAAAUCAUUUUUUCUUUUAUUUUGCAACUUCUCUCCUCUCUCUUGUUCAGAAUUUUAUUAAUUUAAUAUUUAGGAUGAACUUUAUGAAAAGUUCACCAAUGGACAUGGUCUUAAAGAGUGACUCCUCAUUUUUCUUCCCUGUGUUUCAUAUUCCCCAAAAGUCAUUGAUAAUUAAAACAUAUUAAACAACAUUUGACUGAUAUAUCACAAAUUCCGAAAGAAGAUAAAUUUCGAAAUAAAUGAAUACAUCUUCGCAUAUAAUCUAUAAAAUAUGUUCAUAAAUGUCACAUUUCGAUGCCUAACUUAAAAACAUAAAAUUAAUGUAUAUAUUCAUAAUUACAAGUAUUUUUUUAUCUACACUUUCUUCAUUAUACAUAACUAAUUAUAAUUACGUAGAAUUUAUAACUGCAAAUAUGAGCCAAUUUUAAGACACAAUCCAAUUCUUAUACUAAUAACAUACCAUUCGACCCAAAAUUAGUAACAUUGUAUCCACACACACUGUAAAUUAUCAAUAUUAUAAAAUUCGACCCAAUAAAUUUAACAAUAUACCUAAUAAAAUUAAAAUUUCAAAAAACGUUCAAGCCCGCACAUGUGUGCGGGCCAGUAUCCUAGUGCCUAGAAAAUACAAACAAGUGUGGGUAUAGAAACGUGAUACAUAGUGAUUAUGUUCCUUUCAUAUGGUGAUGUACUUAUAUUUCCUUUUAGUAUGCUCUAUAUUGCUAAGUGAAAACAGGGAGAUUGUGGAAUUUAGUUGCAUAUUUAUUUCCUUUUUAAGUGUCCAAUUGCCUUUUGAUUUCGUUUAUUUAUUGCGGGUAAAAACAACCAAAACCAUUCAGUUUUAGCUAGAUCUACUCUCGGAAAUAUUACAUGUAACAUUUGGUCCUUGUUGUUCGACCUAUCGUUCUACUACCAUGACAAAAUAAUUGUACACUUGCGGUUUAGUAAAUUGGUAUUUAAAAUUGACCGCACUUUUUCCAGGGACUAGCUGUUUCACCAUUGGGUUAAAGACUACAGUUGAACAUAUGACAAGUUUUUCUUGUUUCCCCUUUGACACAAAAUAUAUAUAUAUAUAUAUAUAUAUUUUGUUAUAUUUUUGUUACUUUGCUUAAUCGCUCCAAGUUUUCCCUAAUUGGCCUUUCAGCUGCAUGACUAUAAAUCCUUAUACCAUGAGGGUCUGACCUUUCACCGUUUGAAAGAUAAUAGAAAGGAGAGCGAUUAGCACGUUUGGAGAGAGAGACAAUAGAUAAUCAGAAACCAAAAUUGGAGAGUUCAAGUUUGAACAGUUUCUAAGUAACUUGGGUGCCAGUGUGAGUUUGAUGUCCCUGGAUGUGUCAAAAGGUCUUGGGAUAAUAGAUUUCAAGUCAUCAAAGAUCACUCUGGUUUUUGUUAAUCGCUCGGUUGGUUACCCAAUGGGUCUACUUGGGGAUCUACUAGUCAGGGUUGGAAACCGCUAUACUCCUAGAGCAUUCAUUUUGUCAUAGUUACAUAAAGAGCUACAUGAACAGAUGAAGGUGUAGCUGUAGUUGAAGCAGUUGCUGUACCAGAUGAAGUGAAGGAUGGAAUUCCACAAACAUGAAGUACGUGACAAGCGAAGCAUUUGGAAUGAGGAGCUGGACGAGUAGCUGAGCUGGACCAGUAGGAAUGGGAGUCUUGGAAAGAAAGCAAAGCUGGAUGGGAAUAAAGGAGCAGAUCAGGAAGAAUGGAAGAUUUUACUUAAACAUGUAAAAGUUUAAGGAAAUAGGAAAUAUGCACCAAGCGACAAAAAUGGAAGCUGUGGUGUAGGGUUUUCGGCGUGUAUAGCCGCUUAGUCUACUAGGUAUAAGUAGACGUGUUGAACCAUUGUAAAAGCUUAACACAACUACUAGAGAGCACUUAGCAUAAGGGUGAGAGAUUCGAGUAUUAGGGUCUGCAUCAAGGGUUAAGGGUUUUUCUAGGGGAGUUCUGAGAUCAAGUACAGCUCGAAGAACAGAGAGAGCUAGAGCGACAGAUCAAGGUGUGUCUUGAGUCUGUUCUAAAUCGUUUUACAAACUUGUAAGGUGUGUUAACAGAUUUACUAGUAAUAAAGUUCAGUUAAAGGAAAAACUUUGUGUUAAGUUGUGUUGUUGUUCUUGAACUAAGACUCUUGCAUUUACAAUUGGUAUCAGAGCGGUCAUCUGUAACUUGCAAACAGGUGAGGUCAUGCGGAGAUGGAGAAUUAUCAAGAACUUGUGAGCAGUUCAAACGUAAUUUUGAAUGCUGGAAACUACGGCUUCUGGAAAGCGAGGAUGCGUUCACUCAUAAUAGGAAUUGAUCCUUUGGUAUGGAAGUCGGUCCUGGUUAAGUGGGAAGAACCAAAGAAGAAGAACGAUGCUGGAUCUGAUGAGCCUAAAUCUGAAGAAGAAUGGACCGAGGAAGAAAGAAAAAGGUUCAAAUACAAUUCAAAGGCGUUGACGGCUAUUCACUGUAGCAUAUCAGCUGAGACCUUUAAACUAAUUCAGGGAUGUGAGACAGCCAAAGAAGCUUGGGACAUACUGCAGAUACAGUUUGAAGGAACGACAAAAGUGCAAAACUCGAAGAAGGACAUGUUGGCUUCACGAUUUGAGAACCUGUAGAUGGAAGAACAUGAAACCAUUGCCGACUUCAGCUCCGAGUUGAGUUCUCUGGCUCAAGAGGCUACAACUCUUGGGAAGCACUACAAAGACAAAAAACUGGUGAAGAAGUUCGUAAGGUGUCUUCCUUCAAGGUUCAUGGGGUACAAGUCAGCUCUGAGUGUGAACCAGGAUACUGAAUAUCUAAGCUUUGUAGAGAUUGUUGGGAUGCUACAGGCUCAUGAGAUGAAACUUGAUGGUGUGAAGAACCAGAAAGGAUUGGCGCUGUCAUCUGUUCUCGAGACCAAGUCAUCAGAGGAAGAAAAGUGUGAGGAUGCAUUAGGGCUACUGGUGAGGAGGUUUGACAAGGCUCUAAGACGAGCUGAGAAGUCAUAUGGUCAGAAAAAAGGUUGUACCUGCCAAACGAACAAAGGAAACCAGUGAAAGAAGGGGUGAUGUUCAAUGCUACGAGUGCAAAGGGGUCGGACACUUCAAGACUGAAUGUCCUACUAUUAAGAGAAGGUAGAUUCAGUGCUUCGGAUGCAAGUGUUUUGGUUAUACACAAUUGGAAUGUGUGAAUGAUCAAAACCGCAGGAAGGAAAGAUCCAUGCUGGCAGAAGAAGAUACUGAAAAUGACAGUGAUGAAGACACUGUGGAGGAAGUAAACAACUUUGUCUCAUUCAUUGGCAUUGCAGAAUUCGAUGAGAGUAUGGUUGCUUCAGAUGCUGAGUCAGAAGUUGGGGCUGAUGAUGAGCUGAGUGAAAGCUACAAAGAGGUUCGUGAGACUCUGAUCAAGAUUGGCAAGGAAAACACUGACUUAAAGAAAGAGAAUCUUUGAGUUGAAGCAAGAGUGGAGGAGCUGCAGAGAGAACUGAAAGCUGCUCAGAAACUGAGUCAAGAAAGUGUUGCGCUGAUAAAAGAGAAGCUGAACUUGGCAAAGAAGGCAGAGCAACUGGAGCAUGAUCUAAGUCAGGAGAAAGGGAUUUCCAACAACCUGAUGGGUGAGCUCAUUGAGCAACGUAAGAAGAUUCAUAUGUUUGCUGGAACUAAACAGCUUGAUCAGAUCUUGAGCCAUGAAAGGAGGUAUGAUGUGCGUAGAGGAUUGGGAUACGAUGCUUGAACCAUGGUAGAAACAGGUACUACAAAGUUUGUCUCAGGAGGUACAACUAAGCCACAAGAUCUGAUCAAGCUGAAAAGCUGUGGAUGAAGUCGGAAAGGUCAUCCUGCGAGGAAUCAGAUCUAGGAACAACUGUUAUAUAUGGGAUUCCUCUUGCAAAGAAGAAAAGUGCUUCACAGCACGUGAUGAUCUACAUCCGUGGCAUCAACGAUUGGGACACAUGAACAUCACGAAUCUUGCCAAUCUUGUCGACAAAGAAAUUGUCAGAGGAGUGCCUAAAGUCAAGGGAGUUGAUAACUCGGUGUGUGGACCUUGCACUCAAGGCAAGCAAGUUAAAGUGCAACACAAGAGAGUACCUGAUGUACAGUCAAAAGCAGUUCUUGAUCUAGUCCAUAUGGAUCUAAUGAGACCAGUACAAACCGAGAGUUUGGGUGGCAAGCGCUAUGUGUUCGUCCUUGUGGAUGACUUCUCUAGGUACACCUGGGUUAGGUUCCUUUGAGAAAAAUCUGAGACAGCUGAGAGCUUCAGAAUAUGGGCGCUGCAACUCUUGAAUCAGCGCGGUAGAAUAAAGAAUAUCCGGAGUAAUCGUGGCGGCGAGUUUCAGAAUGAAUUCAUGAAACUUUUCUGUGAAAGUCAUAGCAUUGCUCAUCAGUUCUCAGCACCUAGGACACCACAGCAGAACGGGGUUGUAGAAUGGAAUAACAGAACACUACAGGAGAUGGCACGAGCAAUGAUGCAUGGGAACCAAGUGUCAAAGAAGUUCUGGGCUGAAGCAGUCAAUACGGCUUGCUACAUCAUAAACCGAGUCUACGUCAGAAAGGGAACCAGUAAGACACCUUAUGACUAUGGAAAGGGAAAACCCCUAACUUGAGUUACUUUCAUGUCUUUGGUUGCAGGUGCUACAUCCUUAAUGACAAAUACUAUCUUGGGAAGUUUGACUCAAGAAGCGAUGAAGGGAUGUUUUUGGGAUACUCGGGAAAUAGCACUGCAUUCAGGGUCUUCAACAUCAGGUCAAAAGUACUGAUCGAGUCAGUGAACAUGGUGUUUGAUGACUAUGCUCGUACCAAGUGGGAAGGAACUGCUACUGGCAGUGACUCGGACGAAGAAGAAGAAAAUCAACCAGCAGCUCCCACUGGAGAAGGUGAUCAAGCAGUUGUGGUUCCAACAUCUGAUGUUCAGCAAGUUCACAGGAAUCACUCACCUUCGAAUCUCAUUGGUGAUGUGAAUGAAGGAAGAAGGACUUGUGGAGUUCAGUUGGACUUCAAAAAGAUGGUUGGGAAAUUCUCGGAGAUGGUUCUAUUUGCAUGCUUUGUCUCUGUCAUUGAACCCCGAGACGUGAGACAGGCACUUGGUGAUGAAUUCUGGAUCAUUGCCAUGGAACAAGAACUAGAGCAGUUCGUGCGUAAUUAUGUGUGGAAACUUGUCCCAAGACCCCUUGAAGGCAAUGUGGUGGGAACAAAGUGGAUCUUCAAGAACAAAAUCGAUGAGAAUGGGGUUGUGGUUCGCAACAAAGCAAGGCUAGUUGCACAAGGGUUUUCACAAGUCGAGGGAGUCAACUUCGAAGAGACGUUUACCCCUGUAGCAAGACUUGAAUCAAUCAGACUGUUCUUGGGGAUGGCCUGUAUCCUAAACUUUAGGGUAUAUCAGAUAGAUGUCAAAAGUGCAUUUCUUAAUGGAGUGCUCCAAGAAGAAGUGUAUGUGGAACAGCCAAAAGGGCUCAAAGAUGCUCAGUAUCCACAACAUGUGUACAAGUUGAAGAAGGCGCUUUAUGGCUUGAAGCAGGCUCCACGAGCGUGGUAUGAGAGACUCACUGGAUUUCUGGUUGAACAAGGAUAUGUUAGAGGAAGUGUUGACACGAUCUUGUUCAUCUAUGAGCAGAAUGGGCAGAUCAUAAUUGUGCAAAUCUACGUGGAUGACAUUAUCUUUGGAGGAACUGCUCAGUCACUUGUGGAUCGAUUUGUCACAAGCAUGACUCAAGAGUUUGAAAUGAGCAUGGUUGGUGAACUGCGGUACUUCCUGGGUUUGCAAAUAACUCAGUCUGAAGAUGGGGUCUUUAUCUCACAAAGCACCUAUGCGAAGAACUUACUUACAUGAUUCAAGCUUGAUCAGUGUAAGGAAGCUAAUACUCCAAUGAGUACUACAGCCAAGCUCACUUGGGAUUAAGAUGGAACAGAUGUUGACCCCACAGUUAUCUAGGGAUGAUUGGAAGCUUGUUGUAUCUCACAGCAAGUAGACCAGACUUUUCCCUAAGUGUGGGCAUCUGUGCUCGAUAUCAGGCGAAACCCAAGCAAUCACAUCUUGAAGCAGUGAAGAGAAUCAUCAAGUAUGUCAAAGGGACAGUCAAGUUGGGAAUCUGGUACUCCAAAAGAUCGAACAAGCACUUGGUGGGAUACUGUGACGCAGGAAGUGCAGAUGAUCGGAAAAGCACAAGUGGAGGUUGUUUCUUUCUUGGGAACUAUCUAAUCUCGUUGUAGAGUAAGAAAUAGAACUCUGUCUCACUGUCUACUGCAAAGGCCGAAUACAUUGCUAUGGGGAGCUGCUGCAGUCAACUGUUGUGGAUGAAGCAGAUGUCCGCAGACUAUGAGAUGGAUUCUGGGCCACUACUGGUUCACUGUGACAACAAAAAUGCUAUCAGUAUUUCAAGGAAUCUGGUGCAGCAUUCUAGGACCAAACACAUCAAUAUAAAGCACCACUUCAUUCGUGAGCUAGUGGAGGAGAUACAGGUAGUGAUAGAACACAUUGUCACUGAUUUGCAACUGGCUGAUUUAUUCACAAAACCCCUGGAUUUUAAUCGUUUUGUCACCUUAAGAAACUCGAUUGGGGUUUGUAGUAUGUGAUUUUUUGUGAAGUGUGCAGGACUGAUGCAAAAACUGACUCGAGGGGACACUCAAGGUUUAGAUUCAGUCUGGAGUCAUGGAUCUAGUGGAAAAGAGCUAUCUCAACAACCGUCGUACCUUAACGACAGUACAGGUUUCAUGGAGUAGAAGGGAAGCUGAGCUAGUUUCGGAGAAGUCAAGUGAUGAAACUAGCUCAUUGCACUCAAACCAGAAAGGGAGGAAUGAAUAAAUAAAAAAAAUUUAAAAAAAGGAGGGGCUGCUUGCAAUUAAAAUUAGUUGAUCCCCUCAAAAGGUAGAUCCUCCCCUGGUACUGAAAGCUUCCUUCACCCGUGAAUAAAGGUUGAAAACUAGAAAAUGGGUCGAUAAAGGUAGUUGGGUGUGAAAGCUAGCCCGUGAAUCAGGAUGGCCAGACUCUUAUGAAUCAUAACAAGCUGAAGGUGUCUCGUGAGUCAGAGGCUGUGUCUAGUUCCGGUGCACUUCAAAGAAAAUGGUAAAAAUAUGUACAAAGCAUUGUUUUCAAAGCCAGCGCAUAGGUGAUAGUUCAAUUGUCACUAUUUGUUCUCUAUCAUCGGCUUAUGUGUGAAAGUGUCCGUGAAUAUUGAUGGUCUAAUGCGUGCGUGUUUGAUUCAGUAUGUGUUCGAGUGCUUUUGUCACGUGUGAAACAGGAAAGUGGGCAGGGAAUUUCGAGGCCUUGAUGAGUUUGUGAAAACAUCUGUGAGAUGGGCUUGUUGCGAGAGAACAGCCCACAAAAGACAAUGGAAAUUGAAAAGACGUGGGAAAAUAGAAAGUGGGGGAGUUAUUUACGGGGAGUGGGGAUCCGAAAAAUCAGCACCACUUCCUGUUUUAAACCCUAAUUAUCUUCCUACAAAAGGCGAAUCACAAAGAGAGACAUCAAUGGUGAGAGGAACUCGAAGGGGGCUAAUUGGUGUCCGAUCUAAAGCACAGAUGACGCAUGCAGAUGGCGAUGCUCAGAGGCCUCAUCUAAUCGAUGAGCACAGUGGCGAGAGUAUGAAUCCAACUGAGGCGGUUCCUGAUCAAAAUCCCGCGGCAUCCAUUGGUCCAGCAGAUAGUGCAGGCUCUUUUGCCACCGCAAAUGAUGGAGAUGCGCAGAGUGGAUCGUCGGCGAACCCUAAAGAGAAGGCGGAUGGCGGAGAAACCAAGGCCAACUCGGAGGUUACCCAGAAAAUCAAGAAUGACGAGGAAGAGGCUGACGGUGGCGAGAGCAAAAAAGCUGUUGAGGUGAAUCUCUCUGUGCCACAAGAAUCGGCGAAUCCGACCGCCGAUCCGGUUCUGAUCACAAUGACUCAAGAGGAGGCGACAGCAUCUCCCGCUGAAGCAUCACCUACCUCGAUCUCCGUGAAAGAGCAAGCUGCAAAAGUCGAACGCAAAAGAAAUACAAUGAAGGCUUUGGGACUUCCAGCUCCGUCAAAGAAACCCAAAAGUGAGCCGUCUCCAGUUCCAAAAGCAGAACCGGAGCCAGUCCCUGACUCGGUGCCAUGAAAGCGGACCAAAAAGGCUCGAUCUCGCAAAGAACAGCCGUCUCCUGAUCAAGCAAGGUAUGAUCACUUUGCUACACGACAACUUUGGUGUGAGAGAACUGUCGAUGUAGGUGAAACAGAUGAAUGGGGAUACAUCAAAGUGAAUAGAGACAGCGGUUUAGAAUCAGCGGUUGUAGGGAUCACUUUGUAUGUACCGCAAGUGAUUCAGGAGUUCUAUGCUGGGCUUCCGGGUGAGCUACCCUCUGAUCCAGAUCAAGAGAUUCGUGUCAAGCUGAGGGGUUUUGAGUAUUGCUUCUCUCCUGCGUGGAUCAAUCGGGUCCUCAAUCUGACUCCACUUAGCGAGGCUGAAGUUCACGAUGAGUCAGUUGCUGAAGCAGUCUCUCUGUCUGAUAUUGCCAAACACUUGUCGAAAGGAGGAAGUGGUUGGAGUGGGCUGAGCACGAGGAAUCUCCCACCGGUUUUUGCUUCAUUGAUUGUUAUUGCGGCGUACAACUGGAUUCACUCAACCAACAAGAAUCACAUUUCUGAGGAGCGUGCUCGCCUGCUGUACAAGCUGAGUCAUGGUGUGAGGGUGGACUUCGGAAGGCUGGCUUUCAAACAUAUUAUUCUAAUGAGCAAGAUCAUCAAAAAAGACACUCACUGGCUGGUAUUCCCGUGUUUGAUACAGAAGAUUAUGAACCUUCAACACGAGCCUUAGCUGGGUCAAGGAGAGACUCACAUUGUCCCAUUUUGAUACAAAAAAGACUCACGCAGUGGUGAGGAGUUCAUCAAGAAAGAGGCCGCAGCUGCAAAGAAGGAUAAGAAGAAAGGGAAGCAAAGGGCUGAUGCACCGAGAUCUCCAACUCCUCCACCUCAGUCGUCUCAACAGCAACCUGAGCCAUCACCGAGUGUGCCACUUCGGUCCUUCCGCUCACCACCUCCUGAUGCAUCCUUCAGGUCAUCCGACUCUGCUCCUGGUCGGACUCAAAGUGCUCCUCUCGGAGUGAUUUGUGUUCCUUUGGCACCAGAAAGUGCUAAUGAAGUCACAUUGGCCUUAUGGGAUGUGAGUCGUGUGCUUAACCAUCUCCACGGAAUAGUCAACAUGGUGAUUGACUCAUUUGCAAGUAAGUUUUCUGACUCUGACUUGUUUCUUAUUUUAGGUAUUGAUCCCUGUUUUUACUUUCGGUGAUCACAAGCAGGAGGAGAAAACAUGUGGGAAGAAAUUCUACGAGAUGAUGCAGGAGAUGAUGCGGGUGCUUAAAUUGUGGGGGAGUUUGUGUAAUAAUCUAGUUUCUUGUUUCUGAAUUAGGCUAAGUUUGUGGGGGAACGUGUAUUUUGCUCUGAAAACUCUUGUUCGCAGCAUUUGAUUCAAGACUCUGUGUUUGACGUUUUCUUUUCAUAUGAAAUGCGUUCUGUUUGUCUUGGUACUUGGUUGGUCUGUGGUUGUUUGUGUGCUAUGUCUGAAAACAGGUGCUUCUGAGUCACACGAAGCUAAAAUGGGGGAGAUUGAAGGUGUAGCUGUACUUGAAGCAGUUGCUGUACCAGAUGAAGUGAAGGAUGGAAUGCCACAAGCAUGAAGUACGUGACAAGCGAAGCAUUUGGAAUGAUGAGCUGGACGAGUAGCUGAGCUGGACCAGUAGGAAUGGGAGUAUUGGAAAGAAAGCAAAGCUGGAUGAGAAUAAAGGAGCAGAUCAGGAAGAAUGGAAGAUUUUCUUAAACAUGCAAAAGUUUAAAGAAAUAGGAAAUAUGCACCAAGCGACAAAAAUGGAAGCUGUGGUGUAGGGUUUUCGGCGUGUAUAGCAGCUUAGUCUACUAGGUAUAAGUAGACUUGAAGCAUUGUAUAAGCUUAACACAACUACUAGAGAGCACUUAGCAUAAGGGUGAGAGAUUCGAGUAUUAGGGUAUGCAUCAAGGGUUAAAGGUUUUUCUAGGGGAGUUCUGAGAUCAAGUACAGAUCGAAGAACAGAGAGAGCUAGAGCGACAGAUCAAGGUGUGUCUUGAGUCUGUUCUAAAUCGUGUUACAAAUUUGUAAGGUGUGUUAACAGAUUUACUAGCAAUAAAGUUCAGUUAAAGGAAAAACUUUAUGUUAAGUUGUGAUGUUGUUUUUGAACUAAAACUCUUGCGUUUACAACAAGUUCCUCUAGGCUCAGCUAAACCAAUUCUCUUUACUUAGUUGUUUUUAGUAGUUGAUCUCGACUGGGUGAAAACCGACCCUAACACUUUCCUUGAGUUUGUCUUGAGGAGAACCAUGUUCUCAGUCCAUCCUCAUAUCUCCUAUCUCCAUUACUUUGAAUCAAACAUAUAGUUGAUUUCUGAUAUUGUUGUCGAUUAGCUUGAUGAGUUGGUACUUUUUCGAAGGUUUCUCCCAAGUCAACAACGUUUCCCCACUCGCAUAAAAACUAAUCUUUCAAUAGUCUCGUUACCAAACCAUCCCAACCUAAUUCAGGUUUGGCUUAUCAUAUAAAUUACAUCCAUUUUUGAACUGUCAAAACCUAAUUUAGGGAAUUUCAGUAAUAAUAUAUAGUUUUUUGGUGUGUCAAAUCAUAUGAGAGAACCUUUACGAUAUAUAUGUUUUAACCAAGAGUGAUCCCGAUAUUUACCACUCAACUAAUCCAACAAUUCCCAAGGGACGAGUGUAGCCGUGAAGUAAUUCAUUCACAAUUUUUUUUUUUUUACAUCUAAUUCACCUUUAUUAGUUAUCAAAAUUACAAUCGUUAAUUACAGUACACUACAAGAAAACAGCAGGUAUUCCUACGAAAGAUAUCAUCAGAAAAUGGUAGGAAACAGGCAUUUUCUACCAAUUUCCGACGAAAAUGUUUUGGUAAGUUCUAUGCCGUCGGAAAUUAUAAAUGGUCAGAAAAUGAUAGGAAAUUUCCUACGAAAUUUUUGGUCGGAAAAUUUCAUCGGAAAAUUUGGUCAGAAUAUCGUAGGGCAUUUGCUACUAUUUUCCUUCCAUUUUCUUUUGAAAAAAUCCAACCCUUUUCCUACGAACAGUUUUCUAUCAUAUUCCUACCAUUUUCUUACUAGCUAUAUAAAAAAAUUUUAAUUCAAUUAAUUACAAAAUUAAAUAAUUUCAAUUAUUAAACAAAUUAUAAAAAUUAAAUCCAAAAUUAAUCAACCUAAUUAAAAACUAAUUAGAAAUUAAUUAUAACUAAAUAUGGAACUUCUAAAGCCCAAAUUAUUUUUAUUGACUCAGUAUUUUUUAUACUUAAAGCAUGUGUCUAUUUAUAGAGUCUUUUCAGCAUCACCUGCUUGGUCGAUGUGGGAUUUUUCCCAUUUUCCUUUUUGACUGAUUUUGGUAGGAAAUUGAUAGGAUAUUUAAAUAAUAAAAUAUUUAUUUUUCGUAGGAAAUUGAUAGGUAAUUUCUUACAUAUUAUAUUCGUAGAUAAGUGGUCAAAAAUUUCUGACAAAUUUCCUACCAUUAUUACAGUAAAUUUUUUCCACCGAUUUCCUUCCAUUUUCUGAUCAGAUUUCCUACGGAUAUUUUUUUGGUUGAAUAUUGGUAGGAAAAUUUUGACCAUUUUCUGACGAUUUUUAUCGUAGAAACUUUUCUUCCAAUUUCCUACCACUUUUAUUUUUUGUCAUAAAUUCGUAGGAAAAUGAUAAAAAAAAAUUUCUACCAAAAUUUACGUAGAAAAAUUUAUAGGAAUUCAACAUGUUUUCUUGUAGUGGUAUGUUGGAGGAAUCGAGGACAAGUGUGGUACAAUGACCAUUGAGUAUUACAUAAUAAUGCUUGUUUAGCCAACAUAUCUGCCCAUUGAUUUGCUUCUCGGUGUCGAAAGGUGAAGCUCACUUCAGCGAACAUUUUUUCCAGCUUUUGAUAGCCUCUAUGUAAUGGUGGAGACGCAAAUUAUUUCCUUGCCCAUUGAUGAGUCGGAUAAUGGUUAGAUUAUCUCCUUCAAAUUCCACUUUUUGAAGGAAUAUUUUCAUAUUUUCAUUCACAAUAUUUUCUAAUGGGUCUAAAAAAUGGCACCAUUUCAAUUCGUCAAAUGAAAAUGGUUAGAUAAUUAUAAGUUUGUUGAGAAUUCUUUCUUUAUGGUACUUUGAUAUAUUUAGUGAACUUUGCAAGUAUUGUGUAUGAAUAACCUCAGUAGAGUUUCUUUAGGUUCUCGUUGUACUAUUAAGAAAACAAAAUUUCUCAUCGUGAACUUUGCAAUUUGUGAAUAUUUAGUUUAAAUAUUUUUUCUUUUUUGUAAGACCCUAGAGUACGAAUAAUUAAAUUGCAGUAAUAUAAAAAAACCAAAGACAAUAACAUAAAGUACAGACGAUUUUAUUAUGCAAAGAGUGAAGAUUACAACUCGAACACAGAGACAUACAUUAUUAAGUUUAUUCUCAUAGUUUCUUUUCUUAAACUUGAGUCACUUCAUUACAAAUGCACCAAUGUUUACUUAGAGUCAUACACACGUAUGUGCAUAUAUGAGACUUAAAAGUAUAUUUCAUAGAUUUUAAUGACCGGGCUGAGUCUGAACAGCUUCUGCUCCGUGUCCCCCGCGUCCACCAUGGCCUCCUCCUCCAUAGUGUCCUCCUCCUCCGUAGUGUCCUCCUCCUCCUCCGUAGUGUCCUCCUCCUCCUCCUCCGUAGUGUCCUCCUCCUCCUCCUCCGUAGUGUCCUCCACCGUGUCCUCCUCCGUGUCCUCCUCCUCCGUUGUAACCUCCAUGGCCACCACCAUAUCCAUCAGGUUUCUCAUUUUCCUCACUCUCUGACUUCACCGUGCCUGUUCCAAACACACACAAAAAAAAAACAAAAUUAUUUCAAAAAUAUUUUUAAGCACGUGCAAAUGUGCAUUCCUUUGCCUAUUUCAUAAUUGAACACUUUUAAAAAAUGUAUAGAAAUUCGGGAUAAUGAUGUAGUUGUAGUGACAGAAUUACUCUGAACAGCUUCUAGUCCAUGUCCCCCGCGGCCUCCAUGUCCCCCGUGGCCUCCUCCUCCGUAGUGUCCUCCUCCGUGGCCACCACCAUAUCCAUCAGGUUUCACAGUUUCCUCACUCUCUGAGUUCACCGUGCCUAUCCCAAAAGCGAAACCACAUUAUUUUAUAAAUAUUGUUAGUACGUACAAAUGUGCAUUCCUCUCCCCAAUUUCAUAAUUAAAUUUCUCUUAAAAACUUUCUAAAAUAUGUAUAUAAUUCCGAUCUCUAGUUAUAAAAAAAAUGAGUUCAACAUUAAAUAUACGUUUUAUAUAAAUUGGCGUCAAGCAUCUAAAUAGUUUGGGAGGGUCUAAUAGGUAUAAGAGCAUGUACAUCAGUGAACCCUUAAAAGAGGGGUUUAACAGAAUAUAAUAACAUUUUUUUUUUGUUUUAGUUUUUUUUUUUUUUAAUUCGAAAAUUAUAAUUUUCGACCAUGUUUUAUUUGGGAUGAUACCGUCUCUUCAGGUUCGUCGGGAUGAUACUGUCUCUUUAAUAUUAAGAUCUUUUGUCUCAAAAACCGUGCCAUGAACCCCUCUUGAUCCUCUGAUGUAGAUGCUCUAAGAAGGACUAAACGUCAUAAGUAAGCGUAAGUGUCUUUUCUUACUAGGACAUCAACAUGAUACUUAAGUGUGUUUAUGACUUAGUGAGUCCAAAUAAUUGACCAUCGUUCACCCCAACUUUUCGCAUUUAAAACGGACGAGAUAGUUGGACAAAAUUAUCAAAUGGUACGUUAGUCCGGUUAGAUUAGCUUCACGAUAAUUUUUUUGUUUUCUAUAAAAUAAUUUUACGUACCCGACUGCCUUGCUGAGACGACGAGAAGAAAUGCAAACACACCCAACAGAAGCAAAGUCUUGGAAGCCAUUUUCUUCAAACUGCUUAUAACACUUUUAAUUUGUAUAUAUGGAGAAAGAAGUGAUGAAUAAAAUGUUAGCCUGCAUGCUCUCUAUUUAAGGAAAACGAGGAGGGCAGAAUGAGGAAAAGUCAAAUAAAUAAUUCGUAGUGCAGUGAAAAGAAGUAUUUUUUUAAUUAAAAGCAAAAGGGAGAUUUAGUGUAUCACAAAAUUUAGAGAAAUUGCAUUGUUUGCAGAUAAAGACACACUUUUUAGUAGCAAAUAAAUAAAACUAUAUUUCUUUGCGCAAGCGAACAAAAGGGAGUUGUAUUAUUCUAGAAGAGUUUAGAUCUAAUUUAUACCCCCCAAAAAAUAUAGUUUAGAUAUCUUUAUCUGUAUCAUGCAAUCUUUCUUUGUAAACAUCUUGAAUAGAGUUAAUAUAUGUUACGUGAUUUAUAUUAGAUUGCAUGAAACAAAAAAUACGUGAAACAAAGUGUUUCGAAAAGGAUAACAAUUUUAAAAAUGAUAGGAAACGUUUGCUUUCGGAAACAUAUAUUAUAUAUAAAACAUCAAAAUCAUAUGAAAAACAAAACGAAACAUUAAAACCAAACGAACUUUAAUACUUAUAUAUCAAACAGAUAAAUAAAGAUACAAAUCCAAACGUGGUAAGAAGAUAACGAAAUUUUCAUAUUUUCGAAUUUACUUCAUCUAUCCUACAAAUAAGAUGGUAAGACGAUCGAUAAGUAUGAUCAAAGUAUAUCUGUAUCCGUUGCGUCGAUUCCCAUAUGGUGGGUUGUUGGAUUGUGAUUUGUGAAAAACUUUAACCUCAAUAGUCUUUUAGAUAUUUCUUAUCAACGUCUUUAAACAUAGGAACCAUCGGACAAGUAUUGAACUAUUGAUAUGUAAGAAUUACAUUAUUGGCCAUAACUGGUAUUAUUGUUACAUUAUUAUUACUAUAAUUUGGACACAAAAUUAGUCCACUAUUUGUACUUUAACUCUUUAAGGAUCUUCUUUGAAAAUCUCAGCCGACAGGUUUUUAAGCAGACGGAUAAAGAAUUAAUACGAAGUAAUUACUAAGAACUUACCUUUAAAGGGUGAAAUUUUGCUUGGCUAUAAUUUAUUCAGGCCUACAUCGAUAAAAAAAAAUAAAAAUCAUUCCAGUGACCUAAGUGUAAAGGAGCUUGAGAUAUACGUGUUGAGAAGAUGAGCAUUAUUAAGUGUACAGAAUGUAGCUGCCGUCCUAAUUAUAAUAAAAUAGAAGUUAAUCCGCACAUUGUAAGGGAUAAUGUUUUUUUAAUUAUUUUUAAAUUUAAUUUAAUUUUUUUUAGUUAAAUUAAAAUUGGUGGCAAAAAUAUUUUAACAAAAAAUAUAAAUAAACAAAAUUAAUAAAAAUUAAAUAAUAUAUAUAUAUAAAUAUCACACAACCGAUAUUUAUUUGUAUAUAUAUAUAUAUUAUAGAGUAUGACUUUGAGCUAAUUUUGUUAUGCAGUUUAAUUAUUCAUAAAAUAAGAAUUUAAUUUUGAAUAUUUUAUUAGAGAUUAAACUAUUAUUUUUAGUUAAUAAAUUAUAAUAUAUGUUAAUAAUAAUUAUAUAUAGGAUUAGACAAAUUCGUCUAUUUAAUUUAUUUUAUAAUUUUUAAAAUAUUAUUUCGACCAAUCCGCAAAAAAUAGAUUUUAAACUUUAAAUUAUAUUUUAUUUUUUAUAAUAAUAAUUGAAUUGAUUUUCAAAAAUGAUGCUAAUUAAUUAUGAAAAUACAAAUGAAAAAUAUUGCAAAAUUUAAAUAGUUUUUCAUAUAUAUGGAUUGAUUAUUAUUUAAAAUAAUAGAAUAUAUUUUAACAUUUUAAUAAGUAAAAAGCAAAAUACAUUUUUUAUUUAUAUCCAUAUAUAUUCAAAACAAAUAUGUGAGCUAUAUAUUUAACUAUCUCUUGUGAAGAAAUAUUUAAUUAAAAAUUUUAUAUUUGUAAAAUUUAUUUAUUUAAUAUCUUUUAAGUAAAGGUUUAUUUAUGUAAUAUUUUAUAAAUAAAUAUUUAUUUAUGUAAAAUAUUCUGUAAUAUCUUACAAAUAAAAGUUUCUUUAUAAAAUGUCUAUUCAAAUAAUAAUGUAGAGAUGUAAUUUAAUUAAAGUCUAAUUGAUAUGAACUUCAUAAUUAUUAUAAAAAUAUGAUCAAUUCCAUGCGAGUGAAAAAGAUUUACAUAGUUAUCGUUUAUUUCUCAUACAAAACUAUUUUAAUUUUAAAGAGUAAAACGUAGCAGAAAAUGAAAACUGGAACUUUUUUAGAAUAUGACAGCUAGUUUUAAAAAUGGGAGAUGGCUACAAUACCGUUUCAAAAUAAUAGAUUAAAACUUAAUCCCAGAUAUCCGACUUGUUGAUGGUUUCUAUUUGCUUACGCACACUAAAUAUAUUAACACUCAAGAGAGGGAAAGUGUAAAUUGUAUUAAUGAAAGUGUUAGUGAACCGUAUUACAUUAAUUCCCUUUUAUAUACCAACUAGGUUAAGAAUAAAUACAUAUAUGUUAAUACAUCCCUCUCAAACCGAAUCAACCUUAGGUAGAAAGAGGUUUGAUAAUAAUACACGACUAAGCAAAAAAUGAAAUGGACCUAGAUGCAAAGGCUUCGUCAACAUAUCAGCAAGCUGAUUCGAAGUAGAGACAUGAAGAACAUUUAGGAAGCCAUUCUUCACCUGAUCUCGGGUUAUGUGGGAAUCAAUUUCCACAUGCUUAGUUCUCUCGUGAAAUACAGGGUUAUUGGCAAGAUUCAUAGCUGAUUUUUUUUAUCACAAAACAGGUUGGCUUCAGAAGUUACCGGGAUAUGAAGAUCAGUCAGUAAUUGGUGCAGCCAAAGUAACUCUCCCGUAGUAACAGCCAUGCUCCGAUAUUUGGCCUCCGUGCUGCUUCUAUUAACCAUUUCCUGUUUCUUGGACUUCUAGGUGAUAAGAGAUGUUCCAAGAAAUACACACAGACUCGUUACAGAACGACUGCAUCUGAAAAUCCAUUCAAGCAUAACUCUGUAGUAGCAUAAUAGAAAAAACCUUAGCCCAGAUUUUCUUCAAAUAUUUAAGGAUCUGGAAAGCAGCUUGAAAAUGAACAUUAGUGGGGAAAGACAGAUACUGACUCCACUGAUGCAGCGCAAAAGUGAUAUCAGGACGAGUAAUGCAGAGAUAUUGCAAUCGACCAAUCAAUUCGCGAUAUGAAGUUGUAUCAGAAAGAGACGUACCCGCGGACUGGAUCCAUCAAAACUGAUUUUGGUUUAUAACCAAGGAGACCAUAAUCUUCAAUAAGAUCCAAGCAGUAUUUCCUCUGUGAAACAGAUAACCCCGAAGCAUUCCUUGCAAUCUCAAGACUCAAGAAGAAAUGAGCUUGGCCAAGAUCUUUGGUCUUGAAUGGGAUUGUGAUAUAUUCAUAUCAUUUCGUGUUUAGGAUGCAUUUUUGGUCCAAGAAUAGAGCCUCAUGCAUACAUUUUAGAUAGAUUCUUCAUGUUUUCUUUGUUUUAGAGGUUUAGGACUUUGCAUUAGGUCCAAGUGAGUCUUGCAUGUUUGGAGUGUCAAUCAGGUGCUUUGGAGGUCAUCUGGAGAUGAAAAUAUGGAACCAGGUGAAGAAAUGGUGAAAGAAGGGCAAGAUAUGGUAAAAAUGAGGUUUUGGAGGUUAUCGGCAAAAUUGCUUACUGCGGGAAGAUUUUUAUCGGCCAAAAAUCAUUCCCGGGAAGCAGUUAUCGGCCAAAACAUGUACCAGACCAAGUCUGUAUCGGCAAAAAUCCUUUGUCGUGGGAAAAAAUGUUUAUCGGCUAAAAUACGUACCGCAGUACGUAACUUAUCGGCCAAAACGUGAAUUAUCGGCCAAAAGUUUCCCGACCCGAUAUGCUUCAAAGAUGCCUUUACCAGAAAGCUUUCUCGUCCGAUUCAGUUUCUAGUGUUUUCACAAACGUUCAAGAGAAUUGAGUCACAAUUCCAGAACAGUUGGAAUCAAUGGAUUUGGAGCAGUGAGCUGAAAGAUACGGCCAACAGAAGAUGAAUCUGCCUCGCAUCCAUUCUGGUCAUAUCCGAUGCGACUCAAAGAUCACUCAGGAUGAAACUCUUCCCUUCCAAUCUAGUUUCCGGGGCUCUAUCAAGAUUUGAGAGAUUCGAGUCAUAUUUCCAUAACGCUUAGAAUCAUUCCAUUUGGAGUGUUGAGUUGGGAGAUAUCGCAUUCGGGAGACAGACAUGCCCUGCAGUAAGAAACUAGAACCUCCCGAGCCAAUGCAAUGAUCCGUUUACCGGAAGGCCUCUCUCACCCGGGAUGCACUUAAGUUCUUCAUCAAAGUUGUAUGGAAUUGAGCUGCCUUUCCUCUGGAGUUUCUCUCGAGUCAUUUAGACUCAUAUCCCACAAGUUAUGCUAGCUCAAGUAAACAUAGAUCCGAGGAAAUGAGAAAUGCUGCGACAUGGCUUUGCGACUCGGUCAACUUGCAGCGAUGAAUGUUUAAAUUCUGGGAGCAAGCUGAGACUUGAAAUGAUGCGGGUGAGGUGACUCGGAGCAGGGUAAGGAUUUCCAAAGCUCAAAUAUUUCUAAGUCCAGAACAGCCUAUGACAUGGCAGUGCGAGAUUGAUGAUGAGAUGAACCAUGUCGCACACACACUCGCUUGGGGCCGCGACAUGACAGUGCGAGAUGGAUGAAGAGAAGUAACAUGUCGCACUCCUACUCUCUUGGGGCUGCGAACGUGAAGCUGUGAGUGGGAAAAGAAGGAUUUAAGCUGCAAGUACAAUUGCUUGAAUGAUACGACAUGAAAGUGCGGCUGAAGAAGCAAGGGAGCUGAGACGUAACAACAUUCACUUGGGGCUGCGAGAUGGCAGUGUAGGUGAACUGAAGCCAGGACCAUCUCGCACCAUGGCCACAUGACCCAACUGAACCAGGUCAGUACACAGUUUGUCUUGAGCUGACCCGCUCCAAAACACUUAGUAUAAAUAGCUUUUAGGGUUUUUUUCCAAAGAACAUCUCAUUUUCCUUUAGGUUUUUAGCCACUUUUGUGUAAGAGACAACUAAAGAGAGAUAUCUCCUUUCUUUUCUUUGAAUCAAAAAUGUUUGAGAGCUUAAUCUAUCUAUCUUAUCAUCAUUACUAUUCAUCAUCUUGUUUUCUCUAUCAACUAAUCAUGUUUAAUUACUUUUCUUGCAAAGGAAUCAGAGAGUUAAUCAUGAUUAGUGAGUAGUCGCGUCAUUAGGGUUCUAGAUAUGUAAGUUAGGGUGUUUAGAGGUUUGAUUAAGGCUGCUUAGGAUUAAAUUUAUACAUCUCUGUCUUGUUUAGCUGAUUUUAAUGCUUGGUUAUAGAUGAUCUCUCUAACCCAGAUUUUGGGCAUUUCAUCUACCCAAAACGUGUUUGAUGAAAUGCCUGAACCAGCUAAGUCAAGAGUCUAUUGUUUGAUUCACAUGAAAAUGUUGUUUUGAGCAUAGAUGGUAUAUUAGGAUUCGUGUUUAAUGCAUUCCUUUCAUUGUGACUCUAAUGAUGAUUAGGUAUGAGCAAUGUUUGGUAUUGUGUUUUGAUGCUUGAGAAAUAUUGAAACUUGAUUUGAAUCCUAAGCUGCUUAGAUCAUUCAUCAUCAUUGUCAUUAGCUCCUUGAUUAAACUAUGAUGCACCCUAGAAACUAUCAUGUCUAGAGCUCUAAGUUUCAUCAUAUUCAUAUCAUCUUAAUCAUUUUCUGUCUUUAUUUAUUGCUUGUUUAAUUCUUUAAUCUUGUUUAAUUGCAAUUCUGUCACUUGUUUGAAACUAAAACAUUUUGUUUGUUUGAAUUAAGAAUAGUUCAUAUAGAUUAGUGAACUAAACACCACACCUUGGAUUGAUAACCUUUGUACUACAACAGACAAAGGGAUUGAUACCCUAAGAGCCUUGAAAAAUCUUGUCUACCAUAUUGAGAGAAUCUUCUAAAUAGACUUGACAGCUUCAUCAUCAUUGCUCGCUAUAAGGAUGUCAUCGACAUAGAUCAGGAGAUAAAUAAAUAAUGUACCUGUUAGCUUCACAAAGAGGGUGUUAUAUGCAUAAGACUGUACAAAUCCGGCAUCAAGUAAGACCUUCGACAAACACUUGUACCAUUAACGAGAUGUCUGCUUCAAGUCAUAGAUGGAUUUAUCAAGUUUGCAAACCUGAUUAGCAGGCAGAUGAACAUCAGCUGGAGUGUAACAUCGUGGCAAGCUCAUGUAUAUCUCCUCAUCGAGCUUACUGUGCAAGAAAGCAUUGGUUACAUCCAUUUGGGUUAAGCUCCAACCCAUUCAUGCGGCUAAACCAAGGAUAAGCUUCACACUGGCAAGCUUGGAAACUGGGAAAAGGUGUCAAAGUAAUCAACACCUUUUUGUUUUGUGUAUCCCUUUGCUACCAGGCAAGCUUUAUAACGCUCCACAUUUCCAUCUGCAUUAUACUUAAUGGUAAACACCCAUUUACAACCAACAACAUUUUCCCUCGGAGGCAAUGACACAACACUCCACGUAUUGGUUGACUCCAUUGCUCCGAAUUCCAAAUUGAAAGCAUCAGUCCAUUCUUUGGAUGAAAUCACCUGCUUAAAGGUGUUAGGCUCAGUCUCCAUUGAAAAAGAGAGAACAAUAGACUGAUAUGGGGUGUUAAGAGUAGAGUAAGAGAGAACAGAAGAAAGAGGAUAUGGAGUAGUAUAAACCUUUAUAGAAAUGGGAGGAGUAGAAAUUUUUGUUAAAGAACAAUGAUAAUUGGACAAAUAACGUGGUACUUUUGUCGAGUGUUUUAGCCUGGCAUUGGGAAGUGAAACCAGAGCAUUCUCUGUGACAACAGGGUGAUGGAUUUUCCUUGGAGCACUAGAGUGAGAUGAUGAUGCAUGUGAUGUAUAAAGCGGAGGAGAAUGGAUGGUCACAGUAGAUGAAGGAUGCAAAUUAUUAGGCAGUGAAAUCACCUAAUCUAAUGCAACAAGAAUUGGCAAUGGUAAUAUAAACUCUAAAAAAAUAUCAGAAGAUGAACUAGAAAGAAGAUGCUCAGUAAAAGGAAAUAUUGUCUCAUGAAAAACAACAUUUCGAGAAACAGAGAUAAUUUUUGAAUCAAGGUUCAAGACAUUAGAAUACCCUAAGAGUACACAUCGAUCCACACGAGGACUAAAAUUAUGUUUAUCCUUCUGUAACGUAGAAACAUAACAUAAGCAGCCAAAAGAUCUUAAGAAUAAGUAAUCGGGCUUCUUAAGCAUAACCAACUCAUAUGGAGAUUUGUGUUUAAGAAUAACAGAAGGUAAUCUGUUUAUCAAAAGACAACUCCAAAUGAAGAUCCGCUUGCGGCUAUAGCUAGAUCUGAGAGUUGCGAAUAUGCUUACAAAUUUUCAGGCUGAUCCAAUCCGAUUUGCCUGUCUGUUUCUCUCUUACACCAUAACAGGUCGGAUCUGCCACCUAGAUGGUUACAAUGGCUUCGCCUUUAAGGUUCUUGGCCACAAGAUAGCUCUCUGAUCUCUUCUAAGACAUGGCUGCUCUAUUUAUAGAGUGGAGAAGAGAUACUUCUAAAUUUAGAGUUUUAGAGAGGAAAAUAAUGAAAAUGGGUUUGAGAGUUUUUCUGAUGGGUUUUGAGUAAUCAGGCUGAAAAAAAAAAAAAAAAUUAGACCAAACCCUAUUCUUGGGAUGUCACAGAUUUAUUAGAGAAUAUAUUUACAUGAGUUUAUAAUUAUUUGUAUGAUAUUUACAUGAGUUUAUAAUUAAAUCGUACAUUAACAUAGCAUCGUUAUUGGAUAGUUAGUCGGAUCGGUUCAACCGGUCAUACGAAAAGUUUGUUUAAUAUAUAUAUAUAUAUAAGAAAAUAAGAAUAGUUAUUUUAAGAAAAAUAAAGAAAAUAAAAUUAAUUUCUUUUAAUUAUUUACAACUGCCAGCCAGCGAUUACAUCCGUCGCUUGAAGAAACUUAUUAUCUAAAUGAAUAAAUAAACUUUUAAUUUAUAGCGGUUCUAAGCGUCACAAAGAGAUAAGAAACAAGUUCAACGGUUUUAGUGAUUGUUAUUAAACGUCACGAAAAUAUAACCGUAUGCAAACAUAGCGUAUGUGGCUGGCAGCGAGAAAACUAUCCAACACUAAAUAUUACAUAUUUACUUUAAAAUUCAUGCCUGCUUAUUACCAAACCAUAUUUUUACCAAUUUUAAUUGUGACAUUUAAUGUCCGCACAUGCGUACAGGCCAGUCAUAAAUCUGAUAUAUUGCAUUCACAUCAAUUUGUGUGUAUUUUUGUUUUGAUAUGUCUUCUGAUUUUUUUCUGUCCUAUGUAACCAUUUUUUGAUAAUUUUAAUUGGUUGAUCAUUAAUCUUUACGUGUCUUUUAAAAGUGAUGUGGUAUAAUCGUUUUAAUUAGAUUAUUAAAGCUCGUUUAAGAUUGUCUUUUUAAAAACGACAAAAAAAAUCGGACAAAGUAAGUAAUAAAAAUAAAUGUAUGACCCAUAUAUUUGAAAGUGUCACUGGCCCAAUGGCAGAAGUCUCCCUUAUGCAUUUGAAGGACAUGUGUUUGAACCAAGGUGGUAACAAUUUUUUAAAAAAUCGUAGAAUUUUAAAACGACAUCGUUUUGAGUUAACCUAACAGUAACAGCAGAGUUAACAGCGUUUAACUUUUCUGUUAACUUUAUAAACGGAGUGCUGAUUUGGCAAGUCAACGAAAAGUUUGUUAUUAUUUAUGGAAGUCAACAAAAAUUAAAUGUUUAUUUGGCUAGCCUGACAGUUCAUGCUUUUUUUUGGCAAAAUGUGGAAAGUUUAAGGUUUUUUUGGCCGAAUUCUCAAAAUAAACUCAUUAAAGUUCGUUUAAAUUGUUUUUUUAACCAAUAAACAUUAAAACCUGUUUAAGAUUGUCUUUCUAAAAACCAAUUAAAGUCUGUUUAUAGUUGUUUUUAUUAAAACCAAUGAACUCAAAAAACCUAAUAUACUUCUUCGAUACACUAAAUAUAUAUAUAUAUAUCCUCUCUAACAUAGUUUGUCUUUUAAUGUUCUCUUUUUCGGUAAACAUUACAUUUGCUUUUUUCUAUUAAUUUUAUUAACGUACGCUUGAGUUUGAGUUUGUUGCUUGUGCUUAUAAAUUUUUUUGUAACAAUUCCUAAUCUUUUUAAGAUUAUGAUUGAAAAUGUUAGUAUAAACAACCAUAGUUUAAAAAAUAGCAUCAAUGUUCACAUACUCGUGAAACAAUGUAUAGCAUCAAGUCUAUCAAUUUUUUUGGUCUCUUAUUUUAGAUUUGAUGCGGCAAAAAGAUUGCUUUGGGAACCAAGUCUUUUUUUUUGUUGGAAUUAUCUUCUAUUCUUGUCAGUUUUUAUUUUUCAUGCAAACGUUGACAUUAAAAUCUCUUUGUUAGAUUUGAUACCAUAUUAAAUUUCAAAUCUGAAUUAAUCAUUAUAUUUAUACAUUAUUAUUAUGGAUGAGUUUAUUUUCGUUAUCUGUAGCCCAAACUCUCUUCCCACGAAAAAAACGAUUAAACCAAUAAUAUUUAUUAUAAACAGGCCGAUAGACUUUAGUAUAAACAAGUUUCAAUAGCCUAAUUAUAACAAAAUUUGUCACAUCGCUUUAAAGCACGUAUAGAAUUAAUGAACGAACAAAAAAUAAAUACAUGACAUGUCAGGACAAAACGACACAUAAGAUUUUGGACUUCACAAAUAAUAGUAACUAGGAAUUAACAUGCACAUUGUGCGGGGUAAUGUUUUUAAGAAUUUUAAAUAUUUUUUAAAAAAAUUUUGGUUAAGUUAAAAAUUGGUAGCAAAAACCUUUUAACAAAAAAUAUAAAUAAAUAAAAUUGGUAGCAAUUAGAUAACUAUAUAUAUAUAUAUAUAUAUAAAUAUCAUACAACCGAUAUUUACGUGUAUAUGUAUCUAUUGAAAGAACUUUGAGCUAGUUUUGUUAUGCGGUGUAAUUAUUAGUAGUUUUUAAAUGUGAAGGUGAUGUGAUGUUAAUAUAUUCAUACUUAUAUACUGCUGGGAUAAAUUCGAUCCUUCCUACAUGGACGAACUGCAUGCUUGCACGUGGCGUCCAUGUUUUUUUUUUCAGGUACGGCCCCCCUGGGCCAAAUUAGGAUCCGUAGUGGGUCGUAAGCAUAUAGCACUGGGCCUCGAAUCCAUAAGGAUUCGGGAGAUCCGGUACGAUAGAUCACUUGUUCCCGGGUUCCUCGUAUCUAAUAGUGCAGGCCACGCUGUCAGAAGUAAGGAGGUCGAAACUGAGUGGUCAAGAGGAGGAGAAGUCCCAUUUUCUAUGUCCUAGGCCUAAACAUGGUAAUCCGGAAAGGUCGAGAUAUAAGGUAGUGUGGCCUACACAGGAUCUGGAGAGCGGAGUCAUCCAUCGAGACAACCCCGACAGCCCGGUCCCAGUAUCGAGGGAUCCAUGUCAGGUAUGAAAUAAUUUUAUGAGCGGAAAACACUAUUCAAAUUUUCCUCCAUUCGAUAAUAGGAAUAUGCCUUAGUAUGAUUUGAUUGCCCAUACUCUUACAAAACCAUGAAAUUGGCAUUUAAUGCACCCUUCUUACAUGUGUCAGGCGACAGCGACCUUUCACAGAAACUAGAGGAAAAGAAGAGGUUCAUCAAGAGUUAUACCGCGUAUGAACCGCCAACCCAAUCCGUACACUGGAGACGAAAGGAACAUGCUAAGGAGCGGUCUCGCAGCAGGCAGAACACGUCAAGGAAAGUUGGUGAGACCGUCAGAGGUAUGACGUGGGAAAAAGAUUUGAACCCAAUAAAAUCGGAUCGAGAACCGACCAACCCACCCGACUCGCUAUGCAAGGACAGACCCGGUAUACUAACCCGGGUCAGGUAAAAUCCUAUAAAUACAUUAUCCUUUCCAACAAGGAAGGAGAUCACUUUUAUUUGCUAUCUUAAGGCUCAUAUUAUCUCUCUAGAUACUUGUGAUCUUUGAGCCCUAACAUAUUAUACUUUCCGGUCAUUACUCAGAACAAUGUUUUAGUUCUUCUCCACGGCGGUUCCUAAAUCGUGGAGUAUUUCCACCCACAAACUCUUUCAUUUCUUCUCUUUUAACUAAUUCUUUAUAAGGAACGCUGGGCCCAUCUUUCUUCUCUCGUUUUCCGAACUCUUUCCUCUCUCCAAUUAGUCACUCUGUGAUCUUUCUUCACUGUUUUCUGACUUGAACGUCGGAGAACCUUCCGAAAACACACCAUCAUCGUGUUUUUUGGGCCUUCACGUGCUUUCUGUUUUUGCAAGAGACUUACCCCCACAAAGGAUCAAAAAUCUCUAAAUAGUUUAGCGCUAGAAAGAGGAGGGCAACACUCUUCUAUAGGAAGAACUGAAACCAUACACGACCUUGAAGGUAUGUCAUGACAAGAGAAGACGGAGGUAGCUCACCAGAGAACGACACCUUGGAGGGGAUGGAAGGAGAGAACAUCUGCUGGGUCGACAGACCGACCAAGCUAUUCUCGGGAUGCCCGAUGAUAAGGGGAACAUCUUUGGUUCCCCACGCCGCCGCCAAACGCACACUCAGAACUCGUCCAGAGUGUAGAAGAAAAUGCCCUGUAAAAUUCCUUACAUCCAAAAACCUUAGUGAAAGUGUUGGCAAACUGGUCAUUAUAUAUAACAAAUGAGUUAAAGACUCGUGGGCAAUGCCCAAUAAAGUCUGCCAUGGAUUGGUCCUGUACAACAGUUUUUAUAUCAAUUAAAAAGUGCAGGCCUCGUAGGUUGAUCGAUUGCAGUUUGCGGAUUAAACAAUUGGGAUCUAUACUAGUUUCGGCAAAGAUAAUUGACAAGAACGUCCAAAACCGGCUAAGUGAAAGACAACGUCUUGGAGACCAAAAGUAUGAAAGAAGCCUCAUGUAUUGGUUUGCCACACACAAAAAAAAAACUAUUUGUUUUUAGUUUCCAUUUUAUAAAAAAAAACUAGGUAUUUAGCCCUUUUUUGCAUGGGCAGAGAAGUUUAUUAAAUAAUACUAGGAGAGAAUCCGCGCGUAUGCGCAGAUCUUGUUUUAAUUUAUAUUUUGAAUAAUUUGUAUUGAAUUUUAUGUUUACUAUUAUUGUAUUUUUGUUUAGAAUAUUUAUAAUAAAUUAUUUGUAAUCUCUUCUACACCAGUUGUGUCAAAUAGUCUAAUUUUUUCUUCGAUCUUCAUAUUCUUUUUAUUCUUGUAAAUCUUACUAAUAUAAUAUUUGUUAAUUUUCUUAAUUUUCUAUUUGAAUUUUUUUGGUUAUAUAUAUUUUAUUGAUACCAUCUUUUUAUUAUUAAAAAAAUUAUAUAUGACAUUUUUAUGUGGAUACUUUUUUUUACUAUUAUUUUUUUAAUAACUUUUAUCUUUUUAAUAGUUUAUUAAAUAUGCUUUGUGUUUUAUACUUUUAUUAGUUGAAUUUUUAUAUAAGAUUAUUUGAAACUUUUUAAUUUAGUCAGUCUCAUAAUUUUUUUCACUUGCAUUAAAAUUUAAUUAUAUUUUUAGUUUGUAAAUGAAUUUUAAAACAUUUGAAAAAAGAAAAUAGAACUAUGCAAUUAAAAAGUCUUAUAUUAUAUAAUAGUUAUAAGUUUUUAUAUAUUAAAAUUAAAUUUUAAUUUUAUUCUAAUAUAAAUAUAUGUUAAUAUUUAUUUAUGUUUUUAAUGUGUUUGCUUUAAAUAUGAUUAAUUAAUUAUUUUGUUAAUAUUUGAAGAGGAUAGGUGGUGCUCUCUCCAGUGCUGACGUGUCGCUCAACUGGAGAGAGUUGGCCAAAUUUUAUAUAUAUGACUAGGAGAAUACAUGCACGUAAUAUGCGGGUUUUUUCUUUAAUUAUUUCAAAUUGAUAUAUUUUUGUAUUUUUCUUAAAGAAAUAUAGUCAUCAUUUCUUCUAUGUUACUAUAUAAUUAUAAAUCAAUCAAUUUAAAAUUUAAUAUUAUUAAAAAAUCAAGAGUUUAUACAAAAAAGCUAUCAAUGUUUUAGCAUAAAUUCUUGUUUAAUAUUUAUAUAACUGUUAUUUAAGAAUCAGUUAAUAAAAAAAAACUAUUUUCUUUGAAUGGUUGAGAAUUUAAUACUAAAAUUUAUUAAUCAAUUUUUUUUUGAUAAUUGUAACUUUAAAUUAAAAAUUGACAAAUGUCAUCUCUAUAUUAACUCUAAAAUGCUGAUGUGUCACUCAUAUAUAGAGAGUUAGCCAUCUUUUAUAUAUAAGAUUAUAAGUAAACAAUAUAUUUGGUAGUUUAAUCUUCAUCUCUAAAGUAAUCAUUAUUUGCAUAGAUUAGUUUUAUGCAUUAUUUUAUUCAUUCAACUUUUAGCCUCAAAUUUCUCCUUUUUUGGCUAAAUUGACUAUCCUUACUGAUUUUUAUCUUCUCGUAAGCGUAGACGUGAAACCAUUUUAUCCAGUUGUAUGUAACAAAUCAAUCUUUUUUGCUAGCUUUGAUACCAUAUUUAGUUUCAUCUCUGAAAAUUUCAUUAUAUAUACAUUAAGUUUAAAGAUGAUUUUAGUUCUUCAUUCUCUUGAAAUUUCUCCCUGUUUAACGAAAAUUGUCUCUCUUUGGUUGAUACUUAUCUUUUAUGCAAGCGUGGAUACAAAACUUUAAUAUCAUGUUGAUACCAUGUUAAACUUUUUUAAAAUUAUAGUCAUUAUUUAUAGACAUUAAAUAUAUAGAUUAUUGUAACUAGGUGAAUCUCCGCACGUUACGUGCAAGUUUUUUUUUCUUCAACUAUUUCAAAUUUCAAAUUCCUAAGAAAAAUGCAAUCCUACUUUAUUAUGUGUUAGAAUAUUAUUAUAAAUCGAUCAUUUAAAAUAUAAUAUUAUUAAAAAAUUAAGAUUAUACAAAAAAAAAUCCAUCAAUAUUUUUAAUUAAUUAUAACAUAAAUUCUUGUUUAAUAUUUACAGAAAUAUUAUUUAAGAAUCAAUUAAUAAAAAACUUUUCAUUUUCUUUUAGUGUUUUAAAACUUCAUAUAAAAUUUAUUAAUUAAUUUUCCUUAAAAACUUUUGUAACUUUAAAUUAAGAAAUAUGACACAUAUCAUCCCUAUAUUAACUCUCAAAUGCUGAUGUGGCAUUCGUAUGAAGAGAGUUGGCCUUCUUUUAUAUAUAAAAUUUUUCAUUCUCUCUAGUCGGAAAUUUCUUCCUCUUUUGUCGGAAUUGUCUUUUGUUCUUCUAUGUUUUUAUAUUUCAUGCAAGCGUGUACAUAAAAUUAUUAUAUCAGAGCGUAGGUAAACAAUUCUUUUGUUAGCUUUGAUACCGUGUUAAGUUUCAAAUCUGAAUUAGUCAUUCUUUUAUACAUUAUUUUUUAUGGACGAAUUUAUUUUCAUUCUCCGUAGUUCGAUCUCUCUUCCCACGGAAAGACGAUUAAACUAAUAAUAAGAAAACCGCAGACUUUACAUUGAAACGAGCUGCAGAUAAAAUUUAGAAUAAAAUGGACUUUAAUGAUCCAGUUAGUAUGAACUAUGACACAUCACUUUCAAAACACACAUAGUAUAAAUGAACAAUUUAUUAAAAAGCUAGCUUUAAUACCAUGUUAGAAAAUAAACUAAUCCUUUUUGCUAGCUUUGAUACCAUGUUUAGUUUCAUCUCUGAAUUUUUCAUUAUAAAUAUACAUUAAGUUUAAAGAUAAUUUUGGUUCUUCAUUCUCUAGAACUUUUUCUCUGUUUAACGGAAAUUAUCUCUAUUUGUCAGUACUUAUCUUUUAUGCAAGUACAGCCACAAAAUUUUGAUAUCAAAGCGUAGGUAAUUAAACAAUUUUUUUGGUAAUUUUGAUAUCAUGUUAAUCUUUAUCUUCAAAAUAGUCAUUGUUCAUAUACAUUAAUUUUAUAGAUUAUUUUAAUUCUUCAUUCUCUCUAGCUGGAAAUUUCUUUCUAUUUUGUCAAAAUUGUCCUUUAUUUUUUUGGUUUUCAUCUUUCAUGCAAACAUGGACAGAAAACUAUUAUAUCAGAGCGUAGUUAAACAAUUCCUUUGUUAGUUUUGAUACUGUGUUAAGUUUUGAAUCUGAAUUAAUCAUUAUUUUAUACAUUAUUUUUAUGGAUGAAUUUAUUUUUGUUCUCCGUAGUCUAAUCUCUCUUCCCACAGAAGGACGAUUAAACCAAUAAUAAGAAAACCAUAGAUUUUUUAAUUAAAUAAGACCGCAGAUAAAAAUUAGAAUAAAAUUGACUUUAAUGAUCCAGUUAAAAUGAAGUAUGAUACAUCACUUUUAAAAUACAUGUAGGAUAAAUGAAUGACCUAUUAAAAACAUUAAAAAAGUCAAUAAGUUAGAAAAUAAACUAACCACACAUCAGAUUUUUUGCUUCAGAAAUAUAUCGAUUGAAAAACAAUGUUGCACUUGAUGUACAAAUGGCUUUUGAUUGAAUAACUAUUACAUUCAAUUAAAAAAACAAUAACGCCUAGAGAGACUAGAAGUGCCUUUAACCAAAGUAAUUAACUAACCGUCAACACCAUAGAUGGCGCGAUGCUCUUCGACAGAGGAUCAAGACACAAGCUGCUGUUUUUGAGACUUCAAAGAUAUAGAACAACCACCAAACUGAAUAAUAGAAUCUGUAUAAUAACGUCUUGUUGUUGGGCAUCAUGCCCGGCCGGAACUGCCCCAUGCAAUAAGAGACAGAUGAGUCUUAGCUUUUAAAAGAAAACCAUGUCACAGAUUGCCUUUGACCUUGAGUAAACAUAUAAACCUUGUUGUUGCAUCCCAAUGAGUCUGUUUUGGUUCUUGCAUGAACUAAGCAACAAUGUGGACCAGUGUUAAUCUGCAGGUUCAGGAAUUGUACCUCUUUUAACUAAAGCAAGACGUACGAUGGUUCUUCUCCAGAGGCACAGGUCUCCGAAAUGAUAUUAUGAUGGUCACAAAAUGUGAAAGCAGUUUUAAAAAUGUUUCCUACCUAAAAUCCCAAGCGCAAGGCUGAAAUCGAAGUAGUACUAGGUACAAAUUCACAGGGAGGAAGCAGAGUCGACCCUUGGCCAAUCCAAGAAAGCCUAUACUUCCGGCUGAUUCUUUUAUAAAAAAAUAUUUGGUCCUCAAUUAUUCAAAACUUGUCUUAGUCUGGUCAGACUGAUCGUAAAGUCUUAUGUGGCGCUUUUAGUCCCCAUUCCGUGUUCGAAUCUGCAAAUUGCCUUAGUUGUUGGGUCUAUAUGAAAAACGUUGAGAGUCUUUAGAUUUCUGGUAGUCUAUACUCUUAAGGGAAAAAUAAACUUCCUUGGCAGCCUGUUAUAAUCUUAUUUCUUGGACCCAACAGUACGAACAAUGAAAUCGCACUACACAAAACCAAAGAGAAUAUAAUACAGAGACAACAUAAACAACAAACGAUAUUAUUAUGCAAAGAGCAGACAUUACAACUCGAACACUGAGACAUUACAUUAUGAAACUUUAUUCCCAUAGAUUCUUUUUCUUGAGUUACUUCAUUACAAACUCACCAUGGUUCACUUAUAGUCAUACACACGUAUAACUGUAUUAUAUAGAUGUAGCCAUGCAUGGUGGUUAAUAUAAUAUGAAGUUUUUAGUUACCAGGCUGAGUCUCAACUGCUUCUACUCCGUGCCCUCCUCUUCCUCCGUGUCCACCGCGUCCUCCUCUUCCUCCUUUGUAUCCUCCCCCUCCUCCUCCGUAGUGUCCCCCUCCUCCUCCGUAGUGUCCUCCUCCUCCUCCUCCUCCGUAGUGUCCUCCUCCUCCGUAGUGUCCUCCUCUUCCUCCUCCGUAGUGUCCGCCGCGGCCACCACCAUAUCCAUCAGGUUUCACAGUUUCCUCACUCUCUGACUUCACCCCUGUCCAAAAAAAUAUAGAAAAAUCACAUUAUUUCAAAGAUAUUGUUUAGCACGUGCAAAUGUUCUUUCCUCUCCCCGAUUUCAAAAACGAAAUUUCUCUUAUAAACAUUUUAAAAUAUGUAUCGAAUCUCUUGUUUAGAAUAAAGAAUUAUGAGUUUCAAAAUUAAAUAUACGUUCUAUAUAAAAUUUUCACCAAUAUACGUAAGUGUCUUUUAUUACUAGGACAUCAACAUCGUACUUAAGUGUGUUUUUUGACUUAUAAGUCCAUAUAGUUGACCUUCGUUCAAAUCAACCUUCCGGACUUAACACGGACGAAAUAGACAAAUAGAGACAAUAUUAUCAAAUAUGGUACGUUUGUUUGGGUUCGAUUAGCUUCACGAACAUUUAUUUUGUUUCUAUAAAAUAAUUUUAUUUACCCGAUGAUUGCCUUUCUGCGGCAACUUCUGAGACGACGAGAAGUAAUGCAAAGAGACCCAAAAGAAUCAAAGCUUUGGAAGCCAUUUUCUUCUACUGCUUUUAAGUUUAUAACACUCUUUUGUUUUGUUGGAGAAAGAAGUGAUGAAUAAAAUGUUCGCCUGCAUGCUCUCUAUUUAAAGAAAGGGUAACGAAGAGGAGAAAAGUCAAAUAACUAAUCCGUGGACCGUAGUGCAUUAAAAAUAACGAGGAAUUUUAUUUAUUAAAGAGAUAAGUAAGGGUAUUUGCAUUAUUUGCAGAUAAUGACAAAAAGAGCAAUUCAGUAAAAUAGGAUUGAGACUGUGCUUCGCGCGGAUUGUAAUUUAUGUUCAUGUUUUUAUAUAUUUUAUAUAUUAUUUCUUAAGAAAUAAUUUGUUGAUAAUUUUUUCUUAGUUUAAUAGUUUUAUUUUUAAGUUUACAUUGUAUUAACAAUAUCUGUGUUCUGUUAGUUAUUCUUACUGGUAGAUUAAAAACUCUAUAAAUUAAUAAUAUUAGGACUUUGAUAUUUUAUUAAUUUUUAGAGUUAUUAAUUUAGAGGUUUCAAAUAAAAAACUAUUUCUUAUUAAUUUUAAAAUUAAAAAAAAAUCGUUGAAAUUUAUAAUAUUUUUAAAAAAUUAAAAAAAAUAAAAAUGAGUUCCAAGAAGACUUCAAUUUAAAUUAAACAAAAACAUAGUAGAUUAUCUCACUUAUAUGUUUAUAUCAAAUUUUAUUUAUGGUAAUUAUUAAUUUAUGAUAAUAAUGGGACCAUAGAUUUACAUAAGAGUUUUGUUAAGUUUAUUAUCUUAUUAUCUUAUCGAAUUGUGUCAUAAUUUGAACUGGCUCAACGUAACUCAGAACUAUGAAAAAUUAUUAAUUUAUGUAUUUAUUAAUUUAUCGAGUAUUAAUUUAUAGAGUUUUUAUUGUAUGUCUAUAUAAAAAUAGUUUUUUUAAUUAUAUUAUUAACUUCUGUAAUUUUUUAUUUUGUGUGUUUUUAUAUUUUAUCUGUACUAUUGUGUGACUCUAAUUAUAAUUAUUUAAAUUAUUUUUUUAUUUUUCUUAAUUUAUACUCUCUAAAUUAUUAUUUUUUAAUUCAUACUCCGUACAAAUUUUUAUUUUUAGUCAUCUAUUAUUUUGAAUUGUUGAAUAACUAAUUUAUCAUAUUUUUCUUUUUUUGAAAAAAAAAUUUAUACUCCUUUUCCAUCUUCAUAUUUUUAUAAUUUAUUAGUUUUAUCUUUUUUUUUUUUUUUAUCUUUAACGUUUCUGUUUUUGUAUUUUAUAAAAUUCAUCUUCAUUAGUUUCAUGUUCUUCAUUUUUUUAUUUAUUUUUUUCAUUUUCCAAUGGUUUUUGACUUCUACUUUUCUUCCUCCUGUUUUUUUUUAUUCUUUUUUCAUUGUCUUUUUUUUUAAUUAUCAUCAUUUUUCUAAUUUUUUUCAGUUUAUAUAAUAUAUUAUUUUUAAUAAUAUAUAUAUAUUUAAUCCAGUUAGUAUUACAGUUUUCUUUAAAUAUUAAUAUCUAAUUGCCACUUAUCUUUUUAUUAUACUAAUAUUUAUUUUAUUUAAUUUAAUUUGUACUAAAUAUACUAAUAACAAAUAUAAAUAUAUAUAUAUAUAUGUAUUAAAUGUUUAUUUUAAAUAUGCUUUAAUGUUAAAAUUUAUGAGUUUGUUGAUGUGGACACCCUAGAUGGAGAUAAAAUUCUCUUAUUAUAUUACAGAUUAUAAAAUAUUUGUUCUUUCUCAAGGGAACAAAAAUACUUUUUUAUUUUUUUGUUGAAUGUUUCAUUUGAUUGUUAAGGGAAAAAACAGUUUUUUUGUCCCAUAUCGUGUUACAUUUUUAUAUGGACAGGUAAUUUUUUUUUUUUAGGGCUAAACAAAUUUUAUAUAUUAAGAAUAAGGAUUACAAUCUGCAAAUACAGCAUUAGACAACCAUAAAGGUGGAUACAAUUUUGAUGAAUAAAAAACAGCAUUACACAACCAUAAAAGUGGAUACAAUUUUUAUAUGGACAGGUAAUUUAUUGAUUGGAUUUUUUUAUACAGUUUAUUAAAAUAAUUCGAAUGUUUCUCCUCCACGUAUCAUGCUACUUUCUAUUGAAUGAAACCUUUGUCUCAACUUUAAUUUUAUAUUUGAAGUAUAUAAAUAAUUUAGUGCGUUAAAUAUCGGUUUAUUUAUAUAUUUUUUUCUUGAUGGUUUAUUUGUGUUUGAGAAUUUUUUUUUUUUAACAUUUUCUUAGAUUAAUUAAAGAAAUCCAGCCGGUUAAAGCAGUACAGUGAAGCUGUAAAGAGCUCGUUCUGCUAUCUCAUCAGUUAAAAGAUUGUCUGAUUGAGGAAUGUGUUCGAAAAAGAUGCAAUUGAAACAGAGUGACAGAGAGACUAUAUCGAAAGUAAUCCCCGCGAUCUCUUUGAUUUUUGUCCCUCGAUUGAUUGCUCUGAUCAGAUCCGAAGAGUCCGAUUGGACAUGAAGCUUUGUGAUCCCGAGAUUUGUGGCGUGAGUCAUGGCAGAUCUCAGGGCUAGAGCUUCAGCGAUGAUCGGGGAGGUCACAAAUUCUUCGAUAUCCAUACCCUGGUUCCAUGGUGGCGAAUUUCCUCAACGGAAAACCCAACCCAAUCUGCCGAUCUGAUUCUCUUCCUUCCAGGCCACAUCGGUUUGCACAAUGGUAUGGUCUGUUGGGAUUUCCUUCGGAUCUCAUGUUUGAAGAGUUGAAAUCUCCCUUUCCUGUAGGUCAUGUGCCUGAAUCCAAUCUCUUGCAUUGCAGAUGGCUUUGUUCACCGUUUCUAAUGGUGUGAAUGUUCUGUUCUCGAACAGUCGGUGGUUCCUGGAUAACCAGAUGGCCCAGCAGAUCCAGGGGAAGAGUAGUCCGGCUUCUAUUCCUGUUGGAGGUAGAGUGACCCAUCCCUUCGAUGCUUUGAGCCCUGUUGCAAAAUCCGGAAUGAAAAAGGGAUCUAUGGUGUAUUUGAAGGGCGCCAGUGACCAAACCGCCUUGGCGAAGUGACAGUAGAGGAAAAGGUGGUCAGCUGUUUCUCUUUCUCUGCAUAGACUGCAGGAAGCGUUGUUGGAGAGUCCCCCGGUAAGUAGAUUUGCUCCAGUUGGUAGUGCUUUCUUGAGUAUCUUCCAUAGAAAGACCUUUAGUUUUAGGGAAGUUUUCUUAUGCCAGAUAUCUGAGUUCCAGUUAAUUGUGGUUGUCUGUGCAUGAGAGAGUGGUUACUUCAUUCGCUGAUGUGUCGCUGUGUGGUAUCCUGACUUGGUCGAAUAAUUUCCAUCUCUGUUUGGGGUCCAAAUGUAAGAGUCUUCUCCGCCUCUUUUGCUUGGUUUUAUGCUUAAGAUCACAGAUGAGAGGUGUGGGACAAUAACUUCAAUCUUUCUUGUGUCCCAGGUGGUUGAGUUCUCUUUUAUUAGGUCUGAGACCAGCAGAUCUUUAUUGGCGUUGGUGGGAAGGCCAACUACUCCUAGCAGUGAUGUCGUCGAUAGCCAGGGAUCGGACCAUAGGUUGGUUUUUCGUCCAUUUCCAAUUAUUUUGCUUAUAUUUGAUUGCAGGAUAUCUUUGCCAAUCAUGAUUCCCCUCCACCCGUGGGAAGAGGAAGAUGUUGAUUCAGCUCUGAGGAAGGUUGUGGACCGGUGGUAUCUUCUUUUGAGAACUCGGGCCAGUAGACACUAUGGGUUUAUCAAGAUUCUCCAACUCAGUUUGGCCAGUAAGGUGUCGUUGAAGCACUCAAUGUCACAGAAACCAAGACCACCCUCUUUCUUUGUUCUUGUUAGCUUUGACCAUGCUAGCCAACACAUUUUUCUUUUUUCAGGGUUGGCGUCCCACCAAAAGCGAGUAAGAGCGGAUUGGAUGCGUUUGCAGAGACUUGCAGGGAGCUUGAAGCACGACAUCGUGUACGCUGGGAUGGCUGAGAGAACUGUCUUCAGCAUCGUGAUUUUACCCGCCGAUGAUAGAAAUUUUGUUGACCAACUCGUUGACGUAUCCUGUCCACAAUCUGAGUAAAGAGGUCUUUUUUCCUUCUCCCAAAAUGUUCGGGUAAGCCAAGGUACUUCCCUUUACCUCCCUCUUGACUGAUUCCCAGAUCCUGUUUAACUCUUUCUCGUACAUCAUCAGGAGUUUUGCAUGAGAAUGUAAAGGAUGAUUUUUGUAGAUUGAUCUUCUGUCCCGAGGCUUCUUCAUAUUUCCUGAGAAUUGCCAUGAGUUCUGCGCAGGCUUGGGGGGAUGUUUUACAAAAGAACAUUGUGUCAUCCGCAAAUAGUAAAUGGUUUAUUCUUGGGCUUUCUUUUGCAACUCUAAUGCCUGACAAGCGGCCAUUCUGUUGAGCUUUUUUGCAGAGACCAGAGAGCACUUCACCACAUAUGAUAAAUAUAUAGGGUGAUAGUGGAUCACCUUGUCUGAUGCCGCGUUGAGGGAGGAUUGGAACGUACGCUGGGUCAUUCACCAGAUACGAAUAGGAGACUGAGGUGAUGCACAUCAUUAUCCAAGUAAUCCACUUCUCAUUGAACCCAAGCCUUUUCAGCACCGUUUCAAUGAAGCCCCAUUCCAGGCGAUCAUAUGCCUUACUCAUGUCAGUUUCAACUGCCAUGAAGCAGUGUUUUUUCUCUUUAGAUCGUUUGAGGAAAUGUAGAGUCUCAUGUGUUAUCAUGACAUUGUCUGAUAUGACCCUUCCAGGGACAAAAGCUGAUUGGGAUUCUGAAAUGUUUUUUUUCCAGGAUAGGUUGGAGCUGCUUGGUGAGAAUCUUCGAGAAGAUUUUGUAAAAGACACUACAGAGUGCGAUUGGCCGGUAGUCGGAGACUGUACGUGGAGCAUUGUGUUUUGGUAUCAGCCGAACCAAAGUAUGGUUGAUGGAGCUGGGGAAAGAUCCGGAACUAAAGAAACUUUUGAUCUCUGAAGUUAUUGCAGGGCCUACUGUUGUCCAGUUUGAUCUGAAGAAAGAUGCAGAAAAGCCAUCAACUCCUGGAGCUUUAUCCAGAUAGAUGGAGAAGAGAACAUCGUUUGAGAAUAUCAAAUAAAUAUAUUUUAAAAGUUUUUAAAAAAUUAACUGCUACAGUUUCUACUUAUAUUUUUAUUAAUGCAUUUUAAAAACUUAAACCAGUUCAAAAAUUGAAACCAAAUAGUAUUAAAUUUGUAUACUAUAUAAAAAAAAAAAAUACACACUACUACCGAUAAAGUAAGCUACUAGUUAAGCUCAUUGCUUAGUCUUGUUGUACUUCUAGUUUGAUUUACAAUGGAAAUAGAAAAGAUGUUUUACGCCAUAUCAUAUAGUAUUAGCAAAGACUAGUCCCAAGAGAAGAGAAGUUGUAAGAAGGAUUAAGAUCAUGAAAAAAUACACACUCUAUAUUAAUCAUAUAUUUACCAUAAUAUUUUUUCAGUUUUCAUCAAUUCUAACAGUUUAUUUACAAAAACUAUGUAUCCGUGUAAUCUCCUUGGUUUAGUGAUUGACCAUAGAUUUAAUUUGAUUCCAAAACGAUGCUAGUUAAUGGAAUGCAAUUUUAUAGAAGGUUUAGCAUGGUGCAAAUAGAGCUGUUCGUCAUAAUUCAUCAGUCAAAGUAAAACUGCCCAUCACAAACAUGGUACAUGUAGAACCAUUUAUCGUGGAUUCUUGUAAAUAGAUAAAGAAAAUCAUUGUAUAGAAGCAUUUGUAUAAUUGUUUUCAUAAUUUAUAAUCCUUUAUACAGUAUUAAUCAAUUAGGGUUGAUAAAAAACAGUAGUUUCACAUUUAAUUUACAAAUAAGUCAUCUGAUGUGUCAUCGCCAUAAAACUUCUCCAAAAAAAAGUUAACUUACUAGAAUAAUUACAUUCAUGUCAUUUAGAUUACAUUCAUGUCAUUCACAUUUAAUUUACAAAUAAGUCAUCUGAUGUGUCAUCACCAUAAAAGUUCUUCAAAAAAAAGUUAACUUAUUAGAAUAAUUACAUUCAUGUCAUUUAGAUUUAAUACAUGCAUAUAUAUAUAUAUAUAUAUAUUAUAAUGAGAUUUAUGUAGAAUAUUAAAUUAAUAUUAUUUUUAAGUUUAUUCAUUUCUAUAAAAAAAAAUUAAUUUUUAUUUUUUGUCUCCAAAUUAUAUUACUUUGAUUCAAAGGGUUAUGAUUUUAUUUUCAAAAUUUCUUUUUUAUUGUGACAAUACAAGUUCAAUAUUUAUUUGCUCAAUAUAAUUUUUUAUUACAAAAUCUCUUAUUUUUCAUAUUUAAAUUCAAAUUUAUAUAAUGGAAGAUCUAACCUUCAUAUUAUUUUUAUGAUUAUUCAAAUGUAAAGCAUGUAAUAUAAUUCGCACACGUUUACUAAUGAUUAUUGAGAUAUAAAAAUAUAAUAGUGUUUAAUGCUAAAGGUCUCAUCAAACUAUAUUCUGAUUUGAUUAUAUCGUUUGAUGCUAAUAUAGUUUUAUGCUAUUGGUCUUAUCCAGGGGUGGAUUCAGAAAAAAAUUUAGUAGAUAGCAUAAUUUUAUAAAUAGGGAAAAACAAUUUUUUAUAUGAAAACAUAGUAUUAACAUAUAAUUUUAAUGAAAUUAAGUUAACAAUUGGAUUGUUUCAGCUUUUACAACUACUUUUAUAUUCAAAUAAGCUUUAAAGAUUGAAUUUUUUUUUCUUUUACUUUUUUUAUUAACAUGAGCAACAUAAUUUUAAACUAUAGGGAUUUUUUCCUUUUUAUCACUAAAUUAAGAACAUUUAAAUUUAAUUUACCAAAACUAUUUAGGAAAAAUAAAAACGGUAAGGGAAACAUGACCCGAUAUGGUCUUUACUAUGUCCGCCUCUGAUCUUAUCAAUCACACACGUACAAAGAGAUAUUCACGUGACGAGUUGCAUAUUUUAAUUUAAAAUUGAAUAAAUUUUUUUACAGAAUACUAUUUAUUUUACAUAUUCGAAUUCAAAUCAGAAUAUUUUUUAUUCAAAUAUAAUUGUAUUAAAUUUUAUAUUUAAAUUCAAAUCAAAUCAAAUAAAGCUUUUAUUUCUAAUCAUAAGAAAGUGUAUAGUUAAAUCAAAUUUUAAUAAAUUUGCAACUAACAUAUAUCUGCAGGGAUUAUUCAAUUAGAACAAGGUUUAUAUAGAAUAAAUAGAUUUUUCAUGGUAAGAGUAAUUUUCACUAUUGGUACUCCUUAUGGAAAGAUAAAUUGUUGCUAUUAAAUAAUUAGAUAUUAAAUACAAAAUUACGUUUUCUGAUUGAAGAGACAUUUGAUUUCGAAUUCACAUUCAAAUCUUCUUAAUAUGUGGGAAACCCUUGAUUUCCAGCACUAUUUAAUCGAUAUCGAUUAGCACCCUUUCUUAUGAUUAAACAAAUACAUACUAAUAUAAUUUUUAAAUAUUUCAUUUGCAAGACCGAGAUUACUACCUACAAGAUAACUACUUAGGCUAUUAAAAAGCUGACAAAAAGGCUAUUAAUAAAAAUAAAACUAUCAUUCUUAGGGAUUUACCAUAUGCUUCAUACAGUGUUUCCUUAAGAGUUACACUUCUAUUUGUCCAUUUACCGGUGAUAUUUUCCUAUUUUUAUUAACUCUAGCAAUUGUCAAUUACUUAAAAUAGGUUAUUACCAGCGCAGAAUAAAUAUUAAUCAUAAUUUUUUAUUUAAAUAUGUAAAUAUAAUGUAUAUAAGUACAACUAUAAAAAUGUUAGCUGAUAUUUUUAAUUACAACUAUAUAUGCUGAUUAUGCAAUCAUAAAUAAUAAUUAAAAUUACAUUUAUUUUGUAAUACAAAUACAUAAAUGCUAAAUAAUUAUUAGUUUUAUAAUUAAUUUUAAUAAUAUUUUUUAUAUGACUGAACUUACACAUUAAAUAUACUAAAUUAGAUUAAUAUGUUCUAUCUAACAGGUCUAACAUCAAACUAAAAUACUUUGCUUUUGAUAUAAAAAAUUGAAUUAUAAUAUGUAUGAAAAUAUUUAGAUUAUUUUAUUAUUAAAUAGAUAAUGUAAUUAUUGUUUUUUAAAGAAAAGUAAGAUCAAAUAAAAGACAAAAUACAAAAUAUAAUGUUUAGAAACAUAAUUAAUGUUAUGUAUUAAAAUUUUAUAAAUGUGAUAAGAAAUAGAAAUAGAAAGAAUAUCUUUACAAAUUAAAUGUUUGAGUAUUAAAUAUAUAAUUGACAUAAAUUAAUUUCUAACCAAAUUAAUGUUAGUGGCAUAUGAUAUACUUAAUCUAGUAAGUUUCUUUUUUUUUGAACAUUUAUUAAUCUAGUAAGUUGACCAUACUUUUUAAAAAUCUAUAAAAAACUCUCUGAAAUUAACACCUCAAUAUGACACUUAUGUAAAUAAUACAUAAGAUAAAUGUUUUUUUUAAAGCAUUUUUAUCAAUUAAUAAUAUAUAACUUUUCAUUUCAUCCCGUGAUUUACCCAGUCCGUCCUAAAAUUAAAGUGGUAAGAUGAUGAUAAGUAUAUGUCUACGUUGCAUCGGUCCCCUUAUGGUGGGUUGUUGGAUCCAUCAGUGAAUAAUUUGAAAGUCUAUAAAUGGCGAACCCCACCAGUGUUUUAGACUGUUUCUUAUUAAUGUCUUUUUUUUUUUGGCAGUCUUAUUAAUGUCUUAAACACAGCACAAUCACACACGUAUAGAACUAUAGAUAUCUAGAAAUUCCAUUAUUGGAUUAUAAUUGAUUUUAUUAUGACGGAUUCUUUUGGACACAAAAGCUAGCCGACGUCUUCUUUGAAAAUUCUCACAACCGACAGAUUUUAAACAGCCGUAUAGAGACAAAGGCAGUGAGAGUAAAGCAUAGAGUGACAACACGUAGUAACUACAAAGAAUUGACUUUUUAAAGGGUGCAAAAUUUUGCCUGGCUAUAUUUAAUCGUUAUACUUCUUUUUAUGGAUAAUUGCUUGGCUAUAGUUAAUUUAUGCCGACUGCUACCAAAAUAUCGAUCAAAGUCACCUAAGCGUAGAGAAAGCUUGAGAUUUACGUAAUUAUAAUUCAUUUUUUUCAAAUCUAAAUAUUCAAAAAAUUGAUUAUAAUAUGUAUGAAAAUAUUUAGUUUUUUUUCAAAUCUAAAUAUUUAGUUUUUUUUCAAAUCUAAAUAUUAAAUAUACUAAAUUAGAUUAAUACGUUAUAUCUAACUAAUCUAACAUCAGAUAAUUUGUUUUUAAUAUAAAAAAUUUGAAUUAUAAUAUGUAUAAAAAUUGUAGUUUUCAAAUGAGCGUAGAUAUAUAGUUUUCAAAUUAAGCAUGUUUAUUUCAUAUAUCAGAUUGGAUAGUAUUUGAUUGAGAUACAGGUUGUCAUGUAGUUUUCAAAUUAAGUAUGUUCAUUCCAUGUAUUGGAUUGGGUAGUAUCGGAUUGGGAUACGGGUUGUCAAGCCCAGACCCGAACCUCAAAACUUUUGGGUUAAGAACGAGAAUAAAAAUUAUGGGUUAUAAAUUUGGGAUACGGAUUGUCAAGCCCAGAUCCGAACCUCAAAACUUUUGGGUUAGGAACGAAAACAAAAAUUAUGGGUUAUAAAUUAGUUAUUCUAAAAAAGAAAAAAAUGUUAAUAAAAAGGUUAGAAUGAUCGAACUUCUCACCUUGAAUAUGUUAUUUUCAAACAAUAACUAGUUCCACUACUGAAGAUUAUAGUAAAAACCGGUCAGAAAAUACAUACUUUAUAUAUGGUUGGCAACACAUGCUUCCUUACCUUCUAUCCAAAAUCCAAUUUUAUACCAGUAUUUGGGGAAGAUCCAAUUAAGCAUGUUCAUUCCAUGUAUCAGACUGGGUAGUGAGAAGAUCAAGAGAUUGUUGAACAGUUCUUAUGUUGUAUAAUUGUAAAAGAACCGAUUACAAUAUAUAUAUAGAAGCUUUAGCUUAAUCCUCAAGUUAAAGAUAAACACAAAUAAGGAAUAUUUAAGAUUUUCUAAAUAUUUUCUCAUACUCUCCCUCAAGAUGGCGAGUGGAGAUCCCGAACUUCCAUCUUGCCAAAAAUAUAAGAAAAUUGAAUUCGUCCAAGUGCUUUAGUAAACAAGCCUGCAAGCUGUUCAUGUGUGCGAAUAUAAGCCGGUGCGAACUCCUGCUUGGAAGGCAUCACAAAUAGUGUGACAGUUGUUCUCUAUGGAUUCUGCAGAAUGUCUAGUGCUGCCUUGUUAUCACAGUAAAAAGAAACUGGUUCUGGAUGCUUGAUAUCGAACACAGAAAGAAGCUGGAGAAACCAUUGUAUCUCAGAGAAUGUGUAAGACAUUGCGCGAUAUUCCGCUUCUGGAGAAGAACGAGAGACAACUCUGUUUUUUUUUUUUUUUGUCUUCCAAGAGACAAGGGAAUCACCAAAUAAGAUGGCAUAACCAGUGAGGGACUGCCAAGUUAUCAGACAAGAAGACCAGUCCAAAUCACAAUAAGCAAACAUGUGAAGAUCGGGUUUGGAGUUAAGGAAUAUACCUUGCCCAUGCGUACCCUUAAGAUAUCGUACUACUCGAGUCUCUGAAUCUCAAUGCUUCUUCCGUGGUUUAGUGAGGAACUGAGCGAGUAAAUGGACCGCAUAGCUGAGAUCAGGCCGAGUUACAGAUAAGUAUACUAAGCGUCCAACAAGCCAACGGUAUCUGGAUGGAUUGUCAAAAUAUUUUCCAUCGUCUCCAGCUAGUGUAUGGUUUAGCGUAACCCUCAAGUUAUCCAAUACAUAUUCUGAUAAGCCGCAUUCAGAAACGAUAUCCAAUGAAAUAUUUCUUUUGGAAAUAUGGAUCCCUUUCUUUUCACAAAAUAUUUCCAAACCGAGGAAGUAUUUUAACACGCCAAGAUCCUUUAUAUGAAAACUCUUACUCAUGUAAGCCUUGCAUUUGGAGAUAAGAGUUGUGUCGUUGCCCCCUCUAACCAAGUCAUAUACAUAAACAAGAACAUAGAUGCAAGAAGAGCCACGAUGAUAUGAGAAGAGAGAGUAAUCCUUCUUGUUUUGUACAAAACUAAACCGCAACAACGACGCUAAAAGCUUAGCAAACCAACAACAUGGAGCUUAUUUGAGACCGCAGAGAGACUUUUGUAGUCUACACACUUUGUUUUAAUCGGAUGAAGAGAAACCCGGCGGAAGCUGAUGUGGUGUAUGCGGGGGUAUCAAAUUUUACCCUAAAAGAAAUAAAAGAAAGCCGCAAGUGCACAGCUAAUCAGUUGUAAUACUUAGAGAUCGAAUCCAUAGAGAUUUGCCAAAUAUUUUUCUACGGUCUCGUAGCUUGUUGGCCGUCUUCAAAUGUCUUCGGGGAAAAUGGAAUAUCUUGAGAUCCAACCGUUGGAAUGUCUCCAAAGUAAGUGCAUUUGAAAGCUGGUUGAGUCUUCUAUUAAGUAUCCAAUUUUGGGGAUGAUCAGACGGUGAAAAGCUCUUCAUCUCUCCUUGAGAGUUCUGACGGUCUGAAUUUAUCCAAAAUAGUCUUUUUGUUCCAAUUUUCACCUCUUUCUUCCAAAUUACCUGAAAAGUCUUUAAAAAUCCGAAAACAUAAAAAUCAUUUGAAAACCUUUGAAAAUGGAGUAAAAACACCUGCAAAAUAUAUUACACUGAUCCAUAAAAAUGGUCAAGGUGUUAUAAACUCCCCCAGGCUUAGACUUUUAUUUGUCCUCAAACAAAACAAAGAUCAAAUCUCGGUGAGAGGUUUGAAAACGCAGGAACUAACAAAAUCUCAGAGACCAUACUUCUAGACUAAAAUCAAUCAUUAUGCAUUAACCGGGGAUAACCUAGAAAAUUCUCACUAAAAUACAUGCAUAACUAAUCCGUUGAUCUGUCAUGCGAAAGUAUAUACACUUAGAUCUAACUUCCACUCAACUAGCUCUUAACAUUUAUUAAAAAUCUAUGUGGUUCUCAUCAAAAUAAGUAUAAGCAAGGCGAUUUGGGCUAGGUGUCAAAAAGGCUCUUUUCGGGGUGAGGUUUUAAAGUGUUUUGGGUUACCUUGAUUUUUAGAGAAGUAGGGUAUUAUGCAAAACAGCAAGAGAUAAUGGAGCUGUUGAUAUCUACAGUUUCCAGUCACAUUCUUCUUGCUUUAGAAUCUUUUAUAUUUCUCAGGUUCUCCUUUUAGUUCCCCCAGACUUAGAUUCUUGUCUGGGUUGUAACCGUAACUCCAACAGAUGCAUACUAAUCGCCUUUUGCCUCAAAUAAUUUUGGCCAUCUAAGACUCUUUAGGCUUUUGUUUCUUUUCUUUUCAUUCUUUUUCUUCUCUCUUUUUUCUCUUUUUUUUAGAAGAGGGAAAACACCUUUAGAUAUAGAGUCUUAGAGGACACAAAAAUUUAGCAUUAAGAGCAACCUUUUCGAAGUGUCUUAACAUUGCCGAUGUACCUCCCUUCCAACUCCCAUUUAGUUCUUCUCUUUGGAUGACUGAAAACUGUGCCGUUCCUCCCUCUCCAGCGUUUUUGCUCAUAUCUGCUGAUAUAAGCUAAAGAGAGGAUAUGUGAGGUAUGAAAAAAAAAGGAUUGGGUAAAGGUAUGGUACCAGCUAAAGAUGAACUAGCCAUCUAAGACAACAAAGAGUGGUAAAAAUGAGGGAAAAGGUGUUCUAGAUGUAUAUCUUGAUGCUUGCCUAAAAUCAAUGAUGAGAAACUUAGAUAUCAAUAUUAAGGUGAUGUGGCCAUCAACCCAGCUCAACAUCACAAAGAGACCCCAAUGAUCUUAGACAAACCAGACGGCCCAUCCGAAGCCGAGAGAUGCCUUAUAGAAGCUGAACCGGAGAAAAUGAGCAUAAAGGCGAGCCCAACAGAAACAGAAGUGAAAACUUGGAGUUUCACCAACCAAAUGUCAUCAAUGGAGUCUGUGAUCGAGCCAAAACACUUUUCAGUUGAUCCAGAAAUGAAGUUACCCAAGAAUCAACUCAAACUCUUGGCCAAAGCAUGUUCAAGCAACACAAGAAGACCCAUGCACCUUAUUCAGCACUGAUGAAGUCAGAGAUCAGCUGGUACAGCUCGGCCAACACUUUUAUUACAUUUCUAUCUCAUCCAGUGAACGCCUAGAAGUGGAAUCAGCCCAAUUAGAUCUCAGAGAAAUGAGUUAUUCAGCUUACAAAUCAGGUGAUGCACAACUUCUACGAUUUGAACAUACGUGCCUUAUUUGGAGGUUUCCGACCGAACCAGAAGGAUAUAAGCUGUGAACCGACUUGUUCCCAAUUCUUGAUUCAUCAUAGAAUCGGAGACAGUUGGAAUCAAACCAAUACCGGUUAUGGUUAGAAAUUUAUUCACUUUACAAGUUGGAAGAUCUGUUUCAGACCCAAUUGCGCAGUUAGGCUGAAGAUCUUACUCUACAGCCCAACUCAUCCACGUUCUCAGCCCAAAAUUACUUGGAGAAUAUUUUUUGGUCUUUCUUGGAUCCAACAAGCUCAAGAUCCGAAGAAUUUCUCAUUGGAACUUCAAGUUACACCCAAUAUCCCAAAACGGGUUGACUUGGUUCCAUUUAUGGCAGGUCUGAGCUCUGACUGGUAUAGAUCGCUAUCUACAAGAGUUUGGCGCCCAGGAGAGACUCUAAGGCAACUAAGGAAGCUUAGAAACACCUUACCAUGCACCAGCACCCACAGGAUCAGGCGGAUCGUUUUGCAAGCUUACUUUCCUUAUGUGGCCGCAUUCACACUCGGUGCUAUUAAUCACCAAUAGCUCUUUUCCUUUGAAUGCUACGACUUGGACCCUAAAAACGUCUAGAUACAAAGGCAUCAUCACAUUUUCAUAUUUGGUCGAGAUCCUCUUAUUUAGAGCCUAUCGGCUAGUUUUUGAUUAGCUUUGAUUUGUUUCUUUGUUUUUAGCAUUUUAGAACGUGUAAGAGCAUUAUAUAAGCUCAUAUUAGUCCAUUUGUAAAAACUCAUCUUUCAAUCAAAUUAAUACAGAAGUUUCUUAUUUUCUUUCAAAGUGUGUUCUUUGGAAAAUUGUCUUUUCUUUUGAAUAAAUGUGUGAGAUUCACUUCUAUUCUCUAGAAGCCACGAAUUUAGUUGUUUGUGUUACUCAAAUAACUUGUUCGUUCAUCGAUUGAGAGAGUCAAUCAAACCACCACCUUCCAUCUCAAUAUCACGUACGCCCACUUUCGCAAACAAACUUGUAAACUCUUGAUUAUCUUGUGAACAUAAGAUUUGGUGGAUUCCAAUCUUAUAUCAUUUGGUAUCAGAGCACAAGUUCCUAUCAAAGUGCUUAUGUUCUUUAUCUUUCCCUUUUGUUAUUUUAAUUCAGUCUUUUUUCAUUUUAAAUCAUAAAAAGAAAAAAAAAUUAUUGUUUUGAAAUAUUCUAUGUUUUCUUUAAUUCUAAAAAAUCAGAAAAUAGAAAUAAGAAUUUUCCCUUUUGUUAAUUGCAUUUUCGAAUUUUGUAUCCAAAAAUAUAUAAAUAUAUUUAUCGGUUUUUCUUUUAUUUUUGGUUUUGCUUUAAUUCCAUUUAAAAAUCAGAAAACCAAAUAAAAAUAUCUUCUAUUGUUUUCUUAAAUUUUAUAACUCAGAAAAACAGAAUUUUCUUUUAUUAUUUAAGAUUGUCGAAUUUGUUUAGUUUUUUAAAAAAUCCCUUAUUUUUGAAAUAUUUUGUUGUUUGCUUUAAUUUCAUUAACCAGAAAAAAAAAGAAUUUUUAUUAUUAUUAGAAUUUUGAAUUUGUUAAACAAAAAAAAAAAGAAGAAGAAGAAACCAUUGUUUUAUUUACAUUCUCUUUCUUUCCUUUCUUGCUUAAGCCAAACUUUGAUACGCUUCUUCUUUAUCUCUGCGAGGUACAACCCUAAGGAGCAGCCACCAUGACUGAAUCAGAAGAAGAUCAGUACCAAUUUGAUGGAGACCAAUGGUGUCAAGGAGAAGAGAGUUUAGCUUUUUCCGAUGAGGAGGCUGACUAUGAGUCUCCACCGUGACUAGGAGAUGGCUACACCAGCUCUGGAAUUGGAGAUGAAUCAGACUGUGAAGAGUACGAUCCAGAGCCACCAUAUUACAGCAGAGUCAACACUAAUCAAUCAGCUUAGUCUAGAGAUAAAGAGACAGGCCGAGAAAAAGGUGUAGAAGGUGACCAUGAAGGAGAUCCUUGGCAGGACGAAACUGAGUCUUAAUAUCACGAAGGAAACUACAACACUGAACCAGAAGACAGAGAUGACUCAGAGCAUUGAGAUUUUGACCAUGGAGAACAAGGCCGAUCUUUAGAACCUUACCAAAGGCCAAGGUGCGAAGUAACUGAUUCUGAAAUCAGUUCAAUAGAUGCUGACAAUACUGAUGGUGAGUCUUGGAGCCACGAGACAGAGCUAAAAAAAAGCAUGGUUGAUGGACCAGAGCUUGACGAGGAGGAACAAGAGCCAAAUGGAGACAACAUCAACUACACUGAACAAGACUAGCCAGAUGGUGCAACAACAGAUGAUGAGGUAGAUGAUGAGCCACACCACAUCUAUUUUUCAGGUCAUGAACAAGGACCAGAAGCUUACCUAUAGUGGGAGAGCGAAAUAGAGUACAUGAUGAAGUCACAAAACAUUCCUAAGGAUCAGAGACUUUCAUAUGCACUUGACUCGUUUGUUGGAGAAGCUACUACAUGGUGGGAACAAGAGGAAGUUGUGGCCAACUAUAAUAAUUCUGCCAUCACUUGGGGUAAUCUCAUGCAGCGUAUGUACAAAGAGUUUGUACAGAAGUCCCAAAACCGCAGCUACAUUCCCAAGAGGCUAAUGUUCAAAACAGCUACAAAGAGGUGGAUGUCUACGCCAAAAUCGCAGCCUGUUUCUAAGUCAAAGAAAGCUUGCUAUUCUGAGCUAAAGAAAGUGUCUCAAAGCACUUUGGAAAAGAAGAUAGAGGUUAAGAAUCCAGUGGGAGCAACAGGAGUUAAACCAGCCUCCAAACAGCCUGAUCACUACAAGAAAAACACCGUUUUACAACGGCCAAAACCUUCGUAAGUUCAUUGUAAAAGUCUUAUUACGACGAACAAGCGACGGUUUGGAAAUUUUCGUAAACUUAUCGUCGUAAAUGACAUUUCGUCGUAAAAGCGUCGUACAAUCUAGGACGGUUAUAAAUCGUCGUAACAUCGACGUAAACUAAACGUCGUAAAAGCGUCGUAAUGGUUACGAUGACUUUACAUCGAUUUGUCUCAAUUUGGUUUUCAGCGUAACCGUCGUAAAGUCGUCGUUACCGACGUAGGUUCGUCGUAUAAUAUACGAUGUAUAUAUCAUCGUAAUUCGAUCAUAUUAAUUUUUUUCUUUUCGACAUAAAACCGUCGUAAAACACUGACGUAUAUGUGUCGUACAAUACGUCGUAUAUUAUACGACGAAUAUUUGGUUGUAAUUGGAUCGUAUGGUUAUAUAUAAUCUUACGACGAUUUUACGACGAUUUAUUAAAUAAAUAAUAAAUAUAUUACGACGAUUAUACGAUAUUUUUUAUAAAUAAAAUUAAAAAAACAUUUAAUUCGAAUUAAAAUUUUAAUUAAAAAAGAAAUAAAUUUAAAUUUAAAUUUAAUUAAAAUUUAAAAUAAAAAAAUUUAUAUUAAUUAUAAAAUAACUUAUCAAAGAUCUAACUCUAAAAUAAUGUCGUCUAUCACCGCAUCGAUCCGCUCCGGAUCCCCAUCUUGCUCCACAGGUUUCUUGCCGGCUCUUCGGUUGGAGGUAUCCGGCACCUGAUCCCCGGCUCUAGGAGGAUCAACCCCGAGAGACCGGAACAUCUCCUCGUCUGUCUGCACUGGUGGUUGCCUCCUAGAGGAUGAAGACGAUGUCCCGACGACUCUAGCUGCCCGCAACCUAUCCAACUGCGUCUGGGGCAACGGGUUGUCGGCCCCCAUAAUCUCGAAGAGACCGUACAACUGGUCGAUCUUCGUCUCGUACAGCGUCCGCAUCUGAUGGAUCUCCUGGCGGAUAACGACUGGAUCCCAUGCCUGGACAUGUCCAGUCGCUGUAGCGAUUGGGGUAUCACGGAUGGAUCCCAUCCCUAAAACCUGGCCCUUCUUCCGAGGGGCAACCUUAAAAAAUGUAGAAAACUUAUGUAAAACAGUACAAUAUAUAGUUAAAUUUAAACUAAAUAGAAAAAAUAAAGUAAAUUAAACUUACCUCUUCGAAGAUCUGGUCCAUCUCCGCCACCGUCAAUAUCGGGGUGGACUGGACCGAGCUACUUCCGGGAGAUGUCGGAGGUGCCUGCUGGGUGAGCUGUGUAUGCUGCUCCUCAAUCCUCGCACAUGCGGCGUUGUAGAUCUCUUCCGCUCGAGGAUCCGUGAAUUCGCCGUUCUUCUUCUUAUGGGUCUCGGCGAAAACCUUCGUCAUCGGAGGAAGUUCUCCCCCGUUUUCUUCGACCUACAAAAUCAAUUUGAAAUUAUUAAUAAGAUAAAUAAGGUUUAUUAAAAAAAAACUUAUUAAUAAAAACUUACCAUCAUAAGUCGUCUCUCGGCGAAAGGAACCUGGCCGGAAGUGUGUGGGACGUUCUUUAGAUUUCCCACAACGUCAGCAACGUUCCUGAAAAUGAAAUAUUUAGUAAUUAGAUUUGUAAUUAAAAAUAUAAUAUUAUAAAUUAAACACAUUUUAAUUUAAUUUACAAAUAUACCUGGAUGUGGAACACUUGGCGGCAAUAGUCUGGUUGUUCGGGGUCAACCAAUGAUGCACCUCCCAGACGGUAUCGGCCAUUGGCGUGGCUUCUCCUUGUUGCCGUCGACCUCCCACUUCCGCUUCCAGUCAGAAACGGUGUUGUUGAGCCGGAACUUGACCUUUUCAUUGAAGGCCGUCUUCACACGUUCGUGUGCGGAAGUUUUCCAAGGCCAGUUUUGCUACAAAAAAAAAAGAGUUAGUAAUUAUUGUAAAAAAAAAAUAAAAAAUAAUAUAAACCAUAAUUUUAAAUAACUUACCGCGAAACACUUGAACCAAGUGUCAAUAGUUUCCUGAUCCAGCUUCUUCCAGCUGGUAUGGGGUUGUACGAAUAACCCCUUGAUGAUGUCGGAAACGUUACGACCGACUGCGUUAUCGGUCGUAAACCUAGUCAUUAAAAAAAAUUUGGUUAGAUAUUUAAAUUAAUUAUAAAUAUAAAUCUUUUAAUGAAAAAUUUGUAAAAAAAAAACCAAAAAUCGUACCAAAACAUCCCCGGAGCUCGAUCCGGAUAGAGUUUCUUCAUACUCCCACGACCCGGUUGCCGUAGAAGAUCCUCAACCGUAUAUUGGACAUACGGUUCAGGCGGUAUCGGGGCUGCGGCUGGUGCAGGUGCUGCUGGUUCGGCUUGUAGUGGUGGAGGCGGUGCAGGCUGUGGUACAACAAUUGGUUGUGAAACUGUACGUUGAGGAUGGCGGACCCCGUAGCUAAGGUGGACGGAGCGGUAGCGUCUGGAUCAACCAUCUCCCGAUAGUGGAACCUCUUGGUCCGGAGAGCUAUCUAAAUAAUCUACAAAAUUAAAUUAAAUAUAAUUACUAAUUAAUCUAUUUAUUUCUAAAUUCCAGAAAUUCCGAAUCUUACUAAUUCCCCUAAUUAUAUCUAUAUAAGGAUUAAAAUUUGAACAGGAAUAUAAAUUAUAAUGAAAAAACUAAAAAAAACUUACAAAUUAAGACUGGAGAGGAGGGAGAGCAAGAGAGAGAGAGUCUUUGUAGAGAGAGAGAGGGAAGUGAGGAAUGAGAGAUGAUGGAGGAAAACUCACGUCCCUUAUAUAGAUUUUGUGAUCGUUGUAAAAUCGUCGUAACGUUACGACGGUUUUACGACGAUUUGGUUGUAUAAUCAUCGUACCAGUGCAUGACACGACACGUGUCAUGCUCACAUCGUUUGAGUAUUACGACAAUUUUACGAUGAUUGUUCAUCAAACUAUCGUAAAACCGUUGUAAUAGGCCAACAUAUAUACCCUCGUACCUCGGAUCUGGAGCCAAUCCGGCGGCUGUCAGAUGUAUGAUCGUCAUUAAUGUUACGACGGUUUAAUGAACAUUCGUCGUAAAAACAUUGUAAUUUUACGACGUUUGUACGAUGGUUUUAUGAUGGUGUUUAAAAAAGUUAUCAAACCCUAAAUCUCUCAAAAGACUUAUUGCAUUAAGGACAACCCAAAGCUGAUUUUAAACUAACAUAUUACAAUAGGUUCAUCACUUUACAUGUAUGACUGAUUUAGUACAUGAGAUAACAAAUAUAUCAACCAUCUUAUCUAAUAUAUAACUUUUUACUUAACAUUUACAAAAACAUGCAUGAACUAGUAAAUAUGUAUGAUUUUUUUUUCAAAUUUCUGAUUUUGAUCAGAUUGAAUACUUUUCAUAUCAAAUAAGAUAACCUAUCAAAAACAUUUGUGAAACAUGUUGGAAAUUCAUCCGGAUCAUUCGGGUCCACCUAAUCAGAAAAAAUCUUGCUUUAAUUUCUUAAUUUUGCAAAUAUGCAUGCAACCAUAUAUGUUGGAUAUCAAAGUCUUUUAAUUUAUAUUUUAUACGUAAUUGCGUUUUUAACCACUAGGCAUAAUGUUUUUGAUCUUUACGAUCAUUGAUUUCAAUUUCAGAAACCCCAUAGAUGCAUUCUUUAACCUCAUCAACGAAUGUCCUGAAAAAAUAACUAAUAAUUAAUUAAGACUGACAGUAGGAUAUACGUAUGUGCACUGAGAUAAUCUUUUUCAUUGGACCCCCAAACUUCCUUCAGUUUUCCACUAAGACGUCCGAUCGGCGAGAAUAUGUCAAGUACACCCUUAACUGUAUAUGUAUGGCCUCUUCAAUCAUCAUAUCGACGAGUAGCUCUUUUUCGUGUUCGUACUUUUGGUGCAAAAUAGUACGGAUACAUUCACCUGUAUUGAACCGGUCCACCGAGCUCUGCUUCGUGAGGGAGAUGAACAGGAAGAUGUUCCAUAACAUCAAAAAAUGAUGGCGGGAAGAUCUUUUCCAAAUCGCACAAUAAUAUUGGAAUAUUCGAUGCCAGUUGUGCUAUUACAUCAGCUGAUAAUGUUCGUGUACUAAGAUCCUGGAAAAGUUCACCAAUGCCUCCAACAGCUUCAUAGACAUUUUUGGGCAAGAGUUCAGCAAAUGCAAAUGGAAAUAAUCGUUGCAUAAACACGUGGCAGUCAUGACUUUUUAUCCCUGCAAAUUUACCCUUUUAUCAACAGAUUUAAAAGAUUAGAAACAUACCCAUCAGGAAACUUAACGUAAGAUAAAACCCAUUUGAACAAUGCUGACUUUUGAUCUGCACUCAACCGAAAUACAGAAACUGGUGCUUUCCCGUUUCUCAGUAUAUGAAACUCACUUCUGUUGCAUAAAUCAGGCAAGUCCAUUCUUCACUUACCAUUGUCUUUUGUUCUUCCCGUUACGUUCAUAACUGUAUGCACGAUGUUAAAAAAUUUUCUCAAUGUGCAUGACAUCGAGAUUGUGUCUGAGCAGAUGAUCUUUCCAAUAGGGCAGUUGCCAAAAGAUACUUUUCUUGUGCCAAUUAUGAUGAAAUCCAUAACCUUCAGACAUAUUUGCACGAGUGUGCCAGUUUCCCCCACGCGUUACUGUUUCCUCUGCCCCCCAAUGCUCGAUUUGCGCAAUCAGCUCCUGUUAAAUUUACAGGUGGAGAGAUAUGUACACUUUUGUUCUUCCUAAAUAACCUCUUGUUCCUCCGAUAUGGAUGGUUAUCCGGUAAAAUCCUCCGAUGACAAUCAAACCAACAGGUUUUUCUACCAUGUUUUAGCUGUAACGCAUCAUUUCGAUGAAGACAAUAACAACAAGAUAACCUCCCAUGUGUAUUCCAUCCUGAUAGCAUACCAUAAGCAGGGAAAUCGCUUAUUGUCCAAAUAAGCAUAGCCCGCAUAGUAAAAUUUUUCCCUGUUGAACAAUCAUAUGUGUGAACGCCGGUAUACCAUAACUGAUUCAACUCAUGUAUGAGUGGCUGCAGAAAUACAUCGAGAGCUCGCUUCAGAUGAUUGGGACCUGGAACCAAAAUACUAAGGAAAAGAAAUUCCCUUUGCAUGCACAUAUCUGGAGGAAGGUUAUAAGAGGUUAGGAUUACUAGCCAUAAUCAAUAUUGUCUACCAGACAUACCAAAUGGAGUAAAACCAUCAAUGCACAGACCAAGAUAGACAUUCCGUUUGAACUUAGCAAAAUCUGGGUAUACCGUAUUGAAGUGUUUCCCUUUGCUUCUGAUGGAUGCACAACUUCUUCAUCUACUUGUGUAUGUUCUGCAUGUCAUCUCAUUGAUGCAGCUGUCCUUUCAGAUUGAUAAAGCCGCUUCAACCUAUCAGUUAUAGGGAGAUACCACAUACGUUGGUACGGUAUCCUUUUAUGCCCACCAGUUUGCGGCCUGUAUCUUGGUUUUUGGCAAAAUCGACAUUCCUCCGGCUGAUCAUCAUCUUUCCAAAAAAUCAUACAAUUGUCAACACAUACAUCUAUCAUCUCAGAAGGUAGACCAAGACUAAAAAUCAACUUAUAUAUUUCAUAGUAUGUUGCCGCUGCCAAGUUAUCCUCCGGUAGAUACUCUUUCAGAAGAUCAGCCCAAUCAUCCAUGCAAACCUCAACCAGGUUAUGAUCUGUUUUAAUUGACAUCAUCCUAGCUGCCAAAGAUAAUUUAGACAGAUCUUCUCUACAUCCUUCGUAGAUUGGCUGAUUAGCAUUGUCUAACAAAUCAUAAAAUUGUUUGGCAUCUACAUUAGGUUCCUCAACAUCAUUACCAGUAUGCGUUUCAUGAAAUGCAUCAGUCACCAUCUCAUGCAUCCUAUCAUGAUCUAGACCUUGAUCAGAUUGAUACUGAUUAGGCUGAUGACCAUAAUUUGAUUCAUCAAAAUCAACAUGACUUUGAUAAUUACUACUACUACCAGCAUUCCCAUGAGUAUUACUAUCAUAUCCUUCUCCAUGUAGAUACCAAACAAAAUAUUGCAGCAUAAACCCUCUAUUUAAUAAAUGCGUCCACACGGUUUUGGUUAGUGUAUACCUUGUAUUCUUGUAUUUCAAACAAGGACAAAACAUCUUUGUGGCCUGAUACAUGAAUAUUUCUAACCCGUUCUUGAACUCUUCUGUCAACGCCCCAUCUGAAUCUUUACGCAUAUACAUCCAGCUUCUUAGCUCGUAUAUAGACAUCUUGAAAAUAACUCAAAAAAACUAUCUCUCUCUAUUGUUUAGACAAUAUAAGAGACGGUCUCUUGUGUCACGUGUAGCCGCGUGAAUGGAGAAACCUUUCAAUAUUGUUACUUCUUUUUUCAAAGAAAUUACUACUAAUUCGGGUUUCCAGCAAUGGACAACCCAAUAUAUCAGGUUUUACAACAAUAUAAUAAGGUUUAAGAGACCAAAAAUGGGUCUCCAGGAUGCUGAUGCUCUUUUGUUUGAAUGAUGAUGUGUUGUGAAUGAAAGAAGAAAUGAAGAUGUAUUUAUAACCAAAUUUUGGACUUUACGACGCUUUUACGACAAUUUUUUACAUCCAACCUUCAUAUUACGAUGAUUUUACGUCGAUUGUGCGAUAAAAUAUUUCAUCGACAUUAGUUAGGUAAACAUGUUUUAAAUGUUCUUCACCUACCUUCUUUGCCGACGUAAAAUCGUCGUAACUGUACAUCGGAUUAGGAUCGUCGUAUAUUCAUCGUAAUGUUACAUCCAAAUUACGACGAUUUUGCAAUAAAUAUCAAAUCUCUCUUUAUCGAUGUAUAAUCGUCAUAAAGUAUCAUAAAUUGUACGUCGAAGUUACGACGAUUUUUUUUACGACGUUUUAUUUUUCCAUCGUAAAAUCAUUGUAACAUCGUUGUAUAUUUGUGACGACUUAUAAACUGUCGUAACAGACCGUUGGAAAACGAUUGUUUACUUGUAGUGGAUGCAGCUCAUACGCAGAGCACAAAACCAAAGUAUGGGCCACAUGUCAACACAGAGCAAGGUAAGCCAUCUAAACUCUCUAAAACAAUCUGUUAUAGGUGUCAUCAGAGAAGUCAUUUUGCUAAGACUUACCCAAAUACAAAAUCAGAGGAUACUUCAUCAAUUGAACCAGAAAAAUAUGAAGCUAGAGAAGUAGAAAAAGAUGAGUUAUAUUGUGAAAUUUCCAAUUCAGAUCUAAUGUGCUUGUCUUUGCCAAAGGUUAUUGAUGCAUGUUUAAAUCAUGGAGAGCAUCACUAUUAAGAGAUCAAGACGUGCCAACCUGCCACUGAAAAAUAUGAAGUUGUCACUAUCUUCACUCCAAUCCAAGAGGAGCCACCAGAUCUUACACUGAAUCCAAAUGUCGUGGCAACAAAGAAAACAGAACUAAUCAACAGUUCUGAUCAGGUAAGUAUUUCUUUAGCACCAUUGAAUUCCAACACUUCAAAUUCUGUGCUGUUACACUCAUUAAAUCCAGAAGAAGUUGAAUUAAAAGAAGUCUUGGUAGAAUGCAUAUCAUAUAUCGAACCAGACAUGAAAAAGAGAUAAGAACAAGUGUUCCAAACAAAAAUCAUGUUCCAUUGCUCGUAAAAAUAUUUUGACCGCGAUAACACACUUGUUUCUUGUCCAAAAAGAAAUGGUAAUUGCAGGAACUGACGAGGAUCCACAAGAAAUCCAACAGAAAGAAAUCAGUAUAGAUGCCAUUUGUAAAAUGGAGGAUUUUACAACGACAAAAAACUUGCUGCCCAAAGAAUUUAUCAACAGACAUGAGAGAGAGGUCACUGCUUCCUUAGUGAUAAAAGAAGAACCACCAGAUGCCCAAAAUAAACCAAACCCAAGCCACAAGCAAACCAUGACCCAAGGUAACUCUCUAAACCCUCAGGAAAAGCAUGAUCCUAACUUGCUCUAUCUUUGUGCAGGUCAAAGAGUUUCGAGGACGAAACUUUUCCAAGGAGGAGGGUAUGAUGUGGUCAUCGACCCAGCUCACCAUCACAAAGAGACCCCAAUUAUCUGUAGCCGAGAGAUGCCUUAUAGGAGCUGAAACGGAGAAAACAAUGGAACAUAAAGGCGAGCCCAACAGAAGCAGAAGUGAAAAUUUGGAGUUCACCAACCAAAUUUCAUCUGGAGGAUAUGAUCGAGCCAAAACACUUUUGGGUCGAUCCAGAAAUGAAGUUACCCAAGAAUCAACUCAAACUCUUGGCCAAAGCAUGUUCAAGCCACACAAGGAGACCCAUGCACCAUAUUCAGCACUGAUGAAGUCCGAGAUCAACUAGUACAGCUCGACCAACACUUGUAUUACAUUUCUAUCUCAUCCAGUGAACGCCUCGAAGUGGAAUCAGCCCAAUUGGAUCCCAGAGAAAGGAGUUAUUCAGCUUAUAAAUUAGGUGAUGCACAACUUCUACGAUUUGAACAUACGUUCCUUAUUUGGAGGUUUCCGACAGAACCAGAAGGAUUUAAGCUGUGAGCCAACUUGUUCCCGAUUUGUGAUUCAUCAUAGAAUCGGAGGCAAUUGGAAUCAAACCAAUACCGGUUAUGGUUAGAAAUUUAUUCACUUUUUAAGUUGGAAGAUCUGUUUCAGACCCAAUUGCACAGCGAGGUUGAAGAUCGUACUCUACAGCCCAACUCAUCCACGUUCUCAGCCCAAAAUUACUUGGAGAAUAUUUUUUGGUCUUUCCUGGAUCCAACAAGCUCAAGAUCCGAAGAAUUUCCCAUUGAAACUUCAAGUUACACCCAAAUUCUCAAAACGGAUUGACUUGGUUCUAUUUAUGGCAGGUCCGAGCUCUGACUGGUUUAGAUCGCUAUCUACAAGAGUUUGGCGCCCAGGAGAGACUCUAAGGCAACUAAAGAAGCUUAGAAACACCUUACCAUGCACUAGCAUCUACAGGAUCAGGCGGAUCGUCUUGCAAGCUUACUUUUCUUAUGUGGCCGCAUUCACACUCGGUGCCAUUAAUCACCAACGGCUCUUUUCCUUUGAAUGCUACGACUUGGACGUGUUAUAAUCGUCAUAAAGCAUCGUAAAAUACACUAUUUACAAGUUAUUUUGUGUACACAUUUAUUUCAUUCCCCCAAAAAUACAUCAUUUAUAAGUAACUUUUUUACGUAUAUCCUUUUUCUCUUUAAAAGAAAAUUUUCAUUAAAAAAACUUCAAAAUUUCAGUAGUUCCCAACUUAAAUCUCCGACUUUUUGGGUUCCAGCUUUAAAAUUUCAAGUUAAUUAUUUUUCCAAAACAAACCUUCAAGUUGCAUAAAAGUGUGCACAAUCGAGAGUUUACUAAGAGUCAAUGCUGUUGUUUAACGGUCAAUGUUAGAAAAUAAUAGUUUUAAAUAAUAAAUUUAUUUAUUUUUUAUGAAAAAAAAUCAAAAUAAAAAAAUAACAAAAGUAUUUUUUCAUUAUUUUUUUUUCAACACUUAACGGUUAAUAUAUUAUAUUGUUAAACUAAUAACUUUAAUUGUAUUAAUUUAUUUAUUAAAAAAUUAAAAAUCUUCUCAGUUGCAAAUCUUUUCAAGUGUGACCAAAUAAUCCAUUGGUCGAUCUUAUGUAUUCACCAUUAGGGUUGAGAAAGGAUCAAAGUUUUCUUAAUGAGAACGAGAAGUAAAAGGUAAACUCAUUAGAAGUUGUGUCUCUAGGUACCGGAGUUGAACCGGUUUUUUAUAGAAAGAUUUCUCAAGCGUGAAAAUCAUAACGGAGAGGUCAUAGGCGAGAGAAUUGUUUUUUUGUAUUUUUUGUUUUUAUUUUGAUUUUUUGGUUUUUGGUUUUUAUGUAAAAAAAUAAAUAAUUUAUUAUAUAAAAAUUAUUAUUUUAACGUUGAGCGUUAGACAACAAUGUAAAUUGUUAGUCAACCCUUGAUUGUGCACACUUUAAUGCAACUUGAAGGUUUAUUUUGGAAAAAUAACUAACUUGAAGGUUUAUAGUAAAAAACCCAAAAAAGUAGAGGUUUAAGUUGGGAACCGCUGAACAUUUGAGAGUUUUUCUGGUAAUUUCUGUUUUUUUUUAAAGAACAAUAGAACAAAAAUAUUCUUUACUAAAUUCAAAGAAACCCAAUAAGAAAAAAAUAUUCUUAUCAUUUAUUCCUUUAGUGGUCACACUAGUUUGAGCCUUAAGAAAAUCUGUUUCUUUAGUUUUUUGGAAAUCAUAAAAUAAUUGAACAAAAAUAGCUUUUGGGUGAGUUCUAGCUAAUGGUCUUUGUACGCUUAGUUGGCCCAGCUCCUAUCAGCUCACUAAAGCCCAUACGUAGAUUUACCUAAGAGACUUUGAGUUACUUUAGUCAGAAUGUCAGAUCUUCUAUCACCUUCCGGCCAAAUCAAUUUUGUAAAGACUAGUUUCGUACCAUUUCAUUGAAGCUAUUUCCAAUAAGUACAAAAAAAGGCGACAGAAGCUUGUAUAGAAACAACAAUACUUCUAGUAAUACAAACAAGAUACAACAAUCAAAAUACAACAAGAAACCCACAGCCAAUCGAGUCACAAAACACGUAAAAAGAAAGCAAUCCCUCUGAAAAGUUACUUACUAUAUUACCAAAUUUACUUGGAAGUAUCUAAAACUUUCAUGGAGAUGCACCACUGCUUCUGGAACGAUACAUAGUGGCAAAAUCCAAACUUAAACGCCGGUCCCUUUCGUCUCCCCAGCCUCCCCAACCUUUGAAACCAGCUUUAUAACCAGGUUGAUGUUUAAACACCUAAACUCCCCAUCCUUUAUUUAUGUUCACAACUUUAUCUGUUUAUUUAACCACAAUGUUUACAACCCCAUUAUCAAUACAGUCACCUUCCUCUCCUCUACCUUGAUGCAACCCACAUUUACCAAAGUGUACCGCACUGGUCCUAGGCCCUCUCAAUGUGUAAACAGGUGAACCAAACGAAGGGAAAACCGUUGCCCACAUUACAUCCCAAUUGUAAUCAUCAAAGUAACAAAACUCUCUUGCCUUCUGGUGUAUAUUCUCCCACAAACUUCUAUUAAAGGAAUACCCGAUAUUGUUAAUUGGUAAGAAGCACAAACCGUGCCCUUCUCUGUGUCUUUCAUUAUCAAUAUAUAGUGUUACAAAUGAAUCAAUCAAGAUCAAUCAGAGUAAAUACAUAAUAUACGGUAUAAUAAUUCUAUUAUUGAGUUUCCUAUUCUAUCACUCCCCCGCAGUCGUAGCGUUGGAUGGUUGAACGUUUAGACUAGAUCGAAAACUGGUAAAAAGGGAUGAUGGAAGUCCCUUAGUGAAAAUAUCUGCAUACUGAUGAGCGGAAGGGACAUGAAGAACACGAACACUGCCAAGAGCAACACGCUCUCGUACAAAAUGAAUAUCGAUCUCCACGUGUUUGGUGCGUUGGUGUUGAACUGGGUUUGUGGAAAGGUAGACCGCGCUGACGUUGUCACAGUAAACAAUCGUUGUAGUGGUAAUAGGGCAACGAAGUUCAAGGAGAAGGUUUCGGAGCCAAGUUGUCUCAGCUACCGCAUUCGCAACACCACGAUACUCGGCUUCAGCGCUAGAACGAGAGACAGUGGGCUGUCGUUUCGACGACCAAGAUACAAGGUUGUCACCGAGAAAUACACAAUACCCAGAAGUAGAUCGACGAGUGGUGGUACAGCCUGCCCAAUCAGCAUCGGUAUAAGCUGUGAUCUUAGAGAUAGUGGUUGGUUUCAACUGAAGACCGUGUGUGAUGGUGCCUUUGAUGUAGCGUAUUAUCCGUUUGAGAGCAUUGAGAUGUGGCUCUCGUGGGUCAUGCAUAUGAAGGCAAACUUGUUGGACGGCAUAUGCUAUGUCCGGACGCGUGAACGUAAGGUAUUGGAGGGCACCAGCAAGGCUGCGAUAGAGAGUUGGGUCGGCGACUGGUGGUCCAGCAUCAGCAGCAAGUUUGGAGGAUGUAUCAACUGGGGUGGAGCAAGUGUUGCAGUUCGUCAUUCCUGCACGAUGUAUGAUGUCUGCAGCAUAAUUUUGUUGACUUAAGAACAUCCCAUUUUUGUCCCUGUUAAUAGCAAUGCCCAAAAAAUAGUGAAGUUCGCCUAAAUCAGUCAUAGAAAAUUCAGAGUUAAGGGAUGUUAUGAUCGACCGUAAUAGUGAAGUGGAGGAUGCCGUGAGUCCAAUAUCAUCUACGUAGAGAAGAAGAUAUGCCAAAUCUUUCCCGCGACAUAAAACAAACAGUGAUGCAUCGCAUUUGCUUUGUUUGAAGCCGAUUUUGGUGGCGAAGGUGGCGAAACGUUGAUACCAAGCGCGAGGCGCUUGUUUAAGUCCGUAGAGAGAUUUUUUGAGAAGACAUACAUGCGUAGGCCGAGUGGGAUCAACAAAUCCUGGGGGUUGAUGCAUAUACACUGUUUCGUCAAGGUCUCCGUAUAAGAAUGCGUUUUUAACGUCGAGUUGACGCAAAGGCCAAUUAAGAGAAACAGCGAGAUGGAGAACGGUGCGUAUUGUCGGGGGGUUUGACGACAGGGCUGAAAGUUUCAUCGCAAUCGAUGCCAAUUUGUUGAGAUUUUCCAUUUGCGACAAGGCGAGCUUUGUAUCGAGAAAGUCGUCCACCUGCAUCAAAUUUAUGUCUAAAGAGCCACAUAGAACGCACAACGUUAGUGUUUAAGGGCCGUGGGACAAUUAUAAACGUGCCACUCUUUUUAAGAGCAUCAUAUUCAACAUGCAUUGCAUCGUUUCCAAUACUUGUCUUUUAAAGCUUGGAUAUGAGAUAUAGGGAGAGGAGAAAUUGUAUCUGUAUGAAGGGAGAAAAUCUGCUUCUUUUUAGUAAUUCCACUACGGCUCCGUGUUUGCAUCCCGUGAGAAGGAGGAAGAGAAGGUGGAGCUUGCGUUAUUACAUCACUCGCAGGAUCCGUCGACGGUGCCAGCGGAGCUGGCGGUGGUGCUUGUGGAGCUUGUGGUGAUGGCAAAACAGAGGGUGGAGCACGUGGUGUAGAAAAAUUCGUAGCAGGAAGAGAUUGGAGAAGGGGAUGAUAAGAGUGUGGGGAAGUUGGUGUCGAUGGAUUAGUUUCAGAAGCAGAGUUUUGAAAGGGGAAUGAGUUUUCAUCAAAAAUGACAUGACGAGACAAUAUUAUUCGUUUUGUGGCAAUAUCUAAGCAUCGAUAGCCCCGAUGAUUAGAGGGAUAACCCAGAAAAACACAUUUAGAAGAGCGAGGAGCAAGUUUAUGGAUAGAAGUUGGGAGAAGAUUUGGAUAACAAAGGCAUCCAAAAAUUCGAAGGUGAUCAUAGGAGACGGCUUUUUGAAAGAGACGAGUAAAGGGGAUUUCAUUGUUUAUUGAGGAAGAAGGAAGAAUGUUGAAAAGGUGAGCUGCCAUAUGGAGAGCUUCGACCCAUUAAGAAGGAGGCAUAUGGGCUUGAAGAAGAAGAACACGAAUAAGAUUGUUGAGAGUUCGAAGAGUACGUUCGGCACGACCAUUUUGCUGGGAGGUAUGAGGGCAAGAGAAUCGAGAUUGGAUGCCACUGGAGGAGAUAAAAUUUUGAAAUUCACGACUGGUGUAUUCACCACCAUUAUCACAAUGAAAAGCUUUAAUUGUUUUGUGAAAUUGUGUUUGAACAUAGCGAAAAAAAUGUAGAAAUUUAUUGAAAACUUCACUCUUUUGACGUAAAGGAUAAACCCAAAGAAAGUGGCUGUAUUGAUCUAAGAAAAUAACGUAAUAUCGUAUUCCACUGACACUUGGAAUUGGAGAUGUCCAAAUAUCAGAGUGUACAAUAUCGAAAGCAGAAAAAACUUGCGAUGAAGAAGAUAAAAACGGUUGCCGAAUAUGCUUCCCUAGCUGACACGGGUGGCACAAGGGAGACGUAUCCAGUUUUGAACAUUUAAGAAAUCCAGAAGACACUAAAAAACAAAGCGUCGAGUUCCCGGGAUGACUGAGUCGUCGAUGCCAAACUGAAGCGGAAGGAGAUGUUGAAACAAAAGCUUGAGGGAAAGGAGAUGUGGUUUGAGUGACGGAGUAGAGAGGGCCAUCACUAUCACAUCGGAGUAGAGGAGCUCGAGUUUGAAGGUCCUUAAUAAGAAAACCGAAAGGGUCAAAUUCAACAGAGCAAAAAUUAUCUUUAGUAAACUGACGGACAGAAACAAGAUUUUUUAAAAUUUCAGGGCAAAGAAGGACGUUUUGAAGAUGUAAAGGCCGAGAAGAUGUUGAAAUUGUAGAUUUUCCCAUUGCUGUGGCAGGUAAAUUGGACCCAUUACCCACCGUGACUAAGGGAAGAGAAGAGACGGAGGAUGAAGGGGAAGAUAGAGAAAUCAUACCUGGGUGUGACGUGAGGUGUGCAGUGGCACCAGUAUCCAUGUACCAUCCAGAAUCAGCGGGGUCCUGCAAUGUCAUUGUGUUGAAUGCACUUGCGAGGGCAGUUGGUAUGAACUCUUGAUUCAUUGCUCCUUGCAUUUGUGGCUGAGUAGUCUGAGUGAGAUAGACAGCACCACGUUGUUGCUGAGGCAUAGAUCCAAGAAUACCAGGUUGAGCAGAAGAGUAUUGAGGAUGAAAUUGUUGCGGUGAAGAAUUUUGUUGUUGCCAGAUGGGCUGUUGUUGUUGCUGCCAAUACCAUGGAGGCUGAGAAGGUUGGCGAGGAUUCCAAGUUGGAUUGUAAUUGUUGCGUCCUCGACCCUGACGACCUCGAUUUCCUUUGUUGUUGCGAUUGCCUCCUUUGUAGUUAUUGUUGUUGUUGUUGUUGUAACCACGGGAAUUGGAGAAAUCAGGUGGGUUUGACUGUUGAUGAGGAGUUGCGGCAAUGAGAAGUUGAUGGGAGGAGGCGCUAUCGUCAUUGUUGGGAGUAGAUUGUCGUUUGGUUUUAAGCCUGGAUUCUUCAUCGAUAAGCAUCGAUCUGGCGGUUCCAAAAGUGCAGGGGGGUGAUCGAUGUUUGAUAACAUUGAUAAUGUUAUCAAAUUUAGAGCUGAGACCGUUGAGAAGGUGCAUGACUAAGGCCCGAUCUGAAAUUGGAGAAUCAACAUUGGCUAGCGUGUCUGAAAUUGAUUUCAGCUUUUGACAAUAGUCGUGAACCGAAAGAUCACCAAUUGUGAGAGUGCGGAGUUCAUUUUCCAGGGUGAUUGCACGAGCCUCUUUGUUGUCGCGAAAUAAAUUCUCCAGCAUCAGCCAGAGUUCAUGGGCAGAGCACUGUGUUUUCAAAACAGAGGUGAGAAGCGAUUCAGAGAUGGUACCAUAUAUCCACAUCUUAACUGUGUUAUCGAGUUGCUUCCAUGUGGUGUCGGUCGGUCCGGUGGGAACAGCAGAUCCAUCGAUAUGGCCUGUGAGAGAGAAACUCAAACAGUGAGUUUCAAAAAGGAUGCGCCAUGAAUCGUAGUUCAUCUUGUUCAUGUCAAGAAUGAUUGGUAUGUGAGCACGGAUCUGAGUGAGACUUGCAGCGGUUGGUGUUGCAACGGUUGGUGUUGCAGUGGUGGGUGUUGCAGCGGCCGCCAUUGAUGGUUCGUCUAAUGUCGAUGAAGAAUUGCAGAGAAGUUGCAGAGAAAUUGCAGAAAGGUUGCAGAGAGAAUGUAGAGAAAGAGGAGAAUAGAGGUAGAUCAGAGAUAGAGAAGAGCAACAAGUAGAGAAAGAUUAAGGAGAAACAAUGGAAGAAGAUCGAGAAAAUAGAGAGCGGCGGCUAUAGGAGAAAGAUUUAGGUUAGAGGCAAAGCUCUGAUACCAUGUUAAUUGGUAAGAAGCACAAACCGUGCCCUUCUCUGUGUCUUUCAUUAUCAAUAUAUAGUGUUACAAAUGAAUCAAUCAAGAUCAAUCAGAGUAAAUACAUAAUAUACGGUAUAAUAAUUCUAUUAUUGAGUUUCCUAUUCUAUCAGAUAUUUCCCGUUCUCUCUGCAACCAAACUAUCAAGCCCUUCUCCUCUUGACUUGACAUCAGACGGUGCAAGAUUAGCAGCAAAGCAGUCAGGGUAUUUCGUGGAUUUCCGCUUCGUGAGAGUCUUUAUAUUCCGGUAGGCAUUAGGAAAAAGAAAGUGAUCUUCUUCGAUGAAAAUAAUAUGACCCUUGUGACCUUUAGUCUCCUCCAAUCCAUCCCAAACCGUGUUCAUCAUCCACCACCAAUGGUGCUUCAAAGACACAAUCUUUGGAGACCUGUGGUUUCCAUACUGAUCCGGAUUGCCUUCACAAUGUUUCUUAGCCUCAUUCACCUUUGUUCUUACAAUCACUCGGGGUCACUCGUCGUCUCUCCGUCGCUUACCGACAUCUCGUUCUAAAAUACUAAGAAAUUUAAUUAAUACUAUUUUCAUUGCUUUUUAUUUAUUUUUUAUUAAAUAAUUAGGGAUAUCUACAAAUUGUAGAGAGAUAUUAUAUAUAAUAUUUCUAUAAAUUUUAAAUCGACACCAAUUUUAUAAGAAUGGAAAAUAUACAUUAAAAUUUUAAAAUAUGACAUAUUAGAUUUAUAAAUAUUAUAAAUGAAUUUUAGGAAACUUAAAUUGUUGUUGAGUUCUGUGUGAGUCAAAGCCCGCACAAUCAAAACUUGUUGAAAAACUAAAGAGGUAACUGAAUUUUCUAGGAUUUUAUCGCAAGAACUCAAGAACGUAAUGAAUUUCUAUUGCUGGAAAAGCUAUAAGUCUUUGUGUUUAGAGUUGCAAAAGAUACAAAAUGAAUAACAUUUAUCGACAAUUUAUACAAGUUCUAUAAACCGCCAAUCCGAGAAUCUCGAGAAAGAUUCUCAUAAAAUUUCUUUAUCUUUUUGCACGGCCACUACCUCAGCCCUUCACCUAGGGUAAAAUGUUGUGCUCGCUUCAAUGGGCAAGACACCUGCUCGGCUAGGCCUGUUAACACUGCUUGUCUUCCGGCUCGGCCUAUUGACCUCAUAUUGGGCUCGAACCAAUUGUUUUUCCUUGAUCAGCUCCACCCAUUAUCGCAGCAAGGAACAUCCUGGUUCGGCCAAACGCCGUUGCAUGACUCGGCCCAAUUGGGCCCGUUGUUGCGGUGUUGCUCGGUCUGACCGGGUCCAUUGUCGCGGUGUUGCUCAAUCCGACCGAGCCUGUUGUCGCGGCGCGGCUCGCUCUAGCUCGUGUCACGGCUCAGGUCAGUUUGGUGGAUAUGGGCCUAAUAUCUCCCAUUUUAUACAUAGUCGUUUUUAGGACAGCUAAACUUGUCGGGGUGAAAUCCAACCUCAAUAGUUAGCCCCCCAGCUCGUCGGCUUUGGAGGUGAAGGUGAGAAGGUCAAAAUUGCCGGACCUAGAUUAGCUGUAAGAUUUUUUUUAUCCCUCCAAGCCAAGGAUGAUCAACCCACUUUUCUUCGUUCAUGCCGAGCUGAGCACGGCAUACUUCUUCCUUCUUGUGACCGAGCUGACUGCGAAAGUAAUACCGAGCUGUGGGUGAGGUCGCUUCGGUGGUCUAUUAAAGCAAAGCCUAUGACGAGAGGUUUGUUGAAAGUUAACGCUGGGGCAUUCAUUUGAAUGUGAAAAGCGAGGCGUUUUUUUCUUUAGGAAGUUAACGCCGAGGCGUAUGUGAGAAAAUUAACACCGAGGUGUUUUUUUAGAAAGUUAACACCAAGGCGCUUUUGAGAAAGUUAACACCGAGGCGUUUUUGAGAAAGUUAACACCGAGGCGUUUUUGAGAAAGUUAACGCCGAGGCGUUUUCUGAGAAAGUUAACACCGAUGUGUUUUUUUUAAAAGUUAACGCCGAGACGUUUGUUUGAAUGUUAACGCUGAUGCGUGUUUGAGAAAAUAAACGCCGAGGUAUUUACAGUGAGGCUUUUACCCCGAGGCGUGCUAUUUAGGUGUGAUGUGUUGUUGGGCUUAGUAAGGAUAGGUGACUGUUACGGAUUUCACACGCCGCUAUUCGGAGGUUUUGGGGAACUCACGCGCCGUAAAUCCCUAUAUAUACGAUGCUCACCCCUCACUUCUCCUCAUAACUCCAAAUCUCCAAAAUUUCACAAAGGUAUCUCUCCCUUCUUACUUUCUCUGUUUUUUCUUUUUGUUUUUUCGACUAAGGUUUGGACUUUGUCGCCGUCACAUCUCUGCUGUGCUGCCGUUUCAUAGCUGCAUUCCUGUACCACCGUCGACAUUUUUUCCGGUGAGCUAGUUCGUAAACCUGGUAGCGCUAUCUCCAAGCUGUAUUAUCUGUACCAGACGUAAAAAGUUAUGAGGACCCGAUCCAACAGCUUGUUAGAUACAUUAUUUAACCACGAAUAUCUCUUUCAUAUUGGCGAGGCGUCAAUUUCGGUGAGCCUCCCUCAUGAAUCUCCUUCUAAAGAUGGCGAGGUGUAUGCUUCGACAAGUUCUUCUCGAGGUCCUGCGCUACAUCUUAUCGAUAUCGCUGAAGUGAAAGCUGAGGAGGAAGAAUUUUCCUUUGAUCCGGUCGAGGCUAGGCUUGAACUGGAGCGUUCCAUGGCGAGCCAAGGCGCUUCUACCUCAGCACAGCCUAGAGCUCGGCGAAAGAAGAGGCGAAAGCCUAACCCUCCAGGAUCAACUCUGUCGACCGAAGAAUCUUUGAAAGCGUAUCCUCCACUUUGGGAUUUCUGAGGUGGUUAAAUUUAUCCUGCCGAGCCAAACUGAUCGCGCUCAUAAUCCUCCUCCGAACCACUUUACUCUAUACAAAAGCUUUUUUGAGUUGUGCUUUCUUUGGUUCCCCAUCACCAAGGUGAUCCUUUUAUAUCUUUGGAAGCACAUGAUCUCCAUAGGGAAAAUUAUGCCGAGAGGGUGGUGACAUAUGUUAGAAAUUUUGGUUUGGUGUUUUGAAUGCCGAGUCGACUUUGACCUCAAUCAUUUGCUUAACUUUCUGGAGAUUCGCAAAGCCCUAAGAGGAAGGUGAUUAUAUAUCUUCAAAAAGGUGAACUGAAAUAUCAUCUCAGGCUUCCUGAGCAAAGAUAAAUUCUGGGACGAGCGCUUCUUUUAUGCUCUGGUCAAUGAGGGGUCGCGACGACUUUGUUAAUCUGACCAAGACAGCUUGAAGACCACUUGAUAGCCGAUCUGAUGCCCUCACUUUGGCUCGGCUUUUUUUGUUUAUUUAUUCUGGUUCUUAAUGUGUUCUGUUUGUUUUGAAGUUCGAAACAUCCUUCCUCCGUGCCCUGACAACCUAUUCGUCAUUCGUGACUUUAGCCGACAAGAAAACCAACUGGAAACGUCACUUUUUUCUCGAGAGAUUUGAGAGAGCACGAGCCAUUCUCGCCGGCGUUCCCAUAAGUUCAGACUCGUCAAUGGAGACACCAGAGAAAAGAUGGUCAAGCUAACUCCCAAGGAAAAGAAGAAGAGAGGGGGCAAAGAGGCUGCAAGGCGGGCCGAGGAGAGAGCAGCUCGGGAGGCUCAUGUAAAUGCUGAAAAAGGUAAAAAUGAGGUGCCUAACUCUGACCUGGACGCAGCAAAGCUGACUGUACCUGAGGCGAAUCCCGCCGAUGCCUCUCCUAAGACAAUCCACAUUGGGGGGUCUCUAACAAGAGUCUCUCAAAAAAGUUGAGAGACUCUCUCAUUUGAGAGACUUUCAUUGAGUGUUCUAAGAUUUUUAAGAGACCCAUAUAACUGAAUAAUAUUAUUUAUUAUUAUUUUUAUAGAUGAGAGACUCUCCAAUGUAGAUGCUCUAAGGACCCUGAGAUGGUUCUUCUCGAGGUGUCUUCGAAAACUCUUACCAAGCCCCGGAAAACAUCUACUCUGACCGGAUCGGCAAUACUUGCUCUUCCUCAAACAGCGAGGCCUCCUUCCUC
rnacentral:lncRNA from 1 species